rnacentral:lncRNA from 1 species
GCGAGACUAAGCCUAUGAAGGGAGAAUCCAGGGCUUGUGCCACAUCCUACGAGUCAUUGGUAGAUUUUGCACGAAAGAUCUUGGGAUUGAAUACCGAUAUUGAAGUUUUAUCAACGCAUCGCCUCGCAAAAUCUAAUGCUGCUAGAUUACAGAACUAUACGAUCACAGAAGCUCCUAAACGAAUUUCAACUCUAAAGAUGGUUGGCUGUCACAACAUGCCAUAUCCUUUCAUAGUUUUCGGUUGCCACUAUCAGCCGGGUGAUAAUAAUUUAUACAGGACUGUUCUAUCUGGAGAGAAUGGUGAUAGGGUUGAAGCUACUGCAAGAUGUCACAUGGAUACCUCCCAAUGGAGCCAUGAUCACGUUUCCUUCCGGGUGCUUGGUAUCGAACCGGGCACUGCACCUGUUUGCCAUUUCUUCCCGGCAGAGGACUUUGUAUUGGUUCCAUCUACUUCUUCAAUCUAGUAAUAUCCAAGAGCUCAAGUGCUUUCAGCAUUUUAGUUGUUUAGCUUAAGUCGCCUUGUCUGAAUGUGUAAUACUAGAAAUCAAUAAAUUCGUGUGCCUCAUGUUUGAUUAUCUGUAUUCGAAUAAAACUCCGUGGAGUAGUAGCGCUACUUUUGACAAUCAAAGUUUUAUAUACUUCAUUUUACACGUAUGUUACAAGAUUUCAUCAUAUAAUAUACUCUUCUUCAAGAUUGCAACUUUGACAUCUUUCAGAUCUUUCAGCCAAAGCUUUUAAGUUUCCUGCAAAUUCAGAUGGUCUUGAUUUCUUCUGAUCAUCAGAAACUCGAGGAGGUACUGUGUGAAGUGAAUAGUUCCAAGAAAACACCACUCCUGUUGUAUGAUUCAAGGACAAAAGAACCGCAUCCAUCCAUCUAGAAAAGCUGCAGAAACCUUCCGUCCUUGCCGUUGAGAAAAUUUUAUAGAUAACUCUUCGAUUUCAAGUCUAGGAUCCAUUGGACCGUCUUUGAUCUCAUUGAGAUCAACUUUUGCAGAUGCAGAACAACUUUUGCAGACCGUCUUUAAUCUCUAGAAAGUGGACGGCUGAACAAGAUGAAAUCUUGACCUAGUACAUGAUCUGAAACCUGAAGAAUAAUGGGAAGAGCCCCUUGCUGUGAGAAAGUGGGCAUAAAGAGAGGGAGGUGGACGGCUGAAGAAGAUGAAAUCUUGACCGAGUACAUUCAAUCUAAUUUGUUUCGUCGGUUAAUUGCAAAAGAUUAAACCAGUGUGACAAUUAUACCCCCGUUAGUCCACGCAAAUUGAGUAAAAUGUAGUGAAAAGUCCUACAUUUGAAGUAAAAAACUAAUUCAAGGACUAAAUUUGUUAAAAUAUUUCAUCAAGGACGAAAUUGAUUUAAGUGAAAAUGUUUAGGGACCAAAUUGACGAAAUUCCCAACAGCUAAUCCCAAAAGUUUUUCUUAUGUAGUAGCUGGACUUCUUGAUCGCAUAAUUGUGGCUGUCCAUCUCUUUGAUUUGGAUUCCGAUCUUAUUCAAAUACUUUUGGAGGGGUAUCCUAUAAUUAGAGUGUCAAUCACAAACUCAAUUAUGUUGAUUCGCCCAAACUCGCUCACCAAUAACCCCCGUUCAAAUCCACCCACUAAUUUUAAAUAGGUCUAAAUGGGUAUCCAAUUAAACUCAUUUAAUUAGUAGACAGUGGAUUAACUCGAAUCACUUAUUUAUACCCAUUUAAAAUAAUUAUACAUUUAAACUCAAGUAUUAAACAAAUAAAUUUAAAUUUAUUAUCAAUGUAAUAAUAAUAAAAUGCUAUUAUUUUUUAUCAGACAACAUGUGAAAAAAUAAAAAAAUUAAUUAUAACUAUUUAAAUUCGUUUAAAUCACUUAUUUUGACACCUUUGACGACCAUUGUCUGCUCAUUGGACAUUCCACCGCCACUUGUUCAGCCGUUCCUUUCUUCCUUGCCGUUGCCAGUGUCUAUCAUUUCCGAUUACCAGGUAAGGCUCUGACAUAACCACUGGGCCUUUGGCUUGGAGAAAUCAUGACGUCGAAGAAGCGACUUGUGAGGCAGAAUAGGAGAUGCAGAAAAAGUAUCCUGAGUUGUUCGCUUAGAAAUGUGAGAAUUUUGAAUAAAGACCUCAUCUUUUGAUCGCAUCAAGCCUCAGCCGGAAAAAAGAAACCCAAAGGUAACAGCUUUCCACUUUGGAGUUUGUUUAUGAGUUGCCUCCCACCAAAAAUGCCACAUUUUUGUGGCUUGUCUUCAAAAAAUUCAGACGGGUGUGCUGUGCACCCGUCUGAUUCGGUGGUGGUUCAGUCCUCUCUGGCUUAUCCCUGGGUCUCCUUAGGCCCGUCUCCUUCCCCUUAGUGUAGGAUAGAUUAGAUUUAUCAUCUUCGAAAAAAAAAAGAAAAAAGGUAAGGCUCUGACAUUAGUGUCCACCUGCCAUAGUGCCAUCCCAUUGAUUAACCAAGUUACAGCGCUGUCAUAUUUGUCAAGCCAUCCUUCAUUAUUGGAUCUUUUAUUCUAUGUAUGGGACCGUCCUUACUGUUCCCAUGAAAGAUUGGUUCAGAAAUGUAUGGCAGCUGUGAAAUACGUUAGCUGUCUGAAUCUUGUCUCAUAAAGAUAUGUAGCUGAAAAUCCGAACGCAUUGGUUUCACGAGAGUUUUCUUAUCCACCGUGCCUGCCAAUUUUCUAUCACCAUAUAACAGCGUUUUUAAACUAUACGGACUGACCGAUUCUAAACAUUGAACCGAGGGUCCGGUGGUUCAGUCCGAAUUAAUCAAUUGAGUUGAACAGACAUUUACUGGACCUGCUCAGAUAUUGGGUUUAAAUAAAGAAAAUUGAGUUUUUAACUAUAUAUUUUGUGAGACUAUGAGCUGGUUUAGAUUAAAGACUUGUGCAUUUCAAUCGUUGUAAUUUAACAAUUAUUUCUUAGAUUGGAUUUUGAUUCUUUCAGAUUAUGUCUUCUUGUGCAUUUCAAUCUUUGUAAUUUAACAAUUAUUUCUUAGAUUGGAUUUUGAUUCUUUUAGACUAUGUCUUUCUUGUGCAUUUCAAUCUUUGCAAUUUAAUAAUUGUUUUUUAGAUUGGAUUACAUGUUUAGUUCUGGAGAGGCCCCCUAAUCUCGAUUCGAGGCCUGACAUGUUGUAUUUGUACUCGAUUUCGGGAAGUUAGCAAUUUCAUAUUUUAUUACACCAUUGUUUCUUUGAUUGGAUUUUGAUUCUUUUAGGUUAUGUCUUUCUUGUGCAUUUCAAUCUUUGCAAUUUAGUAAUUGUUUUUUAGAUUGGAUUUACAUGUUUAGUUCUAAAGAGGUCCCAUGAUCUCGAUUCGAGGUCUUCCAAGUUGUAUUUCUAGUUGAUUUCGGGUAUUUAGGAAUUUCAUAUUUUAUUACACCAUUUUUUAACUCAAUCAAAUCAUAUUUCAACUUUUGUCACACUAUUUUCCAACUCAAUUACAUUAAAAGCAAACUUGUGAGAAAUAAAACUUGUGAGACCCCAUCAACCCCUGCUCCUACUAAUAUUACACAUGUAGAUUAUAUUUUAUUUAAAAGGAAAAUUGCCAAAUUAGAAUUAGUCAAAAUAGUCCAUCAAAUAUAACAAAAGAAAAGUAUCCUUUUAGUUCGCGAGCUCAUUUUUUGAUCGGUUUUCUAGCCAAAAAGUGUGUGCCUUUCUUAGGUACCCACAAUUUAAAUAGCAAAAUGGGAAAACAAUUUAUUUUCUUCCACAAAAAGCACAUGACAAUCAUAUGAUCACCUCCUGAAUAGGGAAUCCUAAUCGAAGAAAGAGUAAACUACAGGUGACCUUUACACUUUCUUGUUUGAUUAUGGGUCUGGUGGAUAUGAAUUAAGGUCCUUUGCUAGAAGUGUGGUUAUGUCCUUUGCUAGAAGUUUGAUUAUGAAUUAAGGUUCUUUUAUUUAAGAGAAACAAAUUGCGUUUCAAUUUUGCCGUUGAAAUUGUGGGAACCAGAGAGAUGGUGCACUUUUAGGCUUAAAAAUUGAUUGAAAGUGAGUUUUGGGACUAAAGGAGCAUAUUUUUUAUAAUUAUUUUGAUGCUUAUAUCAAAACCAUAUAAAUUUACACCGAAUGUAUUAAAAAUUAUACAAACUGAUAGAAUUUACCUUGCUGUAAAAAAAAAAAUGGCUACCAAACUAUUUCUUGUCUCAAUUUAAUCACUCAACUAAUUAAUCAAUAUACCGUUGGUUAUUUCAUCGGAUUUUGCUCUUAGUUUUACAAAUAAACCAAACACAUGCAAAUCAAGUGCCAAAAUUUAAGGGUAAUCAUAUCCACUGAGUUUAUCAAUCCAAAUCUAAAAAGUCCAACAGCCACUAAUCUAUUCCCUUCGUACUCUUUUGGCCAUUCAAAUAUUUUUUGUUUCAAUAUAAUCACUAAAGUCUUAAAUCAAUAUACUAGCAGUCAUUCCGUCAAAUAUAUCCGUUAAUGCUAAGGAAUGAGUUCUAUGUGCAUUUCACAUACCCAAAACAGGACAAUUAUGUAAGGUCAAUUUUUUAGAUUUUUUUCCCGUUAAUAUUACAAAUGCAGGUAAUAUUAUAAUAAAGGAAAAAUUGUCAAAUUGGUCCUUUUCAUUUUUGAUAAAUUUUUUAGCCCCUCGCAAUUAGAAUUAGCUAAAAUAGUCCCUUAAAUAUUAAAAAAAAUGCAUCCUUUUGGUCACAGAGCUCCUUUUGGUAAAUUCCUUCUUGUACCUUGACAUUAAAUUUUAUUUAAUAUGAAUGACACAUAUUAUCUAGACGUCCAAAUAAAGGAGAUCAUUGUAACUUUUCAAAAACUUGAACGGAGCAACAUGAAAUUGUUAUAAACCUCAAAGGAGUUUUACAUAAAUACCCCACACGUUUACAAGCAGAUUUUAUCAUGCUAGUACCUUUAUAAUCGAAGAAAGCCAGUACACUCAGUGCCACAUUGUUCCCUCUCCCUCUCUCUCGUUCUUCUCACAAGUUGUCUUGCGUGCUGCUUUGCUUCUCAGGACACGUUGAAGCUUUUGUUCUUUGCUAGCUAGGUAAUUAUUGUAUGCCUGGCUCUCAAUUUCUCUGGUCCACUUUAUUAAUUGAUUUUUUUUUUUUUUGUAAAAAUUUUAGUGUAUCAAUUUCAGACGUUUGUUUUUCUUCGUUAUUGGAAAAUCCAGCAGCUGUUUGCAUGCUAAUAUAUGGGAUUUCUCUUUUGCUUAGAUCUGGAACACUUGCCGUCUAGCAGGAAAAAAUUAGCACCUGCAUAUUAUGUGACCCUGAAAAAAAAAAACAUCUUUCUUUCUGUCCUCCAUUAGUUUGGCACUAAAACUUGAGUAAGGUUAACAGGAUUGUGCGGUACAACCAACAAUAAUGGAGGGGGAGAAGACGGAUACAGAGGGAAAGGUGGAGACAGAGAAGAUGAACAAGGAAUUUGCCAUGGCAUAUGAUGUCCAAUCUAAAAUAGUAGAGGAUCUAUUUGGGGAUCACCUCCAUUUGGGCUUCUAUGACUCUAGCUCCGUUAUCCCUGGUUCUGAUGUCAAUUCUGCUCAGACUCGCAUGAUCGAGGCGGCCCUCCGUUUUGCCUCUGUAUCAGGUAUAAUAUGCAUUCGCAGUUUGUGUGGAGUUUUCUUCUCUUUCUCCAAGUGCAAAUGCUGCAUGUGGGUGUAGGGUUUAAAGUUCCGACGUACAAUCUAAAGAGGAAUUUUAAAUCCCUUACUUUGAAUUGACCAAAUUCUACACUCAAUAGUACAUGCAUAUGUAAACGGGGAUAAUCAAUUCGGGAAGGAUAAAAACAGAAGCAGCAUUUUGUUUUUCUUUUUUCUUUUGGUCUUUACUUUUCUUUCUCAUUUUAGUAGCUUUAGUUUUUCUUUGGCUACAUUUGGAAUGGAUUUAGGGGUAUUUGGCUAUUCAAAAGGUUAGAUUACAAAUUGGUCAAAUUACAGGAUUAGUUCUAUAAUUUGGACAAGCCUUAUGCAAUGUGAAUAUACAUUAAGCAUAGAAUUUGUUUUUUUCUGGGCAAUCAUGUGCAAUUUCUGUAAUUGGUACUCUGGGUUUAGGUCAUGCACACAUUGAAAAAAGAAAUGGUUUGAUUGCUUUUCAAUGUGUCUAUUUACUUUCCUAGUGAAACAUCCUCCUCAUAAUUUCUAGUUUUUUCUCCUCUCCAACUUUGUCAUUUAAUAGUCAACCAACCGGCAUUAUUUAUCAUGAAAUAAUAUGCAGAGGAUCCAUCUAAGAAACCAAGAAACAUACUUGAUGUUGGAUGCGGUAUUGGUGGCAGCACCAGGUACCUAGCAAGUAAAUAUGGUUCUCAAUGUAAAGGCAUCACCCUUAGCCCUUUUGAGGCUGAAAGAGCUCGUGUUCUAACAGCUGCCCAAGGAUUAGAAAGCCAGGUCUGUAUGAACUCUCCGUGUUACAAUUUUGAAAGAUUUGCAAGAAGUUAUCAAUUGUUAAAUCACCCUUUAUGCAAGUGCACAAUGAGUAAAAAUUUUCAUUCCUCCAUUUCUUAAGGAAUGAUGACAGAGUGCAUACAACUACUAUGCUUUCGAAAAAAAUUGUCAACAUUUUGCAGUAUAAAGACACACUUCUUAAUUAGAUUUUGAGUAUAAAAGAUCCUUGUAUUGACUUUUGGAUAUCAUGUAGACCUUGUUGUGCACAUUUUGCAGUAGAUUUUGUUAAAAAAGCUACUACAAUUAACGUUCUUAGCGAAUAGUUUGAAUCAUUAUCAUUAGUCACAAAUUGGACUCGCCCUUUUUACAUAUUUUCCCCAAUCUUUUAAACCAUAUAAAGCAAGAGAUGCAUUUUCAUAGAAUACUAGAUGCUAACCCAUGCACAUGCACAUAUUUAUAUUACCUGUUUAUUUCUAUGAGAAAGAUAAUAGACAAUGAAUGAAGUUACAUAUGAACUAAACAAAUUGAUCUGAGGAAAGUUAAAGCAAAAAUAUUUCAACAACAACAACAAACAAUUUCAAAGCGUGGAAGAAAAAAAGAAAAGUUUCAGCAUUCCUGAGGCUAGCUCGUGAAUGGUCCCAAAGCCUCCCCACUUUUGGUUCAAGAAAGCGAAACUGAUACUCCAAAGUUUCAAGAAUCCUAAUUUGUGAUAGUUUUGUUUUGAUUACCCAUCCUCACCUUUACUUUUAUACACUAAAAAUGCAAAAUUUUUAAAUCCUAAAUUUUAGCGGAUAAAAUUAUCUCAUGAUAGAAUUGAAUUCAAAUAUGUAUUAUCAGUAAUCUUAGGUAAUGAUGAUAACUCUUGGAUUUGGAUACACACGUAUGUGCAUUCAUAUAUAUAUAUAUAUAUAUAUAUAUAUAUAUACAUACAUACAUAUACAUAUAUAUGUGUGUGUGUGUGUGUGUGUGUGUACACAUAUGCACAUAUACACACAUACAUCUAACUAUAUAAAAGCGGGAGUUGGGUUAUGAGCAAUGUUUUAAAACCCGGACCGUCAAUUGAACCGGUGAGGUGAAAGGGUCGAGGUUCAACCGAUUGGACCCGUUCAACCUCGGUUCAAUGAAUUUUUUUAAAAAUAAUUUAUAUAAAUAUAUAUAUGCACAAAAUAAGACAUGCAAUGGACUAAUUUAAAACUGUAUAUGAUGAAAAGUUCACUAUUUUUGAAUAAUUUGGAUUUUCAAAAAUGAAUUUUUUAAGUUAUAAGUUAAAGCAAAUAAAUUUCAUCUCAAUUUCAAUUAUAUCUACCCAAAAAAAUCUUAAAUCCAAUCCAAAAUAUCACAAUAUUUUGAAAUUAUACAAAAUUCACUUCUAUGAGAAUUUGACAUUGUGAACUUAAAUUUUAAUUUACGUCUUUGAGAUUUAAAGAUUGUAAUUUAAAAAAGAAAGUUUGGAGUUCGAAAGAAGUUAAGAGAAUUGAAAAUAGAAAUGCAAACUUGAUAAGAAACAAAAAAUGAGAUAAAAGUGAGUGGUUGUGGCAUUAAAUAAUUUGGGUUAAAGAAAAAUAAUUCUUUUUUAACUUUUUCCAAUUUAAUGGACAAAAACAAAAUUAAAAGAUAGAAGAAAAUAUCAAUAAAUUAAAACUAAUGAGGUUCGAUUAAAAAUGAAGUGACAAAAGAAAAGAUGAGAGAGAAAGAAAGAAAGAGUUGAAGAUUAAAAAGAAAAAGUCAUGAGAGGAUGGGGUUUUGUAAGAAAAAUGCAAAAAUAAAAUAUAGAUGUUUGUUUUAUAUAAAUAAGUUAUCAAAAAAAGCAAAUAAGAUGUGAUGGUGCAAUGGUUACUACAUUGAUUUUCUAUUGCAAAGGUUUUGAAUUCGAAUCUUGAUAGAAGCAUUUCGCAAAAAAGUAAAAAAAAAAAAAAAAAAAGGAAAACUCAAAACCGGUUCAACACGAUUCACCGGUUUUCACGGUUUUGACCGGAUUUGACUGGUUCUCUGGCAAAGUCAACCAAAGCAUAGAACCGGACCAGUGCCAUGGCCGGUUCACGGUUCAACCGGUCGAACCGGCCGGUCUGGUCCGAUUUUCAAAACAUUGGUUAUGAGUAGUAAUUCUUUGUCAAGUGGUUAUCAAGUAAUUUUCAGCAACUUUGAUGGCUUUUGUAUUUGUUGGUUUUGUUGACUUUUCGGGAACUCCAUUUGCAUCCGUCAUUGGCAGUUCCUCAUGUCAUUAGGAUUAGUCUUAGUAGUCCUUCAUUUUUUGCUAAUGCCAUUUCCUGUUUCUGCCUUACUCGGAGGCCAGAAGAAGAUGCAUGUUAUAGUUGUAUGGUUUAUUUGUAAUUUAUUUGUUCUUUGUUCCUCUUUGUUUGCAUCAUUUUCGCCUAUUGUGAUCCGCAGAGAUAGGCCAUCUUAGCUAUUCUUGACUAUUAGUUUAGCCUUAGGUUUGUCUUAUUUUUCAGUUAUGCCAUUCCUUUUUUCCUUCGUUCAAGCUGCAUGCUAUAGUUGCUUGAUUGUUUGGUAAUUUUGUUGUCUUCUGACCCUAUUUUUUGUUGACUCAUUAUUCACUUUUGUGGAUGCCUCACUUUUUGUUUCUACAUGUUUCUUUGAUUUAGCGGAUAGUGAAAUAAAUUUGUUUGGAAAAGAAUGCACGCCUAAGUGGAUGCAGUGUUCAAUUUUCAUGUGAUAACUAUUGCUGUGACUAUGCAUGUAACCAUGCUCCGGACUGUCUUCCAUGGAAUUUCCAAAAAUUGAGCUGGACGGAAAAAAAAGGGCCGGCAUUUUCAUCAAAAGUUAAUGAAAUAGUUUAAAGUGUCAAAAGGUUUUAACCAAAAAUAGUUUCUAAUUUUGCUGAUUUUUAAAAUGUACAAUUAUAAAGAUAUAUUAGUCUAUAUAUUUAUAUUUAGUGUGCAUAAUUAUUAGAAAAUUUUUAGUACCCUUAUUUUUAUUAUUAUAGUUUUCAUUCUAUUUAUAUGUGUGUGCUAAUUUAUGAGCUUAUUUUCUUUUUAAAAAAGACAAUAUCUAAGGAUAUAAAAGGGGAGAGUUGGGUUAUGAAUAGUGCUUUUUGGUCAAGCGGUUAUGCUGCAAUUAUUGUUGGAUGUGGAGGCUAUUUUCGUCAAUUGGCUGUUUUGGUUAUUUCACGUUGGUGGUUUACUUUGUGCGGCGAUAAAUAAAAGUUGUGUGUGUGCUUGUUUUUCUAUGCAAUUUAAUACUCAUUGCAUUGGGUGAAGUGGUUGUCUACCAUGUUGACAAGAAACUUCUAAUUGCAUGAUUUUCAAAAAUUGAACCGAAAAAAAAGUAGAAGUCCAACAUUGUCAUCACAAGUAACGAAAAUUGGCUGUCAAGAUUUGGGACUAAAAAUGGUUUAUAAUCCUUCUACUAUUUAAGAUGCACAAUUAUUAAAAAAAAUAUUAGUCUAUAUAUACAUAUUAAAUGUAUAUAAUUAUUACAAAUUUUUUGAUGCCCCUUAUUUUUAUUGUUAGUUUUCCAUUCUAUAAGCAUAAAGUUAUUUCCGUCUUGUAUGUGAGCUAGAUGGUUAACUUAUUUCCUUUUUAAAAAAAUUAAUUUGUUAUUUUUCUAACAUAUUCGUAUUUAAUAUAUAUAAUUAAUAUAAAUUUUUUAACACAUUCAUUUUUCCUAAUGACUCUAAAUUGAAAAGCAAUGUGCUAUUUUUUUUAUUAUUUUAGUCAAACAUGUAACAUUAAUUAGAUUAUUUCUUACAUUAAAAAGCUAAAGUACUCUAAAUUUCAAACAAUAUAUAAUAUAAUUAUAUAUAUAAUACAAAAGGGAGAGUUACCCUAUGAAUGGUAUUUUUGGUCAAGUGGUUAUCCUGCAAUUAUCUAAUAAUAUAAAAUGAAGAGUUGUCCUAUGAGCAGUGUUUUUUUGUCAAGUGGUUAUCCUGCAAUUGUUAUUGGAUGUCGGGGCUAUUUUCAUCAAGUUGCCUGUUUUGUUUGUUUAAAGCAGGUAUAGUUUUGGUGCAUUUACGAGACAUGUUGAUCAAAUUAGUAAUUGGUGGUGUAAAAAGUGAAGCUUUUGAAAGUUGGUUUUUUGUGGUUAAUUAUUUGCUUUUAAAGUGUCCUUUUUUUUACCUAUGAAAGAAUUGAUAAAUUAUUGCUAGCUUUAGUGACUUUAAAAAUGGCCUUUAUUACUGUGACAUGAAAUAAAAUUGUUAAAUGUUCUGUAAAUGCACAAUUAGCGAGGAAACAAUGAAUAAAUUAUUGUUGGUUUGACAUCAUAUAAAAUUGUUAAGUGUUCUGUAAAUGCACAAUUAUUGAAGAAACAAUUAAUAAACCAUUGUUGGCUUUAGUAACUUUAAAAAAUGGAUUUUAUUACUGCGAUAUGUGGUGAUUAAUUUAACAAUGCCAAGUUCUAUGGUUUAAGUGCUUAAUUGACUUGCCAAGUCCCCCUUUUUUGUGUCAACAAUGAUUAAUACUUUUUUGGGAAUGAUUCACUUCAUAAUUUUCUAAUUAUGCUAAAUCAAAUGCAAAAUAACCUUAUACAGUUUUCUAAUUUACGCUUAUGCAUUCUAUAUAAGCGCCCUCAUGCAUUCUAUAUAUUAUUGUUCUCAUGUAUUCUAUAUAUUUCAUAAUUGUCAACCUUUAAUAAAAACGAUAAUUCUCUAAUGAUCUGCAUGAAUUAGAUAAUAACAUAGAUGUAUACUAAUAAAUCACACAAUAAAAAACAAUUAGCACGGAAAUAUUAGCCCAUGCGCAGGCCGUCUCACUAGUAUAUAUAUGUGCAUAUGUGUAUAUAUAUGUAUGUAUGUAGAAUUAAUCUUCUAUGCACUAACUAAUAAUUUAUACACUAUUAGAUUUAGAUGUUUCGCACACGUGCAAUACAUAAAUUUCAAAUUCAAAUUAAGAUUAAUUAUUAUGCAUGUCAAUAUAGAGAAGAUUAGCCAUAUGUUAUUGAUUAUGCCAAGUUUUAAAUUCAGAUCAAGUCACAUUUCAAAUAAACUUUGUAGAAUGACUCGGGACUUUCUUUCAAAUUCAAGUAAAAGCCACCACAAUGCUAGCAAGAGAACUAAGAAAGAAGAAGAUGUAAAAUCAUUAUGCAGAUGUAUAGUAGUGCUGCUUUCUUUUCCUAACAGCUACUAAAAUGUACAUAGCAGGUUUCCUUUGAAGUGGCAGAUGCAUUGAAUCAGCCAUUUGCAGAUGGGUCAUUCGAUUUAAUUUGCUGUAUUGAAUGUGAAAAUCACAUAAGCGAUAAAACAAAGGUUAUUUUUCUUCUUCUAUCCUUUACAAUUACUAUUUCUCUUUAUUUUUUUUUGUUUUUAUCAUUCUAUAAAAAAGAUUAUCUACCCUACUUGUUGAACGUAGGUAUCACGUAUAUGCAUUAAUAUAAAAUUCUGCUGAUGCUAUUUUCUUCUUGAUGAAGUUUGUUCAUGAGUUGAGUCGGGUGGCUGCCCCUGGUGCUACCAUCAUUUUACUCACUUGGUGUCAUAGGGAUCUUUCCCCCCUUGAACAAGAUUUGCAUCCAGAUGAGAAAAAGUUACUGACCCAUGUGCUGAGAAGAAAUCCUCUUAAGUGGAUUUCUACUGCUGAUUACAUAAAUUUAUUCAAGUCAUGCUCUUUUCAGGUAUUUAAUCGCGUUUACUUUUUGCGGCUUAUUUAUUCGAUCAGAAUCAUUAUUUUUCUUCAUCCCAAUAUUUUCCCCCAUUUAUCCAUGUCUCCUGUUGUUAAUUAGGAGAUCAAGUAUGCAGACUGGUCUCCACACGUUGCUCCAUUUUAUGCAGAAAUGAGGAAGAUAACGUUGUCAUGGAAGGGAAUCAUGUCGUAUGUUAGACAUGCUGGUAAGCAUUGUGUAUUUCACUCGCCUAUAUAGCCGAUUCAUUACCAUUAUCUACCUUGUAAUUGUAUGCUAUAAUUCUUAACCAUUUCUCCAUCUUUUCUCAAUUUCAAUUAAUAGGAUGGAGCCAAAUGGGCAUCAAGUUUCUGAUGAUGCCGUCAGUGUUCGACAGAUUCAAAAAUGGUCUGCUUAAGUAUUGCAUUCUUACGUGCCAGAAGCCUCAGUAGUUCAGUUCCAGUGAUGUUUAAUGUCCAUGCAUAAAUAUCACUCCACAGUCGAGUGAUAAUUCCUUGUUUUUCUUUCUCAAAAGCUAAUUUGUACUUGUAUUGUUCCUCAAAACGUGAGAAUUUUCCUUUUUCUUUUCUUUGGAAGAUCUACUAUAUUGUGCAUAUGCGUUGCACAAGACUACAGGUAAUUUGGAGUUUCCAAUAUCAGAACUAGCAGACUUGGUCCACCUAAAAUUGAUAUAAAAAGAAAAGUUCCAGUCGAGUUGUCAAAGCUGAGGUGUAACUUUUAGUUGCAUAUUAAUCCAAGUUUUUUUACGUGUGUGUUACUGUCGUUUACGAAAAAAAAAAAAUCCAAGUUUUUUUACUUUUCUUUUAAGAAAAGCAAAUUGGUCUAAGUUGAACUCUCUUAAUUUUCUCAAAAUCUGGUCUCCAACGGCUGGAGAGGAGAAAACCAAAUAAAAAUGUAGAAAAAUUAAGAUGCCAAGAUAAAUGAAAAGAGACAUACCCACGGCCACGGAUGGUACACAGCAGUGUCGAAAAGAGACAUCCAAUAAACUCUUGGGGUUAUUGCUAUUUAUACAGAAAAUGUGACGUUGGAUUGAAGUUUUUCUGAGAAAAUUUUUUACCUUUUUAGUGAUCACAUUUUCUAAUAAUCUUUUCCUCAUAGAUACUAAACAUAAAAAAGAACUAAACUAUGAUAUUUAUAAAUGAAAAAUAGUAAUAUAAUAAAAAGUGGGAAAUGAGACAGAAGAUCCGUUGUGACCAUUAAUUGUAAUCAGACAAAAACAUAAUUAGAUUACAAAACAAUUUGGUUUUGUUAGGAUACUUUUGUUCGGCUUUCCUUUACAUGUUAGGAAAAAACACAAGUGAUAAAAUCCAAACGUGUAAUUAGCAAAUAUGUUAACUUUUUUAUAAAAAGAAUUUAUAUUGAAGUAGUUUAGAGUUGACUAUUUGUCUAUCUAAAAUGUAACAUCUAAACUACUUUAAAUUAGGCAUUUACAUAUUAAAUCCGAUUUGGUACAAAGGUGAAAAAAUUUGAGAAAAAAAUAAGUAAAUAUAAAGAGCCAUGAGUCAAGAAUUUCACAAAGAUGACUUAUCUUUAAUUUCUUUCCCAUUUUCAUGAUAAAAUUACCAUUUUAUUGGUAAUUAAUCCACUUUAAUUCCAUUAUUUAUUAAACUGUUCUUGUCUAAUUAAAGUUUUCCGUUUGCUCUCCAAAACUCACUGUAUAAAUGUGAACUUAUAUUUCAUUGGGCGUUGGGCUCUCUUGCAAUUACUUUGCUUUCAUAUUUUAGAUAAUUCCUUACUUUCAAUUACAAACUUAAGUUAAUUUUUAACAGCACCAAAUGUUGCAUGACAUUAUUAUGUAUAAGGCAUUAUUUUGAAAAUCUGGCGGUUCCAAUUUUUUGUUGAUUGGGCUUGUUAACGUUACUUCAUUGCUGGUUUUGUUGUUCCAAUUUUUUCAUUUACCAAGUUAAAGAGAACUAGGACAUUAGGGAACAAGUGAAGAAAAGAAUUGGUUAAUAUUUAGACAGUGACUCCACUAUCUCCAUUUUUCUUCCGUUAAAAUUUUUAGUUUGCAUACUAACCCUUCAAUUUCUUAACAACUUACUUUCCUAAAAUCUCAAAGUUUUCCAUAUUUAACCUCAACAUCCCACAGCAUAGAAUUAAGCCUAGCUACUUUCCAAAUUCUUGAAACAGAAUUUUGCUGCACAUUGAUUGCGCACCUACUUUCUCCAAGUAUAUAUAAAUAGUGUAUGGCUGUGGCUAUCAAAUCUCUCACUGUUUGUUCCUAACAAAGAGACAUAGAGUAAGUACCUAAUGGAGGCAAGAAAGAUUAAUACUGUUGCUCCUAUCAUGGUGUUACAGCUUCGGGCAAUUGAAGACUCAACAGCAGACAAAGCCAUAAAAGAGCCACCAGCGGCUUGCUUUGCCUUUUCUUUUAAGAAAAGCAAAUUAGUCUAAGUUGAACUCUCUUAAAUUUUAUAAAAAAUGUAAAUUAGAAAAGAAAGUAUUGAUUAUUCAAUACUUGGAAUAAUCAAUACCACGUAUAAUAUAUGCAAAAUGGGCACUUAUAAACUGAGUACAUAGAAAGCUUAAGGGUAUUUUUGUUUUCAAGUAGAUAUUGAUAAUAGAAUAUAGUGGCAAAAUGGCCAGCUGACCAAGGCUCUCCCAUAUACCGAAUAUAUCGAAAGUUCAAGAAGUCGAAGGGUAUUUUUGUUUUCAAGUAGACACUGAUAACAAAAUAUAUACUAAUUAUCGGGAAGGUAAAAAAAAAAAAUCACUAAAUCUUCACGUCGAGUAUGGAAUCAGGCUUUCACUCGAAAGCUUCCAUAUGUGGUUUCUCCCCCUUGAAGUUAGCGUCAUUACCAUAGUAAAAGAACGUGCAUUCAAGCUUUGACUCAAAAUCUUUCAUUUGAAGUUUUUCCUUCUUCUCAUUUGUGUCAUCGCCAUUGUUAAUGAGUACGGAUUCAUGUUUGGACUUGAAGUCCUACAUAAGCGAUUUCUCCUCCUUAUCACUCUGCUAAAUGAUUAAUAUGGAUUCAGGCUUUGACUCAAAGUCUCUCAUAUGCGGUCUAUCCUUCUUUGAAUUGGCAUCAUCUGCGUGGUAAAGGAAGGUGGAACCAGGUUUUGACUUGAAGUCUUUCAAUGUAUUAGAGUGAAGGUGCUAAUUUUGUUCAGUAAAGUUCUCAGGGUUGAUGGCGGGUUCAGAAUGUCCCUGGGAUCCUUUCUUGCUUCCAUGAAGCAUGCAAGCGGCACAUUCAGGGCAAAUGACAUAAUUGAAGAAACAAGCAUCAUUGUGUAUAGGUACCUAAACAAAUAAGGGAGGUAUGUUGCACACCAAAUUAUAGCCUUGUUGGUCUUGCUUAUCUUAAAGUGUCAUUCUACACAGGUGGACCUGCUUAAAAAAUUUUUACGUAAAUCUAGGACCAUUAAUUUCUUGCUCGUCAACCUUACCUACUAUACCAACACCUUCUCAACCUAUCUCUCUACCUCUAUAGUGGAGACAUUGGAGAUGAAUUCCUCUAACCAACGAAAGUAAACAGUUUCAAAAGUCAAGUUACAGGACAUUUAAGUUUCUUAUAGCCCACAUCGGAAUGUUUUGAAAAGGAAAGCUUUAUGAACAUACAACUACAGAGCCACACGUCAGUUUUGCUCUCCUUAAUCUGAAGAGUUUCCGAUACCUCGGUCGGGAUAGUUAGAGUUGAGGAUUAAUGCGUGAAAAGGAAGAAGAAGGCAUUUUCUCAGGUAGAUAGUUUUAAUUGAGAGGAUCAUAACAAUGCCGAAUAAUUAACGUGAUUUAAGUGGGCGUAAGUUCUAACAGUCAAAGAAUCAUUGCUUAUGAACUACUACUUCAAGUAGAGGAUUGAUGUUUGAGAAAUCUUACCAGGGCAGUUGUAAAGAAUGCGACGAGAGCAACAUAUGAACCCAUCCUCCCUUUGAAUAGCCUCAAAAUGUGACUUUGAUAGUGGAAAACUCUUGGGGUUAUUGCUAUUUAUACAGAAAAUGUGACUUUGGAUUGAAGUUUUUCUCAAAAAAUUUUUUACGUUUUUAAUGAUCACAUUUUCUAAUAACUUUUUUCUUACAUACACUAAAUCGCUACAGUAAUUUUUCUAAAAAAAAAAACUCUAAAAAUAGCAAUCCAAACGGCAAGAGUAUAGCAUUGAUGACGUGUCUAGUUGGAUGGCUUCCACAAUUUCCUGUCUUGGUAUUCGUACACCAAUCCAUUACCAACAAUUUUGCAUUUGUCUCUACGGGCCGAAAUUUCCUCAAGUCAUCCGUCCAUUUGAAAUAACACUACAUUGUUAGUGUUUUUAAGACUCAACUUAGCUCAUAGAGAUAUUCGCCAGGUAAUGAUGGAUAAAAACCUUUGAACCCUCCUAUUUGGCCCUUCUCCCUGAUAGAAGCUCUCCUAUGGAAAAGAAAAAAAAAAGACAGAAGCAAGUGGCUAUUUUGAAAAUUUACAGGUGCGUGAAUUUUACAGCAACGAAUAUUGACGUGCAGUUGGAGCCAUCACAAUUUUUCAGUGGGAGCACAAUUCUCUCUGGCGCUAUUACUCAUUAGAAAACAAAUUUAGGCAUCAAAAUACGCACCACCAAACUAUUGGAACAUUACUUGUCAAGGGAGAAUGUGUUCGCUGCCAAAAAUCUCUAUUUUCAGAAGACAAAAAUUGACUUCAAGUGUUUUUAAUAACAUCGCUCUGGCACAAUUAGAUGCCCAUAGUUGACGAUCCAGACAAUUGAAAUGUCAUUUGGGAGUGUAUGUUCAUCUCAUUGAUUUGAAGCACAUAAAUGGCUUGCCUUGCUCUACUUUGCUCGAUUAAUAUGGUUUUCUUUUUACCGGUACUUCGAAAUUCGAACCAGACCAAUUGGUUUAAUUGCUUGAACUCAGAACCCUUUAUUCCCUUAGAUGUUCAGUUCAAGUUUACUGGAAAAAAAAUCAAUUUUUUCUUCUUUUUUGUUGCAUUCUCUCUUUCUUUUUUAUGAGCUUUUAAGUUUAUUAAUUUCUUUGCCUUGAGUUUGAUACUCAAAAAUUUUCACCAUAAUAGUUCUUUUUGAGCUAUGGAUAAAUUCAACAACAAUAAAUGCUCUCAUAAAUUUCUUCUAAAUUUGAUUACAGUCUUGAUUUUUGCCAAAUAAGGCACAUGGAUUUAGUUCUAAACCCGUCUUUUUUAUUUAAAAUUUUAAUGUUGUUAUGCUAUUUUAUGUGACAUAUAAUUCAGGCAUAAUUAUGACAUCUUCCUAGAAUUUAGCGCCAUUAGAUGCUCAUAAUUGAGGAUCCACACAAUUUGAAAUGUCGAUUGGGAGUGUAUGUCCAUCUCAUUAAUUUGAAGCGCGCAAGUGGUUGCCUUGCACUACUUUUGCUCGAUUAAUAUGGUUUUUGCCAAAAUUUUGAAAUUCGAACCAGGCUAGUUGUUCAAUUGCUUGAAACAAGAACCCUGUACUCUGUUAGAUGCUAAGAUCUUUUUUUUUGCAAUAAAAUACAAACAAUUUCUUCUUCUUUUUUGUGUUGCAUUUUCUCCUUCUAUUUUAUGAUCUUUUAAGUUUUAUUAAAUUUUAGGGAAAAUGGCCAAUUUAAUCCUCAAACUUUUUUACUUAAAUCAAUUUCAUCCUUCAUUUUUUAUUUAGAUGCUUUUAGUCCUUCAACUUAAAUUUAGUAGCCAAUUUCAUUCUUUUGUGGCGGUACUACUUUUUGACACAAAAAUCAUCACCUAAUUAAGGGUAAUAUAGGAACUACAAGUUAAAGGUCAAAACAAAAAAACAGAAAAUUGCUAAGGAGUAAAGCAGAAAACAUUUCAUCUUCUUCAAUAAGCAGCUGCAUCUCUGAUUCUUCUUCGGUUAGCUCCUGCCAAACUUCCAAAAACCAUAUGUUUUUUUCUUCUUUAAAAAAAAAAUCUUCAUCAACAUUGUUUUUGUACAUCAUCAUGUGUCUUGUAAUUUUAGUUUACAAUUAAGACUUAUCAACAUAUAAAAUCUUUUGGAUAAACUCAAGAAAAGUAUUCAAAGUAGCAAAUGGAUUAGCUGUUUUCUAAGCAUUCCCUUGUCGAUAGCUACCUCAUCAUCGUUGCAUCAAAGCUUGGAAAAUAACUUCCUUAAAUCAUUAUUUUAAAUUGCAUUUUCACUUUGAACUUUAGGCUUACAAUUCAGACUUUUUCUUCGACUUCUUUAUCCAUCCCCUCCUGCUGCAUAGCCCCUGUCGACAAUUAACUCCGAUGGCAGUAGUAGAUUUUGCUGGGGAAACGAGACUUGACAGUAUUGGGGUUCCAAAAAAUAAAUGAAUUAGCAGCUUUGAGUAAGGUUUCGGGGAUUUGGGUUUGGAAUUCCACUGGUGGAUUGGCUUUUGCAGUUUUGUGGGGCUUCGGCAUUAUCCAGAGGUGGAGAAGAAGAACAAUUUGGGUUAUUGCACCUUUUGUUUUACUCCCCAAAUUAAUGGAGAAUUGGUUUUCUCCCCAAUGUAACAAAAACUAUUUUGCAUUCAUUGUUUUAAAAGUGAUCCCUAUUUCAUAAUUCCUAUGUUGCCCUUAAUUGAUGGUGAAUUUUGUGCCGAAAACAAUUUUACUGGCGGCGAUGCUGCAAAAGGAUGAAAUUGGUUACUAAUUUUAGUUAAAGGACUAAAAUUACCUAAAUAAAAGAGGAAGGAUCAAAUCGCCUUAAGUUAAAAAGUUGAAGGACUAAAUUGGGCAUUUUCCCUAAAUUUUAUUGCCUAGAGUUUGAUACUCAAAAGUUUUCACCAUAAUUAGUUCUUUUUGAGCUAUGGAUAAUUUCAACCGCAAUAAAUGCUCUCAUAAUUUUCUUCUGAAUUUGAUUACAGUCUUAAUUUUUUAUAUUUUUUUCAAAUAAGACUUAUGGAUUCAGUUAUAAACCCAUUGUUUUUCUUUGAAAUUUAAAUGUUAUUAUGCUAUUUUAUGUGAGACAACGAAGCCCGACCUAAUUAUUAAGACGCUUUACCUAUAGUCGAAAAGUCAUGGGCUUGAGUUAUCAAGGAGGUAAGUAGAGAAUUAUUAUUUAUCCUCUUCUAAGAACAAGAAAAAAUGCUACUUUAUGUGAGAUAUGAUUGAUAAAUAUUUAUGACAUCAUGAUGACCUUAUGAUAAUUUUUGGUUUUUCAUAAUAAUGAACCCUAUGAGUGCCAUUCAAGUGGGAUAGAAACUCAAAUUGAUGGCAUUUACAAGUGCCAUUAAAAAAGUGAUAUUUUAUAAUAACUUUUCUUAGAUUGAACUUAAUCGCAUUAGAGAACUGCAUCCUCAUGCAACAAUUAUCUAUGCUGAUUACUACAAUUCUGCAAUUUGAUUCUAUCGCUCACCAAAAGAAUUCGGUAUUGCACUAUCUUUUUACUUCCUAAUUUUGUCACAACUCAAAAUAGUACUCAAAAGUUUUAUUUAGAUACUUUGUCCUCUAGACUUCACUAGUUUAUGUCAUAUCAUCACCUAAUCCGCAUGACCCUCAUGCACCUUUUUUUUGAUAGAAAGAUCAUUUCAUUCAAUAAAUCCGCACUAAUAGUAGAAAAUACAUUAAACGUAACACAAAUACAUAUGGAUUUGAAAUCAAUAGAUAUAACAGGUCUAAAAAAUCAAUACAAAUAAAGAUAACAUUGAUGCUCUUAUAUAUCUUCCAUCCAGAUGAAUUAUUGUAGUUCAAUACAUCUAUAUAUGUCUUUUGACAGUCAGAUCUUAUUAAAACUGGUUCAAAUUCAAAGAAAAAUUUAGAUCUUAUAAUAAUGAAGAAAUUGCAUAAAUGCGAAACUAAAUUCUAGAUCUAUAAAAAGUAGAUAAAGUUGAAUUAACAUCUGUGCACCUUAAAGUGCAAAGUACAUCUAACGUAAAGUUGAUUAACUCUUGCAGCCUCUUGGGGAGCUGGUGGUCCACAUUAUUUUAAAUCAUCUAUGGGUUGUGGCGACCAACAAACAACUGGCUGUGUUGAUAUCCUUUGGCACAUAUUUGCUGGGACGGUAUGCAUUAGACAGAAGCAGCCAACAGAUUAAUAGUUAAGGCUCUAUUUGAAGGACCAUAUUCAACUCCUGUCAUUGAUUUACAACAAAAUAGGUUAUUAGUGUUAACAAGAGUUGUCACUUAAUUUAAAUAUCGUCACUGAAACAAAUCAGUGACAACAAUUCAGUCGUUAUGCUGCCGACACUGAACCAUUGUCAUAGAUGACACCUAUUGAUAUGUUACAAAAAAAGUUGUCACUUCUAUAUAAUGACGACCUCUUAUUGUCAAUAUUGCAAAAGUCUUUAGUGACUAUUGUUUUUGCAAUUAAAUCAGCUAGGUUGUGACUGUUGUUGACCUAUUGAUCAUCACUAUUAGAAAGUGACAUUGACAAGAAGUCAUCACUGUGUUUGAAACAGCAUUAAUGAUGACUUGGCCUCGUCCCAUUUGUCCUUAACAAUAAUAGCAAGUGAAAGGUGCUCUGUUGUCACUCCAUGUAUUGCUGAUAACUUCAAAGCUGUCAUGCAAUCCCUGUUUUCGGUGACAACUCAAUUUUUGUCGAUUAUGCAGUUGUGUUUCAGCUACAUUUGCACCUUACUAGAAAAACCAAUAAACCAAGUCCAAAUUUAUAGGGACUAACAUGAAACCAUAAAUGUGUACUAAGAAAACUAGCAAUUUAUUAGUGAAUUAACACGAAUCCAUGAACCAAAUUCAUAAAAACAUCUAUUUCAUCAAAGCAUCCAAAUCGAUGUACAACAUUGAGUUAUUGAUAUUCUAGUUUUUAGGUAGUUUUUGAAUAGUUGAAAAAAAUAUAUUUUUUUAUGUUUAAAAGAUAAGGUUCAAUUUCACAAACGUUUCUCUUAUUUAUAAAUUGUAACAAACUUUUAUUUCCUGUAAAAUCUAUAAACAGAAAAGAUAAACACAAAGCAUAAAUGUUACCAGUGACCCCCUAAAAUUGGCUAUCAUAUCUGGAUAGAAAUUAACCUUCAACCAAGUUUGAAAUCAAACUGUUCAUUGGUCCAAAAAAAUAAUUGGGUCAAGAAUUAUUGGUUCAACUAUUCAGCUGAACAUAAUUGACUCGUGAUGACAUGAAUAUGUCAUAAAUGUUUUUCUUCUAUAUAUAUAUAUAUAUUCAUUAUUACAAAUUUGCAAGUAUUUGUAGAUAGUUCACUCUGAUGUAAAAAAUGUUCACUUCAAUCCUUUUUGCAUCUUUUAACCAUUGAAACUCAAAAAUAACUUUUUAAAAACUUUUUUAAGCAAAAAUUAGAGUUAUAUAAAGCAUUUUGUCUAAAUUUUGACUAAUUAAAUACAUAACAGUAUAAAAGAAAGGUAUUAAAGAAAUUAAAGCCAAUAAAAAAAUAAAAUACAUUAAAGGGUUACAGAAGAUAUUGUAUUAGUUAGAGGGAGGGUUAAGUUGGGUGGUAAGGUGGGAGGAGUUGUAAGUAAAAGAUUUUGGAUUCAGUCUUCUGCCUUACCAAAAAAAAUUAUUGUAUUAGAUGUAUAUAUAUGCUGAGCAAUAAUUAAGAUGUAAUAAUAUUCUUUUCAACCCUCACUUUUAAAACGAAACAAAUUCAUCCCUGACAUUUAAAAUUGAAUCUAUUACAUCCCUAAAUCCAACUUUCAAUUUGAAUCAAACCAUCCAGUAACUCGGUAACAAAUUUGGGGGAUAGAAUUGAUACAUAACUUAGUCAAUUCCAUCAUAUUCACAUGACAUUUAUUGAACCAAAAAAGGAAAAAACAAUUUAAAAAUUAUAAUAUAAAAAGCCGUUCUUUGUUUUGGAAUAGUAUAGUUUUUUUUUGGAUAAAUCUUUUCAUAUGUAUACCACACAUACAAAAUUUGGUGUUUAAAUUUAAAUUGAAAUGAUGUGACUGGUAUCUAGACCCAUCAGUGUAUAUAAUAACAAUGUAGAAAAGAUUAAUUCUUUUUUUUUAUUUUAUAAUUUUUAUUUUUUAUUUUUGGAUUUGUUAAAUUUCACGUGAAUAUCAAGUUGAGUUAAUCAAGUGAUCUACCAAUUGUAACCCUGAAAUUUGUAAUCGGAUUGUUAAUCAAGUGAUCUACCAAUUGUUGAAUUCAGGGAUGUAAUAGCUUUAGUUUUUAAAUGUCAAGAACGAAUUCGCUUCGUUUUAAGAGUGAGGGACAAAAAGAAUAUUUUUGUGAAAUGUAAGGGAUGAAACUAAUCAUUUUCUACUAUUGCCUAAUUGGUGGAGACAAUUAUGUACAAAAAAUUGGUAAGGUUUAAAUGCGGAACAUAACAUUAAUUAACCAAAUUUGAAAGUUUUUUUGGUCUCAAUUUAAAUUGUGCACUGAAUUGGCUCGGUCAUUAAAAACUGCACUAGUUCAACUAUUAGUUGGCUGAACUCAAUAAUUUUUCUGAUUUAGCCAAAAUUGACCAUUUUUGUAAUAUUACUGGGUUUUAGAGGCUGUUCGGUCUGACAUGAAGACUGAUCGACAAUUAAACCGAUCCAAUUGGGCGGUCCGGGCAGAGUUUUAAAACAAUGCCUUAAACAUGCCUGCCAGCUGGUCUCGAACUUUCCCACAUUUGAUAGUGCUGGGAGCUAAUAGAACCGCAGGAUGACGCAAGAGACUUAUUUCAACUUAAACGAGAGGAAAUCUGGUAGGUGUCGAACCUGUGCAAUAAUAAAAAUAAAUCCUAAUUAUCAUCACAAGUCGUCAAUAAUCAAUUCUAGGUGCUGGAGUAGGGACUUUAAAUGUGCAUUGGGUUACUUAAUCCAUCCUGUUUCUCAAGAGUUUGCUUAAUUCGAUAUUCCAGAAUUAAUUAACUGACAAAAUUUACUAACUAGUAGACAGUGGCAAGUAGGGUCGACUUCUCAGGAACUGGGGAAACGUUCGUUUCCUUUCGAGUCAAGAUAAAAGGGGGGAUUUAGAAUUUUGUACUAAUGAAUUGCUAACUGAAUAAAUUAAAUACGAAAAAGCAAUUAAUUGAAAGAAAUAAUUAGGAGGAUUCUAGUCAAGGGUUGACAAGUCGUCAGCCUGUGCAAUAAUAAAACCUGCUCAAACUAAAGUUAAUUUCUGUAGAUAGUGGUAAGCAGGGUCGAAUCCACAGGGAUUGGGUGUAACUGUUUCUUUUCAAAUCCACAGUAACAAGGGGGGUGUUUUUGUGCAGAAGGUGACAAUCAAAGAAAUUCAACUAAAAUCUAAGAAGCUACUAAAAAUUAAAUAACAAAUUACUAAAAUCAAAUGGGUGAUAAUUAAGGAUCUAACCAAGAAAUAACUUCAAGAAUGGUUCACCUAAUUGAUCAUCGAAACAAAGGCAAUUCUAAUUAUUUAUCAAUAAAUAGCUUAUAACUACCAAACAAACGAUGACAGUCAACCCCUCCAAACUGUGUCGGUGAUUAAGGUACGCCCGUUAAUCACAACUCUAAUUGAGAAAUAAUUCUAGGUACGCCCAUAAGAUUUAAUUUCUCAAUUGCCUUACGUAUUAGAGGAGCCCUAUUCUAACCAAAUAACGCACUACCAGGGUUAUUUUAGAUUAACCCGCGUAUCCCCCUGACACGAAUCUAAUCGUGCCAGUUGUUACUAUUUCAAGGCAAUUAAACAAUUACGGAUUUAACACCUCAAUUGACAAUAGAUUAUUAAAUUAACUAAUUAUCCGGAUCCAAGACAAUCAAUUAAUUAAACAACCAUAAGCACUGCAAUCAGGGAAUAUGCAAAUACCAAUAAAUAAAAGAAAAAAGAUAAAAUUAAAUCGAUCUCACAAUUUUUAGGCGAACCAGAGCCUCCGUUGUCCUUUGACUAGAGUGAGAAAAUUAAUUCAUAUUGGAUGAACAAAAUCCAUCGGAAAUUGGAGAGAAAGUCGCAGUCAUCAAUUGGAAACUGGGUAAACUUAAUUCGAUUGACCACUGACUAGAAAGAAAAGCUACAAAAUACUUGAUUGUUUGUUUGCUUCUGCUCCAUACGAAUGAAGAGAAAACUACCACUAAAAGCUAAAAAGGAGACAAGUCAAAAGCCAAGCUAAAGGACAAAAAAAACUAAGAAGAGAGUCAGUGCUCUUCCUCUGCGCAAUUCCUAUUCUAAUUAGCCUACUGCUCCUGUGCGGCGUCUGCCGCACUAGAGGAAGAAGACUCCCCGAGGUUUGCUUUCUUUUCCUUUUUUCUAAUUGCUGUCUUCGAUCAAAAUUACCAAAAAGGUCUUGCAUCUCCUUGUUCUAAGAAUGCCCUUGAUUGCCUGCUAUUUGAACUCUUUCCCGAUGACUGUCAAAUUGGCUUUGAUUGUGAUAUUUUUAUUAUACUCCCUGAAAUAAAUGCAAAUUACGAAAAGUGAGUAGAAUUUAAUAAUUAAUUCACAUUGGGUUAGGUAAUAAAGGAAAUUAAUAAUAAAAUAAAUGAUAAAAUUGCACCCUAUCAAUUCCCCCCACACAUAAACCAUGCUUGUCCUCAAGUAUGAGAACAACAAACAAACACCAAUAUUUGAUAGUGGCUAUUGCUCUAUCCACCAAAUUGCCAAGAUACCAAGAAAGACAUAGAUCGAGCCUCAGUGAUCAAGAUCCAAGAAACAUCACUCCGGUUAGUUUCUAAAUCACAAACUCCUUCAAUUCCAGGUUAACUAAUCUAAGAAGAAGGAAUGAUCGCUUAACAUCACUAGCAAAUGGUCCAGUUAUUAACCAAAAUCUCAACAUUAAAUCUAUAAAUCGGCAAGCUGACUAUUAUUAUACACUAACACCACCUUCACUUUUUAUCACAUUUUUCUUUUUUCUUUUUUUUUUUGAUUUUUUUUCUUUUUUUUCUUUUCUCAAUAGUAACAAAAGACUUAGUCGCUAGCCAUUGGAGCCUUUUGACGGGAACUCCAACAUUUUUAGAUGAAGGAGCCUGGUUACUCAACUCUUAUCGGUAUACGAUCACAUACUCAUAGAAAGUACUAUCUUUUAACGCGAGAAUCGACACUUUUAGGUGCAGAUCCCCGGUUACUCAAUAGUAACUAAUAGCGGAGUACAGUCAAGUUUAUUUAUAGCUACAAAUCAAAAACUCACUAUAACACAAGAACCAAAAGAGAACUUGCAUCAGCUAGCCUCAUUUUCAAACAUGGAGAACUAAAGUUAAUAACCGGACCACUCCACAUGAAAAAUGCCAACAAUUAUUCCCUAUACCUAGAAAAGUUAAUCAAAAAUUAGAAAAGUCAAUCAAUUACUGAAAUUCACCAGAGGGAUAUUUCUGAACUCAACCACAUUAACUUGAUACCCUUUUAUUACUAAAACUCGGUAAUAGCAGAAAUAGAGACAACAAUCCAACAUCAAACUUUGGCAUCACUUACGAGCUAAUCACUAAAAAGGAAGAAAGAAAUUGAACGAGAGGUGGACAAAUAGCAAAUUAAAAAGAAAGCAAAAACAUCUAAAAAACUAAAAAGCAGAAAAACUAGCACAGCUGCCCCCCACACCUAGAUCCUACAUUGUCCUCAAUGAAGGAAAUAAAGCAAUUAAAGUGAAAAGGACAAUGAAACUUCCCUCUCGAGUGGCUAAGGGGUCGGCAGGAACGGCGGAAGGGAACCGAUGUGGUGAGACAUCAAUUCAACCAGCAAAUGCAAAACUCUGUCCACCCAAAAUCUCAACAAAGUCUCCAAUAAUGUGCUAAAUCCAGCAAUAUUAGUUCAGGACUUUAGUAAUAGUAGCGCAGUCACAAGCCCUUGGCAGUCAAUCAGAUCUCUAACCAAAUAGAGUUAACAAGUACUCGCACCCUUACCAUUGGUGCAAAUCGCAAUUCAAAAUCAAUGAGAUUUCAAUAGCAGAGCAGAUCAGUAGUAAAGCAAUAGCCCCAAGUAUUAAUCUAGUCAGAAGAAAGAUUCUAAACCUCUAAAGAAGAGCAACAGGCGACUAGAAUUCCAAUGAAUAGAGCAAGUAGAGGAACCGUAGGUGGGAACCCAGUCCACCGAAGUCAAUAAACAAACCCAGGAAACAAAUAAGUCCGCAAAUGAGUCAACAAAUUGCACAAAUGAUCAGACCAAAAUCACAGACACUGCUCCUCCAAAUCAGCAAUAUAAACCAACAUCCAGAAUGUCCUUAAAAACUCGAUUAAAAACUACUAAUGCCAACAAGGAAUGCAGUUGCCGAAUUAAAUCAACGAAAAUUUCAACAAGCACAACACUGGCCAAGAUUCUUCCCAAAAUAUCACAGACAAUUGUUAAAAUUCUAGCCCACCCAAGAACUUCAACAAUUCCCCCCAAAAGUUUGAACAAAUGUCCCCCCCCCGGCACUGUGCUAGAGCACAACCAAUUUCAACGAAUGUGCUAAUCAAAGAGGCUAAGAGCAGGGCAACUGUCAAACACCCAAUAACCCAAAACAAUUGAACUCAAAUCCACAAAAAAAUGCAAUAAAUAUUCCCAAGAAUUUGGCCGACCCGAAAUAGCAAGUCAGAAUAUAGACAGUAGUAACAUAGGCACCAUCUCCGCGCUCUCAAUUAGGUAGGCAACAACAGAGAAUGAACAAAUCCGGAGUAAAACACACAGCUGCUAAACGAUACCAAUCAACACCAAAAAAUUUUUGAGAUCGAGGUUGAAAUACCUCUACUGGCCGCCAAACAAAGAACUGGAGUGGUAGUGGCUGGCGCGGCGGCGGCCUGGUGGUGAGAGGCGCGGGAGAGAGGUAGAGUUGCGGGUGGAGAGCUCAGGCUGCAGCUGUGGCGACUGACCGCGGACGGCGGAGCUGCUGCUGGAGUUGCAUGAUUGGGUGCGGCGGGCAGUCGGCGUUGGUAGGAGCUGUGGAGUGGGUCUGGUGGUCGGCGGACAAGCUGGAGUGGAGGCGGCGUGAGUCGCGGUGGCGUGUUGCUAGCGGCGAGCAAAGAAAGGUGAAGUUGGAGCCGAGGUGGAGAGGAGCUGGCAGCGUGGGCGGUGCGCGCGACAGCAGCUCGCGGUGAAGGUGGUGGCGGCGCGAGGGAGGAAGCGGCGUGCGCAGGUGGAAGAAAAGAAGAAACAAGGGAGAAGAAAGAAAGAAAAGAGAAAGAACAAGAAAGAAAGAAAGAAAGAAAGAAAAAGGAAGAAAAGAAAGAAAAGAGAGAAAAAAAAUGUUUUUUUUUAAAUUGAGAAACCGAGCUACAGUUGAAAAAUUUUUCUUCUUUCUUUUUUUUUAAAAAUUUUUCGUUUUUUGUUUUUUUUUGUUUUAAAACUUUUUUUUUUAAAUAAAAAUUUUUUGCAAAUGUUAUUUUCGAAAUUCAAAAUUAGAGAUUAACCGAAAAUCAAUAACCGUUCUUGAGUUUUUUUUUUGAAUACUUACCUUUCCCGCGAAUGUGAAACGGGCGCGUCAUGAGAACAAGAGAGUUCUCUGACCAUGAGCUUUUCAUGGGACUUGACGCGGGCACGUCAUGAGGAUUGAAACCCUUUCUAACGAUUCUGAUCGUGAGCUCUCUAUACGUCAUGACGCGGGCGCGUCAUGACAGAGGGACACCUACAAAUCAUCAAAACGAAAAUUGAAACUUGAAAUCAGUCAAAUUCAAGGAAAAUAUAUUUAAACUAUCACACAAAAUCAAACAAACAAUUAGAAGAAACAAUUGGGUUGCCUUCCAAUGAGCGCCUUUCUUUAAUGUCUUUGGCUAGACAUUAUCAUAUUUUGUUAAUGGAGGAUAAAAUCUUGUGGCUCGUCUCAUUGCUUCCUUCUCUAUAUAGUCUUGAUAACCCUUGUAAAUAGAGUAAUUCUUGGGCACACGAACUAUGGGGCUUCCAUGGACUAGUAAAUGGCGCUAAACAAGUCAACAAUGAUCUGCAUUCUCCACUCACUCCUCCCUCACUUGCAUUUACUGGUUCAAGAUAUUUUGCCAUCGCCACUCUUAAUUUAUUCCUGUCAUGAAAUUUAAAAUUUUCUGGUAUAAUAAAGUCAAUUUCAUUAACAGGAAUUGAAGAAUAAGAGUCAGGAGAAUAUUGAUGAAGGAAUGGAUGAGAUGUCACCGCAUUUGAAGAUUGUUCACUGAAUUCAUUCUCUUGAACAAGUUGAUACUGGGGUUCCAUUUCUUGCACUUCAGCUUCCUUUUCAACUGCAUCUUUAGAUCCGUUUCCUUGAAACUCUUGCAGUUCCAUGUCAUUUGGCGGGAUAACUGCACUCUCAUCCUCUUCAAGGUUGAUAUUGGUUUGUGAGGGCAAUUCUUCAAGGUGAGAAGCUAACCGCUCUAUCCUGGAUGUUAAUUGAUUCAUUUGAUCCGCCAAGUCGCGAAGGCUCGCUCGUUUCUCCUGAUGAAAUCGAUAUGCAUUAGCAGCUAGUAAUUCCAUCAUCUCUUCAAGAGACAUACUUGACACAGAUGAUGGUUGUUGAGACUCUUGCUGUUGAAAAUUCAUUGGCCCGGUCAUAUAAUUAAAAUUGGAAUUGUCCCACCAUUCUUGAUCAUACCCGUUUGAAUAAGGGUCAUACCACGUUUGAUAUUGGGGUGGAAAAUCUCCAAAAGUAUCAAUUGGAGCACUUAGAUUAUCUUGAAAUGCGGGGCAUGUGUCGGUUGAAUAACCUGAGGCAAAAUAAGUUCCACCAUUUGCAACAGCCCAUUGAUCAUUAGGGAAAACAUGAGUCUCAUAACUCCAUUCAGGAAUAACAUCCAGCCUAUCAUCAAAAUACGGAAUGUUAGCAGCCAUAAACUAUAUAAAAAAAAUAAGAGAAAAAUAAAUAAAAAAAUAAAAACAAGAUGAACUCAAAAAGAAACAAAUUAAUCUGGCACCAGUCUCUGGCAACGGCGCCAAAAAUUGACAGGUCGUCAGCCUGUGCAAUAAUAAAACCUGCUCAAACUAAAGUUAAUUUCUGUAGAUAGUGGUAAGUAGGGUCGAAUCCACAGGGAUUGGGUGUAACUGUUUCUUUUCAAAUCCACAGUAACAAGGGGGGUGUUUUUGUGCAGAAGGUGACAAUCAAAGAAAUUCAACUAAAAUCUAAGAAGCUACUAAAAAUUAAAUAACAAAUUACUAAAAUCAAAUGGGUGAUAAUUAAGGAUCUAGCCAAGAAAUAAUUUCAACAAUGGUUCACCUAAUAGAUCAUCGAAACAAAGGCAAUUCCAAUUAUUUAUCAAUAAAUAGGUUAUAACUACCAAACAAGUGAUGGCAGUCAACCCCUCCUUACUGUGUCGGUGAUUAAGGUACGUCCAUUAAUCACAACUCUAAUUGAGAAAUAAUCCUAAGUACGCCCAUAAGAUUUAAUUUUCCAAUUGCCUUACGUAUUAAAGGAGCCAUAUUCUAACCAAAUAACGCACUACCAGGGUUAAUUUAGAUUAGCCCGCGUAUCCCCCUGACACGAAUCUAAUCGUGCCAGUUGUCACUAUUUCAAGGCAAUUAAACAAUUACGGAUUUAACACCUCAAUUGACAAUAGAUUAUUAAAUUAACUAAUUAUCCGGAUCCAAGACAAUCAAUUAAUUAAACAACCAUAAGCACUGCAAUCAGGGAAUAUGCAAAUACCAAUAAAUAAAAGAAAAAAGAUAAAAUUAAAUCGAUCUCACAAUUUUUAGGCGAACCAGAGCCUCCGUUGUCCUUUGACUAGAGUGAGAAAAUUAAUUCAUAUUGGAUGAACAAAAUCCAUCGGAAAUUGGAGAGAAAGUCGCAGCCAUCAAUUGGAAACUGGGUAAACUUAAUUCGAUUGACCACUGACUAGAAAGAAAAGCUACAAAAUACUUGAUUGUUUGUUUGCUUCUGCUCCAUACGAAUGAAGAGAAAACUACCACUAAAAGCUAAAAAGGAGACAAGUCAAAAGCCAAGCUAAAGGACAAAAAAAACUAAGAAGAGAGUCAGUGCUCUUCCUCUGCGCAAUUCCUAUUCUAAUUAGCCUACUGCUCCUGUGCGGCGUCCGCCGCACGAGAGGAAGAAGACUCCCCGAGGUUUGCUUUCUUUUCCCUUUUUCUAGUUGCUGUCUUCGGUCAAAAUUACCAAAAAGGUCUUGCAUCUCCUUGUUUCAAGAAUGCUCUUGAUUGCCUGCUAUUUGAACUCUUUCCCGAUGACUGCCAAAUUGGCCUUGAUUGUGAUAUUUUUAUUCUACUCCCUGAAAUAAAUGCAAAUUACGAAAAGUGAGUAGAAUCUAAUAAUUAAUUCACAUUGGGUUAGGUAAUAGAGGAAAUUAAUAAUAAAAUAAAUGAUAAAAUCGCACCCUAUCAAGGGUACACUUCAGAGAUGAUUCAUGCAACUGAUCAUCGAUUUAAAUAUAAUUCUAACAUUUAUUAAUAGAUUGAUUAUAGCUGUCAUACACGCGAUAAACAGUCAGUUUUUCUUUACUUUUUCGAUAGUCAAGGUAUGACCGUUAACUAUUUCUCUAACUAAGAAAUAACUCUAAGUACGACCGUAGGAUUUAAUUUCUAAAUUGUAUUAAGAAUUAGAAAAACUCAAUCUUAACUAACAAACACGCUACGAGAGUUUGUUUAAAUUAGAUCGUAUGUUCUCCUGAUAUAAACCCAAUUACGCUAGUUGCUACUGGGAUGGAGGUAACCGAACAAUUAUGGAUUCAACUACCCCUAAUUAUCAAAAUAGACUACGUGAAUAAUUAAAUAUUAUGCACUAUUCAAUCAUACACAAUAACUAUAAUAAUUAAAAGCAGAGAACAUAUAAAUACCAAUAAAUAAAAGAAACAGUUAAUUAAUUUAGAUCUCACAGUAAUUAUUGAACCAAAUUUUCAGUUGUCCCCUAGACUAGAAUUAGGAAGUUAGUCCUUCAAUAAUGGAGAACGUGCCAUGUAAAGCAAUUGAGAAAAACUGUCAGCCCUUGUCUCCCCAAAUUCGGUCAAUUGAGAAAGAAAGAGCAAGAAAAAUCGUUGCUUUGUAUUGUCUCCCACAAAAAGCAUAAAAAGAGUCUACUGUACCAAUUCGGUCAAACAAAGGUAAAGAAGUAGGACAAGUCAACAAUUCUGGCCCUCGCGUUUGUUUGCUUCUCAAUUGUGCUGAGAAGCAAAAAGUCAAAGACAAGAAUAAGUACAAUCCCCACUUUUCUGCGUUUCUUCCAACCACAAAAAGGUGAAUCAAUUCCUAGAAACUCUCCUGUUUCCUAAUUUUUCUCCUAAUUAGUUGGUAGCCAAAUACCAACUACUUCCUAAAUAGCAAUUCUAUUACAAUUCAAACUUCUUUAGCUUCUGCUUUCCUUUUUGGAGCGACCCCACUGAUUUUCCAAUUUUAAGCCAGCUACUUCACUCAUAUUUCUGAAGCUUCCCACGCGUGAAUAAUCCCGAGGAUCCGGCUUUGAAGGUUGGAGUUAGGCGUGGGCACACCUAAUUGUCAAAAAAUUUUCUAGAAUGUUGAUUUUCAGCACCUUUUCUUCACCACUUCCUACAACUAACACCAAACACAGAACCUGAGUAGAAUCCCUCAAAUAAUGCAAUAUUUAGUCAAAACAAUUAUGGAAUAUUGGCAAAAAUCCCAUUAAAACGCUCCCUAUCAAAAUUAGAAGAAAAAUUGUAUUAAGGCUUAACUAAAGGAUACUCCUUAAUCCCAUAAAAAGUACAUGACUCUUUGACUUAGCAGCGCAUGCUAUGGUAUGUGAUGUGAUGAAGGUAAAGAGUCACACACGUUAGAUCUAAAUUUCGAUACGCAAAAUUCAAGUUAGAUGACUAUAUAAACAUUUAUAUGACAUUCAAACAUCGUCUCUUAAAUUACCCAUAUGCAUAUAAAAGAAUGUAAACUAAAAAGCGAUCUUUUUUUUUCCCUAAAACUCUAUCUGUUGGUAAAUCAAUUUUAACUAUUAUAAUACUGAAACUACACACUUUGAGAUACCAUGCAUGUAUUGAGUACCCAAACCAGUUUGGGUUUAGGUCUAGGUUAGGUAUAUAUCCUUUUUUUUUUCAAACCAAUAGGGUGUGGAUUUAGAUUGGGGGCCAAAAAAAUUUGGGAGAUAGGAGAUUUGGUUUUGGAUUUACUAGAUCUAACUUAGUGCCGGGCACUAGACCUUGGCCUUCCUACCAUUGUUGGUCGCUCUAAGUCUGAAGUUUUUUCAUCAGUAAAAGUGAGAAUCUGGCAGAAGAUACAAGGAUGGAAUGAACAAUAACUCUUAAAGGCAGGUAAGGAAAUCAUGAUCAAGGCUGUUGCCCAGGCCAUUCCAACAUACUCAAUGUCUUGUUUCAAGUAUCCAGAUUCCUUGCUUUCAGAUAUCUAAUCUAUUAUGAGUAACUUUUGAUGGAGUGAUGGUACAGAGUAGAAACCAAUUCAUUGGGUAAGUUAGGAUAGAAUAUGUUUGUCCAAAAACAAAGGUGGCAUGGGCUUCAGACAACUUAAGGCUUUUAAUUUAGCUUUACUAGCUAAACAGGCAUGGCACAUUGCAACUCAACCAUCUACUCGUCUACAUCAGGUUUUUAAAGCUAAAUAUUUUCCUAAUUCUGACUUUUUUCAUGUCAAGCCUACUUCCAGGCCUUCUUUUAGUUGGAGGGGAAUGGGCAAAGUUCGAAAAUAUUUAGUCUCUGGUAGUAGAUGGCGAGUUGGAAAUAGGAAUCAUAACAAAAUUUGGAAAGAUAGGUGGAUUCCGUGUCCUUCUACUUUCAAAAUUAUAUCUCGUUCUGAUGCGCUACCAGAUGACCCUACUGUAGAUUGUCUAAUUGAUGAAAAUAGCAGCAAAGGGAAAUAUGAGCUGCUUCAAAGCUUUUCUGGCCGGAUGAGAUUGAUAAGUAUAUAUUUUACGUGUUUUAAGUGUGUUUUAUUAGUUAGUUUUGGUGCGUUUUUAACUAUUUUUAUAGCUAAUUAACUUAGAUUCUAGUGAAAAUAUACAUUUUAUAAUUUAAUGUGUAAAAAUUGCAUUUUUAUAGAUUUUAAUGGCGAGUUCAUGUUUUCAUAGGUUUAAGGAUUCAAUCAUCAAAUAGAGUUAUUGGAGAAGAUAAUUGGAUGAUUGAUGAUAGUUUCAAAUGAUAAAAAGAGAAUAUGAAAUGCAAAAGAGGAAAUGCGAUCAAGAAUAAAAGGAAGCAAGUUUCAUAACUUUGACACCUUGUGGUAUUUGGCAAUAUCUUGAGCUACAGGCAUGGAUUGAGGUGAUUGUUAAACCAUUUUGAAUCUAAGAAAUAGAUCUACAUUUGGUAUGGAGACAUCAAAAUCUAGUUCAGUCAUUUUCCUUGUCAAAAAGUCGAAAUACAGAAGUGUAACUCUGUUGUCGGAAGCUGAAAUAGAGCUCUGACUAGUUGAGGGUAUUUUGGUUAGUUCUCAGUCUAUAGAGCUCCAAAUUGAAUGAUUGUUAAGGUAUUGGAAAGCUAACUCAAAGGACUACAACUUUCAUGUUUUGCAGAAGAGUUAGUUCAGUCUCCAUCAUUGAGAAAAUAGCAGUUGAAGUGGUGUUAAAUGCACAGAAUUAAAAAUGCAAGCUACAAAUACGCGACUUGAAAUCGCGUAUUUUUGAGGCCAUGUAUUCUCUUCUAUUUUUUGCAACUUGCUCAUCAACUUGUUUGCUUUCACACAACUUUUUCAACUCAAUUCUAGCUAUCAAUUCAGGCUAUAUCUGAUCAAGAAAAGUGUGGAAAAUUGGAAAGAUAACUCACAAGAGUUUCAAGACUCAAAUAACAAUUACCAGCCUUUGGAGGACAUUUUUACAACUUUGGAAGGCUAGAGAAACUCACCAAAAAUAUAGUCCUCACUAGAAUUUCCUUAAUUCAUCAGUUAGAGCAGUACAGUAUAGUUAGUAUAACUUUUCCUUCUUAUAUUUGUGGCUAGACUUGGAUAAAGAUUUGAAAAGUAAAAAUGGAGAGUUAGAACUCAUGUGACAAGGGUGACUUUUCUCCGUUCACUUUCUCUUUUAUAUUUAAGUUCAUGUCCUAUAAUACAAGUUUGGAUUUGUUUUUCUUUAUGUUUAAUUAAAAUUUAAACCUAGAGUUAUGAAUGAAUUUUUUAUAUUUUGUUAGUGAUAUUUACUUGGUUAUUUGAUGAUAUUAUUUUGAUCAAAUUAUUUAUCACUUUUGAUUAUCUAAUCAUGAUUAACCAGCCAUUAGUUGUAAUUAUUUAAAGGUGUUAAGUUUGCAAUAAGAAUCGGAGUUUAACACUAAUUUAAGGAAGUGAUAAAAUGAAAGUAGAGGGGCACCUUUGUGGCAUAAGUGACUUUUGUCAUGUAAUUUCAUAAAAGAAAUGAACUUGUAGUUAAUUUCAUAACCAUAAGAGUAGGUAUGUCUUAAUUACAAGUACAGUUGAUUCACUACGAAAGUAGGUUUUACAUACAUUAGAAAAUUACGCCAUGACUAGCCAAGAUAAUAAUAUUCACUUAACUAGUAACUUCAUUUGCAAGAGUAGUAAGGAAUUUCAUACCUCUAGAAGCUUUCUAGUGUUAUUUUUAUUACUUUUACUUCAUCUUUAUAGUGUAGAGUUAAUUUCUAGAACUUGUGAUAGUAUAAAUAAUAAAGGAGUUUGAAAAUCUCUGGUAAAUGAAAAUCUUCCCUGUAGAAUCGACCCUUAAUACCCUAUACUCAAUCACGACUCGUAUAUUUGCGAAAAAUCACGUGUGGAGUAUUUAGGAUGUUGUAUAUGCAAAACUUGACUGUAGAUAAACUAAUUGUUAUAUGUAUACCCUGCGCUGGCCAAGUUUUUGGUGCCUUUGCCGGGGAAGGUUUGUCAAUAUCUGUGCUAAGAGCAACUUUAUUAAUUUAGGCAUUUUUACUUAUUUUUCUUAGUUUUGUUAUGUCUAGUGUCUUAAUUGCAGUGUUUAGUGUUUUAUUCAGUCUUUAUUUAUAUGUUUUCAUUUGUGUGUCAAGUCAUCUAUUCUUCUUAACUAAACUUGUUUUUAAAUUAUUUUGAAGACAUAUUUAGGGAUUCAAGAAGAGUAAAAAACAUGAGAAGACGAUGCAUGAGAAGUGGAAGAUUCGCAAUGGAUGUUUAAUACGUACAAAGCUCCUUGAAUAGAGGUAACCAAGAAAUUACCGAAGGCAUGUCAUUUAAAGAUGGUUUAAGGAGUUUAAAGGUUAAACUUGAUGUUAUAACAUUAAAAGUUCAAUUAGACACCAUUAUGCAUGAGAUUGAGUAAAAGAGGAAUGUUAAUGCUUUUAAUUCUUAUCAUAUGAUUUGUGACUUGUGUGAAGAUUAUCAUGCUACUUAUACAUGUAGACAAGCACAAAAUAUAGAUAAUUAUGGUGCUAAUAGGGGCAAUUCUUUUAUACGGUUGGGAUAAUCAAUGUGUAUAUGGUGAUUCUCCUUGUUUACAUGAUUACCAAUCCGAAUGUGUCCAAUUUGAAUCUAAACCAUCUUGAAAAUUGGCAAUAGAAAGGUUAGUUAAUGCACCUUCACUUUUGGAAUUAGAAAGUCAACCAUUAGUUAAUGAUUCUAAGCCAUCUUGAGAAUUAGCUAUAGAAAAAUUAGCAAAUGCAACAUCCGACCGUUUUUAUAGGGUUGAGAAAAGAUUAAAUGAAUUAACUUCUUACUUUGGUAGAGUAGAAGACCAAUUACAUGCAUUAUGUGAAGUUAUUUCUUCUACUCAUAUACAAAAUGAUCCUAACAUGAAUGGUGAGCAUGUUGCAAGUGAAAAUGGAUUGCAUUUUGAUGAAAAUGAUGAAUCUCAAUUAUGUUUUAAUGAGAAAAUGUCCAUUUCACAUGAUAGUACCUUUGGACCUAAUCUUGAACCUUAAGCGGUGAGUCUUAACAACUCAUUUUCACCUCUUGAGGAAUGUAUUGAGAGUAUAGGUUUUAAAGGUAUUAUUCCUCAAGAAAGCCAUGUGGACGUUCCUUUGGUGAGUUCUCUAGUGAUGCAUAUUUAAGGUAAUAUCUAUGAAACACUUGAGAUAGGUAAGCCACUUCUACCUCUCAUAUCAUUAGAACAUGUGGCUAUUGCGAUUGAGCCACCGUUUACUGAUCCAUCAUGACCUAAAAUAGCGGAUUAUUCUUUAACAAAGACUUUUUGAAAAAUGAGGUGAAAUAGUCAAGCUAAUGACUAUAAAGAAGUGCUUUUUGGGAGGUAACCCAAUAUUUUGGUAUUUUAUUUCAAUUUAGUGUGAUUUUAGGAUUUUUGUUAUGUAUUGAUGUUAUUUUGUUUUGUUUGUUUUGUAGGUAUUGGAAAUGGAAGCAAAAGUGACCAAAUGAGAUAAAAAAGUCAAAAUUCGAUUAAGGAACUCCACCCCUUGAUUUGAGUAAAAGUUGUUUUUAAUUUGUUAAAAAGGGUUAAAAUACAUGUUUUGAUCAUUUUACAUGUUCAUGCAUUGAUUAUUUUGACAAAAGAAUGAUCUAAGAUACAUUUUGAGUAAUUGGGAUACCAUGUAUAAUUUUGAAAAGUUAACAUUUUGCAAAAUUUGCAGAAGAAAAUGCGAUGCCCAAAAAAAUGCAACUACAAGCUGCAUAUUGCAUUCUGCAACUUUUGCACUAAAAACUCGAUCAUCAAAACGCGACUUCAGGUCGCGUAUUGCUGAAGUCGCAUAUUCCUUUCUACAUCAUUAAAGCAGAAAAUGAGCAUCGAAAAUGCGAAUUCAUGGUCACAUUUUCUGCAGUCGCGUUUUUAGGGUUUUUUUUAAAGAAAAAAUGCAGGCUCCUUGUUCAUUCUCUUCCCCUUCUUUUCCUCAUGUAUUUCAUUGUACCUUGUGUAAUUUCUUGUAUAUUUUCUAUGGGUGCAUCACCAUGACAAAGGCGUAUAAGUUACGGAUUGCCGUUUUACGUUUAUUAAUGCCUUUGUUAUGACUUUUGUUUCUCAUUUUCCAUUCUUAGGUUGUAUUAUUAAUGGUUAUCCAAUGGAACUCAUGAAGUAUUGGAGAUAAGUGGACAACUCUGCGAAACUUCAUAAUUGCGCGCUUUAAUCACAUCAUUAGGAGAGUAUUAUUUUCUAUAUCUUGGUUUCCCUUUUUACACAUUAAAGACAAUGUGCAUAUUAGUGUUGGGGGGAGGGGGAGAAUUGAAAUUAUAUAUGUUGGUUGUGAUGUGAUUGAAAUAAUUUGGACUUGUGUUUGGAAAUGUUAUUGUGCUUAGAAAUUUUUCAAAUUUGGGUUUGUUGGCAGGGAGUUUCGUCUAUUUAUAAGAGGAAACUCUGUCAAAAUUUUUCUAAAAUCUUGUCCAAAUUGUAAAAUUGCCCCACAAAGUUUCAAAUUUUUUUCAAUUCUAUCCAAAGGGCAACAAGUUCCACACCAUUAGUUAUUCAAAUGCCUUUUACUUUUGAGAUAAAUAUAUAUGAUUUGACAAUUUCUUUUCUCAUUUAACUUGAAAAUGACUAUUAUGUUAUUAUAAUUUGUACAUUAUAGGGAAGUAUAUCGUGUAAAGUGGAGAAAAUUAUGCCUACAUUUUGCAUAUUUGAUGAAAUUUCUUCUAUUUACUUGAUUUUUCGUAGUUAAGUGAUGAAUAUGGUCACUAAGUGUAAUACUCUUCUCAUGAUUAUUCUUUUGAGGGAAUAAUUAUUAUCUUUGCUUCAAAAAAAAUAAAAGUAAAAAAAAGAAAAAAGAAUGAAAAAAAUGAAAAAGAAGAAAAAGAAAAAAAAAGAGAAUAAAAAUUGUUCUACUCCAAUGGUUCUUGUACUUACUAACCGGAAGUCUUCAUCUACAAAUGUCGAAUUUCACAUAAAAUGGUAUUUGAAUUAAGAGUAUGCAAGGCAACUUGAGAUUAUGAAAUAUUGAAUAACCGGUGAUUUGCAUCUAAAAAUAUCGACCGUCGGGUCAAAAUAUAUUUUCACAAUUUAAGUAUAUAUUUUGUUUUGUUAUAUGAAUAAAUCCCUCUUCAAAUAUGAAUAAGAAGAUGAUCACGAGUUUAGGAAGCAUUUUUAUUGACCAUAUGACUUACUUGCUUGUAAAAUUGGAAAAGGAUGAGGAAUUGAAUUGAACUAGUUAAAAUUAUGAUAUAAUUAACUCUCCUUUACUUGAUAUUAUGAGUAUUUGACCUUAGUUGAAUGAUUGCAUAAUAGUUAUUUACCUUGUUUUUGAGGAAACAAAGUUGAAUGGUGCGCAUAUAUUUAUUUUAGAAAUUUUGGAUCAUUCUUGGUUUGUAUUUCUUAUUGUUUGAAGAGAGGAAAUGGUUCAAGUGUGGGGGAGUUUGAUAAGAAUAUAUGUUAUGUGUUUUAAAUGUGUUUUAUUAGUUAAUUUUGGUAUUUUUUAACUACUUUUAUAGUUAAUUAACUAGAAUUCUAGUGAAAAUAUAUAUUUUAUGGUUUCAAGUGUAAAAAUCACAUUUUUAUGGAUUUUAAUAGCGAAAACUUCAUGUUUUCAUAGGUUUAAGAAUUCAAUUAUCAAAUGAAGUUUUGGAGAAGAUAAUUGGAUGAUUGAUGAUGGUUCGAAGUGAUAAAAAGAGAAUAUGAAGUGCAAAAGAGGAAAUGCAAUCAAGAAUAAAAAGAAAUAAGUUUCACAGCUUUGACACCUUGUGGUAUUUUGGUAAUAUCCUAAGAUACAGGCAUCAGAUUGAGGUAAUUAUUAAACCAUUUUAAAUCUAAGAGAUAGAUCUACAUUUGAUGUGAUAUCAAAAUCCAGUUCAAUCAUUUUUCUUGUCAAAAAGUCGAAAUAUAGAGGUGCAACUUUGUUAUCGAAAGCUGAAAUAGAGCUCUGACUAGUUGAGGGUAUUUUGGUUAGUUCUCAGUUUACAGAACUCUAAAUUGGAUGAUUCUUGAGGUAUUGGAAAGAUAAUUCAAAGGGUUACAACUUUUAUGCUUUGUACAAGAGAUAAUUUAGGCUCUAUCAUUGAGAAAAUAGUAGUUGAAGUGGAGCUAAAUGCAUAGAAUUGAAAACACAAGCUACCAAUACGCGACCUGAAGUCGUGUAUUCCUGAGGUCGCGUAUUCGCUUCUAUUUUUUGCAACUUGCUCAUCAACUUGCCCUGCUUUCACACAACUUUUCCAACUCAAUUCUAGAUAUCAAUUCAGGCUGUAUCUAAUCAAGAAAAGUGUGAAAAGUUGGAAAGACAACUCAUGGGAGUUUAAAGAAUCAAAAAUGACAACUAGAAACAACUCAUUUGACUCUUGCAUCUUUUAUAAAUAUCAACUUUUGGAGGACAUUUCACAACUUUGGAAGGCUAGAGAACCUCACAAAAAAUGUAGUCUUCACUAGAAUUUCCUUCGUUUAUUAGUUAGAGUAGUAUAGUAUACUUAGUGUAACUUUUCCUUCUUGUAUUUGUAGCUAGACUUGGAUGAAAAUUUGAAAAGCAAAGAUGGAGAGUUAGAACUCAUUUGACAAGGGUAAUUUCUCUCCUUUCACUUUCUCUUUUGUAUUUAAGUUCAUGUUUAACUAUAAUACAAGUUUGAAUUUAUUUUUCUUUAUAUUUAGUUAAAGUUUAUGCCUAAAGUUAUGGAUGAAUUUUCUAUAUCUUGUUAGUGAUGUUUACUUGGUUAUUUGAUGAUAUUAUUUUGAUCAAGUUAUUUAUCACUUUUGCUUACCUAAUCAUGAUUAACUAGCCAUUAGUUGUAAUUAUCUAAAGGUGUUAAGCUUGCAAUAAGAAUUAGAGUUUAAUACUAGUUCAAGGAAAUAAUAAACCUAGAGAGUUCACUCACGAAAGUAAAGGAGCACAUUUGUGGCAUAAGUGACUUGUUUCAUGUAAUUUCAUAAAAGAAAUGAGUUUGUAGUUAAUUUCAUAACCACGAGAGUAUGUAUGGCUUAAUUACAGGUAUAGUUGAUUCACUAGGAGAGUAAGUUUUACAUACAUUAAGAAAUUACGCCAUGACUAGCCAAGAUAAUAACAUUCACUUAACUAGUAACUUCAUUUGCAAGAGUAGUAAGGAAUUCCAUACCUCUAGGAGUUUUCUAGCGUUAUUUUUAUUACUUUUACUUCAUCUUUAUAGUGUAGAGUUAAUUUCUUGAACUUGUGAUAGUAUAAAUAAUAAAGGAGUUUGAAAAUCCCCGGUAAAUAAAAAUCUUUCCUAUAGAAUUGACCCUUAAUGCCCUAUACUCAAUCACAACUCGUAUACUUGCGAAAAAUCUUGGGUGUGGUAUUUAGAAUGUUAUAAAUGUAAAACUUGAUUGUGGAUGAACUAAUUGUUAUAUUUAUACCCCGCGUUCAUUUAGAUAUCGAGCUGAUUAUGAGUUUUUCGUUGGGUGACAGUCGAAAUCAAGAUAAGCUCAUCUGGCAGUACUCUAAAAAUGGCUUCUUCACAAUGAAAAGUGCCUACCAUCUUGUCAAAACACAAUCUACAAACUAGCAGGAUGUAGCUUCAAGCAGUAAUGGCUCUGUGCAUGAUAUUUGGCCUUGCUUGUGGAAAUUCAACAUACCAAGUAAAGUUAAAAUAUUGUUGUGACGAAUUUGCAAAGGUAUUCUACGUACAACUUCCCAGUUAAAUAGCCGUGGAGUUUAUUUUGAUCCUACCUACUCUUUAUGUAAGGCCCCUGUUGAAGAUGUUAAUCAUAUUUUUUUUAUGCUCUCCAAUAGCAAUUCAAGCUUGGGCCCUCAGCUUUCUUACACUGAAGAUAAGAUUAGACUUUGUCGAUCAAAUUUCGUCUUGGUUGCCUGGCCUUCUUCGUCUUUUGAAAAUGUCAAACAUGGAAUUGGUAGCCAUAAUUCUUUGGAAUAUAUGGCUUAACCGAAACGGUGCAUUAUUUGAUGGUUCCUAUUGUGAUCCUCUUAGUCUGGUCUCUCUCUAUCUAUCAAUUUCUUACAGAAAUACCAUGAAGCAUACACAUUUCCAAACAUCCCAAUAUGCUCUUCCACUACUCAACUUCAUUGGAAAAAGCUCCCUGUAGGUUUUCUAAAGCCAACUUCAAUGGUGCAAUAUUCUAUGAAAACGGCUACUCUGGAGUUGGAGUUGUUGUGAAGGAUGAAUGAGGCAAUUUUGUUGCAGGUAUUUCUCACAAAAUCUUAGGUAUCCUUUCUCCUAAGGUAAUUGAAGCCUAUGCUGGAAAAUUUGCGAUUUCCUCCUCACUUAAGUUAAAGAUUCUCAAGAUUAUUUUGGAGGGUGACUCUUUGAAGAUCAUCAACAUGCUUAAAAAUAUGAAAGCUGAUGAUUCAGCCUCGGGGGUCCUAUUAGAUGAUAUUCUUAUUAGUUUACAGAAUUUCAUCACUUGGGAGGCAAAUUGGGUCCCUAAGAAUCUAAAUGUGCUUGCUCAUUUAUUAGUUAGGAAUGCUAGCUCUAUUUCAGAUAUUUGUAGUUGGAGAUAUUUUCCACCAUAUUUUCUUUCUUCCACAAUUACUGCAGAUCUAUCUUCACCAUAAUAAAAUUUUCCAAUUUUUUUCUAUCAAAAAAACUCAACGUCAGGUUCUACCCCAUUGACAUGCUAUAAAUAGAUGUAUUUUUCAAAGGAUAAAAUUGUAUUUGUUUGUUAAGAACCCGUUUGGGGUUGCAAUAGUUUAUCAAAAAAGACUUCACCUAAUAGAACUUUUAAUAAAAGUCCUUGUUAAGUAAUUAAGUAUUUUUAAGUAUACUGUUUGAAUACAUAGUUCAAUAAAUACUUAUUAUAUUCGAUAAUGUGUAAUUUGAAAAUUUUAAAUAUAUUUAUCUCUUUAUUUAGUUCAUAAUAUAGGAUAAAAUGAUUAAAUUUAAUAUUUUAUUUUUAAAAAUUCAAAAAUUAUUUUAAAAGCACUAAAUUUAAACUUUUGCCAAAAGUACUUUUAAUACCAAAGUCUCCACUCCGGAUUUUAUAAAUUGAUAUUCACCAAAUGCCUCAAAUGUACCUUUGGCAUCCAAAAGUACUUUUUAACCAAAACCACCGCAACCUCAAACCAGCCCAAAAGAAGAAUCUUUUAAUCGGGCACACUUUAUUGUAUCCAUUUGCAUUAUUUGCUUAUGCUUUUGUAAGAACCAUCAAAGCGGAGCUGCAAGGGAAAUAAUACCUAGCAACUGAUGGAUUCCAAAGCAUUUGCUUCUUGUAUUCUCCUCCUUCAUCUGUUGAUUGCUCUAGCAAAUUACUUUGCCAUUAAUUGUUUUUCGUGAUAUAUAUGUCAUGGACUUGAUUCUCGCUGUCUUACAACAAUAUACAACCUUUACAGGGAGCUUGUGAUAUUAUAACCAAGGAUAGUACUAAUGCAAUCAGACUUCAGGGCAUAGAUGUUAAUAAUUCUGACCGAAAUGAUAAAAGACAUGAUAUUGCUCACGUCCAUGAAAAGAAUUCAAUGCAUGAUCCUUCUCAUUCCUCAUCCCACAUGAUGCAUCAGAUGGAUCCAAGAACAAAUCUCAAGUUAGGCAAAAGAAUAAGUAUCUUUUUCCUGACGGAGAUCCUAGUCCCCUAUCCUCUCCUUAUCUCUGGCCUAGAGAACAAGCUGAUGCUAUCCCCUUUUCAUUGGCAAAACUCCCACAAAUUCUUCAACACUUUUCAUUCCCUCAAGGAUCUCGCAAGGCCCAAGUGAUGGAACAUACACUCUGAGCAUAUGAGACUAAGCCUAUGAACGGAGAAUCAAGGCUUGUGCCACAUCCUAUGAGUCAUUGGUAGAUUUUGCGUGAAAGACCUUGGGAUUGAAUACCAAUAUGGAAGUUUUAUCAACACAUCGCCUCUCAAGAUCUAAUGUUGCUACACUACAAAACUAUACAAUCAUAGAAUCUCCUAAAAGAAUUUCAACUCUAAAGGUGAUCGGCUGUCACACAAUACCAAUGGGGCGGGCGCAUGUUGCCCUGCCCCCCACCCCGUUUUAAGGCUGGGGGAAUUUGCCCCCGACCCCGCCCCAUUCCCCGCCCCAUUUCUACCCCUACAAGCACCUGCCCUCGUUGCCACCCUUAAUCUCAACAUAUCGGCUGCAGUAUCGACGAAAUGCAAAUUUUGAAGCAUCUAAUAUUCUAAAAAUUGUGAAAAAUAUUUUUUAAAAAAACUAUGCUAAACAAAAAUAACAAAAAAAGUUAAAAAAAUGAGUUCAUGAGCUACAUUUGUGAGAGGGUAAGGUCAAGAUUUUAUCCUCAAAUACUGCUCUACACCCAAUAAAACCGAUUGCAAGUUUAACUUUAUUCUUCUAAUUUUAAGGAAAAAAAUUAAUUUAAGCUAAAAGCAUAACAUGCAUUUUAAUUACUUAAAGUAGAAUAAAACACAUAAACAUAGCAUGAUAACUAGAAAAAACCAAUAAGAAUGAGAUAAUUAGUUCCAAAGCUUCUAUUGGAAAAGCCACGAAACAAUGCUUUCAUAUCCCAUUAUAUCACAUUCGAUAACAAUUAAAAGUAAUUAAGAGAAAAAUAAAAAAAUGAAAGAAAAAUAUAAAAAUAAAAAUACAAUAAUUAAAUGCACCUAUGCCCUAUAUCGGUGACAUCAUUUCCAAAAGGAAAAAUAAAAUUAAUUACAACUUAAUUUGACAAAUGACAAACUAAUUAAACUAACAGCCAACUAGUUAAUUGCUAAGGACCUAAUUGAAAACAUUAAGGUAAUGUUUUGGAGUCGAAUUAGAAAGUACAAAAACUCGGGAGCAGAAAUUAAAAGUGAAAGAAACUAAGGGGGCUAAUUCUGGAAUUUCAAACACUGAGUCAUCUUUCCCACGGGAAACUCCUGCCCGCUACUGCACUGGUUCCUUCUUCACUGACGAAGUUGUCGGAAGCUGGAAAUCAUCAACUCUGGCCAGCAUUAGACCGGCCGGAAUUUUCCCUCUCUCCCUCAUGCACGAACACACAACACACACACGCUGAAAUUCUUACAAAAAGCGCAGCAAAAUAGGAAACGGCAAAAAAGAAACAAAAGCUGGGAAAAAAUUGGGGAUGACUUGGUCAACUCGCCCGUUUCACUUGGUCUCAGAGACAAUUUGGUCUGAAUCAGUCGAGUUUUUCUCCUAUUCUCAGUGAUUCUUUCAUCUCCAAUGUGACGUGAACAAUCGCAGAGUGGAGUCCUCCGUUCCAUGACAACUCGGCCAAGUCAUUUCGGACUCUCCCUAGUGUUUGAACCAUGGGCCUACUGCCUAGUACCGAGAACAAUAUCCUUUUUAGUCACAGUUCUUUAGCAUUAUGCAAAAGAUGCAGUCGAAUUUCAGAAUAUCCCUUCCAAAUCUUGUCUGCUUUUCCUUCCCAUGGAUGCUGCAUAUGAGAAAUUCAUUGAGUAAUUUUCUACUACGUCUCUCCCAUAUACCGAAUAGAUCGAAAGCUUAAGAAGUCAAAAGGGUAUUUUUGUUUUCAAGUGGACACUGAUCACGAAAUAUAAUGGCGAAGCCCAAUUGACCAGGACUAUUCCAGACUUUUUACCAAAAAAAAAAAAGAAACAAGAAAAAAAGAGAGAGAGAAACAAAGAUGCACUAAACACAACUAAAAGUUUCACCGUCCUAAAUCAACACAGCAUUUAUUUAAUAGAGGAAUUGCAUUACACACGAGACAUUUUCACUCCAACACUAAGAAAAUAAGACCAACUACAUUUAUUCUUGACAGAGCAAAAAUCCAGUCUCAAGCAAAUUGAAUUUCUCUCAUUUGGGGGCAACAUCACGACAAUGUUACAAAAGCAGCGAUAUAGACCUUCACUUCACUUUGAGUCUUUCAUGUUUGGUUUAUCCUAAUUUUGCUUAGCAUCUGAUAAGGAUUUAUUUUACGGAUUUUUAAGUGUAUUUUAUUAGUUAAUUUGGUUUGAUAAUUUAGUUAUAUAACUAAAAUAACUAAGGUUUUGGUAAAAAUCUACAUUUUAUGUUAAAGUGGCUAACAUUGCAUUUCUAUUGAUUUUUUAUGGUAAAAACUUUAUAUUUUGUAGGUUUAAUGAUUCAAUCAUCAAAUGAAGUGCAUUGAGAAUAUAUUUGGAUGAUUAAAGAUGGAUUAAAGUGGUGAAAAUAAAAUAUGAAGUGUAAAAGAAGAAAUGCAAUUUGAAUCAAGAAAAGUCAGCUUUGACAACUCUGACACGUUUUGGUAUUUUAACUAUAUCUGGAGCUACACAAAUUGGAUUGAGGUGAUCUUUAUACCAUUUGAAGGUAAGAGAUAGAUCUAAAUUUGGCAUGAAGACAUCAGAAUCCAAUUCAGCCGUUUUCUCAGUCAAAAGGUCAAUACACCAAAAUUCAACACUGCUGUCCAAAGUUGAAAAUACAACUUUGACCAGUCUUCAGUAUUUUGGUCAUAUCGUGACCUACAAAGCUCCGAUUUGGAUGAUUUUUGAAGCAUUGAAAACUUAAUUCAAAGAGUUAAAACUUUUGUAUUUUGUACAAAAGCUAGUUCGGCCUCCAUCAUAGAGAAAAUUGCAUUGGAAGCAAGGCCAAAAAUACAGAGUUGAAAACGCGAGUUGACAAAACGCGACUCCAAGCCGCAUUUUGUGUAGGCGCGUUUUGUAGCCGAAAUUCUGCAAUUUGCUCAGCCAUUUCUCUUGUGUUCAGACUACUUUCCAGCUAUAAGUUGCAAGGGAAUUCGGUGCACAUGCUUCAGAAGACAAAAGGGCAAGAAAGGUGGCUUAUUUUCAAGUUAAAAACACUUGUUAUUGACUAUCUUAACAAUUUCAGAUUUGGGAAUCAAGUGUGGAAAGUUUGACCAAUGGAAAAUGAGCUUUGGAGUAGUUUAUAUGCAGAGACAUUUGGGAGGUUAGAAGAGGAUACGGGGAGAAGCUUGAAAUUGGCAGAAAUGUAGUUCUUCCAUUUCCUUAGUGUAGGAUAGUUUUAGCUAGUUAGUUCAUCCUUCUUUUAUAUUAGCUAGAUUAGGAUAAAGAUGAAGGAUGAAGAAGGCAAGGAGAUGAACUCAUAUGACAAGGGUUACAUUCCUUCCAAAUUCUUUAUCUUUUGUACUUGAUUCUAUUGUUGGUUAAUAUAUAAGUCUGGAUUUUAUGUUAUUUAUGUGUUUGUAAAGUUUAUGCCUUGGGUUUGGUUGAACUUUCUAUAAUUGUUAGUGUUUAUUAUUUGGUUAUUUGAUUGCUAUGAUUUGAGCAAAUUAUUUAGCACUUUGGCUCUUUAAAUCAUGAUUAAUCUGGUACCAUUAAUUGUGAUUAUCUAAGGUGUUAUUUCUGCAAUGAAAAUUGAGAUUUAACAUUAGUUUAAUAAGUGCUAAAUAUAGGGAAUACACUCACGAAAGUAGAGGUGCACCUAUGUGGUUUUUAGUGAUUCAUUUCAUAUAAUUUUACUGAAAAAAUGAACUUGUAGCUAAUUUCAUAACCAUAAGAAUAGGUAUGGAUCAGUUAUAAGUAUAAUUGAUUCACUACGAAAGUAGGAUUCAAAUGCAUAAGGAAAUUACACCAUAACUAGCCUAGAUGUAGUACUCAAUGAUUCAAAUAUAGCACUUGCAUGAGUAGUUAGGGAUACCACAACCUCAGGAGCUUUUAUUUGUUAUUUUGUAUAAUUUCAGUAAGUUAAAUUUGUUAUAAUUCAUUGAUAGUCUAAAUAAUAGAGAAACUUUAGUAAUACCGGUAAUUGUUCACUCUUCCCUGUGGGAUCGACCUGAUAUAUAUCCUAAACUAUUAGUUGAUCUGUAUACUUGCAGUGAACGGGUGUAAUUCGGUUUUUAACUUGUACAUAUAUGUAAAAUACCCGUCAAGUUUUUGGCGCCGUUACCGGGGAAGAUUUGGCAAUAUCGGUGUGAAGAGCAACUUUAUUAGUUUAGACAUUUUAUUAGUUAUAGUGUAAAUGUUAUUUUCUAUUAUUUUAGUGUUUUAAAUGUGUAUGUGUUUUAUCACCAAUUCUUCUUACAAAUUUUGCUCUUAAAUUGUUUAAAAGCAAUUUUAGGUGAUGAGAAUGAUAGGUCAAUUUGGAGGACAAUGCUUGAGAAAUGGAAGAUUGGCAAUGGAUGGUUACCAAGUGCAAAGCUCCUUCAACAGAGGCAACCAAGAAUUUAUUGAAUGUAUAUCUUUUGAAGAUGGUUUAAGGUGUUUAAAGGCUAAAUUUGAUGUUAUGAUGUUACAAGUUCAAAUGGACACAAUUAUGCAUGAAAUUGAGCAAGAGAGGAAUGUUAAUACUUUUAAUUCUUAUCAUGUAAUUUGUGACUUGUGUGGAGGUUAUCAUGCUACUAACACAUGUAUGCAAGUACAAAAUAUGGAUUAUUAUGAUGAAUUAGAGCAUUAGAAUCCCUGUUUUGAUCGAUAUAGUGCAAAUGCUUAUGGUUGGAAUAAUCAAUAUACUUAUAGUGAUUAUUCAUAUUUUUAUGAUUACCAACCUGAAAGUGUCCAAUAUGCAAUAGAGAAGUUAGCUAAUGCACCUCUACCUUGGGAGUUAGAAAAUGAACCAUUAGCUAAUGAUUUUAAUGCAUCUUGGGAGCUAGCUGUAAAAUUAUUUUUUAAUCAAUUUGAUUUAGCAAUAGAAAAGCUAGCAAAUGCAACUUCCGACCGUAUUGAUAGGAUUGAGAAAAGAAUAGAUGAAUUAGCUUCUCACGUUGGUAGAAUACAUGAGCAAUUGAAUGCAUUGUAUGAAGUUAUUUCCUCCAAUAAUUUGCAAAAUGAUCAUAGCAUGAAUGGUGGGAAUGUUGUAUGUGAAAAUAGGUUGCAUUUUGAUGAAAAUGAUGAAUCUCAAUUGUGUUUUAAUGAGCAAAUAUCCAUUUCACAUGAUAAUAUCUUUGGAACUAACUUUGAGCCUCAAGAGGUGAGUUUUAAUGACUCAUUUUUCACCCCUCCUAAGAAGUGUCUUGAAAGUAUAGGUUCUAAGGGUAUUGCUGCCUAGGAUAUUUUCAUGGCAUUUCCUUUGGUAAGUUCUCAAGUGGUGCAUACUCAAGAUAAUAUCUAUGAUUCACUUGAGUUAAGUAAGCUAUUUCCACCUCUUAUAUCAUUAGAACACGUGACUCAUGUGAUCGAUUCACCUUUUAAUAAUCCACCACGUCCAAAAAUGGUGGAUUAUUCGUUAACUAAGCCUCCUUGAAAAAUGAGGUUCAAUAGUCGAGCCAACGACUAUAAACAAAAGCGUUUGUUGGGAGGCAACCCAAUGUUUUAAUACUUUAUGUUAUUUUGGUGUGAUUUUAUGUUUAAAUUAUAUGUGUGAGUUAUUUUAUUAUUUUUCAUUUGUAGGUAUUGAAAAUGGAAGUAAAAGUGACCAAAUGAGGUGAAAAACGCGAAGUUUGAUCAAAGAACUCAACCCCUCGAUUUGUGUUAAAGGUGUUUUUGAUCCGUUAAAAGGGAGUAAAAUGCAUGUUUUGAUCUUUUUACAUGUGCGUGCAUUGAUAAUUUUGACAAAAGAAUGAUCUAGAAUGCAUUUUGAGCAUUUGGGGUAAUAUGUGUAAUUUUUUAAAGUUGGCUUUUCUGCAAAAAUUUGCAGCAGAAAACGUGGAUGAAAACGCUCCAUCGGCCACGUUUUGGAAACGCUCCAUCAGCCAUGUUUUACACUAGCCACGUUUUCAAUUCUGCAAAUUUUGUAUAGAAAACAUGGAUGAAAACGCUCCAUCAGCCACGUUUUGAAAACGCCACGUUUUGAAAACGCUCCAUCAGCCACAUUUUACACCAGCCACGUUUUCAAUUCUGCACCUUUUGUACAGAAAACAUGACUUGAAAACGCUCCAUCAGCCACGUUUUAUACGAGCCACAUUUUCAGUUAUGCCCAAAAGGAAGAAAACGUGCCUCACACAAAACGUGGCUCGAAGGCACGUUUUGUCAAAUCACGUUUUCCCUUCCUUUUUCGAAUGCUAAAAACGUGAGACCUGAUUCAUUCUUUAUUCUUCUUCUUUUCCUCAUAUAUUUUCUUGUACCUUGAGUUGCUUAUUGUGUAUUUUCUAUAGGUACAUUACCACCACAAAGGUUUAGGAGUUACGGAUCGCCGUUAUAUGUUUAUUAAGCCUUUGUUAUCACCUUUGUUUUUCAUUUUCUAUUUUUAGGUUUACAUUACUAAUGGUUAUCCAACAGAACUCAUGAAGCAUGGGAGAUAGGUGAACAACAUAUCUUGAAACUUCAUAUUCAAUCCCAACAAUAGGGGAGUAUUACUUUUCUUUAUCUUGAUUUUCUUUUUUUACAUAUUGAGGACAAUGUGUAUGUUAAGUGUGGGGGGAGAAUUGAGAUCAUAUACAUUAUAUGUGAUUGACUUAUUAGUUGCAAAUAUUGGACUUGUGUUAAAAUUCAAAAUUUUUCUAACAUCUUGUCCAAAAUUACAAACUUGCCCCAAAAAUUUCUAAUUUUUUCGAUUUUAUCCAAGGGGUAACAAGUUUCAUACCAUUAGUAGUUCAAACUCCUUAUAUAUUUGAGAUAAAUAUAUGUGGCUUAAGCACUUAUUUUGUCAUUCAAUUUGAAAAUGACUAUUAUGUGAGUAUAAUUUAUGCAUUGUAGGAAAGUAUAUCUUGUAAAGUGGAAAAAAUUAUGCCUAUUUUUUUUCCAUAGCUAAUGAAAUUUCUUCUCCUUAUUGAAUUUUAUAAGUUAAGUGAUAAAUAUGGUUAAUAAUUGCAAUACUCUUCUCAUGAUUAUGAUUUUGAGGGAAUGUUAUUAUCUUUACUUUAAAAAAAAUAAAAAAAAAUGAAAAAUGAAAAAUGAAAAAAAUAAAAAAAGAAGAAAAAAGGAAAAAAGAAAAAAAAAGAAUAAAAUUUGUUCUACUCCAAUGGUUCUUGUACUUAGUAACCGGGAUUCUCCAUCUACAAAUGCCAACUUUCGCGUAAAACGGUACUUGAAUUAAGAGUAUGCAAAGCAACUUAAGUAUGUGAAGCGUUGAGUAACCGGCGAUCUUCAUCUAAAAAUGUCGAUUUUCGCGUCAAAAGACACUUUCACAACUUAAGUAAUAUUUAUCUAGAUUAUAUGAAUAAAUCCCUCUUUAAAUUUGAAUAAAAAUGAUAAUAAGUUUAGGAAGCAUAUUAUUGACCAUAUGAGUUACUUGCGUAUGAAAUUGGGUAAGGAUGAGAAAUUGACUUGAAUUUGUUAUAAUGGUGGUAUAAUUGGCUCUCCUUUACUUGAUAUUAUGAGUACUUGAGGAUUAAUGAAAGAUUGCAUAAUUGUUAUUUACCUUGUUUGGAGAAAAUGAAGUUGAAUGGUGCACAUAUAUUUAUUUUCAAAAUAUUGGAUCAUUGUUGGUUUGUAUUUCUGAUUGCUUGAGGACAAGCAAUGGUUCAAGUAUGGGGGUAUUUGAUAAAUAUUUAUUUUACGUAUUUUUAAGUGCAUUUUAUUAGUUAAUUUGGUUUGAUUAUUUAGUUUUAUAACUAAAAUAACUAAUGUUUUGGUAAAAAUCUACAUUUUAUGUUAAAGUGGCUAACAUUGCAUUUCUAUUGAUUUUUUAUGGUAAAACUUUAUAUUUUGUAGAUUUAAUGAUUCAAUCAUCAAAUGAAGUGCAUUGAGAAGAUAUUUGGAUGAUUAAAGAUGGAUUAAAGUGGUGAAAAUAAAAUAUGAAGUGUAAAAAGAGAAAUGCAAUUUGAAUCAAGAAAAGUCAGCUUUGACAACUCUGACAUGUUUUGGUAUUUUAACUAUAUCUAGAGCUACACAGAUUAGAUUGAGGUGAUCUUUAUACCAUUUUGAAGGUAAGAGAUAGAUCUAAAUUUGGUAUGAAGACAUCAGAAUCCAAUUCAGCCGUUUUCUCAGUCAAAAGGUCAAUAUACCAAAAUUCAACACUGCUGUCCAAAGUUGAAAAUACAACUUUGACCAGUCUUCAAUAUUUUGGUCAUAUCUCAGCCUACAAAACUCCGAUUUGGAUGAUUUUUGAAGCAUUGGAAAGCUAAUUCAAAGUGUUAAAACUUUUGUGUUUUGCACAAAAGCUAGUUCAGCCUUCAUCAUAGAGAAAAUUGCAUUGGAAGCGAGGCCAAAAAUACAGAGUUGAAAACGCGAGUUGACAAAACGCGACUCCAAGUCGCGUUUUGUAGCCGAAAUUCUGCAAUUUGCUCAGCCAUUUCUCUUGUGUUUAGACUACUUUCCAGCUAUAAGUUGCAAGGGAAUUCGGUGCACAUGCUUCAGAAGACAAAAUGGCAAGAAAGGUGGCUUAUUUUCAAAUAAAAACCAUUUAUUAUUGACUAUCUUAACAAUUUCAGAUUUGGGAAUCAAGUGUGGAAAGUUUGACCAGUGGAAAAUGAGUUUUGGAGUAGUUUAUAUGCAGAGACACUUGGGAGGUCAGAGGAGGAUAUGGGGAGAGGCUUGAAAUUGGCAGAAAUGUAGUUCUUCCAUUUCCUUAGUAGAGGAUAGUUUUAGCUAAUUAGUUCAUCCUUCUUUUAUAUUAGCUAGAUUAGGAUGAAAAUGAAGGAUGAAGAAGGCAAGGAGUGAACUCAUGUGACAAGGGUUACAUUCCUUCCAAACUCUUUAUCUUUUGUACUUGAUUCUAUUGUUGGUUAAUAUAUAAGUCUGAAUUUUAUGUUAUUUAUGUGUUUCUAAAGUUUAUGCCUUGGGUUUGGUUGAACUUUCUAUAAUUGUUAGUGUUUAUUAUUUGGUUAUUUGAUUGCUAUGAUUUGAACAAGUUAUUUGGCACUUUGGCUCUUUAAAUCAUGAUUAAUCUGGUACCAUUAAUUGUGAUUAUCUAAGGUGUUAUUUCCGCAAUGAAAAUUGGAAUUUAACAUUAGUUCAAUAAGUGCUAAACAUAGGGAGUACACUCAUGAAAGUAGAGGUACACCUAUAUGGUUUUUAAUGAUUCAUUUCAUAUAAUUUCACUGAAAAAAUUAACUUGUAGCUAAUUUUAUAACCAUGAGAAUAGGUAUGGAUCAGUUAUAAGUAUAAUUGAUUCACUACGAAAGUAGGAUUCAAAUGCAUAAGGAAAUUACACUAUAACUAGCCUAGAUGUAGUACUCAAUGAUUCAAAUAUAGCACUUGCAUGAGUAGUUAGGGAUACCACAACCUCAGGAGCUUUUAUUUGUUAUUUUGUAUAAUUUCAGUAGGUUAAAUUUGUUAUAACUCAUUGAUAGUCUAAAUAAUAAAGAAACUUUAGUAAUACCGGUAAUUGUUCACUCUUCCCUGUGGAAUCGAUCCGAUAUAUACUCUAAACUACUAGUUGAUUUGUAUACUUACAGUGAACGGGUGUAUUUCGGUUUUUUAACUUGUAUGUAUAUGUAAAAUACCCGUCAGCAUCAUCUCUGAAUUCUUUAUGGUAAAGGAGUAUUGAUCCACGCUUUGACUCGAAAUCUUUGAUAUGCAGUUUUCCCUCCUGCAAUUUAGCUUUGUCACCAUGGUAAAGGAGAAUGGAUUCGGGCUUUGAUUCAAAAUCCUUUAUGAGUGGUUUCUCUUCCUCACCGCUGUGGUAAGGGAGUAUGGAUUCAGGCUUUGACUCAAAAUCCUCCAUAAGCGGUUUCUCUUCCUUGUUGCUAUGGUAAAGGAGUAUGGAUUCAGGCUUUGACUCGAAAUCAUUCACUGGUGGUUUCUCCUCAUCGCUGCAGUAAAGGAUAAUGGAUUCAUGUUUUGACUGAAAUUCUUUCAUCUGUGGUUUCUCCUCCUUCAACUUAGCUUUGUCACCAUGGUAAAGGAGAAUGGAUUCAAGCUUUGACUCGAAAUCAUUUACAAGCGGUUUCUUCUCAUUGCUAUGUUAAAAGAAAAAGGAUUCAGGUUUUGACUCAAAAUCCUUCAUCUGUUGUUUCUCUUCCUUCAACUUAGCUAUGUCACUAUGGUAAAGGAGAAUGGAUUCAGGCUUUGACUCGAAAUCCUUCAUUUGUGGAUUCUCUUCCUUCGAGUUAGCAUCCUUUUGGUACAAGAGUAUGGAUUCAGGUUUUGACUCAAAAUCUUUCAUUUGUGGUCUCUCUUCCUUGCAGUAUGGAUUCAAGCAUUGACUCGAAAUCUUUCAUUUGCAGUUUCUCCUCCUUUGACUCAAAAUCUUUCAUUUGCAGCUUCUUCUCCUUUGAAUUAGCAUCAUCACCAUGGUAAAGAAGAAUGGGUCCAGGCUUUGAGUCGAAGUCUCCAAUAUGCGGUUUGUCCUCCUUAAAAUUGGCAUCAUCUGCAUGGUAAAGGAGUAUGGACCCAGACUUUGACUCUAAUUCUUUCAAUGUAUUAGACCCAAGGUGCUUAUUUUGUUUAGUAAAAGCAUCAUGACUAACAGUAGGUCGCAAAAUGUCCCUGGGGUCCUUUCUUGCCUCCAUGAAGCAUGCAAGCUACACAUUCCGGGCAAAUGACAUAAUUGAAGAAGCCAGCAUCAAUAUAUAUUACGUAAACAAAUAUAUCGGUGGAGAUAGGCUGCACAUCAAAUUAUAAGCCUUGUGGGGCUUGCUUGAGUGUCAUUCGAUGUAGGUGAACCUAGCAUAGCUUAAAAAGAUUUUUAUGUAAAUUUAGGACCUUUAAUUUCUUGCUCCUCAACCUUACCUAUUAUAUCAAGACCUUCUCAUCGUAUCUCUACCUGUAUAAUGGAAAUAUUGGAGAUGACUUCCUCUAACUAAUAAAAGUAAAGUGUUGAAAGUCGAGUUACAGUGACAUUUAAGUUUCGUACAGCCCACAUUGGAAUGUUUGAUAGGGAAGCUUAAUGACCAUAGAACUAGAAAGCCACCAAGUCAGCUUUGCUCUCCUUAAUCAGAAGAGUUUCCAAUCCCUUGGCGGGGAUGGUUAGAGUUGAGGAUAAAUGUGUGAAAGCAAAGGAGAAGGUAUUUUCCCAAGUGCAUAGCUUUAAUUGAGAGGAUCAUAAUAAUGCUGAGCAGUUAACGGAUUUAAGUGUGUCUAACAAGCAAAGAAUUAUCUCUUAUGAACUCAAAUAGGGUACUGAUGUUUGAGAAAUCUUACUAUGGCAAUUGAAAAGAACACAACGAGAGCAUCAGAUGAACGCACCCUAUCUUUGAAGUUUGAACAGCUCAAAAUGAAACUUUGAUGGUGUACAAACUCUUGGGGCUAUGGCCAUUUAUACAAGAGGAUAGCCAAGUGAAGCUAAUAAGACUAUAGCAUGGAUUAGAGAAGUUACUACCCUCGUACACCAAUUGAUAGGUCGCAAUUCUGUCAUUUAUUUUGUAAUUAAUUCCCUCAUAUUAUCUUACCAAUUGUGCGUUUUUGGGCAGAUUUUAUUCACUUUUGGAAAUCUGUGCUGAUUGCAGGGAGUUGAAACAAAAUAUGGUAAAAAGGCGCAGAAUUCCUCACUACAUUGGCUAAUUGAUGCGGGACAUCCAGAGUUGCAAAACGAGGUCACGAAGUUUGCCAACUGAUACAAUUGCUGGCCGUAUAUCUUCGGUGAGCAUGGGAUACACAGGAUUAAUUCUUGUGGCAAUAAGUAAAAGAGUUUGAGUAGUAGUAGGAAAUGGGAUACCAAGUUAGGAUUGUUUCCUUAUCUGAUGGUCACAAUACGGCAGGCUAAGCGCUAUUUUCUUGGACUCUCCCUUUUUCAUCCUUUGGUAGUUUUCAAAAGAGAGAAGUCAAUUGAGACUAGGAAACUACACUAGCUUUUCAAGAGCCGGCCGCAAUAAGCAAGAGAUAGACUUGCUAUUGUCUGGUUCCACGGGAGAUUCAUCACCCCAAUUAGGAGAUGGCUGGCUCUUGUGUUGUUCUUUUUAUUUUUAUUAUUCAAUCAAUUUCAUCAUCAUGGUUGAAGAAAAAGCAUUCGACAAUGGACUCUGCAAUAUUGCAUGAGAUUGUUUCGACCGAGAUGAACUAAAUCUCUUUUUUUAGUCAAGGAACAACAGAAUCUUUGGUUUAUCUAAAAAAUUAUUAGACCGAAUUAAUUUUAUCUAUUCCUCUUAUUUACUGGUAUUUGCCUAUUUUCUGAUUGUAGUGUUUAUGGUUGUUUUAUUAAUUGAGUAUCUUGGGCCCAAACGUUGAAUUAAUUUAGCAACCUAAUAUCAAUUAAAGCAUUAAAUCUGUAAUUAUUUAAUUACUCUAAAAUAAUAGCAACUGACAUUAUUAGGUUUGUAUCAGGGGAAUACGCGGUCUAAUCUAAAAUAAUCUUGGUAAUGUGUUAUUUAAUUAAAAUAGAACUCCUCUAAUACGUAAGGCAAUUGGACAAUUAAAUAUUACGGUCGUACCUAAGAUUAUUUCUCGAUUAGAGUAGUGAUUAAUGGUUAUAUCUUAAUCACCGACACAGUAAGGAGGAGUUGACUGUCAUGACUUGUUUGGCAGUUAUAACUUAUUUACUAGUUAAUAAUUGGAAUUAUCUUUGUAUCGAUGAUUAAUUAGGUGAACCAUUGCUAAAGUUAUUUCUUGGUUAGAGCUUAGUUAUUAUUAAUUUGGUUUUAAUAAUUUGCCAUUUAAUUUUUAGUUGGUUAUUUAUUUUUAUUUGAACCAUUUAAUUAGUACAAUUUUUAUAAAAAAAAUCCCUCUUUGUUAGUUUGAAUUUCAAAAGAGAUAAAUAUCCCCAGUCCUUGUGGAUUUGACCCUACUUAACACUAUCUAUAGAAAUUAUAUUUUAUUUAAACAGGUAUUUAUUAUUGCACAGGUUCGACAACCUGUCAAUUUUUGGCGCCAUUGCCGGGGACUGGUGUUAGUUAUUUUGUUUUUUUUAAAGUUCAUUUUCGUUUUAAUUUUUGGUAUCUUUUCUAAUUUAUGCCUCAUUCUUCUCAUAUAAGUGAAUUAAUUUUUGAUCAUAAAGUAGAUAAGACCGCGCGCCGAACGUGAAAAGAGACCAAAUAGCUCAGAGAAGAGCAAAUCUAGUGCUGCAUCUUAGAGACUUGAUCCAAAAGCUAAAUCAAUAAGUUCACUUGGUGAUAUUUCGAGCAACCUAGAUCGAGAAGAAGUCACUAUGGCUAAUGCACAAAAAUUAAGGAAGUUGACUGCUCCUAAUUUAAAUCAGCAGCUCUUAUGCAUUACUUUUUCAAAUUUAAAUGAUAAUACCCCAUUUGAGUUAAAAUUUGGUCUAAUUCAUCUUUUUCGAGAAGAAGACACUAUGGCUAAUACACAGAAAUUAAGGAAGUUGGCUGCUUCUAAUUUAAAUCAGCAGCUCUUAUGCAUUACUUUUUCGAAUUUAAAUGAUAAUACCCCAUUUGAGUUAAAAUUUAAUCUAAUUCAUCUUUUAUUAUCUUUUAAUGGUUUACCAAGUGAGGAGCAAGCAUUGCAAGAAUUUGAUGUUAUUUGCAACAGUAUGAAACCCUCGAGAAUUUGGAAGAAUAAAUAAAAAUGAGGGCAUUUCCCUUCUCUUUCGAAGACUCGGCAAAAGACUAGUUGUACUACCUACCUCCAGGUAGUAUCACUACUUAGGAGUAGCUGAAGAAAAAAUAAAAAAAAUAUUUUCCUGUGUCUCGAGCUGCGAGUCUGAGAAAGGAGAUAUGCAGUAUCAAAUAACAUUCAGGAGAGUCGCUCUAUGAUUAUUGGAAGAGAGUCAAGAAACUAUGCAUCAAAUGCCAUCAACACCAAAUAAGCGAGCAAUUACUCAUCCAGUACUAUUACGAGGGACUAUUUUUUCGAGACAGUAGUAUUAUUGAUGCUGCAAGUGGAGGGAUGUUGGUGAAUAAGACUCCUCGAGAAGCAUGGGAGUUGAUUGAAGGGAUGACCGAGAAUUUGCAGCAGUUUAAUACAAGGGAGAAUGUCCCGAUACGUAGAGUAAAUGAGGUAGAAACAUCCUUUAUCCAAUAACAGUUAUUCGAGUUAACAUUUUUUGUUUGGCAAUUGGCUGUAGGAAAUGCUCUACAAGCCAAGGUAUGUGGGAUUUGUACUACCAUGGGUCAUUUUAAAAAGAUGUGCCCAAUGAUUCAAGAAGAGAGUGCGGAACAAGUAAAUAUGAUUGGUCACGCUUCCGUGCCAAGAAAGCCAUAUGACCCAUAUUCGAACACGUACAAUAAGGGCUGGAGAGAUUACCCUAACCUCAACUAUAGAGGAAAUAGACAAUCAAAUUUUGUACCGAAAGAUAGCAAGAGUAUCAACAGCAAUAUCAACCCCGGCCGUCACCACCUCCUCCAAACUCAAACCUGUCUUUAGAAAAAAUAAUGAAGCAAUUAAUUACUAGUAAUACACAAUUUAAACAAAAGAUGGAAUCUGAUUUACCAAGUCUAAGGAAUCAAAUGGAACAAAUGCAAAUAAUAUAGAGUCAGAUGAAAAUAUUAAUCAACCGUCUAGAGUCUCAAGUUCACGAAAAAUUGCUAUCCCAACCUAAACUGAAUCCAAAGAAUAUAAGUGCAAUGAUCUUAAGGAGUGGAGAGAAAAUUCAGAAACCCGAACUCUUGAUUUCAAAGAACAAGAAUAAAGAAAGAAUUGAGAAAGAUUUUGAGGAAGAGGGCAGAAACAACAAAAAUUCAGUGAUACUUCCUGACCCAAUCAUUGAAAUUAAAACUAAUCUGCCUUUUUUUCCUAGCAAGUUGGAAAAAUCAAAGAAACAUGGCAAUGAAAAAGAGAUCUUGGAAAUAUUCCGCAAAAUAGAGAUCAACAUCCCCCUACUAGAUGCAAUCAAACAAGUGUCAAAUUAUGCAAAGUUUUUGAAGAAUUUGUGCUUCAAUCAAAGAAGGUUGAAAGAAGAUGAAAGAGUUAUUGUGGGAGAGAACGUAUCAGCGAUUCUAUAGAGAAAACUCCCACCAAAAUGCAGGGAUCUAGAUAUGAUUACUAUUCCCUGUAGGAUAUGUAAUACUUUGUUUAGAAAUGUCAUGUUAGACUUAAGAGUAUCAAUCAAUGUAAUGUCUAAAUCUAUCUAUACUUCUUUGUGUCUAGGUCCGUUAAAUGAAAUUGAGAUAAUAAUCCAAUUAGUUGACCGAACGAAUGCAUAUCUUGAUGGGUUGGUCGACCAUGUGUUGGUUAAAAUUAAUAAAUUGGUAUUUUCAACUGAUUUUUAUGUAUUUGACAUGGAUGAUGAUUAUUCCCCCGACCCCUCGUCUUUGCUAUUAGGCAGACCCUUUUUAAGUACAAUCCAGACUAAAAUUGAUGUUAAUAAGGGUACAUUGUUCAUGGAACUUGAUGAAAAAAUUGUCUAUUUCAAUAUCUUUAAAACCAUAAAAUACCUCUCGAACUCCAAUUUUAGCUUGACUUUUUCUGUGAGUGCUAUUGACCCUACGGUGCAGGAAGUAUUUGAAAUUAUUAGUAGAGAUGAGUUACAAAUUACUUUAACCACACAUCUCGAGUUAGAAACAACUUAUGAAGUAGAAUUAAGUGAAAAUUUGAAGUGUACGAUUGAGAUGUUGCAAUCGUUGCCAACCAUGACGACAAGUAUGAGCUCGCAUCUAUUUUCAUACCCGAACCUCACCAAAGGGUACUACCGUCUGUGGUGUAGGCACUUAUGCUAGAGUUAAAUCUCUACCGAAACACUUGAAAUAUGCAUAUUUGGACGAGAAGAAAACACUUCCGGUGAUUAUCUCGGCAGGAUUGUCAAAAACCCAAGAAGACAAGUUAAUCCGAGUUCUUAGAGAGUAUAAGAAGGCAAUAGGAUGGAUCAUCGCCGAUAUUAAGGGAAUUAGCCCUUCUGUGUAUAUGCACCGAAUAAGGCUCGAAGAAGAUGCCAAACCUAUACAGCAAAUUCAAAGUAAGCUUAAUCCCCUCAUGAUAGAAGUGAUGAAGAAAGAAAUAGUAAAGUUGCUAGAUGUGGAAAUUAUAUACGCAAUAUUAGAUAGUCCAUGGGUAAUCUCGGUACAGGUAGUCCUAAAGAAGUUAGGAGUAACAGUAGAGGCCAACCAAAAGGGUGAACUCAUGCUAGUGCGCAAACCCACCGGAUGGCGGCAGUGUAUCGACUAUCGAAAAUUAAACGCGGUCGCAAAAAAGGACCAUUUUUUUCUUUUAUUUAUUGACCAAAUGAUUGAGCGAUUAGUUUGUCGAGCUUAUUAUUAUUUUUUAGAUGAGUUUUCAGGGUAUUUUCAAAUCGCAAUCGUACCGAAGGAUCAAGAGAAUACCACCUUUAAGUACCCGUUUGGAACUUUCGCAUAUAGGCGAAUGCCUUUUGGAUUGUGUAACGCUCCUGCCACAUUCUAAUGAUAUAUGGUGAGUAUUUUCUUUGAAUAUGUAAAAAAAAAUUAUUGAGAUUUUCAUGAACGACUUUAGUGUAUAUAGUGAUAGUUUCGAUAAUUAUCUAGAUAACCUGAAAUUGACUUUAUUGAGAUGUAUAGAAGUUAAUCUCAUGCUUAACUGGAAAAAAUAUUAUUUUAUGAUUGAGCACGGGAUAGUUCUAGGUCAUGUUGUAUUCUCUAAGGAUAUUGAAGUUGAUCAGACUAAAAUAGACAUUAUAUCUGCUUUACCUUACCCUGUGAGUGUACGGGAAGUGCGUUUUUUCUUGGACAUGCAGGUUUCUACCUAAAGUUCAUCAAGAAUUUCUCGAAAAUUGGAGUCCCUCUGUUCAAACUCUUAAAAAAAGAUAUGGCAUUCAAGUUCAAUAAAAAAUGUGAGAGAGCAAUCGACAAAUUAAAUGAGGUAUUAAUAUCGCCACCAGUCAUCUAACCCCCUGACUAGAGUCUACUUUUUGAAAUCAUGUGUGAUGCCAGCGACCAUGCAGUGGGAGCAGUAUUGGGGCAGAUAGUAGGAAAAGUAGUCCAUGCCAUCUACUAUGCAUCAAGGGUUUUAAAUGGAGUCCAAUUGAAUUAUUUCACUACGGAGAAGGAGCUUUUAGCAGUUAUUUUUGCUUUAGAAAAAUUUAGAUCAUAUUUAUUAGGAGCUAAAGUUGUUAUAUAUAUAUAUAUAUAUUUUUAAUCAUGCAGCUUUGAGAUACUUGAUGAUAAAGAAAGAUGCAAAGCCGCGGUUGAUACGAUGGAUACUACUCCUACAGGAAUUUGACCUGAAAAUCAGAGAUAAAAGAGGAGUAGAAAAUCUAGUGACAGAUCACUUGAAUCGCGUACCAGUCGUCAAAGAAGAAUUUCCAUUAAAAGAAGCCUUUUCUGAUGAACAUUUAUUUUUUGUCAAUUUUUUUUUACCUUGGUAUGCUGAUAUCGUGAACUAUCUAGUGACUAAUAAAUUUUCUAGAGGAUGGUCUGAGGCACAAAAGGACAAGUUGAAGAAUAACGUCAAAUAUUUCAUGUGGGACGACCCUUACCUAUGAAAGAGAUGCGCAGACCAGGUAAUGAGAAGAUGCAUAAGUGAAGUUGAAUUUCAAUUAAUAUUAACUUUUUGUCAUACUUUUGCAUGCGAAGGUCAUUUUGGACCAAAACAAACUACGCAUAAGGUAUUGGAGAGUGGAUUUUACUGGCUUUUGUUGUUUAAAAAUGCAUAUCUAUUUUAUAAAUCUUGUGAUCAAUGUCAAAGGGUAGGUAAUAUAGUUCGUAGAGAUCAUAUGGCUCAAGUCCUGAUGUUUUUCAUAGAAAAUUUUGAUGUUUAGAGUAUAAAUUUUAUGGGACCUUUUCCAACAUCAUUUGGUUAUAUAUAUAUUGGUAGCAGUGGACUAUUUUUUCAAGUGGGUGGAAGCUAGAACCACUCGGACUAACGAUUCGAAAAUGGUUUCAGAUUUUAUUAAAUUCAAUAUUUUUGUGCAUUUUGGGAUGUCAAUGGCCAUUGUUAGUGACAGGGGGACGCACUUCUGUAAUAAGACCAUAGCUACUCUAUUUCGAAGAUAUGGUAUACUCCACAAGAUCUCGAUAUCGUACCACCCUCAAACCAAUGGUUAGGCGGAGGUUUUGAAUAGGGAGAUUAAGUCGAUAAUGAAAAAAAUGGUUCUUCCCAACCAUAAGGAUUGGAGUCUCCAAUUAGAGGAUGCGCUUUGGGCAUAUAGAACUGUGUGACCCCUAUCGGGAUGUCACCCUAUAGGCUGGUAUUCGAAAAACUGUGUCACCUCCCAAUGAAGUUCGAGCAUAAGGUCUUUUGGGCGAUAAAGCAGUGUAAUAUGAAUUUAGAAGAGACCGGUGUUCAUAGAAAGUUGGACUUGCAAAAAUUGGAGAAAAUCUGGAACGAACCAUAUGAGAACGCAUUAAUUUAUAAGGAGAGGGGUAGGACAUUCCAUGACCAACAAAUCUCUAAGAAGACCUUUGAAGUUGGCCGAAUGUUCUCCUAUACCAAUCCAGGCUUAAGUUGUUUUCAGGUAAACUACGUUUCCGUUGGAUCGGCUCUUUUAUUGUUACUCACAUCUUUUACCAUGGUGUAGUAGAAAUUCGGAGUACUAAAAUGGACAAAAGGUUUGUGGUGAAUAGAUAUCGUUUCAAACAUUAUUACGAGAAUUUUUCAAGUGGAGAUAUGGAGAUGAUACGUCGGGAUACACCAAAUUUAUCGAAUUGACGAUACCGAGCCAUGUCUAGCCAAAAACGUUAAUGAAAGACGCUUAUUGGGAGGCAACCCAAUUUAUUUUAGUUGUUUGUUCAAAUCCUAUUUGUUGUUUCAAUAUGUUUUCUUAGAAUUUUUUCAUAUUUCUUGGUUUAAUUUUUGAUUUUUGGUGAUUAAUAGGUGUUCCACCGACAUGACAUGCCCGAGUCAACAAGGCAUGUGGUAGUGUGCAACUCUUAGGUGCUUCAUCAGAAGGAUUUCUAACCACUUAACGUGCCCGCAUCAAGUCACCUGGAAAACUCUUUCUUUGAUUCUGGAGCGGACUAACUGACAUGAUGCAUGGUAAUGAGCAAUCCUCGAGUUCCUUAUCAGAAGGGUUUCUGCCCUUAUGAUGCGCUCGCGUCAAUAGGAUGCGUGAUAACUUUUAAUUCACCAGACCUCCAUCAGAAGGGUUGUCACCCUCAUGACGCGCCCGCGCCAUCAGGACAAAUGAUAAUGAACAAUUCUUAAAUUCUUCAUCAGAAAGGUUCGUACCUUCAUGACGUGCCCAUGUCAUGUUUGAUGGAAAGGUAUGUAUAAAAAAGGGGGAGAAAAAAAUACAAAUAAAAAAUUUAAUUUUCGUUUAAAUUCAAAUUUUAAAUUUCAAAUCUCUAAUUUUAAAUUUAAAUUUUAAAAAAAAAACUACAACCUAUUUCUUUUUUCCUCUUCUUUCUUUCUUUUUUUUUCUCUCUCUUUUCUUUCCUUCUUCCCCCUAUUUCUCUUUUUCCCUUUUGGCCGAAACUCCCCCAACGCACGCCACGGCCAUUUCUCUCUGCCCGCUGCAUGCCUUAUUACGGCGGCCCGUCUCUCUUAGUCGAGCACCCCAAGUGCCAUUUCCAUCACCACCGCAGCUGCCGUCGCCACUGUUGUUCGAUCAAUACAGCUCGCGAUUCCAUCUCGUGUGUCGCGACAUCCGCUGCAGCUGCUCCGCCAUCCGCUCGACCCAUGACCGCGAAACACCCACGACCACAUCAUGUGCCACAACUCUCUCCCCUCCUUCAACUUACGAACGCCGCCGUCACAGCCACAAUAGUUGUUGCGUCUCCACCUGCGACGUCGUUGCCUCAUCCUUCACUAGCACCGUCAAUCCUAACCGUUCACCGCACUUCAUUGCCCCUCUCCUUUCUACAUCUACGCAGUCUGCAACCACCCAGGCGUUGCCCUCCCAGUCACCAUCGCCUCUCUUUACCGCUCAUUCAUCGUCGAGAACUGUUGCCGGUCGAUGGUGUGACGGCAUUUCUUUAUCUCAAUCCCUUGGAAGACUCCUAGAGUGUUAAUUUUUGCAGUUGCAUUCUGGACUUCACUAAGAAUCAUUUUGCCAAAUUAUUGUGUUGAAUUGCUGGAGUCAAUUUCUGGACUCAACUGAGGAAUAUUUUGCUGCAUUAUUAAUUGAUUGAAUUGAAGUGAAUUGUUGGGCGUAAUCUACCUUGAGUGUCAAUUUGUUUGGGACAUUUGUUGAGAUUUUGGUUAGAAAAAUUCUGUAUUUGACUAUUAAAUUGGGAGACACCAGUGGCUAUUAAUUUGCUUGUUAACUUCACUAGAGAUAGUCCCAAGUUCUGGUUUACUUGGUUGCUAUGUUCGUUGGUAAUUUUGUUUCUUUUGGUGAUUUGAUUGACUGGUAGAGACUAUGGUUAAGCAAAAAUUCACCUCUAAGUCUAGAACUUCUAGAUCUCAACCUACCAUUUCUGUUAAUGAGCCUACCAAUCAACGAUUUUUUUCGGAUGUCCGAACACGUCUAAGUAGGGAUAAGAGUGUCCACGGUGCUACACCCUUGCACUUUGGGGAUCAUUUAAACUUCAUUAAGGCCGUCGAUAAGCAGCGAUAUGCUAUAUGUUGUGAGUGGCAAAUUAUCUCCUGUAAAUGUCUUGACAAUCUUACCAUGGGUGCACUGGGUAUCAGGAAAGAGGUUGAGCGAAUGUUUACAGCUAUCGGUUGGGGACCUUAUGCCAAAAUCUUUUGUCUUGCGUUUGUCGAACUGGUUCGAGAGUUUUACUCCACUUUUGAAUUUGACUUGCCUACGGGGUAUACUGUCGAUACCCUGAAUGUGAUUCAUUUCCGUCUAAUGGAUCAAGAGUUCAAUUUCUCUAUUACUCAAUUCAAUUUGAUAUUUCGAUUAAUUACUCGAGAAUAUGUUGAAACCAGGGAAUACGCUGAGAGUGCUUGUAACUACAUAGAAUCAUUUUUCUCUCACUAUCCCGAUAUUUGGAGGGAAAUGUCUGUUGACGGGGACCGUUACGACCCUUCUAGAUCCAGGAGUUCUUAUCUUAAGGACCCAAAUUCUCGAUAUGUUCAGCGAUUCUUAGCUUACAGUUACUCGGGUCGCAAGAAUAACUCCGGUAUACUUUCUAGACUCGAGUUCUUCUUUAUCUGGUAUAUAAAACACAAUAUUAAAGUGAAUUUGGAUUGUUGGUUGGCAUCUUAAUUUAAGACUGUCAUGGCCAAGAAAAAUAAACCGUUGAUACUUGGAUCCUAUAUCACAUACCUGGCAGUCCGGUUAGACGUUCUUAAUUUUCAGAACCAUGAUCUCCAUUUGGCCUUUGACAUAAAAUAUUUAGAUGCGAUUGGUCUAGAAAAGAUGGGCGUUAUAGAGGAGGUUGAUGGCAUAUUUCAGUUUACACUUCCCGGUCCCAUUUGAGCACCAGAUCGACGCCCCCUACACGAGCAGGUCCCUCUUCUGCCCCUGGAUCAGCCGAGAAUACAAUUGGAACCUCUUCUUCUGUGCCUCCUCCACCGCUAGUCUCUGAUUCUGAGUGGCGAUACCUUUGGGUACAAAUUCACCAUGUGGAUGAGCAAGUGACGAAUAUCGUUGAUCAGGUUACCUAGAUGUCUCAGAACUUGGCCGCCUACUUCCACUAUGUUGGUUUCAUUCCACCUAUUCCCACCUAUUCCAUAGCCACUCAAUAGAGAAGUUUCUUUGUCCUACUUCUUUUAUUUGCUUUAUGACCUCCAUUGAGGACAAUGUCGGAUCUAAGUAUAGGGGAGGAGGGGGAGUUGUGGUAUAGCUAGUAUUUUUAGUUUUUAGAUGUUUUUUCUUUAUUUCUUGUUAUUUGUUCUAUUUUUUUCUUUUAUUUUAUUUUUAUUUUUAUUAGUGAUCAGCAUUUCUGUGACUACCAAGAAUUGAUGAUAGUUGAUUGACUCUAAUUCUCCUAUUGUCAAGUUUUAGUAAUAAAAGUGUAUCAAGUUAAUUUGGUUAAGUCCAGGAACAUCUCUUUGGUGAAUAUCGAUGAUUUUGUGUCUCUUAUAAUUUUUAAUUAACUUUUCAAGGCAUAGGGAAUAAUUGUUUGGUAUUUUCAUGUGAAUUGGUCCAAUUAUUAACCUUAGUUCUCCAUGUUUGAGAAAAUGAGGCUAGUUGCUGUUAUUUUAUGUGAUAUUUUGAGUUAUUUUGUUGCCUAACUGUAAAUAAAAGGUGGCUGUACUCCACUAAUUAUUACUACUGAGUAAUCGGGAAUUUUUACCAAAAGUGUCAAUUCUUGCGUCUAACAGCAGUAAUAUCUAUGAGUACGUGAUCUUAUAGUGAUAGGAGCUGAGUAAUCGGGCUUCUUCAUCUAAUAAAUGUUAGAGUUCGUGUCAAAAGGUUCUAGUGGCUAGAGGUCAAGUCCAUUAUUACUACUAUUGAAAAAAAAAAAAAAGAAGAAAAGCGCAAUAAAAAAGUGUGAAAGCUGUGUAAAUGUAUGAUUAAAGUUAGCCUGCUGAUCUAUGAGUUUAAUGUUAAGAUUUUGGUUAAUAAUUAGACCGUUUGCUGAUAAAUGUUGAUCGACCAUUCCUUUUUCUUAGAAUAGUUAGCCAUAAAUUGGAGGAGUCUACAGUUUAGAAGUUAACUGGGGUGAUGUUUAUUGGAUCUCGAUCAUUAAUGCUUGAUAUGGGUUUCCUCGGUAUUUUGGCAAUAAGGUAAAUGGAGUGAUGGCCAUUGUCAGGAAUUGGUAUUUAUUUACUGUUAUCAUGUUUGAUGACAAGGAUGGUCUAGGUGUGGAGAAAAUUGAUAGGUCGCAAUUCUAUCAUUUAUUUUGUAAUUAAUUUCCUCCUAUUAUCUUACCAAAUGUGAGUUAUUGGGCAGAUUUUAUUCACUUUAAGAAUUUGUGCUGAUUGCAGGGAGUUUGAACAAAAUAUGAUAAAAAGGUGCAAAAUUUCUCACUACAUUUGCUAAUUGAUGCGAGACAUCUAGAGUUGCAAAACGGGGUCACGAAGUUUGCCAACUAAUACAAUUGUUGGCCAUAUGUCUUCGGUGAAUAUGGAAUACACAUGAUUAAUUCUUGUGGCAAUAAGUAAAAGAGUUUGAGUAGUAGUAGGAAAUGGGAUGACAAGUUAGGAUUGUUUCCUUAUCGGAUGGUCACAAUACAGUAGACUAGGAACUAUUUUCUUGGACUCUUUUUUUUCUUCUAUUGGUAGUUUUCAAAAGAGAGAAGUCAAUUGAAACUAGGGAACUACACUAGCUUUUCAAGAGCCAGCCGCAGUAAGCAAGAGAUAGACUUGCUAUUGUCUGGUUCCAUGGGGGAUUCAUCAUCCCAAUUAGGAGAUGGCUGGCUCUUGCGUUGUUCUUUUUAUUUUUAUUAUUCAAUCAAUUUCAUCAUCGUAAUUGAAGAAAAAGCAUUCGACAAUGGACUCUGCAAUAUUGCAUGAGAUUGUUUCGACGGAGAUGAACUAAAUUUCUUUUUCUAGUCAAAGAACGACAGAGGUUUUGGUUCAUCUAAAAAUUAUGAAAUCGAAUUAAUUUUAUCUAUUCUUCUUAUUUACUGGUAUUUGCAUAUUCUCUGAUUGUAGUGUUUAUGAUUAUUUUAUUAAUUAAGUAUCUUGGGCUCGGACGUUGAAUUAAUUUAGCAACCUAAUGUCAAUCGGAGCGUUAAAUCUGUAAAUGUUUAAUUGCUCUAAAAUAUGGACAACUGGAAUGAUUGGUUUUGUGUCAGGGGAAUACGCGAGCUAAUCUAAAAUAACCCUGGUAGUGUGUUAUUUGAUUAGAAUAUGGCUCAUCUAAUAAGUAAGGUAAUUUGAGAAUUAAAUCUUACAGUCAUACCUAAGAUUAUUUCUCGAUUAGAGUAGUGAUUAAUGAUCGUACCUUAAUCACUAACACAGUAAGGAGGAGUUGACUGUCAUUGCUUGUUUGGCAGUUAUAACUUAUUUAUCAAUUAAUAAUUAGAAUUAUCUUUGCAUCGAUGAUCAAUUAGGUGAACCAUUGCUAAAGUUAUUUCUUGGCUAGAGCUUGUUAUUAUUAAUUUGAUUUUAAUAAUUUGUCAUUUAAUUUUUAAUUGGUUAUUUAUUUUUAUUUGAAGCAUUUAAUUAUUACCAUUUUUUAUAAAAAAAAAUCCCCUUUAUUAGUUUGAAUUUCAAAAGAGACAAAUAUCCCCAGUCCCUGUGAAUUCGAUCCUACUUAUUACUAUCUAUAGAAAUUAUAGUUUGUUUGAGUAGGUAAUUAUUAUUGCACAGGCUCGACAACCUGUCAUCAAUCCACAAAUUACCAACAAUUUUGCAUUUUUACCGAAGGGCCAAAUUUUCCUAAAAUCAUACAUCGAUUUCAAAUAACAGUAAAAAUUUGGCCCUUCGGUAAAAAUGCAAAAUUGUUGGUAAUUUGUGGAUUGAUGACAGGUUGUCGAGCUAUGCAUAAUCUGAAUAUUUUCUUUGAGAACUUUUUUGAAAUUUUCAAAACAAAAAUUCCCUUCCACGUAACAAAAAAAUAACCAAUUCACUGCAAUUUGAGAAAAAGAUACAAGAUAAUGAUUUGGACAGAAUAUAACUGUAACAAUAUGAACUUAAAUUCCAUGAUUUGAUUUUUCUUUCCUUUUCUUUUCCCAUGAAAUUUGAUGAUUUGAUUUUUCCUUCUUUUUCCUUUUCCCAUAUAAAAUUCGAUUGAAAAGGUUUGGCUUUUUUCAAAUCCUCCAAAUUACGAUAAAUAUGGUAUGUUAAAUUGUGCUUAACCAAGGUUAAGAUGCUGGUUAUAAGCAAAAGAAAUCCUGCACAUUGAAUUCAAAUUGAACACAUGUCAAAAUCGUAAUGCUAUAUCGAGGAGAACUAAAGAAAAUAAGUAACGAAAAGGAGCAGGAUCCGCUUGACAAUGACCCGUAUCCUAUCCUAUCAAAUCUUUCCGGUCCAAAAUUCAAAAAAAUUGAUUUAGGAUUUGAUAAGGUCUUGAAAUUUAUUUGGUGGCGUGUAAAUUAGCAUGUUCCGUCUUUUAAGUACAUAAUUUGUGAGACAAGAUUUGGGGACAGGUAGGCGUGCAUCUUUCAUAAGAGAAGAUUGUGAAAUUGCCAUAACUAUAUCGAUAUAUCCUUUAUGCAUUAAACAUAAAUACUCGCGAGUCUAGAUGCAUACCAUUUAUAUAAAAUUUAAUGUUCAAAUUUAAAUUUAAAUUUAAAUAAUGUGGCUAUGUCCAACCCCAUCAACAUAUAUACUCACAGUAUAAGAAAGAUUAAGAUUUUGUUUUGCUGAUUCUACAGGCUUAACAGGAGUAAAACAACUAGUAUUGCAGCCCGUGCUUUGCACGAAUUUAUGUUUAAUAUAAUAAUAAUAGAAAAUGAAUUAUUUAUAUUAGUUACAUGAAAAAAGAUUAAAAAAAUUAAAAGAAUGCUGUUUUAGUAUCUGAUAUAUAUUAUAUUUAUGUAUCUUAUCUAAAACCUUAACGUAUAUCAAAACUAGGGUUUGCUUCCCACGCAAGGCGUGAGAGCUUUAGACCUGUUAGUAAGGUUCCCUGCCAUGCAAAAGCAGUAUAUAUUAGUUGAUAAGAGCAGCUGAGUAUUGAUAGAAAAGAUGCUUGGUUAGCACGCAAAAGCAAUAUACAUUAGCUAUGUACUGAUACAAAAGAUGGAGGUACUGUAGUGAAUAUUUUCUCCUGAAUGAUAUCCUUUGGCUAAUAUUUUCUACUGAAUAAUAACUACAGUAGUGCGAUGCAAAGGCACAUUAAAAGGCAUAAAUCAAUAUAUCAUGAUGCAUGCUUCAUAGAGGGUCAUAGAAACCUAAAUAGCAAAGGAUAGCAAUAAAGAACAAUUAGGCUCUGUCUUCUUUAAAAAUUGUAAAUCAACAUAACUAAGGCUUUUGCUAAUUUUUUACUACAUUUUGACAUCAUCUCUCUUCUAAUAUACCACAGUGUACGUAGAUUAUCCAAAUGUGAAUGUUGAAGAUCUCGUAAUUCUUCGAAGCCGAUAUUUGUUGCACUUAGUAAAAUGCUACCAAAAUCCAGCAACAUAGAUCUCAGGAGAGGGGGAAGAGGAGAAACAAAGUACACCUGAUAUUUGAAGUUAACCAGAAGUUGUAGCGUCAAAGCCCAAAGUGCCCUAAAAAAUGUUCAUGUGAUACCCAUUGAAGCAAACGAUUAUAACAGCAGGGUAAUUAAAGCAAAGUCCAUGUCCAUGCGCAAAACCAGAGAAACAAAUAUAACAAAGAUAGCUGCAAAAUAAUUGAAGAGUGAGAUAUGUUAAAAGUCUCUAUCACUGCAAUUACGGUCUGUCUAGUGAAUAAUCCCCUUUCAAAGAACCAAGUUAUGGAACUUAGAAGUGCUUAUCUAUGCCAGAAAUUAAUCAGUGUAUGACCAGCAUCAACUUCCUAAAACCAAAAUUAAAACAAAAACCAAAUUAUAUCAACCAAAUGAUGAUUGACUGCAGAUUCUACUUAUUGAUCCCAAAACAUGUGAAAAAUUAAUACCAAGACAGUAAGAGCUGAGAAAGUACUCUUUAAUUGGUCUUUGGUCCUAACCACGAUAGUCACUAACAUGACAAUGCAGUAAUCGUCAAAAUUAAUGUUUCAUAAAAUAUAAUUGGUGCAUAAAAUUUCGUGGUCCCUCUUGGCUUAAUGAAAUUGAUGCUUCUAGGUCUAUCAAUAUAUUGUUUCCAAUGGAAUUCAUCCAACAAUAAAUCAACAUACCGCAAGACUGGAACAAAAACAAUCGAGUAAUUAAAAGAUAUAGAAAAGAUACACACAAUGAUCAAUCAGGCUCAAAUCUGUAAAAAGAAAAAGCAAAAUGGAGGGAGGCACCACCAUGGCUACAAAUUCCUAGUUGCAUAUGCGAAUGAAUUCCAUCUCAUCCCAGAAGCCAUCUGGGUUGCCCAGCUAAGAUAAGGGUUUGAAUUUAAUUUCGCCAUCAAUAACUCAAUAAAAGAUUUUCAUCAUCCUUGCCAGGACAUAUACACAAACCUCAAUGCCCAAGAGCAAAAAAGCAUGAAUAAUUAUGAUUAUACAGCAAAUACCAGAGGAAAAAAUACAUGAAACUAUUUAAAAAGAUGAAAUUGAAUUGAAUAUACCUCUCUUAGCUCUCUCUCUCUCUUAGUCAAAUGACACAAAUGUCCAGUUUAAAUGACAUGGCAGAUUGAGGUUUCUUGGGUGCUGAUAAGUAUGGCCACUAUAAAAACAAAUGCCAACCCAAAAGAGUUUACCAACAAAAUUCAAACUAAUAUAGAAAACAUUAGCAUCUAGAUGAAAUCAGGUGAAUACGGCAAACUUAGAGCAUGAGUUUCGGAGCUGACGCAAUCUACAUACCAUAUUCAUGAAGAGGAGCAUCAUAAUCAUAGCUAGUGGUAAUAAAUUGUCCACCAGCUAUCCUGCAAAAGUUUGUUCCUCCAUGAUAUUGCCAUAAAGAGAAGAAACUAAGAAGACAAUCACAACAGUAAUUUAGUAGCAAUUUGAGGAAAAAUAUUUUUUAAAGCACUAAACUUUACCAUGUAAUAGUUAAUUAAAAAGCCCUGUUUUCAAUAAAUUAUGUAAGAGAAAAAGCCAAGUCUUCAGCCGGAUGGUAAGGUAUUAUACCUCUGAAUUCAAUAAACUUGGAAAAAAAAUAGAUAAAAUAGGUCACUUUCCUGUCAUAAAACUCCAAGAAUUACGUGUCUCCCUAUAUAUAAAAAAAAAAGUAACCACUGACCAGCUUGUUCAAGCUUCUGUCCACAUCUUGGGUUUAUAAGCCUUAUUUGGGGAGUAGUAGUGCCAGUAGAAGCCGUUGCAUGUAUUUGCCUGGGCAAAAGUAAAACAGACAUAGUAUUAAGAUAUUCAUUAUCCUCUGCUUCUUGAACAUACUAUAAGGACAUUUAUAAAAGUAUAAGCUACAUUGUACUGGGCUGAUACAACUUGAAAAAUUUUAUUUUAUGCAAAUUGUGAUAUUUAAAUAAAUAAUCCCCAUUAAUUUUGGAUUUCACAUUAUCUACACUCUAAAUGAAGCAUAAGCUCAACUCAAUGCUAAGCUUAUAGGAAAUGUCUACAAGGCAUAAGCUAUUCAACAAAGUGCUUUUCAAUGUGCAAUUUCAUAAGCUAUAGUACUAAUCCUAGCUCACCACCCUGUACAUCACAUAUAAAUAAAAUACUAUGACUUACCAUCAUUUUUAUGAUAAACUAUUACUAUUAACCUAUUAUAAAAUGUGACUUACUAUCAUUAUCUAGUGAUAAGUUACUAAUGUUAUUAAUACACCAGGUAACAAUGCUAAGUAAUACACAUAAAGCAUCUAACAAUUUUCUUGUUAUUUCAAAAAGUUGUGCAUGGCCCAUGAGUACAAUUGCUGGAAAAGUAGUAGUUCAAUCUUAAAAUCGUGCCUCUCGCACACUACUUUGUCCGUUAAGGAACACUAAAUCAAAGAAAAGUUGUAGAGAUUUUUUUAUUUCGAGAAAAAUUAUUUAUGCACUUUUGUUCACUGAUUUGAAAAUGGUCUGGCUCUAUUUUACUGAGCAUUCAUCAUGGUCCACUUAAUCACUCAAUGGGAACUUAGAUCUACUUAAUUAUGCAUAGCUACACACAACUUAACAAAGGCAUUUUGUGAAGGUUCCAACAACAUUGGCUAAAUAAUGGUAGUUUUUCAUAUUAGUGUCAAAGAUUUAGGAAUCUUUCUUAUCUCAAAGGAUAUAAGGAAGGCUGAUCAAGGUGUUUCAUUCUAUUGUUGGGAAUGUAUUGACUAAUUCUAAUACUCUAUGUCAAAUAAUUGAUCCAUAACUUGAAAAUCAGUUUGUUGUGUUUGACAAAUAUGUUGAAAUAACUGUCUUGGAAGCUAAAAAAUAUGUGUAAUACAUUGAAGCAAGCAUAUGUCCAUUUUUAAAUGUGUGUAUCAGUGAAUUGAUCUCAAUCUGCUUUUGACAAAAAUAUAAUUUUUGAGGACCAAAUAGAGUCAUGAACAGUUGAACACUCCUAAGGUUGUGGUGAAAGUCUUUAAAGCUUAAAUUUCUAUGAAAAUUAGUCUAAAAUCCAAAAUGCAUUUCUAUUAGCCAUCAACGGAGAGUUUGAAGAUAGGCCUUUUGUUCCCCUCCAAAGAAAAACCAUCACAAAAAUAAGAAGUUAGAUAUAAGGGACUCUUCCAGUUUAGCAUAAUUUAAUGCAAAAUUAAUCGUAUGCAGUAUAGCCUUAUUAAGGGAGAAAUAAAAUCAAACCAAAUAUUUCUUUUUUCCUUAAAGAGCUAGUAUACGGACAUAGGUUCGAGAAGGCAAACUUAUAGGUUUGUGAAUAUGCAUAUCUGAUUCAUGAGUAUCGCUUCGGGUAGAAUUUCCAUAGCAGUAUAUAAAAGUUGGGGGAAACUUUCUUAUUUGCGACAAAUUUCCCAAAAUAACAAUACUAAUAAGAAAAGUAGAACAAGGACAAUUUACUUGAAUAGUAAAUCUUUUUUUUUCUUUUACAAAAAGAAAAAGGGAGGGAGGGUAGGAGAGGUAGAGAGGGAAACUAACAGAACUCUUGCUUCUUUUCGUGGAAGGUGCAUCAAAGGAAAACUGAAUUGGAAGAUUUAAAUCAAUUCAAACAGUAUAUGAUAUGACAAAAUGCAUAACUAAAAAUCUCAAAUACACAAAAAUAAAAUACUUGAAAGAAAUUGUAAAAAAGAAUUCAACUUCCUUAAUCUCACACGGUGAGAUUUUCUAUACCCUAACAUGGUAAAAGAGUGCGAAAUAUAUAGUGAAAAAAAUUAAAAGAAGAAAAAAAAUCCCGUUCGAAUCAUUAAACUCCAAUUUUUUUUUUUUAAAAAAAACUGAGACUAAUAGCUACCAAAAGUAGUCCAACUUAACAGCUACAAUUUAACUAUUCACGAAGUAGAGAUAUCCAAACAAACGAAAGCCAAAUAUUUACCUCUAAAUUUUCUAGUAAAGGUGUUUAAGUCCAAACCAUCUGCAGCAGAAAAUUAGAAUCCUAAACAUUAGAAACAAAGGAAAUCUGAUAGUAGCAAACUAACAAAACAAAUACCCAUUCAGCAGAUACAAGUUUUCUGAUAGGUCAUAAUUUGUUGCUAAAUUUAUAAUUAUUCUCUCCUUGAUUUUAACCAAAUAUUAUUUUAAUUGUCAGAUUCUACUUAUAUUUGGUAUUUUGUGCUUAUUUCAGGAGCGGGAAUGCAAAGUGCUUAAAUGAAGAUUUUCUAGUGAAAAAAUCUGAUGGUUUCACGGGAGCACACCUAAGUUCACUGCUCAAAACCGAAAAGUCGGGAUUGAUAUUGGGCAAUCUCCAAAUCUGAAUCAAUUUCCUAAUUUGAUAGUCAUCAGUCCAUCGCUUCACCUGAUGAUUGGUCUCCUAUCUCUAUUGGGACACUAGUCUAGUUUAUUUAUCUUAACUUUGUGGAAACAAUCUCUUAUCUAGUAGGGAUUUGAUUUCGAUUAGUAGAAGUAGUCUAAUAGUAUUAGGAAACAAAACAGCAGAGCAUCUUUAUCGUUUCUUUAUUCCCUCUUUUAGGAAGACUAGUUAGUAGUCAGUGGAUACUUUUUGCUUUUUAGUUAGUCGCAAGACACAAGAAAAAACUAUCUUAUCUUUUCUUUCACUUUCUUUGAAUAAAAAUACAUCACUUUUGGGGAAGAAGAGUCACGUCAAUUAGUUCGACUAAUUGGCUUGGGAUUUCUUCAACGAAGAUGAACUAAACCCCUAAUUCUAGUCAAGGGGACAACUGACGAUUUGGUUCGGCAAUUACUAUGAGAUCUAAACCGUUUUUAAUUGUUUCUUUCAUUUGUUGGUAUUUAUAUGUUUCCUACUUUUAAUUGUUAUAGCUCUUGUGUAUGAUUGAUUAGUGUGCAAUAAUUAAUUAUUCAUAUAGGCUAUUUUGCUAAUUAGGGAAAUUGAAUCCGUAAUUAUUCGAUUAUCCCUAUCUCAGCAGCAACUGGUAUAAUUGGGUUUAUGUCAGGGAAACAUAUGAUCUAAUUUAAACAAACCCUCAUAGCAUGUUUGUUUGUUAGGAUUGGGUCUUUUUAAUUAUUAAUGCAAUCUAGAAAUUAAAUCCUACAAUCGUACUUAGUAUUGUUUUUUGGGUUAGAGAAAUAGUUAACGGUCGUACCUUAAUUAUCGAGAAAUUAAGGAAGGGUUGGUUGUUUAUCGCGUGCAUGACAACUAUAACCAAUCUAUUAAUAAAUGUUGGAAUUAUUUAGGAUUCAAUGAUUAGUGUCUGAACCAUUUUUGAAGUGUACCAUUGGCUAGGGCUGUCCUAAUUAUUUCUUUUAAUUAAUUAUUUUUUGCAAUUAAAUUAUUUAGUUAGCUUUUAAUUCUAAAAUCCCCUAUUUGUUUUGAUUCAAAAGGAAAUAAAUUUCUCCCCAGUUCUUGAGGAGACAACCCUACUUGUCACUGUCUACUAGUUAGUGAAUUUAGUCAGAUAAUUAAUUCGGGUAUAUCAGAUUAAGUAAACUCUUCGAAAACAUGGUGAAUCAAGUAAUCUAUUGCACACCUAGAGUCCCUGCUCCAGUACCUAAAAUUGAUUAUUGGCUACUUUGGGUGGUAGUUAGGUUUUAUUUAUUAUUAUUGUACAAGUUCGGCACCUGUCAAUUUUUGGCGCCGUUGCCAGGGAUUGGUGCUUAAUUAAUUUGUUUCUUUUUUAGUUCAUCUUGUUUUUAUUUUUAUUUUUAAUUUUUUAAUUUUUCUCUUAUUUUUUUAUAUAUAGUUUAUGGCUGCUAACAUUUCGUACUUUGGUGAUAAACUGGAUUUUAUUUCUAGAAGGGGUUAUGAGACUUAUGCUUUUUUUAAUGAUCAAUGAGUUGUUGCAAAUUGUAAAACUUAUUUUGCCUCAAAUCAUUCAACCGACAUAUGCCCUGCAUUUCAAGAUGGUCUAAGUGCUCCAAUAGAUACUUUUGAAAAUUUUUCGCCUCAAUAUCAAACGUGGUAUGACCUUUAUUCAAACGGGUAUGAUCAAGAAUGGUGGGAUGAUUCCAAUUUUAAUUAUGAACAAAGGUCAAUAGAUUUUCAACAGCUAGAGUCUCAAGAACCGUCACCCAUGUCAGGUAUGUCUCUUGAAGAAAUAGUUGAAUCACUAGCUACUAACAAAUAUCUACUUCAACAGGAGACAUAUCUACUUUAACAGGAGACACAUCAAUUUCAACAGGAGGUACGUCAAUUUCAACAGGAGAUACAAAAGAUGAUUAAAGAGAUUGAAGAAGGAAGACGUGAAUGGGCAUCUACAAUGAGCAAAUUGAUUUUUCUAAUUUAUGAAGAAUUGCCCUCACAGACCAUCAACGAUCUUAAAGAAGAUGAGAGUACAAUUAUCCUGACAAGUGACAUGGAACUGCAAGAGUCUUAAAAAAAAGAAUCUAAAGAUGCAGUUGAAAAGGGAAUUGAAUUACAAGAAAUGGAACCCCAAUAUCAAAUGGCUCAAGUGAAUGAAUCCAGUGAACAAUCUCCAAAUGCGGUGACAUCUACUCUAUUCUUUGAUCAAUAUUCUCUUGACUCUUAUUUUUCAAUUCCUGUUAGUGAAAUUUAUUAUACCAGAAGAUUUUGAGUUUCAUAACAGGAAUAAGUUAAGAGCUGCAAUGACAAAAUAUUUCGAACCAGUAAGUAUUCGUGAUGGAGGACUAAGUGAAGAAUUAAAUCCUUGUUGACUUGUUUGGCGCCAUCUACUAGUCCAUGGAAGACUGUAGCUCGUGUGCUCAAGAAUUAAUCUAUUUACGAGUGCUAUCAGGAUUACAUAGAAGAUGAAACACUGAAAUGAGUUACAUGAUUUUAUCCUCCAUGAAUAAACAUGGCAAUGUCUAGUCAAAAACAUUAAAGAAAGGCGCUACUUGGGAGGCAACCCAGGGCCUUUGUUUUAGUUUUCUUAUGUUUUUGGAGUUUUUGUUAAGUGUUAGUUGCAUUUAGUGAUUUGUUGUUUUUGUGGCAGGAAUUUGGCAGUUAGACUUGCCCACGCCAGGUGGUCACGCCUAAGGAAGGCAAUUCACGUCCGCGGGCAGAAGACUCUCUAUUAGUUAAGCGUGCCCACGCCUGAUGGUCACGCUUAAGGAACUCAAUUUCCAAAAAUUGGUCAGAAGACUCUCCAGUAGUUAAGCGUGCCCACGCCUAGUGGUCACGUUUAAGAAACUCAAUUUUCGAAAAUUGGUCAGAAGACUCUCUAAUUAUAGGCAUGCCCACACCAAGAGGUCACGCUUAAGGAUCUUAAUUUUCGUGGGUUGGUCAGAAGAUUCAAGGGCAGUUAGGCGUGCCUACGUCUAAAGUAGUGGUUUCAAAAAAAAAAGAAAUUUCCUUUCUUUUCUUUUUCUUUUUCCUUUUCUUUUUCUUUCUUUCUUUCUCUCUUUUCUUCUUCUCUUCCUUUCCUUUUUAUUCCUUUCUUUUCCUUUCCAACUACAAGACCGUAACCAAAGGACUUCAAAUUCCACCGCCACCGUUGUGCUAUUCAACGUGGGUCGUCAGUUCCUGAUUAUCACUGCUCAUCGCUCGUAAUUCUUCCUCAUCCAUCGUGAGCCACCUGACAUCCUUAGCUGCCGAUCAUAGCUUUCAUCGUCAUCAGUUUUGCCAUCGAGCUCUACAUGUCUUUUGUCGCUCACCUACAGCUAUGCUACAACCUCCCUUGAUGAUCAGGAAAGUUUCGUUAUCCCUUUUUACUUUAAAUUUUAUUCUUUAUUACUUACAUUGGGGACAAUGUAAGAUUUAGGUGCGGGGGGAGUUGUAAUUUGGUAUUUUAUUGAAAAAAUGCAAGUGUAAGCAUUUUUUUGGAAUUUUUUUUGUUUAACUUUAUCGAAUUUUGUCCAAUUUUUGCCUAUCUUUGUGAAUAUUUGUGAUUAUUCCUGAUAAACGAUGAUUAGAUGUCUCAAAUUUUUCUAUUGUUAAAAUUUUACAAUUUAAGGUGUUGAGUAUAACACGAUUAAGUUUAAGGGUUUCUCUUUGGUGAAUAUUUGAGAUUUUGUGACUUUUACACUUUUUGGUUAAUUUCUCUAAGUAUUGUAAAUAUUUGUCUAACAUUUUUUAUGCAAAUUGGUGGUUCAGCUAUUAAUCUUAGUUUUCCAUAUUUAAGAAAUGAAGCGGGUUUGUGUGAUUUUUAAUUUUAAUUUGGUGCAUAUUUAUGAAUAGUAUUCAGCUAUACUCCGCUAGUAUCGUUACCUAGUAACCGGAGGUUUUUACCACAAGUGUCAACUUUCGCAUCAAAAAACGACGAUAACUAUGAGUAUGUAGUCUUUUAGCGAUAAAAGCUGAGUAACCGGACUCCUUCAUUGGGCCAAUGUCGGAGUUCGCAUCAAAACACUUAAAUGGCUAAAAACUAAGCAUUCCCCCCUGGAGAAAAAAAAAUCAAUUAAAUGUGGGGAUAUUUUAGAAAAAAAAUGCUAAUAGUAAAAAAUGUGAAUGAAUUGUUAGCCCGCUGAUCCAUGAAUUUUAAUGUUGAAAUUUUGCUUAAUAGUCGAACCAUUUGCUUAUGGAUGCUGGUUGAAUAUUUUAUAUUCUUAGAUUAGUUGGUCAUAAAUUGAAAGAGUUCUUGAUCUUUGUAGACACCAAAUUUUUGUCAAUUUUUAAUAUUUUCUCAAGAUUUUUCUAUUUAAUAAUUUAUUUAUUUUCUUACAUUUUAAUGUGCAUUUUUCUUAUUUUUUGCAGAAAAAAAAAAUCAACUAAACCCAUUUGACAAAAUCUCUUGGUUCCCUCCUUAUUCUCAGGGACUGAAAAAAAAAAAAAAGGAGGAACGGCACUUUUUUUGGGGCUCAAAAAACAACCUGACACAAAAAAAAGGACUCCCUCAAUUCACUCUCUCGAGACACACAAGAAAUCAGACAAGCAAAGACAAAAAAAAAAAACUAACUCCUCACUCUCUUACUCUCUCGGCUCUCUCUUGGAAGUCAGAGACAAGAAAAAACAAAGAAUCACUUUCCACUCCUCACUCUCUUACUCUCUCGGCUCUCUCCCACAGGACAGAAGACAAGCCAUAACAAAAAAAAAGAAAAACUCCUCUCUCCAUUCGGCUCCCUCUCUUUUCCUAAUAUACACACACAGAAUCAAACACAAGAAAGCAAGCAAUCGGACGUGAGGAGAUUGGAAUUUCAUCAACAAUUUUAACUAAGGUCACAAGAGGUAUCAACACUUCCAUUGAAUUAUUUCCCGUUUUUUUUUAUCAUGUUGAAUUCAUGUAUUAUUGGUUGUUCCUGCUGUUUUCUUGUUGUUGCUGCUGGUGUUGUUGAAAUUUUGGGGUAAAGCCAUGAAUAAACAUUAAGGAAAAGAUGAUUUCUGUGAAUGCAUGUUAAUUGUUUGAAAAAAUGCCAAAAAGAAUUUUAGGGACUGUUUUGCCUUAAUUCAGCCUUUUUAUGUUGUUUUCUUGUUCAACUUAGAGUAUAGUUGUAAUGUAGAAGUUAUAAGGAGGGUUUUGGUAUAAUUUUUAAGAUUUUUGGUGAAGAUUAUAGUGUUUUAAAAAUAAAAAAAAAACUGGACUGGCUUUUUGCUUUUCGGCCACCUUCGGGUCAUCUUUUGUAAAAAUUAACUCCGGAAAUGGAAUCUACGCGAAAAAUCGAGUGAGAGGGUGUGUUUUGAGAAAAAUUUGGUGACCGGAGAGGUCGCCGGCGGCUGCCGGCGGCGGCGGUCCGGUGACGGCGACGCCACCGGCGGCCACCAUGGCCGCCAGCUGAAGCUUCCUCAGCUGGCCGAAGAAGAAGGAAAAAGAAACGGCUGGAGGUGGAGGAAGAAGAAAAGAAGAAGAAGAGGAAGAAGAAAAGAAAGAAAAGAAAAAAAAAAGAUUUGGGCUAAUGUUUUAUUUCGGUUGGGCCAAGGUUAGUUUUGGUUGGGUUUUGAAAAUAGGUUUUGGUUUAUUUCUUUUGGGUUUCGGUUAGGCUAGAAGGUCAGAGCCCAUGCCUUUAUUUUUGGUUGGGUCUGAGUGAUAGAAGACGGGCUGGCCUUGUGUUUUGGCUUGGACUUUCGGUUGGGUUUAAGUAGUGUCCGGCCCAAGGAAAUAAAAUGAUGGCCUGGUGGCCCAUUUCUUAAGAAUAUCAUAAACCGAUUUUUGUACUUUAGCCCCUGAUUUUUGGAGUAGUUUCAUCGUGGCCUAGAACAUUUUUAAUCUCUUUCACUUAGGUCCUUAAAUUAAUUGCACUUUGGUCCUUGAAUUUUAUCUUUUAUUUAAUUUUGACCUCUAAACUUUGGAAAAAUAUAAUUUUUAUCCCCAAAGGUUUUUCAAUUUUUGCAAUUCAGUCCCCGAUGAAUUUUGACUCUCUUUAUUAUGAUUGUUUCUUUUCUUUAAUAGCUAAUUAUGUUACUUUUGAAUAUAUUUAACUUGCAAUUUUUAGAUGUUCUUAAAUUUCUUUGCUUUGACAUGUUAACGUGUAUUUAGUAUUUUAACAUUAUUAUUAUUUUUCAAUUAAAUUGGUGCCAUGAUCCUUUUGUUCAUUGUAAGUAUAAUUAGGACAAUUUGACUCCAUUUAGUCACCACUUCAAACGGGAGGUACUCCUAUUUUAUUAUUUCAAUGUCAAUUACGUGCUCUUAUGUGCUUCUAUGUGUUCCUAUGUGUUUAUAUAUCUUUAUAUGCUUUAUUUAUUUGAUUUAAAUAGUCAUUCAAAUUUUCUUAUAUAUAUUUUAGUUAGUUUUUAUAAUGAUUCGAGAGGUAUUUAAAUACCUCAAAAAUGUAAUAGAUAGGAUAAUUAGAUUUGUUUUAUUAUAUUUUUCCCUCCUAGAUUGUAGUUAGGCGCUCCCCGAUGUAAUAGAUAGGUUGCGUGUUUAUGUGGCUUAUGUGUUAAGUAUUUUAUCCGCUUUUCUUAGGAUUUUGGCAUCUAGAUAUUAUGCUUACGUGUUAUGUGUUACGUGCUCUUAUGUGUUUAUUUGUUUUAAUUUAUGCUUUAUUUGUUUCACUAUGAAUUGUUAAUGCAUAACGUCACCACACUAGUCCAACGCUAGUUGGGGCUUCUCUCUUCGCUUACUUGCUAGUCCAACGCUAGUAAGGAUUUUUAGAAAUGGGCUGGUCCAACGCUAGACCUUUUAGGCCGUCUUGCGUUAGAUCCAUCUUUGUGUGCUAUUCACUACAUCUUCAUGCAUAUUUUUAUUUUUAGGAUCUUUUCUCAUUUGCAUGAUAUUCCCUAUUAUAUUAUCCCCUACCCUCUAUAGGCGCUGAUCAUGUCAUUUAGAAUUACAUCUCAUUUAAGCUAGUUCAUUUGCUUGUUCAUGUUAGGAUAAUUGUUUUUCAAACAUGGAAAAUGGGUGAUUAUACCUUUUUAGUUUAAAUACCCAAUUGAUCCCUGUAUAAGAAAAUUAUGUCACGAGUUUUUGCCUCCCAUACCCUUUAUGUUGCAUUCCCUUUUUCUUUGAUCACUUAUAUAUGUAUAUAAUUUAAUUUCUUUUCUUUUAUUUUAAUUUCAUCAUUCGCAUACUCGUGACACUUUCAAGGAAUCAUUUUGGCAUUCGCAAUUAAUGCGAUUGGUUCAAUUAAAUCCUUGAAUGAACAUUGUGUCCCUUUCGAUAUUUUUAUAAAUUUAGAUUUGCAUCCAUGUAGGUAACAUCCAAAUAUGAUAAAAUUAAGGGUUAGAUUAGGAAAAUUUUGACUAAACAUCGCAACUAGCUUAGACUAGGUUGAAAGGGUGCCUUAGGUUUGAGUUAAUCGAACCUUUGCCUUCCCUUUCUUCAACCGUGACUCCCGAAUCCAUUUUCUCUUGUUUUCAAAAAUCUGGAGUUGUCAAAAAGGGUUUUAUUUUAUUUUACUUUAUUUUUUGGGUGACUUGGUACACCAAAACUUCAUACCAAGUGGCGACUCCUAUUUUUACUAAAAACCCUUUUGGACUAAAUUUUGGACCCAAAUUGUCGCAUUCUUUUUUAAGUCCCAUUCUAGGUUCUUUUUCAUUUAUCAUUAAUAAAUCACAUCUUUUUUUACAAACUCCUUUCUUUCCCAUCGCGAAAAAUGGGGCGCGACAACUUGGCGACUCCACUGGGGACGCUAGAGAGUCCAAGCACUUGGUUUAGUUGUUCUUUUCUCUUUUUAACCCUUUUACUUAUCAUAUUUGGAUGUUUAGGUUGCAUUUUUCUGUUUUAGGAUGUUUUGCAUUUCACACUCGUAUUCGUUCCUCGUAUUUCAUGUAUGUGAUGAAUGGAUUAUUUAUUUACUUAUUCGUAUCGCGCUUUGCAUUUGGGAUGGGGAUAUUACCCUAGAGUCUCGCAUUGGUUCUCGAUCCCUCCCCUCCAAACCUAGCACUAGCAUACGUGCAUACGUUCUAUUUUUUAUCCCUCAUUUAUUUUUUUCUUUUAGUGGCUUGUCACGCCACUCCACCCUAUUAGGAUUAGGCGACCCACUUGGACGUCUGAUCGUGACACGAUGUGUGCGUAGCAUGAUCCCAGGGGUCACUCAAUCUUCCGCUUUAAACUUUGGGUUAUAGCCUUUAGCUUUUAGUCGAAGGUUGAGAAUUUUUGAUAGAUUCACUCAAACACGUAGCCGUGGCACGAUGUGUGCGUAGCAGUGUUUGGGGAAUCGCUCGAGCCACCGACAAAGAACCUUGGGAUUGAUGACCUUUGAUUUCCAAGUCUGAAGGCUCGGGGACCUAAAACCUAUCGAGUCUAGAUGUAUUAGUGAGCCAAUACCUCAUGCAUCCAUGAUAGUUUACCUAAGGUAGAGUCUGCCUUACCCUAUUAGGGACACUAUCCACGAAGGGAGGGAUCCAACCCCUCUUUUCCUUUUAUUGCUUUAUCUCUUUGUAUUGUUUUACUACAAUGUGUUAUGUGUAUAUUGUCUGAUUGAACUAACUUUUCUUGGUUUUUCUCUCCACUGCAUUCAUAAGCCCUAGAAAAUAAGAGUUCUGGCAUGGUACUCUGUAGGAGUCUACCCUAUUUGAUAUGACACGUUUAAAUUCAAUACUUCGCAUUUGCAGCAUGAGUACAUUUCAUUUUAGGCUUACCUCGGCAUUUAAAUGGGGCACUUUUAGAUCAUAUGUCAAUUAUUUCAUUGCAUAUUUAACCGCUUUAAUAAACUGGCAUCAUGCAUCAACUAUAAAGGGAAUGCCGUAUAGGGAAUCCCGCGUUAGGAAUAAGCCACCUUUUGUCUCGGCUAUAUAAUCCAAUGAGACUUGCACGUUUAUAUUUUUUGUACAAUCCAAAGGGGUAGUGCACAAGGUAAGGUAGGAUUCGAUCCCUUUUGUGUGACGGCAUUGAGAAUGAUGGAACAAUUUUUACGCAUUAGAAUAUGAGCCUCUAAUAAUCACUUUUUGGCUAUUUUAUUAGAAUUGGUAAAAAUCCCUUGCGUAAAGGAUAUUAAGUUGAAGAAAUUCACAAAUUCCUCAUUGUUGAGAUGAUAAGUAUGUUAAGGCCAAAUCUUGAUUUCCGAAGGCUCAUAGACUAAUGAAUCACAAUGAAAUUUUUUGAAUCUACCAAUGGGCAGACAAUUCCAUCAAUUUUGAUAAAUUAUCAAUUUCAUUCAUUCCAUUUUUACAUCUAAGAUGAUUGAGUCGAUUUUUUUUAUAGAUCAUUCGAUCCAUACAAUUUUGCUCAUUUUUAAUUUCAUUUUCAUUCAAUUUCAUUUUGGAUAAAUCAUGAAUUUCAUUCUGUUCGUUUGGCCAGUGAUUCAGUCGAUUUUUGAAUAAACUGUCAAUUCUAUCCAAUUCAUUUGAUCAAUUUAUUCAUUUUUAGGACAAUACAAUCAAUUUUGAAUAAAUCAUCAAUUCCAUCCAAUUCACUAUUCAUUUAGUCAACUUUAUUUUUGUUGAAUAAAUUCUCAAUUUCAUCCAAUCCAUUUGAUCAGUUUUAUUCACUUUCAGGAUAAUCCAGUCAAUUUUUGAACUAACCAUCAAUUUCAUUCGAUUCAUUUAUUCUUUUUUUUGAAGUUUCGAUCUAUGGUUCGCCGAAGAAACUAGUCGAGACAUUUCAAUCAUUUCAAAAAUAAGUUUAUCAUACUUAAUUGAUUUUGUUUAUCACUUUAUAGGUCAAUCAGAGCAAUCAAUCCAUUUGGAUUUUGUCCUCAUUUUAUUAGGACAAUUUUUCUUUUGUCACUCUAAUUAGCCAAAUUUUUCCAAAAUUGUCUUUUAUUCGAAUCUUAAUGAGCUGAUUGGAUCCAUCAGGUAUUGUAUGGUGCCCACCCCAGAGGAUUGCAUUUUUCAUACUAGAGUAACCCUUGGCAUAAAAGGGUUUCCCCCAUAGGUCAUGCAUUCGAAUUUUUUGGAUAUUUACUAACUCUUAUCGUUUUUUUUUUCUUUCUUUAUUUUAUUGGAAAAUCUAAGUGAGAGCUAAAUCUAAAAGGCAAUUCCUUUCAACAUUCUCAGGUAAUAUUUAAACAUAACUUCUCUUUGAAGCCUCAUCAUAGCACGAUCCCGUAGUCAAACCCAGAAGAAUCGUAUAAACAUGAGUUCACAACCGGAACCGUCGGAUAGGUCCAUUACUACAGCUCAACCUGAAACUACAAAUUUGGGGGUCCAGCUAACCGAGAUGCUUGCUAAGUUUAGCGAAAUGACUACCGAGAUGGUGGCCCAAAGGAAAUUGAUUGAUGAGUUUAUCAGCAGCGAAGUUCAACCCGAACCUGUACCCGUCAGACAACCUGAGCAAGAACCAUUUGUCAUACCUUCGACUCAAACUACAUUUAUUCCAUCCUUCCCUAUUUCACCCGAAGAAACUCUCACUUAUGCCACCACAAAUUUGCCAUACACUUACCCUCCUAAUCCUUCUUUUCUUCCUACUCACAUGCGAGGUUCACACCCCCAAAUUACUUCGAAUAUACCUCCCGAACCACAUGGUUUUUAUCACACUACCGCAGAGCCCUUACUGCCAGACCAUACUGUCCAAGCUAAACCAGAGGUAGGAGAAUCUUCUGCUCUUGUUGAUAUGAAAUUGCUCAAGCGCCUAGACCGUUUCGACGAAUUUAUGAGGAAAAGUCAAGGGCUAAACAAGCAAGGAGUGCUGGACUAUGAUGAACUUUGUCUCUUCCCAAAUGUGCAGUUGCCUGUGGGGUUCAAAACCCCAAAAUUUAACAAGUACGAUGGAAUGGGUAACCCUAAGACACACCUCCGACUGUUUGCUAACAAGUUGGGAAGGCCCAUAGAUGACGAGAAUCUGCCUCUAAGGCUGUUCCCAGAAAGUCUGGAGGGUGAUGCACUCGACUGGUAUUCCAAUUUGAAACCCGAGGAAGUAAAGACCUGGCUUGACUUGUCCAAUGCUUUUGUGAGGCAGUACGAGUACAACUGUGAGUUGGCUCCGACACGAACCACGUUGGAAGGAACGAAGAGAAAACCCUCUGAGGACCACAAAACCUAUGCUAAGAGAUGGAGGAAAAUAGCUGCAAAGGUUGAGCCACCAAUGACUGAAGAUGAAAUUAUCAGCACUUUCAUUAAGGCACAUGAUCCACCGUACUUUGAAGAAAUUUUCCGCAUGACUGGAUGUUCGUUUGCUGCUAUUGUCAAUAAGCUUGAAGAGUACGAUGACUUCGUAAGAGUUGGGAAGAUCGUUAAUGUCUCUGUCCUCAAAUCGCAGUUGGAUGCUUUGCAAGGACAAGUGAGCAGUGGACAAAAGCCGCAGUUUAAAAAGGAAGAGGGGGAAGCUGCCUUCAUCUGGGAUCAAAACCCUACACCAAGACCCAGAUUUCAACAUAAACCAACAUAUUCACCGCCUUAUCCCUACUAUCCAAGUCUUCACCCUGUCUACAAUACCAAUAUCUCCCACCCCCGACCUCGCCUAAAUUACGCCAAAUCGCCCACAAUCCCUUUUCAAAUAUCUCAACCCAAUUUUCAACAAACUCGUUCUCGACUUUCUUACAACCAGAGAUUUCCCCCACCAAACGGACCCACCUAUAACUAUCCCCAACCCACUGAAACCUACAAUCAAAGUCGUACCCGAACCUUCACCAACCUAGGCAGGCCUUUGGACCGAGUGUAUGAGCAGUUAAGGGAUGCCGGUAAAAUAGGUGUGACCUUUAUGGCAUGCCUGCCGGAUACAAUCCGCAGUCCACUUGUGCCUAUCAUUCGGGAGCACCUGGCCACUCAACCGCUGAUUGUAAAGCCCUUAAGCACAAAGUUCAAGACAUGAUCGAGGCAGGGGAAAUAGUGCUAAGGAAAAAGGGUGAACAAAGACCGAGCAUAAGUACAAAUCCUUUUCCUGAACAUAAAGACACCUUUGAGGCAUCCACCUCCAAUGAAGAAAUUUGAAAAUCUUGAAGGAAUUUUGCACAAUUGGAUUGCCGAGUAUCUUCCCUCUUGAAGGGAAUUUCGAUAAAAUUUGGGGGUUGUCAUUUGCUAAAAUUCAUAAAAAUUGUCACUGGUUUUGUGUAAAUAGUUUUGGCUAAAACAAUUUUCGCAUUAUCAAGCUCCUGUGUUGCUUUUUGAAUUUUUCAACGGAGUGCAUAGUUACAUCUUUUCAUUAUUCUUGCUUGUUUGAUACCAUUUUGUUUAUAUUGGUUGAUUGUGUAUUGUUUUAAUUUCCUUUUACAUUCUUUUAGAUAGCCAAAAAUAAAAUUAUUUGACCUUUGGAUAUCACUGUUCUGGAAUCCGGUGACGGCAAUCUCGAUAUCACUCGCGACUUUGACGUUAUGGAAUCUGAAAUUCAAAACGAGAGUGAUAAUGAGGAAGUAUCUGGUUUUUUUCAAAAGGUUUGAACAAUAUGAAGAGAAAUCUAAACCGAACCUAGAAGAAACAGAGAUUGUUAACAUUGGCACUGAGACUGAGGUCAAAGAAAUAAGGAUAAAUAUACAUCUGAAUGAAGAGCAGAAAAGAAAUCCCCUUCAUUGCGUAUUCUAAUGGAAGCCAAGUUAGAAGAAGCUGAUUGGUUGAAGUAGAGACUUUUUAACAAUCGGCUCUGAUUGAUGAAAAGCGUCUGAAUGCUAUAUGUCGCGGCCAAUGCUACCAAAAACGCAUGUCCCGUGCUUACAACAAAAAUGUCCACCGGCGAUCCUCCGAAGAAGAAGACAAAGUGCUAAAGCGAAUUUUGCCAAUACAAAAUGAAGCCAAAGGCAAAUUUGCUCCAAACUGACAAGGCCCAUUUGUCGUUCAAAAGGUGCUACCGGGCGGAGCACUUGUUUUAGCAGAGAUGGAUGGACAGACAUUCCCUCAACCUAUCGACUUAGACAUGUGUAAGAAAUUCUUUAUUUGAUUAUGCGAAUUCCUUUUAGAAAUCACGCAAGGGACGAGACAAAAGUCAGGCCAUCUUCCUUUCCAAUCAAAACAUUUCAUCCCUAGUCAUCCCCUUUGAGCUAUCAGAACAAUAAUUUUCGUUUGACAGCCCCUGAGAAUUGCAAACCCCACACUGGGGCAAAUUCAUUUUGAAAAAGAUGAUCCAGAAGAGGAAAAGGAAAAGAAAAGCCCCCCACUGGGGCAAAUUUAUUUUGAAAAAAAUGAUCAGAAAGAGAAGAAAGAACCCCACACUGGGGCAAAUUUAGUUUUUGAAGAAAAAUGCAAAAGUGAGAAAAAUGCAAUGAAGAAAAUGCAAAGAGAGAAAAUUCCAAUCAAACUGGGGCAAAUUUUCCUCGGUUUCAUUCAAAAAUUGGAGAUUAUUUCAAAAUGAUGCAAUCUCAGAUUAUUUCACACCUCUCAUCAAAAAAAAGAAAAAUUACUUUCAAGCCUCAACUUUCUUGAAAAACACCCCACCUGACCUCAUUACAAAAACCCAAAGUCUUGGAUUUCGUCACUUGCUGUAUUUCUAUUAGGAAGUUCGCUAAUCAAUUGGCAAGUGAUGUCCAUUAUGCCUUCGCCUAACCUUGUAGGGGAAGCGUAUUUUACUGAUGCCAGCUAUCUUCAACUCACAUGCCGGAGUUGAUCAUGGUCGAGAUUUUCUAUUGUUCCUUAGGUGAAAACUUGAAAGGACACCUUAAAAAAAGGGAAAAGAAAAAAAGAAAAGAAAAAAAAAACGGUGGGGGCAACCUUGGUGAAAAUCCGAAAGGCGCCAAGGUAGGGUUCUGCAGUAAGCGAGCACGAGGAGAAACAGUUGGUGACUUUGGUUCAUUUGAAUUUCUCUUCGUUUUGUUAUACUUCUGCCAAUGUUGAAUUCCGGAACAAAGAUAUCCAGAGAUUCGAAUAUGACAUCCGUUGGCCAAAAGCUGUGUCACGUUGUAAAAAUGUUUUUUUGCAAUACAUUCUUAUGAAACUCAUCUUUUCUCAAUUGCUUGUAUUCAUGGCAUUUUGUAGGUUUAAAGCCCAAUUAGUUGCAUUUGCAUUCUUUUGCAUAUCCAUUUCUGCAUGAUAUGCGAAAUUACCUUGCAUACUUCAUUUAUUUAUUUAUUUAUUUAUUUUAUCAUUGAAUUUUGGUGAAUGACAAUCCCUAUGGUUUAUUCGAAACAUAUUUAGAUUCAGUCAUCUUUUGAAAAUGGUUGAAAUUCAGCAAAGCUGGCUACGCAGGUUUCACGAUAUGGCAAAAGGCAUACCUGGUUAGUCUGAAAAAAUGCCACAGCAAAAGUGGAUGAAUGCAUCAAAAGACUCAUGUUUACACGAUUCUCAAAGGGAAACGGAUUAAAUAAUGGUGGCAAUUUCUUUGUUCUUUCUCUUUUGCAGAAAAAUUUCAUGCAUAGAUGAAAACAAUCACAACUUGCACUGGAGUCGGUAUCGGAAGGAGUUCUCCAGUGAACAAAGGCGGAUCGAAAAAUAUUGCAAGCAAAUUUGAUCAAAAGGUGCAACAACAUGGCAAUGCAGAAUCAACUAUUGGCUUAGGUGCAUAAACUUAACCUCUACUGGGGCAAAAAAAAAAAUAUUGGGUUAUUUUCAGGUAAGUAUACUUAAAUUUCUCGUUCGGGUCAGUCCCAUGUUCAAAUUCUUGUUCGGGUCAGUCCCAUGAUAAAUUCUGGUUCGGGUCAUCCCGUGUUUAAUUACCUACUCGGGUCAGUCCCAUGUUUAAAUUCUUGAUAAAUUCUGGUUCGGGUCAUCCCGUGUUUAAUUUCCUACUCGGGUCAGUCCCAUGUUUAAAUUCUUGUUCGGGUCAGUCCCAUGAUAAAUUCUGGUUCGGGUCAUCCCGUGUUUAAUUUCCUACUCGGGUCAGUCCCAUGUUUAAAUUCUUGUUCGGGUCAGUCCCAUGAUAAAUUCUGAUUCGGGUCAAUCCCAUGUUUAAUUUCCUGGUCAGGUCAGCCCCGAGUUUAAAUUUUUGUUCGGGUCAGCCCCAUGUUUAAAUUCUCAUUCGGGUCAGUCCCAUGUUUAAUUUCUUAUUCGGGUCAGUCCCAUGUUUAAAUUCUCAUUCGGGUCAGUCCCAUGGUAAAUUCCUGUUCGGGUCAGUCCCACGGUAAAUUCUGGUUCGGGUCAGUCCCGUGUUUAAUUUCCUACUCGGGUCAGUCCCAUGUUUAAAUUUCUUAUUCGAGUCAGUCCCAUAUUUAAUUUCUUGAUCGGAUCAGUCCCGUGUUUAAAUUUCUUGUUCGGGUUAGUCCCAUGGUAAAUUCUCGAUCGGGUCAGUCCCAUGUUUAAAUUUCUGUUCGGGUCAGUCCCAUGGUAAAUUCUUGUUCGGGUCAGUCCCACGUUUAAAUUCUCGUUCGGGUCAGUCCCACGUUUAAAUUUCUGUUCGGGUCAGUCCCAUGGUAAAUUCUUGUUCGGGUCAGUCCCACGUUUAAAUUAUCGUUCGGGUCAGUCCCAUGUUUAAAUUUCUUGUUCGGGUCAGUCCCAUGAUAAAUUCUGAUUCGGGUCAGUCCCAUGUUUAAUUUCCUGUUCGGGUCAGUCCCGCGUUUAAAUUCUUGUUCGGGUCAGCCCCAUGUUUAAAUUCUCAUUCGGGUCAGUCCCAUGGUAAAUUCUUGUUCGGGUCAGUCCCAUGUUUAAUUUCUUAUUCGGGUCAGUCCCAUGUUUAAAUUCUCAUUCGGGUCAGUCCCAUGGUAAAUUCUCGUUCGGGUCAGUCACAUGUUUAAAUUCUCGUUCGGGUCAGUCCCGUGUUUAAAUUUUCGUUCGGGUCUGUCCCGCGUUUAAAUUCCUAUUCGGGUCAGUCCCAUGGUAAAUUCUGGUUCGGGUCAUUCCCGUGUUUAAUUUCCUGCUCGGGUCAGUGGUAAUUUCUUGUUCGGGUCAGUCCCAUAUUUAAUUUCUUGAUCGAGUCAAUCCCGUGUUUAAUUUCCUACUCGGGUCAGUCCCAUGUUUAAAUUUCUUGUUCGGGUCAGUCCCAUAUUUAAUUUCUUGAUCGAGUCAGUCCCGUGUUUAAAUUUCUUGUUCGGGUUAGUCCCAUGGUAAAUUCUCGAUCGGGUCAGUCCCAUGUUUAAAUUCCUGUUCGGGUCAGUCCCAUGGUAAAUUUUUGUUCGGGUCAGUCCCACGUUUAAAUUCUCGUUCGGGUCAGUCCCAUGUUUAAAUUUCUUGUUCGGGUCAGUCCCGUGUUUAAAUUUCUUGUUCGGGUCAGUCCCAUGUUUAAUUUCUCGUUCGAGUCAGUCCCAUGUUUAAAUUUUUGUUCGGGUCAGUUCCGUUUUAAAUUUUUUGUUUGGGUAAGUCCAUUUUAAAAUUUUGGGGUCAGUUCUCAUUUCAAAAGCGUCAGUCGUUCGAAUAGCUUGCAUUCGAACUAAGUUUGACCUGAUUCCCAUAGUGGGAUACGUAGGCAACUCUACAUGAGUUCGGUCACAUUUUCUGCAAUGUUAUUACAUCUUUUGUUCACUAAUUUCAGACAAGUGUUGCUUUUCUUUAUUUUAGCUCAGGUGCAGUUAGAAGAGACAGGUAAGUAAUUUGAUGUCUACGUCUUUGUCUUGAGUUUCUUUGAAACUCUAGACAAAGAGGGGCAAGCUGUAGACACCAAAUUUUUGUCAAUUUUUAAUAUUUUCUCAAGAUUUUUCUAUUUAAUAAUUUAUUUAUUUUCUUACAUUUUAAUGUGCAUUUUUCUUAUUUUUUGCAGAAAAAAAAAAUCAACUAAACCCAUUUGACAAAAUCUCUUGGUUCCCUCCUUAUUCUCAGGGACUGAAAAAAAAAAAAAAGGAGGAACGGCACUUUUUUUGGGGCUCAAAAAACAACCUGACACAAAAAAAAGGACUCCCUCAAUUCACUCUCUCGAGACACACAAGAAAUCAGACAAGCAAAGACAAAAAAAAAAAACUAACUCCUCACUCUCUUACUCUCUCGGCUCUCUCUUGGAAGUCAGAGACAAGAAAAAACAAAGAAUCACUUUCCACUCCUUACUCUCUUACUCUCUCGGCUCUCUCCCACAGGACAGAAGACAAGCCAUAACAAAAAAAAGAAAAACUCCUCUCUCCAUUCGGCUCCCUCUCUUUUCCUAAUAUACACACACAGAAUCAAACACAAGAAAGCAAGCAAUCGGACGUGAGGAGAUUGGAAUUUCAUCAACAAUUUUAACUAAGGUCAUAAGAGGUAUCAACACUUCCAUUGAAUUAUUUCCCGUUUUUUUUUAUCAUGUUGAAUUCAUGUAUUAUUGGUUGUUCCUGCUGUUUUCUUGUUGUUGCUGCUGGUGUUGUUGAAAUUUUGGGGUAAAGCCAUGAAUAAACAUUAAGGAAAAGAUGAUUUCUGUGAAUGCAUGUUAAUUGUUUGAAAAAAUGCCAAAAAGAAUUUUAGGGACUGUUUUGCCUUAAUUCAGCCUUUUUAUGUUGUUUUCUUGUUCAACUUAGAGUAUAGUUGUAAUGUAGAAGUUAUAAGGAGGGUUUUGGUAUAAUUUUUAAGAUUUUUGGUGAAGAUUAUAGUGUUUUAAAAAUAAAAAAAACUGGACUGGCUUUUUGCUUUUCGGCCACCUUCGGGUCAUCUUUUGUAAAAAUUAACUCCGGAAAUGGAAUCUACGCGAAAAAUCGAGUGAGAGGGUGUGUUUUGAGAAAAAUUUGGUGACCAGAGAGGUCGCCGGCGGCUGCCGGCGGCGGCGGUCCGGUGACGGCGGCGCCACCGGCGGCCACCAUGGCCGCCAGCUGAAGCUUCCUCAGCUGGCCGAAGAAGAAGGAAAAAGAAACGGCUGGAGGUGGAGGAAGAAGAAAAGAAGAAGAAGAGGAAGAAGAAAAGAAAGAAAAGAAAAAAAAAAGAUUUGGGCUAAUGUUUUAUUUCGGUUGGGCCAAAGUUAGUUUUGGUUGGGUUUUGAAAAUGGGUUUUGGUUUAUUUGUUUUGGGUUUCGGUUAGGCUAGAAGGUCAAAGCCCAUGCCUUUAUUUUUGGUUGGGUCUGAGUGAUAGAAGACGGGCUGGCCUUGUGUUUUGGCUUGAACUUUCGGUUGGGCUUAAGUAGUGUCCGGCCCAAGGAAAUAAAAUGAUGGCCUGGUGGCCCAUUUCUUAAGAAUAUCAGAAACCGAUUUUUGUACUUUAGCCCCUGAUUUUUGGAGUAGUUUCAUCGUUGCCCAGAACACUUUAAAUCUCUUUCACUUAGGUCCUUAAAUUAAUUGCACUUUGGUCCUUGAAUUUUAUCUUUUAUUUAAUUUUGACCUCUAAACUUUGGAAAAAUAUAAUUUUUAUCCCCAAAGGUUUUUCAAUUUUUGCAAUUCGGUCCCCGAUGAAUUUUGACUCUCUUUAUUAUGAUUGUUUCUUUUCUUUAAUAGCUAAUUAUGUUACUUUUGAAUAUAUUUAACUUGCAAUUUUUAGAUGUUCUUAAAUUUCUUUACUUUGACAUGUUAACGUGUAUUUAGUAUUUUAACAUUAUUAUUAUUUUUCAAUUAAAUUGGUGCCAUGAUCCUUUUGUUCAUUGUGAGUAUAAUUAGGACAAUUUGAUUCCAUUUAGUCACCACUUCAAACGGGAGGUACUCCUAUUUUAUUAUUUCAAUGUCAAUUACGUGCUCUUAUGUGCUUCUAUGUGUUCCUAUGUGUUUAUAUAUCUUUAUAUGCUUUAUUUAUUUGAUUUAAAUAGUCAUUCAAAUUUUCUUAUAUAUAUUUUAGUUAGUUUUUAUAAUGAUUCGAGAGGUAUUUAAAUACCUCAAAAAUGUAAUAGAUAGGAUAAUUAGAUUUGUUUUAUUAUAUUUUUCCCUCCUAGAUUGUAGUUAGGCGCUCCCCGAUGUAAUAGAUAGGUUGCGUGUUUAUGUGGCUUAUGUGUUAAGUGUUUUAUCCGCUUUUCUUAGGAUUUUGGCAUCUAGAUAUUAUGCUUACGUGUUAUGUGUUACGUGCUCUUAUGUGUUUAUUUGUUUUAAUUUAUGCUUUAUUUGUUUCACUAUGAAUUGUUAAUGCAUAACGUCACCACACUAGUCCAACGCUAGUUGUGGAUUCUCUCUUCGCUUACUUGCUAGUCCAACGCUAGUAAGGAUUUUUAGAAAUGGGCUGGUCCAACGCUAGACCUUUUAGGCCGUCUUGCGUUAGAUCCAUCUUUGUGUGCUAUUCACUACAUCUUCAUGCAUAUUUUUAUUUUUAGGAUCUUUUCUCAUUUGCAUGAUAUUCCCUAUUAUAUUAUCCCCUACCCUCUAUAGGCGCUGAUCAUGUCAUUUAGAAUUACAUCUCAUUUAAGCUAGUUCAUUUGCUUGUUCAUGUUAGGAUAAUUGUUUUUCAAACAUGAAAAAUGGGUGAUUAUAGCUUUUUAGUUUAAAUACCCCAUUGAUCCCUGUAUAAGAAAAUUAUGUCACGAGUUUUUGCCUCCCAUACCCUUUAUGUUGCAUUCCCUUUUUCUUUGAUCACUUAUAUAUGUAUAUAAUUUAAUUUCUUUUCUUUUAUUUUAAUUUCAUCAUUCGCAUACUCGUGACACUUUCAAGGAAUCAUUUUGGCAUUCGCAAUUAAUGCGAUUGGUUCAAUUAAAUCCUUGAAUGAACAUUGUGUCCCUUUCGAUAUUUUUAUAAAUUUAGAUUUGCAUCCAUGUAGGUAAAAUCCAAAUAUGAUAAAAUUAAGGGUUAGAUUAGGAAAAUUUUGACUAAACAUCGCAACUAGCUUAGACUAGGUUGAAAGGGUGCCUUAGGUUUGAGUUAAUCGAACCUUUGCCUUCCCUUCCUUCAACCGUGACUCCCGAAUCCAUUUUCUCUUGUUUUCAAAGACCUGGAGUUGUCAAAAAGGGUUUUAUUUUAUUUUACUUUAUUUUUUGGGUGACUUGGUACACCAAAACUUCAUACCAAGUGGCGACUCCUAUUUUUACUAAAAACCCUUUUGGACUAAAUUUUGGACCCAAAUUGUCGCAUUCUUUUUUAAGUCCCAUUCUAGAUCCUUUUUCAUUUAUCAUUAAUAAAUCACAUCUCUUUCUAAAAACUUUCUUUUUUCCAUCGCGAAAAAUGGGGCGCAACAAUCUUGAAAGCUAAUUGGGAGAUAUUUCUUGCAAAUUGCCAACUAAUACUUGACAUGUGUUUUAAUUGUAUCUUAACAAUAGAAGAUUUGAGUAAUACCAUUGUUUGAAUUUGAUUACUUGAUUCGCGUUCUCAUGCUUGAGAACAAGCAUGGUUUAGGUGUGGGGGAAAUUGAUAGACCAUAAUUUGUUGCUAAAUUUAUAAUUAUUCUCUCCUUGAUUUCAGCCAAAUAUUAUUUUAAUUGUCACAUUCUAUUUAUAUUUGGUAUUUUGUGCUUAUUUUAGGAGCGGGAAUGCAAAGUGCUUAAAUGAAGAUUUUCCAGUGAAUAACAUCUGAUGGUUUCACAGGAGCGCGCCUAAGUUCACUGCUCAAAACCAAAAAGUCAGGAUUGAUAUUGGGCAAUCUCCAAAUCUGAAUCAAUUUCCUAAUUUGAUAGUUAUCAGUCCAUCGCUUCACCUGAUGAUUGGUCUCCUAUCUCUAUUGGGACACUAGUCUAGUUUAUUUAUCUUAACUUUGUGGAAACAAUCUCUUAUCUAGUGGGGAUUUGAUUUCGAUUAGUAGAAGUAGUCUAAUAGUAUUAGGAAACAAAACAGCAGAGCAUCUUUAUCGUUUCUUUAUUCCCUCUUUUAGGAAGACUAGUUAGUUGUCAGUGGAUACUUUUUUCUUUUUAGUUAGUCGCAAGACACAAGAAAAAACUAUCUUAUCCUUUCUUUCACUUUCUUCGAAUAAAAAUACAUCACUUUUGGGGAAGAAGACUCACGUCAAUUAGUUCGACUAAUUGGCUUGGGAUUUCUUCAACGAAGAUGAACUAAACCCCUAAUUCUAGUCAAGGGGACAACUGACGAUUUGGUUCGGCAAUUACUGUGAGAUCUAAACCGUUUUUAAUUGUUUCUUUCAUUUAUUGGUAUUUAUAUGUUUCCUACUUUUAAUUGUUAUAACUCUUGUGUAUGAUUGAUUAGUGCGCAAUAAUUAAUUAUUCAUAUAGGCUAUUUUGCUAAUUAGGGAAAUUGAAUCCGUAAUUGUUCGAUUAUCCCUAUCUCAGUAGCAACUGGCGUAAUUGGGUUUAUGUCAAGGAACAUAUGAUCUAAUUUAAACAAACCCUAGUAGCGUGUUUGUUAGUUAGGAUUGGGCCUUUUUAAUUAUUAAUGCAAUUUAGAAAUUAAAUCCUACAAUCGUACUUAGGAUUGUUUUUGGGUUAGAGAAAUAGUUAACGGUUGUACCUUAAUUAUCGAGAAAUUAAGGAAGGGUUGGUUGUUUAUCGCGUGCAUGACAACUAUAACCAAUCUAUUAAUAAAUGUUGGAAUUAUUUGGGAUUCAAUGAUCAGUGUCUAAACCAUUUUUAAAGUGUACCCUUGGCUAGAGCUGUCCUAAUUAUUUCUUUUAAUUAAUUAUUUUCUGCAGUUAAAUUAUUUAGUUAGCUUUUAAUUCUAAAGCCCCCUAUUUGUUUUGAUUCGAAAGGAAAUAAAUUUCUUCCCAAUCCCUGAGGAGACGAUCCUGCUUGUCAUUGUCUACUAGUUAGUGAAUUUAGGCAGUUAAUUAAUUCGGGUAUAUCGGAUUAAGCAAACUCUUCGGGAACAGGGUGAAUCAAGUAACCCAUUGCACACCUAGAAUCCCUGCUCCAGUACCUAAAAUUGAUUAUUAGCUACUUUUGGUGGUAGUUAGAUUUUAUUUAUUAUUAUUGCACAGGUUCGGCACCUAUCAUUUUCACAGUAUGACAAUAAAGCAAAAAUUUCUUUUAGAAACAAGAAACACAUAUGACCUUGAAAAUUUUCUCGUAGCAAUAUAUGCUCAAUAAAACAACGAAUAUCAAGCUGAUGUGUGUACCUUCUCAGAAGUAGAUGCACAGGCUUGGAGCAGGCUACUUCGUUCUCCCAAACUCAUUGGGUUUUGUUUAUCUACUCUUCCACGUCCUAUUCCUCUGCUUCCUGCACAUCCAAAAUACCAAUAAGGAAAACUCUAAACCUUUUUUUUUUUUUUUUUUCAAAAUCAACAGCAUGAUUACAAAAUCAAGCCCUUUUUACAAAAAAGAGAAACAAAGAAAGUUAAAUUUCUUUAUCUACAAGAGGAGAAUCCAUUGAAAAAAUGAAUUUUUUUUGUCCAAGAAAGAAACCAAUAACAUAAUCAAAAUUUUUGAAAAAAAGGGGGACCCAAUGCAUUAUGCAUUAGAAUCUGCAAAGAAAUGAAGGAGAAAAUUACACUACAAUCAGAGAGGUAGACAAAAUUUGCAAGCCCAAAAAUAACAGGGAGAAAAAAUAGGGUUCUGUAAGGCAUUAAGGAAACCACCAGGAUAAAGUAGAAGCUUAUAGGUAGAUGCAGAAAACGAAAGUAAAGAACAAAAGUAGUGGUGGAAAGCUUACGUGGAAAUGACCCUCUUGAACAAGAAUUCAAAACAUUUAGUCCAUUCAACAAGCAUCUCUAAGGAGAAAAUUGUAAUUAAAUAUUGCAAAACACUAUUCACUGAUUUAACCUGAGCAUCAAAUCUCAUUAAUGCUGUACAACAACUGAUGCUCCACUAAUGCCUGCUACAGCCUUAUAGAAUGGGCAUAAUUGUAAUAUGACCAUAAAACAGAGCAAUAAAUACUCGUACAGAAGGCAUAAAAUCCGGUACAAUAGACUCAUACUGACGACACAACCCUUAUCCUUAGCAUAUAAAGGGCAGAAGUGACAUAUUCUCCAACAUAGAAGCAACAUCCUGUUGUACGAGCCCCAACAAAAGUAGCAGCUAGUAGGAUGAAAUGACAAACAGGCCCCCGGGGAGAGCAGAUGAAAUGCAAUGAACAAUAAUCCAAAAACGCCUUCUUAUAUAUUAUAAAGAAAUAUGAACAAAUGUCACAAAAAUAUCUAAAGAAAUAUUAAAAGCACACCAAGCACAAAUUGUUACCCCUUCCUUCCAUGUUUUCUUUUUUGUACCAUUUUCUGUUAACAUUCCUCUACUCUUCGUUACCCUAUUCCUCACCUUUCUAACCCAAACUUUUCACAUCCCUCCAAAUCUUCUCUUUCCUACAAACUCUACCUUUUGUUCACUUUACCCUACUUCUAUCAAAUUAUGCAAUCCCUUACCCAAUUUCACAACCUAUUUACCUCCUAUCAUGUUACUCUUCAUAUAUAAUUGUAAAUAAUGACCAAUUUUCAACCUGCUAUUCAACAAAUGAGUAUGGGUAUACAAUUUUAUUAACUUUAAAUGGGUAACCCAAUUAAACUCAUUAAUUAGUAGCUAUUAAAUGGAUAGAUUGGAACUACCUAUUUAGACCUAAUUAAAUUAGACAUAGAUUCAAAUUCAUUAGUAUGUAAAUUUAAAUCACUACAAAUUCAAUAAUAAUAUUCUACUUUUUGCAAAGGCAUUCUUUUCCUAUUCAUUAAUUUUUAUUUUUCUAAUUUUUGUUAAAUUUUAUCCAACUUUCUCCCUCCCUUCCAUCAAAGUUUUAAUUAACUCAUUAAGUGUAAAUUGAUUUUUUGCAUUCACACCUAAAUUAUUUUGAGAUUCUUGCAGAGUGACAAAAUUAAAACUCUUUAUGAUCACCACUACUGGUUUUCUAUGUAAUGUUUUAGGUAAAAAUUUAUUUAUUAAUGCAAUGUGUUCUUAGUUUUGUUGAUUACAAUGAUAUCUUAUUUUGUUGCUCAAAGAAUAUGGGAGAACAAAUAAAUAAAAGUUUUUAGUGGAUUGUAAAUGGGUAGGACAACCAAAACCAUGUAAAACUACAUUCAUUUAACCAACAUAAAUCAUCCAUUUUGAUAGUUUCAAUAUAACCUACAACUACCGUUUCCUUGACUUUCCUAUCUUUAUAUUCCUUUUACUAUUUACGAUUCAUUACCUUACUUUUACCCUUCUCAGCCCUAUAGUUCAAUCUUUAUAUUCCUUUUAUCAUUUAGGAUUCAUUACCUCACUUUUCAAAUUUUUUUUUCAAAUAAAAGUUAGAAUUAUAGUUGUGAAAGAAAAGUAAUUGUGUAUAACUUUGGUGAAAUACUACUAUUUUUUGUAACGAUCACCCAAGAUAAUCAUUUAAACAAAUAUUUGUUUUAAAAAUUUUUUGAUAAACACUAAAAAAAACCAUCUAAAUGCGCUUUUUAUUAAUUUAAAAUUCAUAUCAAAAUUUUAUUUUAUGUACACUUUCUGAUGUACGCGUUAUAUGCAAAAUUAUCUAGAUGAAGUUUUGUGCAAGUAAAAAAUAAUCUAGAUGACGUUGUAUGUCAGAAUGUUUAUUUCAUUGGUUGGAAUCAUCGUCUAAUAGAAUAAGUUUAAAGCUAAAAAAAUUAAUUUAGUUGCAAAAGGUAAAAUGGUUAAAGAAUGGUUAUAAUUGGAUAUGUUAUCUAAAUGUUUGACAAAUUUAUGUAUAUACCUAGAAGCAAAGUGCUAAAAAUAUUACUAUAUAAAUGAUUAAAAAUUCUGAGAUUUGACAAAUCAAUCUUAUUAAUCAAGGAAUAAAAUGGGCUAAAGUGAUAAAGAUGAAAUGGGGUGAAUGAUUUUAACACGGGACUAAUCAAACUAUCCAAAUUUAUAUUCUUUAUUUAUGGAAGGAAAAAGGGGUUAAAGUUUGAAAACAAACUACAAACGAUUUAUUAAGCACUCAUUUUAAGUGACAGAGAAAGUUUUAAAUUUUAAAUUUGAAUUGUCAUAGGAUUAGUUGUAAAUCACACUAUUUCAAACUUUUUAAUUGAAUUUAUGUAUUAAAAUAAAUGAAAAAUCUAGAAAAAAUGUAUGAAAAAUUUGGAAGUCAUCUAGGAGGCCUCUACAAAAACCUCCCCUGCAAUAUAUAUAGAUAUUUGAUUUAUUUCUUGUCCCUGUCUGGCAUCUUGCUCAUUUUGAUGCAGUCUUAACUGAUCCAAACAAGGUUAACAUGAUGCUUUCUCCACAUCAAUUCUUUAGCACCCAUAAUUUUUUUUCGAGCUCUGAGUUGGCUUAGUUGGUGGGUACUGCCUAGAAAUACCCAAGAGGAUUGAGGACCUAAUACAAAUUUGUUAUUGGGUAUUUUUACGUGGUAGUUGCAGUUGUUGACCACAUGUUUUUUUUUUUCUAAUGUAUGUGAGGGAUUCGAAGUUGAGACCUUUCAUUUACAAUUCUUUUUCCAAAUCAUCCAAUCAAUUCCUCUCUCUUAAUCACAUGGUUCUGAUAGCUUUCACGUGCAUGGAUUUUUAAUUUGGAUAUCUCGGAACGGGAUUCCGAUCUUUGGUAGUAUUUGAAAAGUUAUCAGAUUGUACCAAAAAAAAAGGUUAAAAUAUGCAAAAUUCUUGAGAUUAAUUUGGUUCUUCCAAUUUCUUUCGUUUUAACUCUUCUUUUUGUUUUCCAUUUCCUUUUUCCUAUUUUUUUUUAAAGAGUCCUUCUCUAUGUACUUUGAGGUGAAGUAACCAGAACGCAGCAAUGGUGCCGUGCCACCAAGCCCUCACCAGCAACUGCUGGCCACUACCAUUAGGUCCCCAAACUUAAGAAAAUUUUCAGGAUAAAAUAUUCUUUUUGUGUACAUUGUGAAUUCGGAGUCCAAUUUGGCCUCCGAAAUUAAUCUAGCCUCUUUUUCUGCAUAAAUCACUAGCAGUCCUCAUAAAAUUAACACGAGGACAAUCCUACGCAUCAAUGACUUCCUUUCCUCUCUACUUCUUCUCUUUUCUAAUUUUUCUCUAUUUUUCUUCUCUUCUCAAAGGCCUCCUCUUAGGGAGGAAGACCACGCCAUGAUCUCCCUACAAGAAUUUUGUUUUAUUUAUUUUUCUAAUAAAUCUCUUCUAAAUUUUUUUAUUGAGAGUUUUCUAUUUCUCUUAAGGGUUUCUAGUGAGAAUUUUCUAUUCUUCUAGUGAUUUGUAUGUAGAUUUUUAUAUGUAUUUUUUGUUGUUAGAACUAAAUUUAUUUCAAAUCUGAUUAUUAUAUCAAACAAUUUUUUUGUAUCUUGGAUUUAUUUAGACAGAUCUCAUCAUAAUUAUUGGAUUGGUGAUUGCAACAUGCACAGAAAGGAGCUGCAACGGUUUAUCUUAUUAGAAGAUAAUUUUAAAUUUUCUUAUAUUUUUCAAUUAUUCAUAACUUUUCAGAUCUAUUAUAUAUAUUAAAUUGCAUAUCUAUAAUUUUCAGUGCAUGUUUGACUUGGUAUCAGGACAAUACUAUACAUCAAAUUAUACUAAACGAUUUCUAACAAUUCGUUAAUGAAAUAUAUUUUUAUAUAAAAAAAAAAAAAACACAAGGACAAUCCUGAGAAGUCGUAGAACAUUUAUGUAGUACCAAUUUAACAUGGUAAAGCAUAGAUAAACAUGAAUUUAAGGCAAAAUUGACAUUCAUUUGAGAACCUCCAUUACCUCCUUUGACCCUCAAACCGUCAAACACCUCAAAAUUUUAGGCUGGGAACUCAUCUUUAAGGUGUACAUUGACUAAGCCCUCAGGGGCUUGGUCUGGUGGUUGAGGUUGCUGAAGAUGGAGCCUCAGGUUCCUGGUUCGAACCUUGCUGCCAGCAAGUUGCUGAGGGUGGUGAAUAGUCUGCGGGGUCCACUCCCUGCGGGACACACAAAAAAAAAAAAAAAAAAAAAAGGUGUACAUUGACUAGAUUCGUUUCUAAAUUGGACUAGACUCCUCUAUAUUGAAUUGGAGAAAAGUCGUCUCCAUUACAUCACCAUAAAUUUAAUUCAAACAUUAUUUUCAAAAAUUAAUAUCGUUCAUGAUAUAUUUCAUAACCUGUAUUAGUUAUACUUAAAAUUUUGUAUGAAAUUAACACAGUUUUGUCAUUUGAUAAGUCAUUACUAAUUUUCUUCCAAUUUUAGCCCAUUUUCAACAUUCAAAAUGUUUCAUGUAAAUUGAAUGCCAAAAUAUUCUCAAAAGAAUAUCAUUUUUUAAUAUAUUGAUCUAGAGAUCCAAAGAAAAGUAAUGAAAUAAUCAACUGAUUUUAUAAAAUUACAGUAACUUAGAUAUAAAUAAAUAAAGAGAUCAAUAUCAAGAGAUUCGACGGAAAGGGUCCUAACCCGUCUAAAUUGGCCAAACAACAAACCAAAAUCGCAUAAAAAAUCAAAUUCCUAUAUUUUUUUUUCACCUGGGUUUUUUCCUUUCUUCUUUGGGAUAUAGUGAUGGCAAACAGAAAUGAAGAUGGUGGUCACGAAAAAGAUUGUUAAGGGAGUCAAGGAGGCAGCGAUGGUUAUGGAAAUUUUUUUCAAAAAAACAAAUUAAGUUGCGGUGGAAAUCACCAGUUGUGAGUUACCGUAUUGAGGGGAUCGAUGAAGAUGAUCAGGUUAAAGGAAAGAAAUUUUCAAAAUUGUAAUUCUACCCUUCAACUUACUUUUUUCUUUAAUAAAGAAUAUAAAUUUUUUUGAAAUUAUAAUUAAGCCCCUUAAUUAACCUUUUUUUACCUAAAAGUAAAGGUAGUAUGGGAAUUUCAAACUUUUCUAUAUAUCAAUAUAGACUGUUUUCAUCCACCUUACCUAUCAGUUUAAACCAAUAAAGUCUUUUGGAUAUUUUUGAAUGAGAAGGGGGUUCAAUAACGUGCAAAUCAGAGGAAAUUUUUGUGCAUUUUACUCAAAAAGAAUCAAUUCCAUAUUGUCUAUAUAUAUAAAUAAAAAAGAUUGAUCCGUAUUGAAUGCGGAUCCAUAUUGAGGCUGUGGAAUUGAUGCAAUGACUCAUAGGUGUACCAGUUGCAAAAUUAUCUUUCUUGCGGCGGGAGGGGAGGGGAGGGGAGGGAGAAAGAAGGGGAUUAAGGAGGAGGAAGGAGGGAAGGGGGAGGAAUGGUGGUGGCGGUGAAGAAAGGGAAGUGGAAGUGGUGGUGGCUAGGAUUGCAUUCGAGUCGAGUCGAGUUCGAGUAGUGCACCACACAAGCUCGACUCGAGGUAAAAUAACUAAGAUCGAACUCGAGCUUCAGCUCGUCAAGCUUUUAGAAUUUGAGCUCGAACUCGAGUUCGACAUUAAUUUAUGUUACACGAACUCGAGUUUAAUUAAGUGUAAUCAAUUCAAAUCAAGUUCAAUCGAGUUUAUUUGAGUUCAAUCAAGCCUAAUCAAGCUCGCAUAAUAAAAAUUAAUAUUUUAUAUAUAAUUUUAAAUAAAGGAUAUUAUUGACAUUUUACAAUAAUAAAAAAUAAAAUUAUAUUAUAAAAAGCCCGAUUAGACUCGUCGAGCUUUCGAGUGCAAAAUAUUGAAACUCGAGCUCGACGCGAGGCUUCUAUCAAGCAGAGCUCGAGCUCGGUCAAAACGAGCUGCUGACCAAGUAGUUUGCGAGCUCGAGUCAAGCUACUCGGUUCAGCAACAGCUCUAGUGGUGGCGGUGGUGAUCGGUAGUGAAUGGAAGAAGAAAUGGCUGGUAGUUUUUUUUUUAUAUUUUUGUUAGGUAUAUUUGAGAUGUGUAUUUGUAGUGAUUUUGGGAGUAUUUUUGGAGUUUGUUACUAUAGAUUCCAAAUAUAAAAGCUAGUUUUCCAAAAAAUCUCAUUUUAAAAACAUAGACCAAGAUGAGACAUUACAUUAGAAAAUCAAGAUGUAAUUUUCAAGGGGUAAAAUUGUAAUUAUAAUAUGUUAAAAAGAAUCAGUUCCUCGAGCGCGCUUCAUUGUAUCCAUAUAUAUGUAUUAUUUGCUUCUUGUCUUGUGAAAACCUUCAAAAGAUGACUUGCAAGGGAAAUAAUACCUACCAACUGAUGGAUUCCAAAGCACUUGCCUCUUGUGUUCUCCUCCUUCAUCUGUUGAUUGUCCUGGUAAGUUACUUUGACAAUAAAUUGUUUUUUGUGAUUUAUAUGCUGUGGACUUAAUUCUCGCUGUCUUACAACACUAUACAACCUGUACAGGGAGCCUGUGAUAUCAUACCCAAGGCCAAGUAUAGUGGUACUAAUGCAAUCAGGCUCCACAGCAUGGAUGCUAAUAAUCCUCAUCGAAAUGAUAAGACACAUCAUGUUGCUCACGUCCAUGAAAAGAAGUCAAUGCAUGAUCCUUCUCUUUCCUCAUCCCACAUGAUGCAUCAGAUUGAUCCAAGAGCAACCGUGUUUUUCGUUUUAGAUGAUCUCAAGUUAGGCAAAACAUUGAGUAUCCUUUUCCCUGACGGAGAUCCUAGUCCUUUGUCCUCUCCUUAUCUCUGGCCUAGAGAACAAGCCGAUGCUAUCCCCUUUUCAUUGGCAAAACUCCCACAGAUUCUUCAACACUUUUCAUUCCCUCAAGGAUCUCGCAAAGCCCAAGUGAUGGAACAUGCACUCCGAGCAUGCGAGACUAAGCCUAUGAAGGGAGAACCCAAGGCUUGUGCCACAUCCUACGAGUCAUUGGUAGAUUUUGCACGAAAGAUCUUGGGAUUGAAUACCGACAUUGAAGUUUUAUCAACGCAUCGCCUCACAAAAUCUAAUGCUGCUAGAUUACAGAACUAUACAAUCACAGAAGCUCCUGAACGAAUUUCAACUCUAAAGAUGGUUGGCUGUCACACCAUGCCAUAUCCUUACAUAGUUUUCUAUUGCCACUAUCAGCAGGGUGAUAAUCGUUUAUACAGGACUGUUCUAUCUGGAGAGAAUGGUGAUAGGGUUGAAGGCCUUGCAAUAUGCCACAUGGAUACCUCCCAAUGGAACCAUGAUCACGUUUCCUUCCAAGUGCUUGGUAUCGAACCGGGCACAGCCCCUGUUUGCCAUUUCUUCCCAGCAGAGGACUUUGUAUUGGUUCCAUCUACUUCUUCAAUCUAGUGAUAUCCAAGAGCUCAAGUGCUUUCAGCAUUUUAGUUGUUUAGCUCAAGUCACCUUGUCUGAAUGUGAAAUACUAUAAAUCACUAAAUUCGUGUGCCUCAUGUUUGAUCCUCUGUAUUCGAAUAAAACUCCGUGGUGCAGUAGCGCUACUUUUGGCAAUCAAAGUUUUAUAUGCUUCAAUUUCUUAGAGCAUCUCGAACACGAUGUUACUAGAUUGCAGCCUACAACCUUUUUUUCCUUAUUUUCUGCUAAGGUAGAAUUUUUUUUCUUGGGGCGGAGGUUUGUUAGGAGAGUAUCAAUUCAAACAAUUUACUUAGAGGACUAAUUUUCAGGAGCCUGGAUUAGAAUGUUAUGUUUAAUUGGAGAACAAGUGCUUAUCUCUUCCUAAUUAGUCACCAAUUAGUCGCUUUAAGCAACUUCUAGGAGGAUGUUGAAACAAUUGAUAACUCUUCAUUAUAAUCUAUCAGUCACAAAAAAAAUUGUCUAAUGAAAAUCUCGCUUGUUAAGAAUAGUAUAUUAAUUCUUGUCUUCUCAACUUAUCUGGCAAAUUCAACAUCUGAAUGGUUACUACAUGUCAUCCACAAAAAGACAAUGAUUAAGAAUAGACAAAUAGUAAAAAUAACAAGCAUAUGAACCUUUUUGAAAUGACGAACAUUGUGGAGGAUACAAAAAUGAAUGACACUUUUACUGGAGGGAAAGAAGUUAAAAUUUAAUUUUGUGAUCGGCAUAGCUCUUAUUUUGAGUUAAAUAUAUAUUGAUUCCACCAAUAAUGUAUCCUAUUAAAAGUAAACAUUUUAUUCUCACUAUGGUAAAAUGGCAAACAUCCGUGUGUACAUUGAUUGAUAUGUAGACAAUUUUUGGGACUAAUACAUAGCAGAGUUUUGAAAUUCAAGUUGAGACAUCGACUCAAUCGAAUUUAGGUUAGGAGUCAAAAGGUUAAAGUGAGUGAUGUGAGUAUGAAUCCUUAGUAUGUGAGUAAUGAAUCCUUAGUAUCAUGCCCUUUCACAUGUGUGGUUAUGUGAGUAAUGAAUCCUUAGAAUCACCAGUUAUAAUGAAUCCUUAUCCACAUUUAAUUGACUUCAUAUUUCAUACCCACAGAUAAUCAAAGAUAUAACUGGGUGAUUCACGAGUUGAUAGAGUGUUUCUAAAUGAUAGUUGCACCUCUUCAUCACGUGAUUCUGGUUGCUGAUCAGAAUCCAAUCUUCUUCCAAUAGCUUCGUUUGGUUCAGAUUGUGUCUUUCUUGUGCCUUUCAAUCUUUACAAUUUAAUAAUUGUUUCUUAGAUUAAUAAUCGUCUUUCUAACACCAUUUUGUUGAAAAAGAGGUACCAAGAAAGACAAACAGAUAAUAGAGUAAAGCUCUGUUUGAAUGGGAGUGUUUUUCAAAAAGUAGUUUUUCAAAUACAAUAAAUUUUUUUAAAAAGUAUUCUAAAAGGUAAUCUAAAAAUUAGUUUAAUUUUUUUAAAAAUAUCUCAAAAUAUAUUUUAGAAAUUCUUCUACUCUUAAAUAUCCCAAAAUAUAAUCUAAAAACACUGCUACAGCAAAAUUUUUUAAAAACACCCCAAAAAACAGCUAAUCCCAAAAGUUUUUCUUAUGUAGUAGCUGGACUUCUUGAUCGCAUAAUUGUGGCUGUCCAUCUCUUUGAUUUGGAUUCCGAUCUUAUUCAAAUACUUUUGGAGGGGUAUCCUAUAAUUAGAGUGUCAAUCACAAACUUAAUUUAUGUUGAUUCGCCCAUACUCGCUCACCAAUAACCCGUUCGAAUCCAUCCACUAAUUUUAAAUAGGUCUAAAUGGGUAUCCAAUUAAACUUAUUUAAUUAGUAGGCAGUGGAUUAACUCGAAUCACUUAUUUAUACCCAUUUAAAAUAAUUAUACAUUUAAACUCAAGUAUUAAACAAAUAAAUUUAAAUUUAUUAUCAAUCUAAUAACAAUAAAAUACCAUUAUUUUUUAUCAGAUAACAUGUGAAAAAAUAAAGAAAAAAUUAAUUAUAACUAUUUAAAUUCGUUUAAAUCACCUAUUUUGACACCUCUGACGACCAUUGUCUGCUCAUUGGACAUUCCACCGCCACUAGUGCCGUUGCCAGUGUCUAUCAUUUCCGAUUACCAGGUAAGGCUCUGACAUAACCACUGGGUCUUUGGCUCAGUGACCACCACGAACCUUGCCUCCCACCAAAAAUGCCACAUUUUUAUGGCUUGUCUCCAAAAAAUCCAGGCGGGUGUGCUAUGCACCCGUCUGGUUCGGUGGUGGUUCAAUCCCCUCCGGCUUAUCCCUGGACCUCCUUAGGCCCGUUCCCUUCCCCUUAGUGUAUGAUAGAUUAGAUUUAUCGUCUCCAGAAAAAAAAAAAAAAAAGGGUAAGGCUCUGACAUUAGUGUCCACCUGCCAUAGUGCCAUCCCAUUGAUUAACCAAGUUACAGCGCUGUCAUAUUUGUCAAGCCAUCCUUCAUUAUUGGAUCUUUUAUUCUAUAUAUGGGACCGUCCUUACUGUUCCCAUGAAAGAUUGGUUCAGAAAUGUAUGGCAGCUGUGAAAUACGUUAGCUCUCUGAAUCUUGUCCCAUAAAGAUAUGUAGCUGAAAAUCCGAACGCAUUGGUUUCACGAGAGUUUUCUUAUCCACCGUGCCUGCCAAUUUUCUAUCACCAUAUAACAGCGUUUUUAAACUAUACGGACUGACCGAUUCUAAACAUUGAACCGAGGGUCCGGUGGUUCAGUCCGAGUUAAUCAAUUGAGUUGAACAGACAUUUACUGGACCUGCUCAGAAAUUGGGUUUAAAUAAAGAAAAUUGAGUUUUUAACUAUAUAUUUUGUGAGACUAUGAGCUGGUUUAGAUUGUAAUUAUUGGGAAGUUUUAUAGAAAAUAAUUGUAUUUGUGGUUAACGAGUGGAUAAAAGAAUCGAGUGUUUCCUAAUUGAUGAAGGAUAUAGUUAUUCUUACGAAGUGGCUGCACCUCUUGAUCACAUGAUUAAUCUGGUGGUUAUCGAUCUCUUUGAUUUGGAUUCUAAUCUUAUUCAAACAUUUUUUAUUCUUUCAGAUUAUGUCUUUCUUGUGCAUUUCAAUCUUUACAAUUUAAUAAUUGUUUCUUAGAUUGGAUUUACAUGUUUAGUUUUGGAAAGGCCCCCUGAUCUGGAUUUGAGGCCUGACGAGUUGUAUUUCUACUCAAUUUUGGAUAUUUAGUAAUUUUAUAUUUUGUUACACCAUUGUUUUUAAGAUUGGAUUUUGAUUCUUUUAGAUUAUGUCUUUUUUUUGCAUUUCAAUCUUUGCAAUUUAAUAAUUGUUUUUUAGAUUGGAUUACAUGUUUAGUUCUGCAGAGGCCCCCUAAUCUCGAUUCGAGGCCUGACAUGUUGUAUUUGUACUCGAUUUCGAGAAGUUAGCAAUUUCAUAUUUUAUUACACCAUUGUUUCUUAGAUUGGAUUUUGAUUCUUUUAGGUUAUGUCUUUCUUGUGCAUUUCAAUCUUUGCAAUUUAAUAAUUGUUUCUUAGAUUGGAUUUACAUGUUUAGUUCUAAAGUGGUCCCAUGAUCUCGAUUCGAGGUCUUCCAAGUUGUAUUUCUAGUUUUUUUUUUUUUUAAAUAGGGAUGCCAUCCCUUAAUUUAUUUAUAACCGAAAAAGAGUACAUCAAAUUAAAGAGAGCCAAACCUAACCUCUGUUAAAGGAAAAGAAACAUCUAAUGAUAAAAAAUAAAACGCACAUAUGAAGGAAUUUUAAAGACAUACUAGAUCAAUCCAAAGAAAUCAUCCACACGAAGGUGCCCCACAUUUGUGUGACUGCAAGUGAGCAUGGGGAUUUGGUUUGAGAUCUUGACGUGUUUGCAUUGUUUUACCUUUUUUUGAAAGUUGUUUUCUCGCUUUCUUUGAAAUCACUUGGGUAAAUUGCUCUUGAACUAGGCUCUGGUCUUGAUCUUUGUGUUUUUCGCGUUGUGAAUCGUCGUCUUCUUCUUCAUUUUUGUUGUCAUUGCAUGUUAUACUUGAACGAAUAAAAGGAAUUUGAUGUGGUCGGGAAACUGUACCAUGUAAUUUUUCCCAUUUAAUCUCAUCGAACACAUCUUUGAAUUGUGGCACUGGAUUUUGAGGCAUUGUUGUUUUCGUUUCUGUUCGUGUACUUGUACUCGUAACCACAAGGGGUGGUACAUCCACAACCCCACACAAGGCACCAUAAAGAAUUUCGGGCUCAGUGGUGUUGACCUUUUGAUGAUUAUCAUCUCCCAAAUUCUGCUCCUCAAAAGCUUGGGACCCCUCACUUUUGUUCCAAAUAGAAUUGUCGGCAUUUUGAUUUCUCAAUGAAGUAUUGUCGGCCAUUUGCUGCUGACCAUCUCCCAAUAUUUGCUCCACUAAAAUAUGGGACCCCUCACAAUCAUUCCCGUGGUCAUGGACUGCAAAUUGAUCGAAUGGUCCCUCCCUUUCAUCAUCAGCAACGGACUUUGCUUUUGCAACAGUUUCGGCAGCUUCUGUUUGUCGUCCAUCCUUGACAGCUUCUUCCUUGCAGCUCUCCCCUGGCACAACAGCCCCCUCUUGUAUGGGCUCCACCAUGCCCGGGCCAACUGCCACGUUCAGCUCCCCCAACACCAACUCUCCAGUAUUAACAGUCCCUUCCAGCACUUCCUCUGGUUCGCCAAUCACGCGGUCAGACAUAGCGUGAAGAAUGGCAUCAGCAGCAGCCUCUAUCCCCUUCUCCACGAGCGCAACCGAAGAUCCUCCAAGCUGGUUCAGUAAGCACGACGCAUCUCCCACAGCAGUAGUAGGGGUGUCAACGUGCCGUGCCCCCUCGGAUUGGCUCUCACCCGAAUUCUGUGUCGCACCAGAUUGCACCAUCUCCUUCAAUCACCACCCUUCGCUCCUCACCCUCUAUACCCAGGGUAUUAACCUGCGAGGAAGAAAUAUCCCCGCCCGAAUUCUGCGUCACACCAGCCUGCACCGCAGCGCCUUCACUCACCACCCUUCGCUUCUCACCCUCUAUACCCUGCAUGUUAGCCUGUGAGGAGCGAACCUUUGCGCCCAUCACCCCUGCGACCAGACCCCCCUGCGUCUUGGGCAAGCGCAGAUCAGGGUGCUUCACACGGCACUGAUCCUCGCCAUGCCCUUGACGAUAGUGUAGACAAUGGAAUUACCAUUGGUCUAUAAAAUAUUUUUGUCUAAUCGGAUAUUGCCAUAGGGCAUGUAUACUUGGAAAAUUGGUUAUUAAAUGACCAAUUAUAUUUUGCCACGUGUCAAGGCGAGGUGUUCCAAACCAAUUCAAAUCGCAGGGGUAUCUUCACCAACUAAAUCAUAUCAUAUCACAUACCUAUUGGAUAAAUAUCUAAGUAUUUAUUUCUUAUUAAAGGGAUAAUAUUUAGAGUUAUUUAAUCCAAGUAUACCUCUUAUAUACUGCAGUAGCUUGGCCAGUCAAGCGGUGCCACGUCACGUGUCCCCACAAGUUUGGCCAAUCGAUAAAUUACUUAUCUCUUUAUUAAUAAAUAUAAAAUGAAGAGAUAAUAGUUGACUAGCACAGUCCUAAUAUGACUGCACGUCUUGCAAGACAAGUGGAGCGGUACACAGGUUCUCAACCUCUACCUCUUACUACAACUAUAAAUAGAGGUCUCUUAACCAAAUCAAGGACACACACACGGACACACAGAGAUAUCAAGAAGCAUCUCAUACACUCAAGUAUUGAAGCUUCAAGCUACGAAGGUCUGGGUCUCAAAGCUCCUCAAGUCUUCCGCAUAUCAAGGCUUGAGCCUUCAAGUAUUUUCAAAUCCUUCAAAUCUUCCAUAUCAAGAUUUGAAGGAGUCGGUGGUUGAUCCAAGAACAAGCUGCGAAGCCCUUGGAUUGGUGUUCGAGGAGAAGAAUCGAAGGAAGCUCUCCAUAAGUCCGAGAAACUUCCAGAGAUUGUACCUACAUAUUUUUUCUAAGUUUAUAUAGUACAUAUUUGUCGUGUAUUUCUUUUUCUUGUCGUUUUGCAGACUUGAAAUUUUUAUCGCGUACAAAUUUUUGGCACGCCCGGUGGGACCAUCUCUGCCUUCCAUCUCUUCUCCUCGAAAAUUCGACUACGUAUAUCACCAAUGGCACCAAAGAGCGACAAAAUCAUGAUUGCACGUUCCAAGGCUAUUGAUGCUAAGCCUGUUCAGGAAGCUGCACAUGUCGCUACCAAUCCCGUGCUGUUGGUCCUGUAACAAGGAGCAUGACGAGGGCCUCCACCCGAAGUAGCAUGGAACCCUCGGCGCCAACUCCCGUUUUCGGGGCAACAUCACAAAUGAGCUAUUCCUCCACGAUGGGGGUCCAAGACGUUUUCACCUCGAUUGAGAAGACUCUUGCCAUGCUCGAAUUUGGAUCCGAACCCAAAUUUUAUAAGCAUGACAAUGAUUCAUCAAGCACUGGAUCAGCCUCUUCACAUGAAACUCUUCAUUCAAGAUUUUGUAUUGAAGAUUCUGCUGCUUCCUCCGCUGCAAUGCCUGCCAUGAUGACAAAUACGUUGAGUCUCGAAGAACAAGUUUCGAACAUGUCCAAGAUGAUGGAAACCAUGAUGAAACACAUCAAGGACCAAGAUGCUCUCAUUGCUCAACUGCUCACUCAGAAAGAUCACGCUGCUGAAGGAAGCCAUGCGAACCAAGAGCGUGAAAAUCCCUCAUCUAAAGGCAAAGACAAGGUGAAGAAAGUAUAUGUGACCGCCGAUGGAACUAUCCCCGUGGAACAACUGAAGGAACUUGUUGAAGGUGUGAUCAAAGAUAAAAAGGAGGGUGGUCCAAAGUCGAGUUUUACCUACUGCAAGCCUUACACCGCUAGAAUCGACAAACUAGCAAUGCCUGCUGGAUAUCAACCGCCUAAAUUUCAACAAUUCGAUGGGAAAGGUAGUCCAAAGCAACAUGUGGCUCAUUUCGUCGAAACCUGCAAUAACGCUGGAACCUAUGGUGACUUGCUAGUCAAACAGUUCGUCCGAUCCUUGAAGGGCAAUGCGUUUGAUUGGUACACUGAUCUCACUCCGGGGUCCAUCGACAGUUGGGAACAGUUGGAACAAGAGUUCUUGAAUCGCUUCUACAGCACUAGAAGAACCGUCAGUAUGCUGGAGUUGACUAACACUCGUCAAUGGAAGGAUGAACCUGUGGUCAACUACAUCGAUAGGUGGAGAAGUCUGAGUCUCAACUGCAAGGAUAGACUGUCUGAACCCUCUGCCAUAGAGAUGUGCAUCCGAGAAAUGCAUUGGAGCCUGAGCUAUAUUCUACAAGGUAUACGCCCAAACACAUUUGAAGAAUUAGCUGCUCAUGCUCAUGACAUGGAGUUAAGCAUCACGGCCAAUGCAACUGAUGGGCUUCCUAUUCAAAUUCCGCGAGUACAGCCACCUCGGCAAAACAAUGAAAGACAAGAAAAUAGAAAAGGGGGCAAGCCUCCUUCAAGAUUCAAUAAUAAGGAGUCUAUGGCAAUAAACACAGCUCCCAUGAAAAUUGCUACCAAAGUGAGUCGAAAGAUCACUGAGAAAUUAGAUUCCUCCCAGAAUAGAUCAGUAAGAAGACCCACUUUAAAAGAGAUGCAAGAAAGGGAGUACCCUUUCCUUGAGUCCGACUUACAAGAAAUGUUUGAUGAUCUUUUCAAGGAGAAGCUCCUUGAACUUCCCGACAUGAAGCGCCCAGAGAAAGCUGGUCAAGUCAAUGAUCCAAAUUACUGCUGUUAUCAUCGCUUGAUUGGUCACCCUCUCACUAAAUGCUUUGUCUUUAAAGACAAAAUUAUGGAAUUGGCCCGUCAAGGGAAAAUCCUUCUCGAGGAAGAUAAAGUAUCGGCAAAUCAAACAACCAUAAUGUUUGGGUCUGUGUGUUGUCCGAUAGAAGUUUCAUCCACAACAAGCGGUGCUUCGUCCAAGAAGCUUGGAAAAUCCUCAAUUGAAGAUGUUAUUGAAGAUGACAACAAAGGAUGGACUUUAGUCACUCGAAAGAGGACUUGCAAGCCAAAAAUAAAGAAGUACAUCUUUUCAAAAAGCAUUCGUUCGACAAAAUCUGAAGUGACAAUGAAACGACGAAAUGCAACAAAGAAACAAAAGGGAGUGGCCACAAAACCAAUUCCUUCAGAUUUUCAGCUCCUUCAAGAGGGUCGGCAGCCCGUGACACUGAGAGAAUUUAUACCCAAGGGGUAUUUAAGUGACGAUACCGAUGACUCCACCUCUUGUAAUGUCGUCAAAGUUGAAAAUUCUCAAGUCACACAAAUUGGCACGGAAUUUGAGAAAAAACUCAAAAUCGAUGAUAAACCACCAGUAGAUUGUGCAACGACUAUCAUUUUUGAUGAUGACGAUUUGACUGUCGAGUUCAAAACCCACAAUCGACCUUUGUUUGUUAGUGCGUAUGUCCGAGAGCAGAAGAUGAAUCGGAUACUCAUUGAUGGGGGAUCUGCUGUCAAUAUCAUGUCCGUGCGUGCUAUGAAAGAGUUAGGAAUCUCAAGCGAUGAACUCUCCCAGAGCCGCCUCAUGAUCCAAGGAUUUAAUCAAGGGGGCAAAGAGCAAUUGGUCUCAUAAGGCUUGAAUUGCUCAUUGGCGAGUUGUCUUCAAGUGCGUUAUUUCAUAUCAUUGAAGCCAAAACCUCUUAUAACAUGCUCUUGGGAAGACCAUGGAUUCACAAGAAUGAAAUUAUACCAUCUACUCUGCAUCAAUGCUUCAAAUAUUGUCGAGACGGUAUUGUUAAGAAAGUUACUGCCGAUGACAAACCUUUCACGGAAGCCGAAACUCACUUUGCCGAUGCCAAAUUUUAUCUUCACAAAGAAGCAAGAAAGGAAUCGGUAAGGGAAGAAAGUCAAGAUUCCAAAGUACCCAUUUUGCGGUAUACUCCAAGAUCAAAGAGAGAAGAAGGUCAGUCUUCUUUUAUCAGAAAUGACACAUUAAAUGUUCCGCUCACCAAGAUAGAGCCUGUUAAAAUUGAGAAGGUGAGCUUGCAAGGGUUUGUUCGUCCCAAAGAAGAACCGGCAGUGGAACAUUACUCGCUACCAACUAAUCGGACUCAAGAAGGUUUUGAUCCAAACGCCUAUAGACUUCUUGCUAAGGCGGGUUAUAACCCAAAUGAGAAGAAUACAUUGGGCAAACUCCCUCGUGAAGUGACUGGCGAGAGGACUCACGGAUUGACACCUACGCAGAAAAUAUUGAAAGAAAGGGGCUAUAAUGUUGAAAGUUCAUCGAUGGGUCUUGGUUAUCAACCGCCCUCUCCUGUUCGUAUAAUGAUCAAAAGAGCGAGUUGUAACUAUGUGAACGAAGAAAUGGAGGUCACAAGCCGAAAGAGAUCUGUGUUCGACCGAUUGGGAAAUAAGUCAAAACGUACUUCUGUGUUUGACAGACUUGGCCCGCAGCCGAAAAAUCUGAAGUCGCCCGUCUAUGAGAGAUUAGGCAGUAAGAAACAAGAGUACCAAGUUGUCAGGGAAGAAAGUCUUACUCCAAUAAAGAAGAACAGACCAAGGAAGCGAGUCUCCAAUUUCUUCAUGCACUAUGGAGACUUAUUCAAUGUAAGAAUUGAAACCAUUUUUGAAGAACAGGGUCAAGAAAGUACGGCUUCCUGUCACCAUAUUACGAUCAGUGAUCUUGAAGAAGAAGAAGAAGAAGAUGCAGAUGACGCUCCCGCUGAACUUGAACAAGGGAUAAAAAAUACGGUCGAUGAGCUAAAAGAGAUUAACCUUGGCACAAGCGAGGAUCCUCACCCAAUUUACAUAAGCUCUUGUAUGACUCUUGAAGAAGAAAAAGAGUAUGUUGAUUUGCUGCUCGAGUUCAGGGACGUCUUUGCCUGGAAUUACUCAAAAAUGCCUGGUUUGGAUCCAAGGGUCGCCGUUCAUAAUUUGUCCGUCAAGCGAGGAACAAAACCUGUCAAGCAAACGCAAAUGCGCUUUCGGCCCGAAUUAAUCCCUCUGAUAGAAAAUGAGAUAAAUCGAUUGAUUGAAACCGAAUUCAUACGAGAAGUAAAAUAUCCAACAUGGAUUUCAAGCAUCGUCCCUGUAAGGAAGAAGAAUGGACAAAUUCAAGUUUGUGUUGAUUUUCGCGACUUAAAUGAGGCUUGUCCCAAGGAUGAUUUUCCUCUCCCCAUCACAGAAUUGACGGUGGAUGCUACAACCGGGCAUGAAGCACUAUCUUUUCUCGAUGGAUUGUCUGACUACAAUCAAAUACGCAUGGCGCCCGAGGAUGAGGAGUUCACUGCCUUCCGCACCCCCAAGGGGAUUUAUUACUAUAAAGUGAUGCCGUUUGGCUUGAAGAACGCUGGAGCGACAUAUCAAAAGGCAAUGCAAAGAAUUUUUGAUGAUAUGCUCCAUAAGAAUGUGGAGUGCUACGUCGACGACCUCGUGGUGAAAUCAAAGAAGCGAGAGGAUCAUAUUCAAGACCUUCGAAGAGUUUUUCAACGCCUUCGAAGAUACCAACUGAAGAUGAAUCCUUUGAAAUGCGCAUUCGGAGUCACUUCUGGCAAGUUUCUCGGUUUCAUCGUUCAUCAACGGGGAAUAGAGGUCGAUCGAUCUAAAAUCAAUGCCAUUGUGAACAUGCCUGAACCGCGAAAUAUUCAUGAAUUGAAAAGUUUUCAAGGGAAGUUGGCUUAUAUCCGGAGGUUUAUCUCUAAUUUGGCCGGACGAUGCCAACCCUUCAGUCGACUGAUGAAGAAAGGGGUGCCCUUCGAGUGGGAUGAAUCGUGUAGGAAUGCUUUUACAAGCAUCAAAAUGUAUCUCAUGAAUCCCCCAGUAUUGGCUGCACCCAUCCCAAGAAAACCAUUGGUUCUCUAUAUUUCCGCUCAAGAAAGGUCGGUUGGCGCCUUACUUGCUCAAGAAAAUGAUGAAGGUAAGGAGAAUGCGCUGUAUUACUUGAGUCGGAUGAUGACACCUAAUGAGUUGAAUUAUUCUCCCAUCGAGAAGUUGUGCUUGGCACUUAUAUUUGUCAUUCAGAAGCUAAAACAUUAUUUUCAAGCACACACUAUUCGACUCAUAUCUAAGUCUAAUCCCAUUAAAUAUGUGAUGGCAAAACCUGUAUUGUCUGAUCGGCUCGCGAGAUGGUACCUCCAGUUUCAACAAUUUGAAAUUAUUUAUGUACCUGCGAAGGCUGUCAAAGGACAAAUAUUGGCAGACUUUUUAGCCGAUCAUCCCAUACCUGCCGAGUGGGAAUUGACUGAUGAACUCCCCGAUGAAGAAGUAUUUAUGGUCGAAUCCCCGUGGUCAAUGUAUUUUGAUGGAGCUGCUCACCGUGAUGGAGCUGGUGCGGGAGUUGUCUUUUAUACUCCUGAAGCAGAUGUAUUGCCGUACUCCUUCACUUUAACACGCCGAUGUUCAAACAAUGUGGCCGAAUAUCAGGCGUUGAUUCUUGGUCUGGAAAAGGCUGUAGAUAUGAAGCAGUUGCAUCUUAGAGUCUAUGGUGAUUCAAAAUUGGUGGUAAAUCAACUUCUUGGUAUUUAUGAUGUCAAGAAACCUGAAUUGAUCCCAUAUUAUGAGUAUGCAAGACAACUCAUGGGAUAUUUGGAUAGUGUCACUAUAGAACAUAUCCCUAGAAAUUUCAACCAACAAGUUGACUCUUUGGCAAGAGUGGCGUCCAUGAUCACUUUACCUUCUCAUCGAAAUCAAAUUUCAAUAUGUCAGAAUUGGGUCAUACCUCCGAUGUUUGACGAAGAAGGUGAUGGUGGGGAAGAAAAUAUUUAUCAUAUUUUUGUCCAUGAGAUCGAAAAAGAGGAUUGGCGUCACCUCAUCACUGAUUACCUUAAUCAUGGGAGGUUACCAGAAGAUCCUAAGAAAAGGGUUGAUAUACGUCGUCGAGCACCACGUUUCAUUUACUACAAAGGGAUGCUUUACCGAAGGUCAUUCGAUGGGGUGUUUUUACGAUGUCUUGGAGAAGAUGAGGCCAUGCAAGCAAUGGAGGAGGCUCACUCUGGGAUAUGCGGUGCUCACCAGUCUGGCCCGAAAUUACACUUUCGCAUUAAAAGAAUGGGAUACUACUGGCCAACAAUGGUAAAGGAUUGCAUUGACUUUGCUAGAAGAUGUCAAGCAUGUCAAUUCCAUGGCAAUUUCAUCCAUCAACCUCCGGAACCAUUGCACCCAACAGUGGCUUCUUGGCCAUUCGAUGCUUGGGGUUUGGAUAUAGUUGGACUACUCCCAAAGUCUUCUGGCGGACACAUUUUCAUUUUGGCAGCGACAGAUUACUUUUCGAAGUGGGUUGAAGCAGUCCCUCUACGAGAGGUCAAAAAGGAGAAUGUAGUAGAUUUCAUUCGCUUGCAUAUCAUUUAUCGGUAUGGAGUUCCGCGUUAUAUUAUCACCGAUAAUGAUAAACCUUUUUGCAAUGCAGCAAUGAACAAGCUUUGCGAAAAGUUUCAUUUCAAACAAUACAAGUCGUCCAUGUACUAUGCUGCUGCAAAUGGACUCGCUGAAGCAUUCAACAAGACCUUAUGUAAUCUAUUGAAGAAAAUUGUGGAUAAAUCGAGAAGGGAUUGGCAUCUUCUAAUUGGAGAAGCACUUUGGGCAUACCGAACUACUUUUCGAACUCCCACGCAAGCAACCCCAUACGCACUUGUUUACGGUGUUGAAGCCGUUCUUCCACUUGAGUGUCAAAUACCUUCGCUAAGAAUCGCAAUUCAAGAAGGGCUCAGUGAAGAAGAUAAUGUUCGUCUUCGCCUUGAGGAGUUAGAAGCACUUGACGAAAAGAGAUUGGAGACUCAGCAACGAAUUGAGUGCUAUCAGGCUCGCCUUUCAAAAGCAUUUAAUAAGCAUGUCCGGCCACGCUCCUUUCAAAUUGGAGAGUUAGUACUCGCUGUUCGGAGACCGAUCAUUCUCACUCAUGGCGGACAAAGAAAGUUUACCUCUAAGUGGGAUGGUCCAUAUGUUGUUCGGGAAGUGUAUACAAAUGGCUCAUACAAGUUGGUUGCUGAAGACGGGUUAAGGGUUGGCCCCAUCAAUGGCAAGUACCUAAAAAGGUACUAUGCAUAAUCGGAACCGCGCAACGCUCCUGGCCCGCAUGAGCUAAAACUGUGGAUGACAACCACCAAUAGUGUAGUAUGUGGUUAAACUGCUGAAACACUCCACAAAGUCUAAGGUGGUAAACAAAUAGAUACUCCUGGCCCGCAUGAGGUUAAAAUGUGAACGGCAGGAACUACGUGUGACUUGAUUCCCUUGUUGGGAUAUGUAGGCAGCUUGGAGGGCAACUUCUAAGUUCAGUUACACCACUCCAAAUCAAAUCCUUGUCCCUUGCAAAAAAAAAAAAAAAAAAGAGAGAUGAAAAAAAAAGGAAUUUCCUCUUUCCAGAAAAUAAAAAAACAUAAUAAAAUGCUCCAUUUGAGUUCUUUUCUCUUUUAAAAAAAAAACAUCAAGAGAUAAGAAAUGAAAAGCAUUUUAUUAUUGAAAAAAAAGAAACUCAUUACAUGGAAAAAAAAAAUGAAUGACAAAAGAAUUCAGGAAGAAGAAGAACAUGGUGGAAAGUCUAAACAUCAAAUUUGUAUUCCACUACAGCUACUUUAUAUGAUUCAAGUGCAGACUUCGUGUCCUCAAGUUCCUUCACAGAGUCAUCAGUCAAGAUGCUGGUCUGUUCAAUGGAAGAUAGCUCAUCAUGCGCUUGGGUUAUUUCGACCUGGAUCUCUUUGAAGGUCUCAUGCUUUUGAUCGAUAGUUGAGGUGAUUUCCAGACUUUGCUUCUCCAAACCGAUGAGUUUCUGUUGCAGAACCUUCUUCCUGGCUUCAAUGGAUUGCAACUCUUCUUCAAGACUUUGUAAAUGACGAGUCAGUUCUUCUCCCUUUGCCUUAAUUUUCUCGAGUUGGACGGUCGCUUUGGAAAGGAGUUCUGCAUGUGUUUCUUUGUUCAUCCUUUCCCACGAUGAAAAUGCUAGAACAUCAUAAGCCUCCGCCUUGGCAAACAAUUCCAUCAAGUGGUCUUUUAAAGGGAGACCUUUGGCGGGAUCUGUUCUUGUGAUUUCUGUAAUGAUUUCCUCUGCACACUCUUUUAAAGAAGAGAUCUGCUCAGUUGGAGUGUCCAGAAUCUGUCCGUGAAAAUCCAUCCACAAACUCUGCAAAUACUUUCUUCGAUGUGCCUGGAUCAGCUUUUGGCCAUGAAAUUCUGAAACAAGUACUGCCUUAGGUCUUUUUCGGAUUUCGUGCGAACUAAUCAGCUCCUUCUUAUGCAGUGACGAAGUAUCUCCAUUGGGGGCAAAUUGUCUGGGAGUACUGAUAGCUAUUUCGUCACUUUUGUUGUUGGAAAUUAUAUCAACUUCGAGUUCGGGUGGUGAAUUGUUACCAACACCUUCUUGACGGAAUUCAAGAAACGGGGGCUGAAAAGAAAAAGGUUACAACCAAAAGAAAAUUAUUACAAAAAAAAAAAAAGGAAAAAAGAUGGAGAGAUGAUUACCUUAAGUGGCGACACUUCAACCGACGGUGGUGUAAAGGAAAUCUCCUCCAAAUCAGAAGAUGUCCUCUUCUUUGAUCGGUUCCAAUGACGAUCUUGACUACUACUACCGCUCGCCAACGAAUGGGCUCCUCCCUGGGUAGAUCCGAUGCCCUGAACUUGAGUUCCUUCCUUUUCUAUAGCCUCGAUAGAGUCAUGAUCGUCCACCAUUUCAAUUUCGACAUCUUCUUCAGUGCGAGUUGCCGAUAAGGAUUUUGAAGCUUUGGGCGGCGUCUUCUUCGCUGGAACCACUGGUUGCGCCUCUUUGAUGGCCUGUCGAGAGUCCUUGGAAGACUUAUUUUUUGUGGCAAUAUUUUUCGAAUGACUGCUAGUAAUUUGGUUCUUUCGCAAGGUGGAUGAGGCAAGACUCGUUACAAUCUCUAUAACUCCGUUAGGAUGCACGGGCUCGUUGGCGGAGGUAACCUUACCCUUCUUCGAUGAUUGCUGAGUGAUCUUAACGGUGAAUUUAAAGGGAGUUGAAGAGACACUAUUUGAUCGAGUCGACCACCAGACAUCGUAGUCUUUUGUGAUCAACGGAUGUUUCCUGUGCGUGGGUAUAGUCAUCCGAGAUCGCGUUUGCAUGCGAACUGAGGAAUCCCAUAGUUGAAUAGCCUCGCCCAAAGUGUAAGUGUGAGUGAUUUCUUUCAAGUUGUUGGGGAUGUCUUGACAAAAGCCGAAUUGUCUGCUAAACCUGCAAGGGUUAUAUUUUUCAAUAAUGAAAGUAUUGUCCUUACGUAAAGUUAAAUGGCAAGAGCGUUGACUAAUGAAGUAGCUCGUAAGUCUUGAUGAUAAAGAUCCAUCAUCGAUCAAUACCUUUUCUUCAUUCUCAGUCCAGCACAAUUUAGGAAGCCUCAAAGGAUUCACUUCUUUGAAGAUUUCCUCAGCUUCUGAUCGACCAUAGAAUAUUGCCAUUUUCUCACCGCUAAAUCUCGUCAUGCGCGCAUGGUGGCUACUCACUUGAUUAUUCUCGUGAUAUACGUCGAAAUAUUGGCCAAUCCAAGCAUAGACGUAAUGGAUUGGAAAAGUUACUCCACAUUCUCCAAGGUUAGGGGCGUGGACGAUCUCCCUCAACCCGUGAUAUAUGCUCGCAAGGACGGGAAUUGCAAGAUAAAAUCUUUUCCCUGUAGCCAUUAAGCAUGCAACCUUGAAAACGCUUGGGCGGAUACGGUCGACCUUUUUGCUUGGCAAAAGGAACUUGCAGAUCCAACACGCUAUGAAUGCCGCAAUAUAGGUCUCCUUUCUUAGAGACUCUGGGAUACCCAGGAUGUCAAAAGGGACAUUGAAGUCAUUCGUAUCGGCAAGGUCGUAAGGCUCCACGCUUCCAGAAGGGUUGUAAGUCAUUUUUGGUUUAGAUGUGGUCUUCCUUCUAUUCGCUCUAUUCGGAGGAGCCCUAUACCUAGCCUCUCCUUUGAACCAGAAGCGAAUCCAGUCCUUCAUCCAUACCCCUUGGUCAUUCGUCCAAAGGUGGUAGUAGGCGGAAAAGAGGUGCCUGCAACUCUCGGGGAGAAGUGGCUUCCCUUCUUUGUCACGAGUGAGGAGCUCCCGUGCCGAAGGAACAACUUCAUCAAAAAACGUGCCGUCGAUCGAAAGGCCAUCAAGUCGAUAGAGGUCCCAAAGUGUAAUGGACAACUCCCCAACGGGCGUAUGGAGUGUGUUCGUCGAGGGACACCAAUAUUUGAAGAAGGCUCGCAAGAUAUUUUCACAGCGGUCGUAGGAGUAUCUCGACGUGUAGACGGCUUCAAAUAUACCAGCGCGUGUGAGUAUGUCUUUAUGCCUUCCAAGCAUGUCCUCAACCCACUCCCAAUAAUGGGAGGUGAAGCACGCCUCACCGAAGAAUGACGAAGGGGUUUUCCAUGUAGCUUUGUCAACAUUGAAUCCCACGAACGGAAGAGUGAAUUUGGCUAUUUCUGGAUCUCCAUUGUGAAGAGACGAGUUUAGCACGACCACUUCUUCUUCCCUUGACGUAGUGGAGAAAGUCGACGGUGCCACCACUUCCUUAGUCCACUUGCUAGCCCAGUUUUCGAGAUGAAAGCAUCCUUCGAGGGGUAUGAAAGAUUCAGCGAGCGGCCCGAUUGCUGGUUUGUAAACAUGUAGUGACAAGCUCUUUGAUUGAGUUCCUCCCCGUUCAUCCGUCAGUGAAAUAUGCGGCACUGGCACGGCGUAGUCCUUAAUUUGCAUGAUUGCUGGAAUCUUGUAAAAGAAAAUAUUAGAGGAUGCAGGAGCGUCGUGCAAGAAGUUUGGUAAUUAAAUUACCUAAUUGGUUGCCUCUUCUCAAAUCCCCGGAAUUAUUUCGAACCCCUCUUCAAGCGCAGCUUGAGUUGUCUACAAAGAGGCAAGUUGACAAAGUUUAGAUCAAAAUCAUGUAUAGUAAUAUUUGGAAAAAAAAAAAAAGGGGGCUCUCAAAUACCAUAUUUGAUAUUACCCUCAUACAUGGGAAAAAAAAAUAUCAUAUUUGGUAUUAUCCUAAUAGAUAAAAAAAAAAAACUAACUUUUGCUCAAAUAAGCAUGUUUAGUGUUAAGGAAAAAAAAAGGGGGUUCAAAUAUCAUAUUUGGUAUUAUCCUAAUAGAUUAAAAAAAAAAAAAACUUUUGCUCAAAUAAGCAUAUUUAGUGUUAAGGAAAAAGAGGGGGGUUCAAAUAUUAUAUUUGGUAUUACCCUAGUAAAUGAGCAAAAAAAAAAACAAAAAACAAAAACAAAACAAAACAAAAAAAAAGAAACAAAAACGAAAGAAAACAAAAACAAAAAUUGAAUUUUCAGCUCUGAGGCAUAGCUCAUAUGUAUGUUUUGACCUGAGCUUCAUUCUCAAAUAAUAUUUUGAGAAAUUGUUUAGUAAAGUCAUGGGGCUCUAAGCGUCUCAAACUUCUUGUAAUAAUUAAAUGUUGCAAGAAAGAAAAAAAAAGGGAAGCCGCAGGUACCUGAUGACGGCUGACUCUGGCGUGCGGCAAUUUGUUGAUGCGGCUUAAGAGAAAUAAAACUCGUUGAGAAGAAAGUGUUCAAACGCUACCAAUGGAUGACAGUUGAUGCUUGCGGCUCGGUGAAGAUCUCAAGGGUCAGACGCUGUCAAGACAAACUAAAGCAAGUAUGGGAACCGUCGAUACAAGAAGGUAUGAAUGUGUGUGAACGAGAAUUAGAGUGACUACCUUCAAAGCUAUAGUGGAAGAAGCGACCAGAUCCUUCAAACGGCUUGCAACAUUGACAACGAAAAGGUUGUCUCCGAAUCUGUUGUUGCACAGACUACAAGGGUAAGCCGCGGUUCCAUGCAAAGUAGUAGAACAAGAAACACAAGCAGGGUGGUACCAUAGCUUGGAGGAGUAGUGCGUACCUUAAAAAUAAUCCUAGCGUAGCUCGGCACGUUCUGACCAACUCCAAAUUGAUUCUAUUAGUUUAAGGGGCGGCAAGGCCAAGCAAACUAGUAAAUUGUGAAUGACGGCAGUAGCAAAAAUAGGGGACGUAGCAGCGGCACCUCAUGACAACAAUAUUCGGGAAUCAAAAGGGAAGAGAAAUUUUUUUUUUUGAGCAAGUUCACGGCUUUGGACUUGGGGGAUUUAUAGGACGAAUCUCUACUACAAAUCUGGGAGAAAGUUGAGUUCAAAUACAACUAGCUUCCUGGUCCGCUUCAAUCGUUUGAGGGAUAUCUUCAGGGGUCCUAGCAAUUAAGUCGGCUGUAUAUUGGGAAGUGGAUUCUACACUGGCUUCAGGGGGCUUGCUUCUAAAAAGGACCAGUUUAUUAUCCCAUGCGAUAUAGCUUCCAUUUAUGUUGGCCUUGGAAGGAAUUCUUGUCGCAACCAACCCCUAUACGCUGAGUAAGUUGUGUCGGCAUGGAAACUUGCGAAGCGGUGGAGUUUAUGAUUGAUCAAGGAGCAAGAUAUUUACCUCGUAAUUAAAGUUGAAAGUUCUCUAGGCCAAUUGAAAGGUUAUUUGCAUGCAAGGUGCUCACAAGACAGAUGCUUGCGAGAUGGAGUCCCACGUCAAUCGCCUGUAUGAUUCUUAUUCGGAUAUUGAAGGCUCUUGUGGGCAGCUCCUUACUUAAGUGGUCUAUUUUAGAAGAGAUAUUUCCGCAAAACUUCAGAACUCAAGGAGAGUUAACCUCUUCGAUCCAAAGGAUCGUUAAGGUGAGUUUGAAGUCAAUUACAAGUCUAAUGUGAACCUGGCUUCGGGACUUUCCAGAAUGGUCAGUCGAGAUUGAAGAAGGGUCUAAUCUAAAUCCGAAUGGGUCUCUACUCCUGCUGAAAUUCAAUAAGCAAGCUUGGGAUUGGUUCGUCCAGAUGUAGUUCCCUUCUUAAAGUGGAUCUCUUAUCUAUUGAGUCACCACCGAGAUAUUUCCCAAGUUCGCAGAGAUCGAAGUUGGUAGAAUUCACAAAGGGCAAGAAUUCUUAUGCAUAAGGUAGACAAAAGGAAAGCUAUUUGGGAUCUGGCCUCGGGAGUUACGGGACUUGCAGGACUUUCCUAAUCAUUUUGGAAUUCGAAUACUACAUGGAACUUGCGCUCAAGACUUUCUAAUUCGACUAUGCAUAUCUCGUAGGUUCCUAAUCAUCAUCAGAUGCUACCUGGUAUUCUCAGUGGUAAUUGAUCUCUAAUAUGGGUUGUGCGCAAAUCUUCUUGAUUAAGGUGGUGGGCGUGAUUUGCAGGUGAGUAAAAACAAGGGGCAAUUCUUUAUUGUAUGGGGUCGCAAUUUAUAAUUUCCUAUUUCGACUCCUGGUCAAGGGUUUGAUCCUUCCACGACUUGAUUUCUACAAGUCGUAAAGGACUAGCGAUUAAAGUUUUGGAUUGGUUCGGAAUUCAAAUUCACCGCCUACUUUGGCCAUGGUCCAGCAAAGGUGGUGUUUAUAGUAGAUUAAAUUAAGGGAUUCCUCUUGUUCAGUUUGAGAUGCAAAACGUUCAUAUUGUUUGCAUUCCACAAAGCAAAGUUUGUAAGAAAAGUGUGAAUAAGAUUAUUUAUUGUGGGGGAUUCAUAGCACAAGUCCCACGGCAUUGCAGAGCUUUGGAUAUAAGUCCAUGAGUUGAUAUUCCAAUUGUAAAGCUUUGAGCACAAGUCCCACGGCAUUGCAGAGCUUUGAAUAUAAGUCCAUGAGUUGAUAUUUCAAUUGUAAAGCUUUGAGCAAAGCCACGGCAUUGAAUAGAUUUUGCUUGGAUUGAUAUUCAAGCGGUGGACAUAAGGCUUCCAAAUGAAGUGAUCCGGCCUCGGGAAAUUGGAGGCACUAGUGGUCUUGGAAAUUGAGAUCAAUAAGGCAUGAAUUGGUGGUCUUCCACGUAGCUAUCCUAUAUGAUACAAGUCAUUGAUAUGAAGUUUGCAAAGCUUGGAGUUUAGCCCAUUUAUGAGUUUUGUUUGAAAAGCUAAAAUAUCAACGGUGUUCAAGUUGAAACAAAAAAAAAUGUGUCAAAACUUGUCCGAUCAAAAUUUGCUUCGGUCUUCAACAUUCACGAACAAGUUUCGAGGGGGCAUUUGUAGACAAUGGAAUUACCAUUGGUCUAUAAAAUAUUUUUGUCCAAUCGGAUAUUGCCAUAGGGCAUGUAUACUUGGAAAAUUGGUUAUUAAAUGACCAAUUAUAUUUUGCCACGUGUCAAGGCGAGGUGUUCCAAACCAAUUCAAAUCGCAGGGGUAUCUUCACCAACUAAAUCAUAUCAUAUCACAUACCUAUUGGAUAAAUAUCUAAGUAUUUAUUUCUUAUUAAAGGGAUAAUAUUUAGAGUUAUUUAAUCCAAGUAUACCUCUUAUAUACUGCAGUAGCUUGGCCAGUCAAGCGGUGCCACGUCACGUGUCCCCACAAGUUUGGCCAAUCGAUAAAUUACUUAUCUCUUUAUUAAUAAAUAUAAAAUGAAGAGAUAAUAGUUGGCUAGCACAGUCCUAAUAUGACUGCACGUCUUGCAAGACAAGUGGAGCGGUACACAGGUUCUCAACCUCUACCUCUUGCUACAACUAUAAAUAAAGGUCUCUUAACCAAAUCAAGGACACACACACGGACACACAGAGAUAUCAAGAAGCAUCUCAUACACUCAAGUAUUGAAGUUUCAAGCUACGAAGGUCUGGGUCUCAAAGCUCCUCAAGUCUUCCGCAUAUCAAGGCUUGAGCCUUCAAGUAUUUUCAAAUCCUUCAAAUCUUCCAUAUCAAGAUUUGAAGGAGUCGGUGGUUGAUCCAAGAACAAGCUGCGAAGCCCUUGGAUUGGUGUUCGAGGAGAAGAAUCGAAGGAAGCUCUCCAUAAGUCCGAGAAACUUCCAGAGAUUGUACCUACAUAUUUUUUCUAAGUUUAUAUAGUACAUAUUUGUCGUGUAUUUCUUUUUCUUGUCGUUUUGCAGACUUGAAAUUUUUAUUGCGUACAGAUAGCAGUGGCUGCAAUAACUAGGAAGGUUCUCAGGGAUAAGAGCCUGCCAAAAGCCAUCCCCAUCUCCCAUAUCAACCCACACCCUCGACGGAAUCGAUUUGAGCAGAUCCACCUCAACACAUACCCGUGCCACAUUCGGUCGCGAAAACGAAGACGUAGCCGCAUCCACGAAAAGCGGCGUACCCAAGCAGGAGACAAGAUGAAAUAGACAUGGCUUAGCAAAUAAGUGAAUUGGGAGUUUGGGCAAUCUAAACCAGACGGGAACAAGGGAAGACUCUCUGUCCACAUGGAACUUAGAUGUCCACUUAAAAACCCUCAUGGGGCAUCCAUUCACGUACCACAAAUUUCGACCACAAACGCGAAGGAAGUCUGCUUCACACUGAAAUUUCAGCAAAACAUGCCUAGCAUCUAACAAUCCCACAGUCGCCGUAUCCUUCAAAUCAAGAGUCGACAAGAACUUCCUCAGGUCAGGCAGCAGCGGCUGCCCCUUAGAGAACUUCCCAACCAAAGUGUAGCGGAAUGGAGCAGCAAUCGCUGCUAUUUCAGCCGCACUGAAGACCACUGCAGGCUCUCCACGGUGUGUUGUCAUCCUCGCUUGGACUUGCACUACCUCCGACGUCGGUUGCGGUUCAAACAACGCAGAAAAGGCCUUCUUCCUAAAGGUGGGGGAGGAAGAGGCCGACGGCCUCCCACCUGGAGGAGGGGGGGCAGUCUCGGCUGCCAUGGACUUCGUUGUAUUUCUUCAUAUUUUAUUACACCAUUUUUUAACUCAAUCAAAUCAUAUUUCAACUUUUGUCACACUAUUUUCCAACUCAAUUACAUUAAAAGGCAAACUUGUGAGAAAUAAAACUUGUGAGACCCCAUCAACCCCUGCUCCUAUUAAUAUUACACAUGUAGAUUAUAUUUUAAAAGAAAAAUUACCAAAUUAGAAUUAGUCAAAAUAGUCCAUCAAAUAUAACAAAAGAAAAGUAUCCUUUUAGUUCGCGAGCUCAUUUUUUGAUCGGUUUUCUAGCCAAAAAGUGUGUGCCUUUCGUAGGCACCCACAAUUUAAAUAGCAAAAUGGGAAAACAAUUUAUUUUCUUCCAAAAAAGGCACAUGACAAUCAUAUGAUCACCUCCUGAAUAGGGAAUCCUAAUUAUUAUCCAUCAAAUUCAUAAUCGAAGAAAGAGUAAACUACAGGUGACCUUUACAGUUUCUUGUUUGAUUAUGGAUCUGGUGGAUAUGAAUUAAGGUCCUUUGCUAGAAGUGUGGUUAUGUGAUUGUGAUGCAUUUUUUAUUUAAGAGAAACAAAUUGCGUUUCAAUUUUGCCGUUGAAAUUGUGGAAACCAGAGAGAUGGUGCACUUUUAGGCUUAAAAAUUGAUUGAAAGUGAGUUUUGGGACUAAAGGAGCACAUUUUUUAUAAUUAUUUUGAUGCUUAUAUCAAAACCAUACAAAUUUACGCUGAAUGUAUUAAAAAUUAUACAAACUGAUUUGAACUAGAUAGAAUUUAACUUUCUGUAUAAGACAAUUUAUUGUGCACAAACCAUGUUUUUCGUUUUACUUUUAUAAUUAAGGUUUUCUACUAAAAAUAAAAUAAUGUGUUAGGUACAGCGUUGGCUCGCAUGUGGUGGGUACAGUUUCCGAAUAAAACAAUUUAUUAUGUGCAAUAAUGGUUUCUGGAUAUAGAUUCUUACAUUUCUUCUGAGUUUUGAUUUGCCUCUUACAUGGUGGAUACACCCACUUGACCUCAUAGUUCAUACCUGCAGAAAAUAAUCAAAGACAUAAUUGUGGAUAAAGAUUUGAGUGUUUUUCUAAUUAAUAAAGAAUAAAGUGUUUCUUAAGUAAUAGCUGAACUCUUGAUCACAUGAUUUUGGUUGUUGAUGACUUUGAUUUGGAUUCUGACCUUAUUCAAAUUCUUUUGAUUCUUUGAGAUCCCAUUAAUAUUACACAUGCAGAUAAUAUUAUAAUAAAGGAAAAAUUGUCAAAUUGGUCCCUUCCAUUUUCGAUAAUUUUUUUAGCCCCUCACAAUUAGAAUUAGCUAAAAUAGUCCCUUAUAUAUAUAUAUAUAUAUAUAUAAUGCAUCCUUUGGUCACAGAGCUGAUUUUUUAGGCAAGCCUCUUAGGUGCCCAAAAUUUUGAUGGCAAAAUGGGAACACAAUUUAUUUUCUUCCAAAAAAAAAGGCAUAAGACAAUCAUAUGACCACCUCUUGAAUAGAGAAUCCUUAUUUUUAUCCAUCAACCUCAUAAUCAAACAUGAAAGAGUAACCUGCAAGUGACCUUCAUGCUUUCUUGGUCGACUAUGGGUUUGGUGGAUAAGAAUUAGGAUUCCUAGAGAAGUGAUCAUGCGAUUGUCAUCAAUUUUUGUUUUUCUUUUUUUUUUUCAAGUGAAAUGAAUGUUCCCAUUUUGCCAUUGAAAUUGUGGGGACCUAAGACACAGUGUGCUUUUUUGACAUGAAAACUAAUAAAAAAUGAGUUCUGAGACUAAAUGGGCACAUUUUUAUUCAAUAUCUAAGACACUAUUUUGAUUGAUUUUAACCGUGAGUGACUGAAAUAGUGUUUAUUAAAAAUAUGAGGGACUAUUUUGACAAACUUCGGUAUAAUAAAGAUUGACCACUUUUUAAAGGAGUUUGGACAUUAUCCAUUUGGAAGUAUUACUAUUUUGAUCCUUUAUUGUUAUAAUUUUAUUCAAUUUACACUAUUUAGCUCGCUCCCAUAAGGAAUAUUCUUUCUGCGAUCUGCAAGGAAAAUCAAGGGAGCUAAUGGACGACUUGCAUGUGUGAACCACCAUGCACGUCACACAACAAAUUUUGCUCUUUUAUUAUUGGGCAAAAAAAAAUGGCGACCACUAAACUAUUUCUGACAUCUACUUCUAGCUACCAAACUAUUUCUUGUCUCAAUUUAAUCACUCAACUAAUUAAUCAAUACACCGUUGGUUAUUUCAUCGGAUUUUGCUCUUAGUUUUACAAAUAAACCAAACACAUGCAAAUCAAGUGCCAAAAUUUAAGGGUAAUCAUAUCCACUAAGUUUAUCAAUCCAAAUCUAAAAAGUCCAACAGCCACUAAUCUAUUCCCUUCGUACUCUUUUGGCCAUUCAAAUAUUUUUUGUUUCAAUAUAAUCACUAAAGUCUUAAAUCAAUAUACUAGCAGUCAUUCCGUCAAAUAUAUCUGUUAAUGCUAAGGAAUGAGUUCUAUGUGCAUUUCACAUACCCAAAACAGGACAAUUAUGUAAGGUCAAUUUUUUAGAAUUUUUCCCCGUUAAUAUUACAAAUGCAGGUAAUAUUAUAAUAAAGGAAAAAUUGUCAAAUUGGUCCUUUUCAUUUUUGAUAAAUUUUUUAGCCCCUCGCAAUUAGAAUUAGCUAAAAUAGUCCCUUAAAUAUUAAAAAAAAAUGCAUCCUUUUGGUCACAGAGCUCCUUUUGGUAAAUUCCUUCUUGUACCUUGAGAUUAAAUUUUAUUUAAUAUGAAUGACACAUAUUAUCUUGACGUCCAAAUAAAGGAGAUCAUUGUAACUUUUCAAAAACUUGAACGGAGCAACAUGAAAUUGUUAUAAACCUCAAAGGAGUUUUACAUAAAUACCCCACACGUUUACAAGCAGAUUUUAUCAUGCUAGUACCUUUAUAGUCGAAGAAAGCCAGUACAGUCAGUGCCACAUUGUUCCCUCUCCCUCUCUCUCGUUCUUCUCACAAGUUGUCUUGCGUGCUGCUUUGCUUCUCAGGACACGUUGAAGCUUUUGUUCUUUGCUAGCUAGGUAAUUAUUACAUGCCUGGCUCUCAAUUUCUCUGGUCCACUUCAUUAAUUGAUUUUUUUUUUUUGUAAAAAUUUUAGUGUAUCAAUUUCAGACGUUUGUUUUUCUUCGUUAUUGGAAAAUCCAGCAGCUGUUUGCAUGCUAAUAUAUGGGAUUUCUCUUUUGCUUAGAUCUGGAACACUUGCCGUCUAGCAGGAAAAAAUUAGCACCUGCAUAUUAUGUGACCCUGAAAAAAAAAAAACAUCUUUCUUUCUGUCCUCCAUUAGUUUGGCACUAAAACUUGAGUAAGGUUAACAGGAUUGUGCGGUACAACCAACAAUAAUGGAGGGGGAGAAGACGGAUACCGAGGGAAAGGUGGAGACAGAGAAGAUGAACAAGGAAUUUGCGAUGACAUAUGAUGUCCACUCUAAAAUGUUAGAGGAUCUAGUUGGGGAUCACUUCCAUUUGGGCUUCUAUGACUCUAGCUCCGUUAUCCCUGGUUCUGAUGUCAAUUCUGCUCAGACUCGCAUGAUCGAGGCGGCCCUCCGUUUUGCCUCUGUAUCAGGUAUAAUAAGCGUCGCACCUCUCUCAAGAUAUGCAUUCGCAGUUUGUGUGGAGUUUUCUUCUCUUUCUCCAAGUACAAAUGCUGUAGUUAUGGCACAAAACUGUAUUUUGCUGCAGAGCUAAGCUUUUUUUACUGGGGUGCAGAUUAAUUCCAAUUAAUUUCGAUUGUGACUUCGUUGAGUCAUCUACGACGGUCAUCGUUUACCGUGAGAUAAAGGCACUUAUUUUAAAAUAUUUCUAAUAGAUUGAUAAAAUAUUUCUAAUAGUAAAGGCACUUAUGUAACUUUGCACCCAAAUGAUAUAAUUGAACACUAAAUAAGUGCUCUUGUCCGAAUCUCUACCACGUGAAAUACUUCUCAAUAAGUCGUCAUAAUCUUAAGGAUUAAUUUUAUAAACACUGUCAAUAUAUACAUUAUUAUUAUUAAAUAUAUAACACAUGUGUAAAAUUUAAAUUUAAUAAUAUAUACUUACAGUGUAUAUAAAAUUUAUUCUAAUAUUAAACAGGCACUUAAUAUUAAAGAAUUAUCUAAGAUGGAAUAUCAUUUCUCUGCCAAUUGCGCUAGUCAUGCAUCUUGUUCUUAACCUUCGAAAAAUCAACACAUAAGUUUAUUGGUAUCACUCAAGAUUGGGUCAAUUUCAAUCAUAUUUCCUGAGAUUUGACCUUUGACCUAAUUAAAAAGUAUGCCUUGUGAUUUGGUCAGAUUACAGUCGAAUACCCCAGUAGCAAAACAUUUGUCAAAUACCCAGCCUUCACUUUAAAUACAAUAUUGGCAAUUAAACGCAGCCGUCACUUUAAAUCUAUUAUUUCCUUUCAAGUUAAAUACUUCUUCACAUGUAGGAAAGAAAAUAAAACUUUCAGUUAAUGACCAAAAAACACCAUUUCAAAUUUUUUUUUUUUUUUUUUAUCAAUCAGCAACUUCUAUACUAUCCUACCCUACAGGAGAGAAAUUCAACUAGAUUGUAUAAGGGACUAGAGAACAAGCAAGUUCAUCUAAACCAAAGAGGUGCUCUGCCAUAUUUUUUGAAUUUUUUUAACUAUAAGGUGUGGGUGUAGGGUUUAAAGUUCCGACGUACAAUCUAAAGAGGAAUUUUAAAUCCCUUACUUUGAAUUGACCAAAUUUUACACUCAAUAGUACAUGCAUAUGUAAACGGGGAUAAUCAAUUCGGGAAGGAUAAAAACAGAAGCAGCAUUUUGUUUUUCUUUUUUCUUUUGGUCUUUACUUUUCUUUCUCAUUUUAGUAGCUUUAGUUUUUCUUUCGCUACAUUUGCAAUGGAUUUAGGGGUAUUUGGCUAUUCAAAAGGUUAGAUUACAAAUUGGUCAAAUUACAGGAUUAGUUCUAUAAUUUGGACAAGCCUUAUGCAAUGUGAAUAUACAUUAAGCAUAGAAUUUGUUUUUUUCUGGGCAAUCAUAUGCAAUUUCUGUAAUUGGUACUCUGGGUUUAGGUCAUGCACACAUUGAAAAAAGAAAUGGUUUGAUUUCCUUUCAAUGUCUAUUUACUUUCCUAGUGAAACAUCCUCCUCAUAAUUUCUAGUUUUUUCUCCUCUCCAACUUUGUCAUUUAAUAGUCAACCAACCGGCAUUAUUUAUCAUGAAAUAAUAUGCAGAGGAUCCAUCUAAGAAACCAAGAAACAUACUUGAUGUUGGAUGCGGUAUUGGUGGCAGCACCAGGUACCUAGCAAGCAAAUAUGGUUCUCAAUGUAAAGGCAUCACCCUUAGCCCUUUUGAGGCUGAAAGAGCUCGUGUUCUAACUGCUGCCCAAGGAUUAGAAAGCCAGGUCUGUAUUGAAAGAUUUGCAAGAAGUUAUCAAUUGUUAAAUCACCCUUUAUGCAAGUGCACAAUGAGUAAAAAUUUUCAUUCUUCCAUUUCUUAAGGAAUGAUGACUGAGUGCAUACUACUACUACUAUGGUUUUGAAAAAAUAUUGUGAAACUGAUGGUAGAUGAUUAUUUCAUGUAAAGAACACACGUCUUAGAUUUUCCCCAAUCUUUUAAACCAUAUAAAGCAAGAGAUGCAUUUUCAUAGAAUACUAGAUGCUAACCCAUGCACAUGCACAUAUUUAUAUUACCUGUUUAUUUCUAUGAGAAAGAUAAUAGACAAUGAAUGAAGUUACAUAUGAACUAAACAAAUUGUUCUGAGGAAAGUUAAAGGAAAAAUAUGUCAACAACAACAACAAACAAUUUCAAAGCGUGGAAGAAAAAAAGAAAAGUUUCAGCAUUCCUGAGGCUAGCUCGUGAAUGCUGCCAAAGCGUCCCCACUUUUGGUUCAAGAAAGCGAAACUGAUACUCCAAAGUUUCAAGAAUCCUAAUUUGUGAUAGUUUUGUUUUGAUUACCCAUCCUCACCUUUACUUUUUAUACACUAAAAAUGCAAAAUUUUUAAAUCCUAAAUUUUAGCGGCUAAAAUUAUCUCAUGAUAGAAUUGAAUUCAAAUAUGUAUUAUCAGUAAUCUUAGGUAAUGAUGAUAACUCUUGGAUUUGGAUACACACGUAUGUGCAUACAUAUAUAUAUACAUACAUACAUAUACAUAUAUAUAUAUAUAUAUAUAUGUGUGUGUGUGUACACAUAUGCACAUAUACACAUACAUCUAACUGUAUAAAAGCGGGAGUUGGGUUAUGAGUAGUAAUUCUUUGUCAAGUGGUUAUCAAGUAAUUUUCGGCAACUUUGAUGGCUUUUGUAUUUGUUGGUUUUGUUGACUUUUCGGGAACUCCAUUUGCAUCAGUCAUUGGCAGUUCCUCAUGUCAUUAGGAUUAGUCUUAGUAGUCCUUCAUUUUUUGCUAAUGCCAUUUCCUGUUUCAGCCUUACUCGGAGGCCAGAAGAUGCAUGUUAUAGUUGUAUGGUUUAUUUGUAAUUUAUUUGUUCUUUAUUCCUCUUUUUUGCAUCAUUUUCGCCUAUUGUGAUCCGCAGAGAUAGGCCAUCUUAGCUAUUCUUGAGUAUUAGUUUAGCCUUAGGUUUGUCUUAUUUUUCAGUUAUGCCAGUCCUUUUUUUCUUCGUUCAAGCUGCAUGCUAUAGUUGCUUGAUUGUUUGGUAAUUUUGUUGUCUUCUGACCCGAUUUUUUGUUGACUCAUUGUUCACUUUUGUGGAUGCCUCACUUUUUGUUUCUACAUGUUUCUUUAAUUUAGCGGAUAGUGAAAUAAAUUUGUUUGGAAAAGAAUGCACGCCUAAGUGGAUGCAGUGUUAAAUUUUCAUGUGAUAACUAUUGCUGUGACUAUGCAUGUAACCAUGCUGCGGACUGUCUUCCAUGGAAUUUCCAAAAAUUGAGCUGGACGGAAAAAAAAGGGCCGGCAUUUUCAUCAAAAGUUAAUGAAAUAGUUUAAAGUGCCAAAAGGUUUUAACCAAAAAUAGUUUCUAAUUUUGCUGAUUUUUUAAAAUGUACAAUUAUAAAGAUAUAUUAGUCUAUAUAUUUAUAUUUAGUGUGCAUAAUUAUUAGAAAAUUUUUAGUACCCUUAUUUUUAUUUUUAUAGUUUUCAUUCUAUUUAUAUGUGUGUGCUAAUUUAUGAGCUUAAUUUUUUUUUUUAUAAAAGAUAAUAUCUAAGGAUAUAAAAGGGGAGAGUUGGGUUAUGAAUAGUGCUUUUUGGUCAAGCGGUUAUGCUGCAAUUAUUGUUGGAUGUGGAGGCUAUUUUCGUCAAUUGGCUGUUUUGGUUAUUUCACGUUGGUGGUUUACUUUGUGAGGCGAUAAAUAAAAGUUCUGUGUGUGCUUGUUUUUCUAUGCAAUUUAAUACUCAUUGCAUUGGGUGAAGUGGUUGUCUACCAUGUUGACAAGAAACUUCUAAUUGCAUGAUUUCCAAAAAUUGAACCGAAAAAAAAGUAGAAGUCCAACAUUGUCAUCACAAGUAACGAAAAUUGGCUGUCAAGAUUUGGGACUAAAAAUGGUUUAUAAUCCUUCUACUAUUUAAGAUGCACAAUUAUUAAAAAAAAUAUUAGUCUAUAUAUACAUAUUAAAUGUAUAUAAUUAUUACAAAUUUUUUGAUGCCCCUUAUUUUUAUUGUUAGUUUUCCAUUCUAUAAGCAUAAAGUUAUUUCCGUCUUGUAUGUGAGCUAGAUGGUUAACUUAUUUCCUUUUUAAAAAAAUUAAUUUGUUAUUUUUCUAACAUAUUCGUAUUUAAUAUAUAUAAUUAAUAUAAAUUUUUUAACACAUUCAUUUUUCCUAAUGACUCUAAAUUGAAAAGCAAUGUGCUAUUUUUUUUAUUAUUUUAGUCAAACAUGUAACAUUAAUUAGAUUAUUUCUUACAUUAAAAAGCUAAAGUACUCUAAAUUUCAAACAAUAUAUAAUAUAAUUAUAUAUAUAAUACAAAAGGGAGAGUUACCCUAUGAAUGGUAUUUUUGGUCAAGUGGUUAUCCUGCAAUUAUCUAAUAAUAUAAAUGAAGAGUUGUCCUAUGAGCAGUGUUUUCUUGUCAAGUGGUUAUCCUACAAUUGUUAUUGGAUGUCGGGGCUAUUUUCAUCAAAUUGCCUGUUUUGUUUGUUUAAAGCAGGUAUAGUUUUGGUGCAUUUACGAGACAUGUUGAUCAAAUUAGUAAUUGGUGGUGUAAAAAGUGAAGCUUUUGAAAGUUGAUUUUUUUGUGGUUAAUUAUUUGCUUUUAAAGUGUCCUUUUUUUUUACCUAUGAAAGAAUUGAUAAAUUAUUGCUAGCUUUAGUGACUUUAAAAAUGGCCUUUAUUACUGUGACAUGAAAUAAAAUUGUUAAAUGUUCUGUAAAUGCACAAUUAACGAGGAAACAAUGAAUAAAUUAUUGUUGGUUUGACAUCAUAUAAUAUUGUUAAGUGUUCUGUAAAUGCACAAUUAUUGAGGAAACAAUUAAUAAACCAUUGUUGGCUUUAGUAACUUUAAAAAAUGGAUUUUAUUACUGUGAUAUGUGGUGAUUAAUUUAACAAUGCCAAGUUCUAUGGUUUAAGUGCUUAAUUGACUUGCCAAGUCUCCCUUUUUUGUGUCAACAAUGAUUAAUACUUUUUUGGGAAUGAUUCACUUCAUAAUUUUCUAAUUAUGCUAAAUCAAAUGCAAAAUAACCUUAUACAAUUUUCUAAUUUACGCUUAUGCAUUCUAUAUAAGCGCCCUCAUGCAUUCUAUAUAUUAUUGUUCUCAUGUAUUCUAUAUAUUUCAUAAUUGUCAACCUUUAAUAAAAACAAUAAUUCUCUAAUGAUCUGCAUGAAUUAGAUAAUAACAUAGAUGUAUACUAAUAAACCACACAAUAAAAAACAGUUAGCACGGGAAAUAUUAGCCCAUGCGCAGGCCGUCUCACUAGUAUAUAUAUGUGCAUAUGUGUAUAUAUAUGUAUGUAUGUAGAAUUAAUCUUCUAUGCACUAACUAAUAAUUUAUACACUACACUACAACAAAAAUGGCUUUUCCUGACAUGUCUAUAAGAACACUUGUUGGUUUGUGUCAUUAUAGCACUUUUAUUAUGACAUUUGUUAUCAACUCAAUAAUAUACACUCUAUUUUUUUUUAUUUUAUCUGAUAUAAGAAUAAUAAUGUGCCUUUAGACUACCUAUCAUGACACUUGAGAAAAUGUGAGAUAUAAAAAAAAAAAAAAGAAAAGGCACAAAACAACAUCAUAUAUAGUGAAUUGGCGGAAGAUUCAUUUGCUGUGAAAUAUUCAAACUUUCAAUUUGCCGGCCAAAACACUUAGUCAAAUUUUGCUUCUUUUCAUUUCUCUCACAAAAAACACUCUCCACAAACUAACUCUCUGCAAAUUAUCUCUCAGCCAAGUAGGGACGUUAAGACGGAGCUUUUUGUAGAUGGCGCAAGACGAUUGCAGAUGGGUAAAGGAAACCUGGAAAAUAAUAGACCAUCGAGGUACUAAAUGAGACUUUCUUCCACUUUCUUUCCUUUCACUCUUUCUGGCUCCCGUGACCAGUUAAAGUAAGGAAGAAUUAGCCACGGGAACUAUGAAAAGGGUUCCAGACUCUCCUUUCUAAGAGUAUCUCGCCUUUCCUAGCAUGGGGAGCGAUUACAACCAGGAUGUUAGAUGCCAAGAUCUUUUUUUUGCUAAAAAUACAAACAAUUUCUUCUUCUUUUUUGUGUUGCAUUUUCUCCUUCUAUUUUAUGAUCUUUAAGUUUUAUUAAAUUUUAUUGCCCAGAGUUUGACACUCAAAGGUUUUCACCAUAAUUAAUUAUUUUUGAGCUAUGGAUAAUUUCAACCGCAAUAAAUGCUCUCAUAAUUUUCUUCUGAAUUUGAUUACAAUCUUAAUUUUUUAUAUUUUUUCUCAAAUCAGACUUAUGGAUUCAGUUAUAAAGCCAUCAUUUUUUCUUUGAAAUUUUAAAUGUUAUUAUGCUAUUUUGUGUGAGACAACUAAGCCCGACGUAGUUAUUAAGACGCUUCACUUGUAGUCGAAAGGUCAAGGGUUUGAUUUAUCAAAGAGGUAAGUAGAGAAUUAUUAUUGAUCCUCUUUUAAGAACAAGAAAAAAAUGCUACUUUAUGUGAGAUAUGAUUGAUAUAUAUAUUUAUGACAUCAUGAUGACCUUAUGAUAGUUUUGAUUUUUCAUAAUAAUGAACCCUAUGAGUGCCAUUCAAGUGGGAUAGAAGCUCAAAUUGAUGGCAUUUACAAGUGCCAUUAAAAAAGUGAUAUUUUAUAAUAACUUUUCUUAGAUUCAACUUAAUCGCAUUAGAGAACUUCGUUCUCAUGCAACAAUUAUCUAUGCUAAUUACUACAAUUCUGCAAUUUGAUUCUAUUGCUCACCAAAAGAAUUCGGUAUUGCACUAUCUUUUAACUUGCUAAUUUUCUCACAACUCAAAAUAGUACUCAAAAGUUUUAUUUUAGAUACUUUGUCCUCUAGACUUUACUAAUUUAUGUCAUAUCAUCGCCUAAUCCGCACGACCUUCAUGCACCUUUUUUUUUUUUUUUUUUUUUAUAGAAAGAUCAUUUCAUUCAAUAAAUCCGCACUAAUAGUAGAAAAUACAUCAAACAUGACACAAAUACAUAUGGAUUUAAAAUCAAUAGAUACAACAGAUCUAAAAAAUCAAUACAAAUAAAGAUAACAUUGAUGCUCUUAUACAUCUUCUAUCCAGAUGAAUUACCAUAGUACAAUACAUCUAUACAUGUCUUUUGAUAGUCAAAUCCGAUUAACACUGGUUCAAGUUCAAAGAGAAAUUUAAAUCUUAUAAUAAUGGAGAAAUUGCAGAUAUGAGAAACUAAAUUCUAAAUCUAUAAAAUCUAGAUAAAGUUGAAUUAACAUAUGUGCACCUUAAAGUGCAAAGUACAUCUAACGUAAAGUUGAUUCUUGCAACCUCUUGUGGAGCUGGUGGUCCAUAUUAUUGCUAAUCAUCUAUGGGUUGUGGCGACCCACAAACAACUGGUUGUGCUGAUAUCCUUUGGCACAUAUUUGCUGGGACGGUAUGCAUGAGACAGAAGCAGCCAACAGAUUAAUAGUUAAGGCUCUAUUUGAAGGACCAUAUUCAACUCCUCUCAUUGAUUUACACUACAACAAAAUAGGCUAUUAGUGUUAAAAAGAGUUUGUCACUAUCAAUUUAAAUAUCGUCAUUGAAACAAAUCAGCGACAACAAUUCAGUCGUUAUGCUGCCAACACUGAACCAUUGUCAUACAUGGCACCUAUUGAUAUGUUACAAAAAGUUGUCACUAAUUGGUUUUAUAUAAUUACGACCUUUAUUGCAAAAGUCUGUAGUGACUAUUGUUUUUGCCAUUAAAUCAUUGGCUAGGUUGUGACUGUUGUUGACCAAUUGAUCAUCACUACUAGAAAGAGACACUGACAGGAAGUCAUCACUGUGUUUGAAACAGCAUUAAUGAUGACUUGGUCUUGUCCCAUUUGUCCUUAACAAUAAUAGCAAGUGAAAGGUGCUCUGUUGUCACUCCAUGAUAGGGUUCAUUUAGAUGGUAUAUUUUUCUAUAUUUUCUCUUUUUACUUAUAUCAAAUAUUGCUUUACUUGAUCGAUUCUACUCAAAAUUGGUAUUUGGUGUUAAUUUCAGGAAUUGGAACGGAAAGUGCUUAAAAUCAAGAAUUCCUAGUGAUUUGCACGUGGGCCGGAAGAUCGGGAAGAGUUUAGGCAGUUUCCUAGUCCAAAUCAAAUUCCAAACAAUUGACUGCUGAUGAAGAUUUCCUACCUUUUGGGCAGUCCACGUCAUCCUCAAGAAAAAGGAAAGCUUGAAGAACUUGACCUGUAAUAGGAAACCAUCCCUUCAAAUUAGUUAAUUUAUUCCUAGAAAAUAGGGAUGGAGGUAGACAUCAAUUCAUCAUCUUUUCGUGGCUAGAAAGGAAACAACAAAAUUGCUUUUGUUUCUAUUUUCUUCUUGGCCGAUUUUGAGAGGAACAAUUUUUUUAACUUUCGACUAGCUUUUUUCGCAUGGCUUGUUCUUCAUCAAUGGGGAACUAAUUUCAUACUUCUAGUCAAGGGGACAACUAAAGAUUUAGUUCAAUAAUAACGGUGAGAUCUAAAUUAUUUUAAUUGCUUCCUUCAUUCAUUGGUGUUUGUAUGUUUUCUGCUUUCAGUGGUUAUGACUAUUGUGUAUGAUUGAAUAGUUGCGCAAUAUUUAAUUAUUCACGUAAUCUAUUUGCUAAUUGUAGAUAGUUGAAUCCGUAAUUAUUUGAUUACUCUCAUCUCGAUAGCAACUGGCAUAAUUGGGUUUGUGUCAGAAAAACGUACAAUCUAAUUUAAAUAAACCCCCGUAGCGUGUUUAUUGAUUAGAGUAGGGGUUCUCUAGUUUCUAAUGCAAUUGGGGAAUUAAAUUCUAUGGUCGUACUUAGAGUUAUUCCUAAAUUAGGGAAAUAGUCAAUGGUUGUACCUUAAGUAUCGAAACUGUAAGAAGAGACUGACUGUCAGAUCGUAUUGACAGUUAAAAACUUACUUAUUAAUGAAUGUUGGAUUUAUUUGUGAAUCGAUGAUCAGUUGCAUGAACCAUCUCUGAAGUGUAUCCUUGGCUAGAGUCUUCCCAAUUAUUUCUCUCUAUUACUUAUUUUUCGCAGUUGAUUAAUUUAGUUAACAAUUCAUUAGCGUUAAAUUCUCAAACCCCCCAUUUGCCUUGACUUGAAAAGGAACAAAUUUCUCCCAAUCCUUGAGGAUACAACCCUACUUGCCCUAUAUACAAAUAAAAGAUUUUUUGUGAAUAAAUUCAGGUAUAUCGGAUUAAGCAAAUUCUUCAGAACUAGGAUGAAUCAAGUAAUCCAUUGCACAUCUAGAAUCCCUGCUCCAAUACUAGAAUUGACACGAAGCUGCUUUGUUGGCACUUAGGAUUAUUACUAUUAUUGCAUAGGCUCAACACCUGUCACUCCAUUUAUGGCUGACAACCUCAAAGUUGUCAUGCAAUCCCGGUUUUGCAGUGACAACUCGGUUUUUGUCGAUUAUGCAGUUGUGUUUCAGCUAUAUUUGCAUUUUACUAGAAAAACCAAUAAACCAAGUCCAAAUUUAUAGGGACUAACAUGAAACCAUAAAUGUGUACUAAGAAAACUAGCAAUUUAUUAGUGAAUUAACACGAAUCCAUGAACCAAAUUCAUAAAAAAAUCUAUUUCAUCAAAGCAUCCAAAUCGAUUUACAACAUUGAGUUAUUGAUAUUCUAGUUUAGAUAGUUUUUGAAUAGUUGAAAAAAUAUUUUUUUAUGUUUAAAAGAUAAGGUUCAAUUUCACAAACGUUUCUCUUAUUUACAAAUUGUAUCAAACUUUUAUUUCCUGUAAAAUCUAUAAACAGUAAAAGAUAAACACAAAGCAUAAAUGUUACCAAUGACCCCUAAAAUUGGCUAUCAUAUCUGGAUAGAAAUUAACCUUCAACCAAGGUUGAAAUCAGACUGUUCAUUGGCCCAAAAAAAUAAUUGGGUCAAGAAUCAUUGGUUCAACUAUUAGGCUGAACAUACUUGACCCGUGAUGACAUGAAUAUGUCAUAAAUAUUUUUCUUAUAUAUAUUGAUUAUUACAAAUAUGCAAGUAUUUGUAGAUAGUUCACUCUGAUGUAAAAAAUGUUCACUUCAAUCCUUUUUACAUCUUUUAACCAUUGAAACUCAAAAAUAACUUUUUUUUUAAAAACUUUUUUAAGCAAAAAUUAAAGGAGUUAUAUAAAGCAUUUUGUCUAAAUUUUGACUAAUUAAAUACAUAACAGUAUAUAAGAAAGGUAUUAAAGAAAUUAAAGCCAAUAAAAAAACAUAAAAUACAUUAAAGAGUUGCAUAAGUUAUUGUAUUAACUUGAGGGAGGGUUAGGUUGGGUGGUAAGGUGGGAGGGGUUGUAAGUAAGAGAUUUUGGAUUCAAGUCUUCUGGCUUACCAAAAAAAAUUAUUGUAUUAGAUGCAUACAUAUGUUGAGCAAUAAUUAAGACGUAAUAAUAUUCUUUUCAUUUCUCACUUUUAAAACGAAACAAUUCGUCCCUGACAUUUAAAAUUGAAGCUAUUACAUUUCUGAAUCCAACUUUCAAUUUGAAUCGAACCAUCCAGUGACUCAGUAACAAAUUUUGGGGAUAGAAUUGAUACAUAACUUGGUCAACUCCAUCACAUUCACAUGACAUUUAUUGAACCAAAAAAGGGAAAAAAAUUAAAAAUUAUAAUAUAAAAGCCGUUGUUUGUUUUGGUAUAGUAGAGUUUCUUUUUGGAUAAAUGUUUUCAUAUGUAUACCACACGUACAAAAUUUGGUGUUUAAAUUUAAAUUGAAAUGAUGUGACUGGUAUCUAGACCCGUCAGUGUAUAUAAUGACAAUUAUGUACAAGUAUGUAUCUAGACCCAUUAGUGUAUAUAAUAACAAUUAUGUACAAAAAAUUAGUAAGAUUUAAAUGCGGAACAUAACAUUAAUUAACAAAAUUUGAAAGUUUUUUUUGUCUCAAUUUAAAUUGUAUAGUGAACUGGCUGGGUCAUGAAAAACUACUCUAGUUCAACUAUUAAUUGGCUAAACUCGAUAAUUUUUCUGAAUUAGCCUAAAUUGACAAUUUUUGUAAUGCUACUGGGUUUUAGGGGUUGUUCGGUCCGACAUGAAGACUGAUCGACAAUUAAACCGGUCCAAUUGGGUGGUCCGGGUUGAGUUUUAAAACAAUGCCUUAAACAUGCCUGCUAGCUGGUCUUGAACUUUCCCACAUCUGAGAGUGCUGGGAGCUAAUAGAACCGCAGGAUGACGUAAGAGACUUAUUUCAACUUAAAAGAGAGGAAAUCAGAAGAAAAUUUGCAUUAAGGCUUAACUAAAAGAUGCACCUUAACCCUUAAAAAGUACGUGACUCUUUGACUUAGCAGGCACAUCCAAUGGGAUGUGAUGUGAGGAAGGUAAAGAGUCAUACACGUUAGAUCUAAAUUUCUAUACGUAAAAUUCAAGUUAGAUGACUAUAUAAACAUCUAUAUGACAUUCAAACAUCGUAUCUUAAAUUACCCAUCUGCAUAUAAAAGAAUGUAAACUAAAAAAUGAUCUUUUUUUCCUAAAACUCUAUCUGUUGGUAAAUCAAUUUUAAUUAUUAUAAUACUGAAACCAUACACUUUGAGAUACCAUGCAUGUAUUGAGUACCCAAACCAAUUUGGGUUUAGGUCUAGGUUGGGUAUAUAUUCAUUUUUUUCAAACCACUAGGGUGUGGAUUUAGAUUGGGGCCAAAAAAAUUUAGGAGAUAGGAGAUUUGGCUUUGGAUUUACUAGAUCUAACUCAGCGUCGGGCACUAGAUCUUGGCUUCCUACCAUUGUUGGUUGCUCUAAGUCUGAAGUUUUUUCAUCAGUAAAAGAGAGAAUCUUGUAGAAGAUACAAGGAUGGAAUGAACAAUGACUCUCAAAGGCAGGUAAGGAAAUCAUGAUCAAGGCUGUUUUCUAGGCCAUUCCAACAUACUCAAUGUCUUGUUUCAAGUAUCCGGAUUCCUUGCUUUCAGAUACCCAAUCUAUGAUGAGUAACUUUUGAUGGAGUGAUGGUAUAGAGCAGAAACCAAUUCAUUGGAUAAGUUAGGAUAGAAUGUGUUUGUCCAAAAACAAAGGUGGCAUAGGCUUCAAACAACUUAAGGCUUAUAAUUUUACUUUACUAGCUAAACAGGCAUGGCAUAUUGCAACUUAACCAUCUACUCUUCUACAUCAGGUUUUUAAAGCUAAAUAUUUUCCCAGUUCAAACUUUUUUCAUGUCGAGCCGACUUCCAAGCCUUCUUUUACUUGGAGGGGAUUGGCCGAAGUUUGAAAAUAUUUAGUCUCUGGUAGCUGAUGGCGAGUUGGAAAUGAGAAUCAUAUCGAAAUUUGGAAAAAUAGGUGGAUUCCAUGUCCUUCUUCUUUCAAAAUUAUAUCUCGUUUUGAUGCGCUACCAAAUGACUCCACUGUAGAUUGUUUAAUUGAUGAAAAUAGCAAGAAAUGGAAAUAUGAGCUGCUUCAAGAACUUUUCUGGCAAGACGAGAUCGAGCUGAUUAUGAGUUUUCCAUUGGAUGAUAGUCGAAAUCAAAAUAAGCUCAUCUAGCAUUACUCUAAAAAUGGCUCCUUCACAGUGAAAAGUGCCUACCAUCUUGUCAAAACACAAUUCACAAACUGGCAGGAUGUAGCUUCAAGAAGUAAUGGCUUUGUGGAUGAUAUUUGGCCUUGCUUGUGGAAAUUCUACAUACCAAGUAAAGUUAAAAUAUUCUUGUGGCGAAUUUGCAAAGGUGUUCUACCUACAACUUCCAAGUUGAAUAGCCAUGGAGUUUAUCAUGAUCCUACCUACUCUUUAUGUAAGACCCCUGUUGAAGAUGUUAAUCAUAUUUUCUUGUACUGUCCAGUAGCAAUUCAAGCUCGAGCCCUCAUCUUUGUUACACUGAAGAUAAGAUUAGACUCUGCUGAUCAAGUUUCGUCUUGGUUGCCUGGCCUUCUUCGUUUUUCGAAAAAGUCGGACAUGGAAUUGAUAGCCAUAAUUCUUUGGAAUCUAUGGCUUAAUCGAAAUGGUGCAUUACUUGAUGGUUCCUAUUGUGAUCCUCUUAGUUUGGUCUCUCUCUCUCUCUAUCAAUUUCUUACAGAAAUACCAUGAAGCAUACACAUCUCCAAACAUUCCAAUACGCUCUUCUACUACUCAACUUCAUUGGAAAAAACCCCUAUAGGUUUUCUAAAGGCCAACUUUGAUGGUGCAAUAUUCUAUGAAAACGACUACUCUGGAGUUGGAGUUGUUGUAAAGGAUGAAUGGCCAAUUUUGUUGUAGGUAUUUCUCACAAAAAUCUUAGGUAUCUUUUCUCCUAAGAUAAUUGAAGCCUAUGCUGCAAAAUCUGCAAUUUCCUCAUUAUGUAAGUUAAAGGUUCUCAAUAUUAUUUUAGAGGGUGACUCUUUGAAGAUCAUCAACAUGCUUAAAAAUAUGAAAUUUGAUGAUUCAGCUUAUGGGGUGCUAUUAGAUGAUAUCCUUUGACAGGUGUCGAGCCUGCGCAAUAAUAAAUACCUACUCGGAAAAAAUAUAAUUUUCUGUGUAUAGUAGUGAGUAGGGUUGAAUCCACAGAGAUUGGGGGGGGGGAUUUGCUUCUUUUCAAGUUCGGGACACGGGGGAAUUUUAUCGGAAUAAAAAUAAGAACAAUCAAGCAAUUCAACCAAGACAAACAAUUAACUAGUACGAACGUAGAUAGAAAUUAAAUCAAUAAUAGACAAACUCUAGCCAAGGAUACAACUACUCGGACACAGUCUAUUCAUCCAAUCAUUGAUGCAAGGGAGGUUCACUUAAUUUUAUUAACAUGUUAGUUAUAAUUGCCAACAAACUCUGACGGCCAACUUUUCCUUAAUUUAUUGAUAACCAAGGUACGACCGUUGAUUACCCCUAACCAGGAAACACUCCUAGGUACGACCGUAGGAAUUAAUUCCCUGAUUGCAUUAAAAACUAGAAAAACCUAACCCCACUAAUAACACGCUACAAGGGUUAUUUAAAUCAGAUUGUACGUUCCCCUAGUGUGUGAAAAUGCUAGUUGCCACUGAUAGUAACCGAUUAAAUAAUUACGGAUUUAAUUGAUUAAUUUGGCAGGAGAUUAGUAAGUCACAUUGAACAUCGGGCCCUUGAUAUCCAAUUAGCAAAAUAAUCCCAUGGAAAUUCAAAUAGAAACAGUGCAAAUAUUAACAAAUUAAAGAAUAUACGAAAACUAAUUCGAUCUCACAGAUAUUCGGGACUGCGUCGUCUCGUUGAUUCUUAACUAGAUGGAAAACUUAGCCACGCCUCAUGAGACAAUUUCCACACAAUUUAAUUGAUUUCGAAGGCAUCAUCUUUUUCACUAAUAGUCUCCAAGAAUAAUAAUACUGUGUUCCAGCGGUCUCAAUAGAAGGAAACAAAAGAAAAACAUAAAAUAAAGAAAAAGCAAGGAUGGGACAAAGCCCAAAAGAUCCAGCUGUUUUUCAUAAGAAGAAUUCCUCCUUUUAAACAAGAAAACCUCCGACCCCUUGUUUCCUAAUUUCUAUGGACUAAUUGCAAAGAGUCCUAUUUCUUUUUGGUUUCCUCUGCCAAUGCAACAAAUGGCUAUCAAAAUAGGAAACCUUUGUCCUCCAAUUGGAAUUGGCUUGUAACUCUUUGCGUAUUUGCACAUCUCAUUCUUCACUUUUCAGGAUUUUGUACUCUACCCCUGCAACUAUGUCCAAAUGCCAAUUAUAAGUAGAAUCUAACAAUUAACAAAAUAUUUGGCGCAAAUAAUGAGGAAAAUUAAUCAGAAAAUGACUAACAAUUAAUACCCUAUCAAUCUUUCCACACCUAAAUCAUGCUUGUCCUCAAGCAUGGGAACAACUAAACUCAAACAAUGGGUUGCUCUCACGUCAUCUAUUGCCAAACUGUGCUUACACCAAAAUCAAGAUUAAGUGGCUAAGUGUCAAGACAUAGUCCUCCCGAUUAGCUCCUGAAAUCACAAACUCAUCUAAUUCAUGGCUAACUCAUCUAGGAAAUCAAAAUAUUAAACUAGCAACAGUCAGCAAUUGGUUCAACUGGCAACCAAAAUCUUAACAUUGAAGAACAAGGAUCGGUAGGCCAACAUGAUGAUAUGGUUACAUAUUUUUCACAUCUGUUUUUUUUUUCUCUUUUUUUUUUCUUUUUUUUUUUAAUGAAUAGAGGCUUAGUUCCAAGCCAUUCAAGUCUUUUGACGUGAAUUCUGACAUUUUUAGAUGAAAGACCCUAGUUACUCAACUUUUCACAACUUCAGGACUACCUACUCAUAGAUAUCAACACUUUUGACGCGAGAGUCGACGCUGGUGGUAAAGGCUUCCUGUUAUUGUGUGACGACACUAGCGGAGUAUAGCCAUUUGUUAUUCACAACAAAACACCAAAAUACCAGACAAUUAAAUAUCAUGGCUCACGUCAUCUCAUAAACAUGGAGAACUAAGGUCAACAGGGGACCAAUGCACACAACAGUGGCUAGCAAAAUAUUUACAUUGCCUAAACAAGUUAGCCACAAUUUGUACCAAGUCAUUAAACUUAAAAUAUUCACCAACACAACAUGCUCUUACUUGCCACCGAAACUAAAUUUAUAGAAUAAACUACAGCUUGCAAUAGAAGAGUGAGUCGCCAGGCAAUUGUUGAUCACCAGGAUAAGUAAUAAGAAAAAUAGAAAAUUAACGAGAUACCAGUCAAACCCCCCUAAACCUGAAUCACACAUUGCCCUCAAUGUAGAAAAUAAACAGAAGAAGCAAGAAGAAGGGCAACAGGGCUUCCCUGAAGUCACGGGGGUCGAGGCGGGGUCAUAGCGAUGGGUGAGGUGCAAAGGGAGAUGGAAAACCCGCGUGGUGCAUAAACACUGUCAAAUUCUGCAUAAACGCUGACAAAACUUGCCCACCCCAAAUCUCAACGAAUGUCUCCAUUAGGACAGUCAAUUACACAAUUUAGCCAACUGAAAUUAGCAAAUGUCCCAAGAAACUGACAAUUCUAGCAACAGCAGUUCAAAAUGUGGACAACAGCUUAAUCACAAGAUUUUUAGCUUUCAAUCAGGCAGCCAACCAAAUAGAAUCAAUAAAUGUAGUCAAAGUACCCCAACCAGUACCACUGGUGCACCCCACAGAUAAUGAAGCAACUCAAACGGUCAACCCAGUCAACAGAAUGCACAAAGUAGUCACCCAAGUUCUAGACAAAUAUCCCAACAAUACAGCAAUAUCAAUCAAUACUCACUGGUGGUUCCAAUUGAGUCAAAUGCAGGAACAAUGCAAUCCAAAAGCGCAACAAAUGCUCCAAAGACUUAGCAAUUGAAAUCAAUAGGCAGAAUACUUCCAGCAAGUCAAUUAGACGCAACCAACAGUAAUAAGCAAUGGAAAUGGCACAGCAGCCUUCCAAUUCAACAAGCAAACGCAAAAAUUACCCAACCAAAGGCACGUCAAUGGACUCAAGACAGAAAUAAGCAAAAUAGAACUCAAGUGAUACCAAAAAAGACCCCAACAAUGCAGUGAAUUCAACCAAUUUGAGCAAGUAAAAUACGGUCAGAAGUGCCUUCCAAAUAUCAACAGGGAGCGACAAAACGUGCCCACCCAAAAUCUCUCCAAAUGUCUCCAAUUGGACAAGAACAACUCAGUCACCGAUGCCCAGCAGUCAAUUAGGCAGCGAAUCACAUAGGAUUAAUGAAUUAUAUGCAAACUACUACAACAAGUACCACUGGUGCAUGCACAGAUAAUAGAAUAACCCAAACGGCCAACUCAAACCAUUGAGAAAUACAAACAACAUUAAAUAGUACCCCAAGAGCCCACUCAAUUGACAAUUACAUCAAACUAGGCAAAUCAUGUUCAGGACAUAACCCAACACACUGGUCCAGUAUCACAAAUGUAAGCGAACAAAUUUACGCUCUUGAAAUCACAAUCAUCUAGAUUCCAUCAAAAUCAAUAAAUCAAAAUAUCACAAUAAAUCAAAAUAUCAGAUACCAAAAAAUUAAGAAAGAAAAACCUGGCACUAGGGAGGCUAGGCUACCGACGGCGGCAAUGGGUUGUGCGUCGCGCAUGGUGGAGGUGGAUGGUCACGAGGAAGAGGCGGUGCGGGCUGGCGGUGCAAGAGGGAGAUUGUUGUUGCGGAGAGUGACGAGGGGAGAGUGAUGGCAGUCGCUCGUCUGCAGCAGGAGAAAGCAGCAUCACGCUGCUAUCGCGCAAGAGGGAGAGAGUUGCGAGGGAGGCGCGGCUGCUGAAGAAGAAGGCUGGCGGUGGCGUGCGCGGUUGAGCAGAUGGCUCGCGGUGGAGGGAGCCAAGGGCGGCGACUCUCGAUGGCGCGUCGACUGCGUCGCGUUGUGGUCGUCGCUAGUUAGAGCACUGAUGGUUGGCAUGGCCGUGCGUGUGAGGUGGCAGCGGCGUGGGUCAGCGUGCGCCAGGGUGGCGGUCGCGCGAUGGAGAUGGAGGUUUGUGGUGGUGGCGUGGGCAGGGGCGGCGGACAAAGAGAAAGAAAAGGGAAUUGGGAAAGAAGAAAGAAAGCAAAAGGGAAGAAGGAAAGAAAAAAAGACAAAAAGAAAGGAAGAAAAAGAAAAAAAUAGUUUUUUUAAAAUUUUUUUUAGAAUUGAAUUGAAAUUUUAAAAUUUGAAUUUUGAAUAAAAAAACUGAAGGUGAAAACGAAAAAUAUUUUUAUUUUUAAAUUUUUUUAAGAAAUUUUUUUCUUUUGUUUUUGGGUCAUUAAACACGGCGUGUGUACGCCAAGAUUGGAAAACGUCUACUGAUCUUGAGAGUCACUUUUUGCACUUUAACACGUGUCCUCCUCGCGUGGGCACGCCAAGAUUCCACUUCCUGCUGACGUCGCGAGAUAUUGAGAUCUUACCAACAUGGCGUGGGCACGCCAUGUUUUACAAACGUCCACUGAUCUUGAAUAUAUAAACUUGUAAGAUUAACGUGUACCCUCCUCACGUGGGCACGUUAAGUUUCCCUGUCCUGGCCACAGUUGAGAAAAACAUCAAGUGCAAUCAGUAUCCAAGUGAGAAACGACGAAUUGAAAGAAUUGAACAACAAAAAAUAACAAAACCAAUAUUUGGGUUGCCUCCCAAAAAGUACAUUUUUUUAUCGUCUUUGGCUAGACGUUAAACAACACUCUUUAAUUUGGAUGUAAUUCAAAUUUUCUUGUAAUCUGUGGCCUUUCUCCGGGAUCCAAAUAGCUAUUGAAUGCAAUCUUUUUCCUUAAUUUUCUACUCAUUUUCACCUCAUGAAUUGCUUUCAUCCCAUGAUACUUAUUCGCAGCAACUUUGAAUUUACCCCUACAAGCAAACUUAGAAAAUUCUUGCACAGAAAGAUUAGUAGCACGAAUAGUGAACACAGAGUGAGAGUUAAUAGGAUAUUUCAUUGUAUCAAAAAUAUUAAAGUGGACUGUUUCUCUAUCAAAUUUCAUUGUGAGAGUACCCUUACUAAUAUCAAUCUUAGUUUGGGCAGUACUUAAGAAUGGGUGAUGGAUUUGGGGCACUUUCAUCAUCCAUGUAAAGUACAUAAAAAUCAGUAGAAAAAAUUAAUCCAUCUACUUGCACUAAAACAUCCUCAACUACCCCAUCCGGAUAAGCAAAUGCACGAUCAGUCAAUUGAAUUAUUAUCUCUGUUUCUUUUAAAGAUCCUAAAUUUAGAGAAUCAUAAAUUGAUUUAGGCAUCACAUUAAUUGAAACCCCUAAAUCUAGCAUGGCAUUUUUAAUCUUAGAAUGUCCAAUCUUACAGGGAAUAGUAAACAUAUUUGGAUCUCCGCAUUUAGGUGGUAGUUUUCUUUGUAAAAUCGUUGAAACGUUCUCACCUACCACAAUAUGCUCAUCCCCCCUCAACUUCUUCUUGUUGAUGCACAAGUUUUUCAAGCAUUUAGCGUAUUUUGGCACUUGCUUGAUCGCGUCCAACAAAGGGAUAUUAAUUGCCAUUUUUCGAAACAUCACUAGAAUCUCCUUUUGCUUAUCUUGUUUUUUCGGUUUCUCCAACCUGUUAGGAAAAGGAGGUGGGUUAGUCUUAACUGUAAUGAAUGAGCCCGGGAGUAUCUUUAGAUCCUUAUUGUCUCUACCCUCUUCUUCAAGCUCUUUCUCAAUUCGUUCCUCGUCCUUUUCCUUAAAAAUCACGAGCUCGGAUCCUUGGAUUCUCUUUUCACUCCUCAAGGUCAUUGCGUUCACAUUAUUCAGGUUCAGUUCAGGUUGAGACGGCAAUUUUUCAUAAACUUGGGAUUCCAGGCGAUUGAUUGCUAUUGCCAUCUAACUCAUCUGAUUCUGUAUUACUUGCACCUGUCCCAAUUGAUUCCUCAUACUUUGUAGGUCAGAAUCCGUUUUUUGUUGAUUAGUAAUCAAUUGCUUCAUCAUCUCUUCUAUAGACAAACUUGAGUUUGAAGGGGGUGGUGGCGGGCGAACUUGAUAAUGUUGUUGAUACUCUUGCUGUCUAUUUUGUGCAAAAUUUGACUACGUAUUUUCUCCAUAGCUGAAGUUAGGGUGAUCUUUCCAACCUGAAUUGUACGUAUUCGAAUACGGGUCAUAUGGCUUUCUUGACGCGGGCACGUGACCGGCCAUGUUCACUUGCUCCGCACUUUCUUCUUGAAUCAUUAGGCACAUCUCUAUAGAAUGAUCCAUAUCAGUGCAAAUCCCACACACCUUGGCCUGUGAUGCAUUCCUUACAACCAGUUGGCUACCAAAAGAUGUUAACCCAGUCAACUGCUAUUGGAUAGAAGAUAUCUCUACCUCAUUCACCUUGCGUGUUGGGAUAUCUUCCCUCGUACCAAACUGCUACGAAUUCUCAGCCAUUCCUUCAAUUAACUCCCAUCCUUCUCGAGGGGUCUUGUUCACCAGUGCCCCUCCACUCGCAGUAUCAAUUAUACUUCUAUCUCUGAAGAGUAAGCCCUUAUAGAAAUAUUAAAUGAGCAGUUGCUCACUUAUCUGGUGCUGAGGGCAUUUGGUGCAUAACUUUUUGAACCUCUCCCAGUACUCAUAGAGAGACUUGCCUGGGUGUUGUUUGAUGCUGCAUAUUUCUUUCCUUAAGCUGGCGGCCCGAGACGCAGGAAAAUAUUUUUCUAGAAAUUUUUUCUUCAGUUAGUCCCACAUGAUGAUACUACCUGGUGGUAGGUAGUACAGCCAGUCCUUCGCGAAAUCCUUCAAAGAGAAGGGGAAUGCCCUCAUUUUUAUCUGUUUUUCUGUAAUUCUCGGGGGUUUCAUGCUGUUGCAAAUGACAUCAAACUCUUGCAAAUGCUUAUACGGCUCCUCACCUAAUAAACCAUGGAAAAAUGGUAAGAGAUGAAUUAGACCAGAUUUCAAGUCAAAUGGAGUGUUAUCAUUUAAAUGUGGAAAAGUAAUACACAAAAGUUGCCGAUUUAAAUCAGGAGCAGCCAAUUCUCUUAGUGUUCGUGCAUUAGCCAUAGCGGUUUUUUUUCGAUUCGAAUCACUCGAAGAAUCACUAAACAAAUCUAUUGGUUCAAAUUUUGGCUCAGGUCUCUAAGAUGCAGCACUGGAUUGCUUUUUUCUAAGUUGUCUGGUAUCUUUUCUUGUUCUACGCGCGGUCUUCUCUCUCUCGGGGUCAAAAAUUAUUUCACCUGUAAGAGGAAAAUGAGGCAUACACUCAGAAAGUACCAGAAAAUUAAAGCAAAAAUGAACUUAAAAAGAAACAAAUACUUAACGUCAGUCCCUGGCAACGGCGCCAAAAAUUGAUAGGUAUCGAGCCUGCGCAAUAAUAAAUACCUACUCAGCGAAUAUACAAUUUUUGUGUAUAGUAGUGAGUAGGGUCGAAUCCACAGAGAUUGGGGGAGAUUUACUUCUUUUCAAGUUCGGGACACGAAGGAUUUUUAUCAGAAUAAAAAUAAGAACAAUCAAGCAAUUCAACCAAGACAAACAAUUAACUAGUACGAACGUAGAUAGUAAUUAAAUCAAUAAUAGACAAACUCUAGCCAAGGAUACAACUAUUCGGACACAGUCCAUUCAUCAGAUCAUUGAUGCAAGGGAGGUUCACUUAAUUUUAUUAUCAGGUUAGUUAUAGUCGCCAACAAGCUCUGACAGCCAGUUUUUCCUUAAUUUAUUGAUAACCAAGGUAUAGUCGUUAAUUACCCCUAAUCAGAAAACACUCCUAGGUACGAACAUAGGAAUUAAUUCCCCAAUUGCAUUAAAAACUAGAAAAACCUAACCCCAAUAAUAACACAUUACGAGUGUUAUUUAAAUUAGAUUGCAUGUUCCCCUAGUGUGUGAAAAUGCUAGUUGCCACUAAUAGUAACCAAUUAAACAAUUACGAAUUUAAUUGAUUAAUUUGACAGGAGAUUAAUAAGUCACAUUGAACAUUGGGCCCUUGAUCCAAUUAAUAAAAUAAUCCCAUGAAAAUUCAAAUAGAAAACGUGCAAAUAUUAACAAAUUAAGGAACAUCUGAAAACUAAUUCGAUCUCACAGAUAUUCGGGACUGCAUCGUCGCGUUGAUUCUUGACUAGAUAGAAAACUUAGCCAUGCCUCAUGAGACAAUUUUCACGCAAUUCAAUUGAUUUCGAAGGCAUCAUCUUUUUCAGUAAUAAUCUCCAAGAAUAAUAAUACUAUGUUCUAGAGGUCUCAAUAGAAGGAAACGAAAGAAAAACAUAAAACUAAGAAAACGCAGGAAUGGGGCAAAGCCUAAAAGACCCAGCUGUUUUUCAUAAGAAGAAUUCCUCCUUUUAAACAAGAAAACCUCCGACCCCUUGUUUCCUAAUUUCCAGGGACUAAUUGCAAAGAGUCCUAUUUCUUUUUGGUUUCCUCUGCCAUUGCAAGAAACGGCUAUCAAAAUAGGAAACCUUUGUCCUCCAAUUGGAAUCGGCUUGCAACUCUUUCCGUGUUUGCACAUCUCAUUCUUCACUUUUCAGGAUUUUGUACUCUACCCCUGCAAUUAUGUCCAAAUGUCAAUUAUAAGUAGAAUCCAACAAUUAACAAAAUAUUUGGCGCAAAUAAUGAGAGAAAUCAAUCAGAAAAUGACUAACAAUUAACACCCUAUCAUCCUUAUUAGUUUACAAAAUUUUGUCACUUGGGAGGCUAAUUAGAGUCCUAAGAAUCUAUAUAUUUGCCUACUUAUUUAUUAGUUAGGAAUGUUAGAUCUAUUUCAAAUAUUUGUAGUUGGAGAUAUUCUCCAUCAUCUUUUUCUUUCUUCCACAAUUAUUGCGAAUCUAUCUUCACUUUAAUAAAAUUUUCCAAUUUUUUCUAUCAGAAAAACUUAACGUCGGGUUCUACCCUAUUGACAUGCUAUAAAGUGAUGUAUUUUUCAAAGGAUAAAAUUGUAUUCACCUAAUAGAACUUUUAAUAAAAGUGCUUAUUAAGUAAUUAAGUAUUUUUAAGUAUAUUGUUUGAAUACAUAGUUCAAUAAGCACUUAUUAUAUUCGAUAUGUGUAAUUUGAAUUUUUAAAAUAUAUUUAUCUCUUUAUUUAGUUCAUAAUAUAGGAUAAAAUGAUUAAAUUUAAUAUUUUAUUUUUAAAAAUACAAAAAAUAUUUUAAAAGCACUAAAUUUGAGCUUUUACUAAAAGUACUUUUAAUACCAAAAUCUCCGCUCCUGAAUUUUAUAAAUUGAUAUUCACCAAAUGCCUCAAAAUGUACCUUUAGCAUCCAAAAGCACUUUUUAACCAAAACCACCGCAACCUCAAACUGGCCCAAAAGAAGAAUCUUUUAAUCGGGCACACUUUAUUGUAUCCAUUUGCAUUAUUUGCUUUUGCUCUUGUAAGAACCAUCAAAGCGGAGCUGCAAGGGAAAUAAUACCUAGCAACUGAUGGAUUCCAAAGCAUUUGCUUCUUGUAUUCUCCUCCUUCUUCUGUUAAUUGCUCUAGUAAAUUACUUUGCCAUUAAUUGUUUUUUGUGAUAUAUAUGUCAUGGACUUGAUUCUCACUAUCCUACAACAAUAUACAACCUUUACAGGGAGCUUGUGAUAUUAUAACCAAGGAUAGUACUAAUGCAAUCAGGCUUCAGGGCAUAGAUGUUAAUAAUCGUCAUCGAAAUGAUAAGAGACAUGAUAUUGCUCACGGCCACGAAAAGAAUUCAAUGCAUGAUCCUUCUCAUUCCUCAUCCCACAUGAUGCAUCAAACGGAUCCAAGAACAACCGUGUUUUUCGUUUUAGAUGAUCUCAAGUCAGGCAAAAGAAUAAGUAUCUUUUUCCCCAACGGAAAUCCUAGUCCCCUAUCCUCUCCUUAUCUCUAGCCUAGAGAACAAGCCGAUGCUAUCCCCUUUUCAUUGGCAAAACUCCCACAAAUUCUUCAACACUUUUCAUUCCCUCAAGGAUCUCGCAAGGCCCAAGUGAUGGAACAUACACCCUGAGCAUAUGAGGCUAAGCCUAUGAAGGGAGAAUCAAGGCUUGUGCCACAUCCUAUGAGUCAUUGGUGGAUUUUGCGUGAAAGAUCUUGGGAUUGAAUACCAAUAUCGAAGUUUUAUCAACACAUCUCCUCACAAAAUCUAAUGUUGCUAGAUUACAAAACUAUACAAUCACAGAAGCUCCUCAAGGAAUUUCAACUCUAAAGGUGAUUGACUGUCACACAAUGCCAAUGGGAUGGGUGUAUGUUGCCCUGCCCCCCACCCCAUUUUAGGGUUGGGCGAAUUCUCCCCCGAUCCUGCCCCAUCCCCCACCCCAUUUCUAUCCCUACGGACACUCAUCCCCGUUGCCACCCUUAAUCUCAACAUAUCGCCCGCAGUAUCGAUGAAACGCAAAUUUUGAAGCAUCUAGUAUUCUAAAAAUUGUGAAAAAAUAUAAAAAAUAGAAAAAACUAUGCUAAACAAAAUAACAAAAAAAGGUUAAAAAAAUGAGUUCAUGAGCUACAUUUGUGAGAGGGUAAGGUCAAGAUUUUAUCCUCGAAUACUCCUCUAAACCUGAUAAAACUGAUUGCAAGUUUAACUUUAUUCUUCUAAUUUUAAGGGAAAAAAUUAAUUUAAGCUAAAAGCAUAACGUGCAUUUUAAUUAAUUAAAGUAGAAUAAACUUGCAAUCCUAGUCCCCUAUCCUCUCCUUAUCUCUAGCCUAGAGAACAAGCCGAUGCUAUCCCCUUUUCAUUGGCAAAACUCCCACAAAUUCUUCAACACUUUUCAUUCCCUCAAGGAUCUCGCAAGGCCCAAGUGAUGGAACAUACACCCUGAGCAUAUGAGGCUAAGCCUAUGAAGGGAGAAUCAAGGCUUGUGCCACAUCCUAUGAGUCAUUGGUGGAUUUUGCGUGAAAGAUCUUGGGAUUGAAUACCAAUAUCGAAGUUUUAUCAACACAUCUCCUCACAAAAUCUAAUGUUGCUAGAUUACAAAACUAUACAAUCACAGAAGCUCCUCAAGGAAUUUCAACUCUAAAGGUGAUUGACUGUCACACAAUGCCAAUGGGAUGGGUGUAUGUUGCCCUGCCCCCCACCCCAUUUUAGGGUUGGGGGAAUUCUCCCCCGAUCCUGCCCCAUCCCCCACCCCAUUUCUAUCCCUACGGACACUCAUCCCCGUUGCCACCCUUAAUCUCAACAUAUCGCCCGCAGUAUCGAUGAAACGCAAAUUUUGAAGCAUCUAGUAUUCUAAAAAUUGUGAAAAAAUAUUAAAAAUAGAAAAAACUAUGCUAAACAAAAUAACAAAAAAAGGUUAAAAAAAUGAGUUCAUGAGCUACAUUUGUGAGAGGGUAAGGUCAAGAUUUUAUCCUCGAAUACUCCUCUAAACCUGAUAAAACUGAUUGCAAGUUUAACUUUAUUCUUCUAAUUUUAAGGGAAAAAAUUAAUUUAAGCUAAAAGCAUAACGUGCAUUUUAAUUAAUUAAAGUAGAAUAAAACACCUAAACAUAGCAUGAUAAAUAGAAAAAACCAAUAAGAAUGAGAUAAUUAGUUCCAAAGCUUCUAUUGGAAAAGCCACGAAACAAUGAUUUCAGAUCCCUUUAUAUCAGUUCGAUAACAAUUAAAAGUAAUUAAGAGAAAAAUAAAAAAUGAAAGGAAAAUAUAAAAAUAAAAAUACAAUAAUUAAAUGCACCUAUGCCCUAUAUGGGUGACAUCAGUUCCAAAAGGAAAAAUAAAAUUAAUUACAGCUUAACUUGACAAAUGACAAACUAAUUAAACUAAUAGCCAACUAGUUAACUGCUAAGGACCUAGUUGAAAACAUUAAGGUAACGUUUUGGAGUCGAAUUAGAAAGUACAAAAAAUACAAAAAGUCGAAUUAGAAAGUACAAAAAGUCGGGGGCAGAAAUUAAAAGUGAAAGAAACUAAGGGGGCUAAUGCUGGAAUUUCAAACACUGAGUCAUCUUCCCCACGGGAAACUCCUGCGCGCUGCUGCACCCGUUCCUUCUUCACUGACGAAGUCGCCGGAAGCUGGAAAUCAUCAACUCUGGCCAGCAUUAGACCAGUCGGAAUUUUCCCUCUCUCCCUCAUGCACGAACACACAACACACACACGCUGAAAUUCUUACAAAAAGCGCAGCAAAAUAGGAAAGGGCAAAAAAGAAACAAAAGCUGGCAAAAAAAUUGGGGAUGAAUUAGUCGACUCGCUCGUUUCACUUGGUCUCAGAGACAAUUUGGUCUGAGUCAAUCGAGUUUUUCUCCGAGUUCUCAGUGAUUCUUUCAUCUCUAAUGUGACGUGAACAGUCACAGAGCGGAGUCCUCCGUUCCGUGACAACUCAGUCAAAUCGUCUCCGAUGCUCCCUAGUGUUUGAACCAUGGGCCUACUGCCUAAUACCGAGAACAAUAUCCUUUUUAGUCAAGUUCUUUAACAUUAUCCAAAAGAUGCAGUGGAAUUUCAGAAUAUCCCUUCCAAAUCUUGUCUGCUUUUCCUUCCCAUAGAUGCUGCAUAUGAGAAAUUCAUCGAGCAAUUUUGUAUUACGUCUCUCCCAUAUACCGAAUAGAUCGAAAGCUUAAGAAGUCAAAAACAUAUUUUUUGUUUUCAAGUGGAUGCUGAUCACGAAAUAUAAUGGCGAAGCCCAACUGACCAGGACUAUUCCAGGCUUUUUGCCAAAAUAAAGAAACAGGAAAAAAAAAAGAGAGAAACAAAGAUGCACUAAACACAAAUAAAAGUUUCACUGUACUAAAUCAACACAACAUUUAUUUAACAGAGGAAUUGUGUUACACUAGACAUUUUGACUCCAACACUAGGAAAAUAAGACCAACCACAUUUAUUCUUGAAAGAGCAGAAAUCCAAUCUCCAGCGAAUUGAAUUUCUCUCAUUUGGGGGCAACAUCACGACAAUGUUACAAAAGCAGCGAUACAGACCUUCACUUCACUUUGAGUCUUUCAUGUUUGGUAUAUCCUAAUUUUGCUUAGCAUCAUCUCUGAAUUCCUUGCGGUAGAGUAUUGAUCCACGGUUUGACUCGAAAUCUUUGAUAUGCAGUUUUCCCUCCUGAAAUUUAGCUUUGUCACCAUGGUAAAGGAGAAUGGAUUCGGGCUUUGACUCAAAAUCCUUUAUGAGUGGUUUCUCCUCCUCACUGCUGUGGUAAAGGAGUAUGGAUUCAGGCUUUGACUCGAAAUCUUUCAUAUAUGGUUUCUCCGCAUUAGAUUUAGCAUCAUCACCAUGGUAAAGGAGUAUGGAUUCAGGCUUUGACUCAAAAUCAUUCACAGGCGGUUUCUUCUCAUCAUUGCGGUAAAGAAGAAUGGAUUCAGGCUUUGACUCGAAAUCCUUCAUUUGUGGAUUCUCAUGGUUCGAAGACUCGGCCGAGACCAAGACGUCUCGGUUGAGUCGUCUCCGUCUCGGCCUAGCGCGAGACGAAACGUUUCCGAGAUACGUGACAGACCGAGACGUCAUCGUGAAGGGUUAAAACGGUCACGUCACACUGAGUCACUCCGAAUCAUCCCGAGUCAAUUUGAAUUUUUAUUAUUUUUACUAAUUUUUAAUUAUUUUUAAUUAUCAUAUUUUUUACAAUUUUUAGAAUAUUAAAUAUUUCAAAAAUUCACGUCUCGCCGAAACCGCGACCGAUAUGCCGAGAUCGAUGUGGAACGGUCCAAGCCACGACCGCGACUUUGAACCAUGGAUUGUCUUCCUUUGAGUUAGCAUCCUUGUGGUACAAGAGCAUGGAUUCAGGUUUUGACUCAAAAUCUUUCAUUUGUGGUUUCUCUUCCCUGGGGUUAACAUUGUGGCCAUGGUAAAGCAAUAUGGAUUCAGGCUUUGACUCGAAAUCUUUCCCUUGCAAUUUUUCCUUCUUUGAAAUUGUGUCAUCACCAUGGUAAAGGAGUAAGGAUUCAGACUUUGACCCGAAAUCUUUCAUUUGCGGUUUCUCCGCCUUUGAAUUAGCAUCAUCACCAUGGUAAAGAAGAAUAGAUCCAGGCUUUGAGUCGAAGUCUCCAAUAUGCGGUCUGUCCUCCUUCAAAUUGGCAUCAUCUGCGUGGUAAAGGAGUAUGGAUCCAGACUUUGACUCGAAUUCUUUCAAUGUAUUAGACCCAAGGUGCUCAUUUUGUUCAGUAAAAGCAUCAGGACUAACAGCAGGUCCCAAAAUGUCCCUGGGGUCCUUUCUUGCCUCCGUGAAGCAUGCAAGCUGCACAUUCCGGGCAAAUGACAUAAUUCAAGAAGCCAGCAUCAAUAUAUUAGGUAAAUAAAUACAUCGGCGGAGGUAGGCUGUACACCAAAUUAUGAGCCUUGUGGGGCUUGCUUGAGUAUCAUUCGAUGCAGGUGAAACUGGCAUAGCUUAAAAAGUUUUUUACGUUAAUUUAGGACCUUUAAUUUCUUGCUCCUCAACCUUACCCAUUAUACCAAACCUUCUUAGCCUACCUCUACCUGUAUAAUGGAAAUAUUGGAGAUGAAUUCCUCUAACUAAUAAAAGUAAAGUGUCGAAAGUCGAGUUACAGUGACAUUUAAGUUUCGUACAGCCCACAUUGGAAUGUUUGACAGGGAAGCUUUAUGACCAUAGAACUAGAAAGCCACCAAGUCAGCUUUGCUCUCCUUAAUCAGAAGAGUUUCCAAACCCUCGGCGGGGAUGGUUAGAGUUGAGGAUAAAUGUGUGAAAGCAAAGAAGUUUUCCAAGUGCAUAGCUUUAAUUGAGAGGAUCAUAAUAAUGAUGAGCAAUUAACGGAUUUAAGUGUGUCUAACAAGCAAAGAAUUAUCUCUUAUGAACUCGAAUAGAGCACUGAUGUUUGAGAAAUCUUACCAGGGCAAUUGAAAAGAACGCAACGAGGGCAAUGAUAGGGAUAUAAUUAUGCAUUUUAUUUGUGGUUAUUUGGUCUUAAUUUUGGCAGUUUAGUAUGCAAAGUAUUGGAUUUCUGCUCAUAAUUAGUAUUUGUGUUAAUUACAGGCAAUUAGUGUUGAAAGUGACAAAAGGGAGGCAAAAUCCAGAAGACUCUUGCUUCUAAGGCGUGCCCACGCCAGAUAACGCGGAGCUGCGUGAUAAGGACGAAGUAUGCGAUCCUACUCCUUGGAGGCUGCCGCAAUUCUUGGGAAGUGAUGGUAGCUACGUGGGAUCAGGAAGUUUUUCCAAAGAGGACUUUUGGCAACAAUCCAAUGAGGGAAUUAAGGAAAGAAUUCGUUUGAGAAACUAACUUCUUAUAUUGGCUAGGAAAAAGACGGCGGGCAGCACUACAAAUUGGGGGGGAUUGCAAUAGACUAGGGAAAUCUUUUCAUUCUUGUGUUUUUUUCCUUUUACUUCUCCACGCAAGCUUUAGACAAGCCGCCACACCCUUUUACUUCUUCAAAGACAAAAUUACUUGGAAGCUUGGAAUCGAAUAAUGAUUAUGCAGCAAGGCUAGUUCUUUUAUCUAGUUGAGAAAUAAAUCAAGGAUUGGAGCACCAUAACUGUGAGAUCGUUUUAAUUGUUUUAUUUUUAAUUUAUAUGUUCAUGGGUAUUUGAUUAUUCUAUAUUUUUCCUUGAGUUAUUAUUGUUUAGAUUUAUUGGAUAGUUAGGCCUGUUAUUCGAUUGUCUAAAUAAUUGAUAGCCAAUUAAGAUGUUGGCGCGUAGCCUUUAAACAUCUUGAUUAGUGGCAAACGAGACAACUUCACCGCCUCGCACGCGGUCUAAUUUGGAUCAUGGGAAUAAUUAAUCUAGCCUAAAUAAACCCGCAUGUGUGUUUGUCAUCUAGAAUUGGGUCUUUCUAAUUCCUAAUGCUGUGGCUACAUUAAAUCCUGUGAGCGUUUCUGGGGUUGUCUAGUCACAAGAGGGUAGUUUAUGAGCGCCUCUUGACUACCAUAAAAUUAAGGAAAGAUUGGUGGUUGGGCGCGUCGCUUGACCACUAUAACCAGUUUAUUCGUGAGUAUAUGAAUUGUUCCGUGUAUCUGUGAUCAGUUGUGUGCUUCGGUGCCAAGAUUAAUUCCUUGACUAGGUUGUUUUGAUUAAUUGUUAUUUGUGUAAUUUGGUUCCUGCUAUCUUACUCAACUUUAAAUUUCAAUUUUUAUUCCUUUUUAAUUAGUUGGUACUACUGCUAAAAAUCCCCCCCAUUUUCCUGUGUGAUUUGCCUACCUGUUCCCUGAGGAGACGACCCUACUCACCAGUAUAUUCAUUCAGUUUUGGUAGUAGGUCUAAUAUAAAUUUUAUUUUUGGUGGUUUGACACCCACCAGGCAACAGAUGAACGCAUCCUGUCUUUGAAGUUUGAACAGCUCAAAAUGAAACUUUGAUGGUGUAAAAACUCUUGGGGCUAAGGCUAUUUAUACAAGAGGAUGGCCAGGUGAAGCUAGCAAGACUAUAGCAUGGAUUAGAGAAGUUACUGCCCUCGUACACCAAUCCACAAAUUACCAACAACUAGUGUGAAUACCCGUGCUACGCACGGUACUUACAUUAUUAAAAAAAAAUUACAAUCUAUGGAAGAAUUUAAAAAUAGUAAAAUAUUAUAAUCACGGGCAUAUGAAAGUAUAUUUUAAAAAAUGAAACUUUGUAACAAUAGUUCAAUAUAUGAUAAAAACAUCUCCAUUAUUAUAAACGAUCAUUUCGAUGAAGGUUGGAUCCUGAAAAAAAAAUAGAAAUCUAUAUCAUAAAUUGAGCGACAUAUGGGUCCAAUUAAAUAUAAUUGAAUAUUUAAUUUGAUAAGUAAAUGAAAUACUUACAGACAUUUUGCCUUUGAUUUGAUAAUCUUCUACGAAAGUGUGAACAUUCUUCACACCAAUCAACCUUGAGUACGAACGCCAGUAUUGGGGGUUUAAUUAACUCUGUUGUUUUUUGUGGAGUUCGCACUAUGAAUGAGAAUGCACGAUUUUUGCAUGAAUUAAUGUGUUGGUCGAACAAUGCACCUCCAUUUUUCUGACAAUGAAAAGCAUACAUAGUUCAAAAUUAUCUUUUAUUUUAGACAGUUUGUAAAUAAUAUUGUGUAAAAAAAUAUACAUAUAAAUAAUGUAUACCUUUGUUUUUAAAUCUCUAAGAUAAGAAGCAUCACAACGAAACAUGAAUCGUGCAUGUCUGUCUUGAAGCGCGAGGUAUAGGCUACCACUGGAAUCUCUAACUUCUAUGUUAACAUUAUAUCUGUUAAGAAAAAACUGUGAUGGAUGAUGCAACAAAUUAUAUUAAAAUUCAAAAUAUCUGAAAAUAAUUACCUGACAAUAGUGUCGACUACGUCAUUACAAUAGAUACACACUAUUUUUGUAAAAUGAGAUUGACAUGGUUGGCCACAAUUUUUGCAUAACUCAUGGAACAUAUUGUCUAGGUUGAUACUUUGAAUGUAAGCAAGUAUCCGAAAAUAUUUAACCUAAAACCAUCCAAAGAAUGUAUAGAUUACAAUUAUUAAUUUGAAACUACAUGUAAAUACCUGUUCAUUACUUAAUUAUUUGAGAGGAUGUGUACCGUGGGGAUAACAGCAUAUUCGGAUAUCCAUAUUCUCUUAGCAUUUGAUAUCAACAAUGCUUGGGAUAUUGUAAAAUUGCACGACCGCAACCACGUCACUAAUUUCUGAGCACAUUUAUCAUUUUCAAACCUGCAUAUUUUUCAAAUACAUAUUCGUAAGGGUAUGAAAUAUUUUUAGUAAUUUAAUAUUUUGGUAUUUGUAAAACUUACCAACUGUGUAGGUAUUGAGCAAAAUCCAAGUAGUGAUUGAUAUACAAUUUGCUUGCUCGAAUAGUAUAGAGUGACGGUCCUGCACAAUAUGAUUUAUUUAUUGAUAAAGUAUAAAAUUUGAAUAAAAUAAAGUGAAAAUAAAUUGAAUUACCUUUAUAAUUUCUCACACAAAUACCACAGGCUAGCAAAACAUUAUUUUUUGUAACAGUUUGACGCAAGUGUUCACCAUCAUCAGUUGCAAAUUUAUCACACAAAGUCAACCGAACUACUGUCAAACUUCAUUUAGACAAUUUUGGUAAGUAUUUUAUCAAAAUUUGUAGAAUAUAAAAUAUUUUAAAGAUAUUAAAUCUAGUAACUAACCUUUUGUCAACUAAAAGUAUGUCACACUUAGUUUUGUCAUUGAUAGACGUUUGAUAGUGUGAACCAACGGAUACAACUAAACCAACUACAUCUGCAAAAGAUCAAAAAAUAGAAGUAAUACCAGUUCAAAUAUACAACUUAAACAGAAGUAUGGCUAAUUAUGAAUGAAAUACCUAUCAAUUGCACAUCAUUGUCCAUGUGCUAUUCUGUAUCUCUUAGUUUGACCAGAUUAAACUUGAAACGGGGUUUGGUUCCACAAUCAUCUAAAAUAUUCACUAUCUUCGUAUCGUUUCCAAACGAUAAUUGGUACUGAUGUGGUGCAAGCCGAUAUUGAAGAUCUGCAGGAAUUACAUAUAUAUUUUGAAACCAGUAUACCUUGCCUUCAUGGAGAUGAUCUGCGAAAAUGUUUAUCAUAUUACUGCCUCUUAUAACUCCUUGCAUGACAAAUUUCUGAUAGUUUUCAACAGAUUAGUAAAUAUUCAAUAUUCAAUAUAAUAAUUAACAUACACUCUUAAUUAUUACCUGAUCAUCUAUAAAAAGCAUCUUGAUACAUCCCGAACGUUAAAGCACUCCAUAUAUGGUCAUAUCUAUUAAUCGAAACAAUCUAACCUUUACAUUCCAUCCGUAUCCGCAAGGAUCCAGAUAGAGUAAAGGUGUAUAUCGAAUAUCUGUAAAUUAUUAUAAUAUAGCAUGAAGGUUAAUUAUUUAAGCGCUAUAUUUGAUACAGCAAGUAACACAAAUUCAAAGAAAUACCAAUAAAAUGCCAAAGUAUGAAGCAUAUAUAGUACAUAUGGUCUGAUGUAAAUAUACUAUUUUUGUAAACAAAGCGAUGUCCAGAAUUUAUCAAAGGGAGUCAAAAAUCUCACGAUACACAAUAUUUUUUGUGUAAUCCCAUGGAUCAUCAUCUCUAUUAACAAUGAGUAUUUUCAAUCCAUCUGGCGAAGUAGCACGGGACAGAGCAACAUAAAGUUGACCAUGUGAAAACACAGGUUCAGGAAGGUAAACGCCAACAUUUUUCAAGGUUUGGCCUUGACUUUUGUUGAUAGUCAUUGCAAAUGCCAAUUUCACAGGAAAUUGUCUCCUUUUAAUUGGAAAAUGAGUCUGUGUACUCUGUGGUGUUAAAGAGAUCCGAUAUUGUUCACCGUGCACUAUCUUCGUAUCCUUUUAAAUAUUUUGUAAUCUUUGUUGAUGAUUUUUCCAGAGUUACAUGGCUUUAUUUAAUGAAAAAUCGUUCAGAAUUAUAUUCCAUUUUUUGUGCAUUUGUUACAGAAAUAAAGAAUCAAUUUGGUGUGCCUGUACGUAUACUUCGCAGUGAUAAUGCGAAAGAAUAUUUUUCCACUCCUUUUGAUAUCUUUAUGACUAAGUCCGGUAUCCUUCAUCAAUCCUCUUGUCCUCACACUCCACAACAGAAUGGAGUUGCCGAAAGAAAAAUUGGACAUUUAAUUGAAGUUGCUCGGACACUUUUGUUGCACAUGAAUGUGCCCAAACAAUUUUGGAGUGAUGCAGUUCUAACUGCAUGUUAUUUAAUUAAUCGCAUGCCAUCCAAUAUUUUUGAAGGCCAAUUACCUCACUCCAUUCUUUUUCGUCAUGAAUCUGUGUUUAAAUUGCCUUCUCGUAUUUUUGGAUGUGUGUGCUUUGUUCAUCAUCUUGCUCCCGGAGUGGAUAAAUUAGAUUCUCGUGCUAUUAAGUGUAUUUUUUUAGGAUACACACGAGCGCAAAAAGGGUGCGAUCAUACCAGCACUAAUGCACCGGAUCCCAUCAGAACUCCGAAGUUAAGCGUGCUUGGGCGAGAGUAUUACUAGGAUGGGUGACCCCCUGGGAAGUCCUCGUGUUGAAGAACUUGAUUCAGCUUUGUCAAUGGUAUCAGAGCAAAAGUCCUAGGGUUAGGGUUAAACAUCUAGCAAAAGUUUUGGCCAUCGCGACUGUUCACGCGAUACUGUUCAUCGCGACUGUUCACGCGGGGGGGCUGUUCACUGUUCAUCGGUACUGUUCACGCAGCGCUGUUCGCUGUUCACGGCACUGUUCACGCGGCACUGUUCACUGUUCACGCACUGUUCAUCUCGAGUUUUGACCCUUCAUUUGGUUUGGAGUGCUAUUCGCUAUGUCUGAAAGUCUAUCAAAAGGUAUUGUGACGUCUACUAAUAUUAUGCCAAUGGUGAUGUCUCAAAUCACAAAUUGGAAGUUGAAUGACACUAAUUAUCAACAGUGGUCAAAAGCCGUUAAGAUUUAUCUGACAGGCUUAGGAAAGGAACGAUAUCUCACAGAUGACUCUCCUACGGAGGACAACAAGAAACUAAUGUGGAUUCAAGAGGAUGCCCAAAUUCUUGGAGCAAUAUGGAAUUCUAUGGAGCCACGAAUUGCCUACAUGUGUUCUCAUUGUGAGACAACAAAAGAAGUUUGGGAUUAUGUCCGGUUAUUAUACUGUAGUAAUCUUUCACGGAUGUAUGAUAUUUCUUUGGAGUAUUUUCAGUUGCAACAAGAUAACAAAACAGUAACUGAAUACUUUGCUGAUCUUAAGCGAGUAUCAGAAGAAUUAAAUGCCGUAAUGCCUCUCUCAAGUGAUAUUACAGUUAUGCAGAGGCAAAGAGAACAAAUGCUUGUGCUCAAAUUCUUGGCCGGUCUCAAGCCAGAAUUUGAACCAAUCAAAUCUCAAAUUUUAGCAGGUGAACAAUUACCAUCCUUUACAGAGGCGUAUGCUCGGGUCUUACGUUCUGCAUCUAAGGACACUGCACAGGGUGAUGGUGCUCUAAUUAAUGACAAAUCUGCUUUAGUUGCUAACAAUGGUCGGAUAGAGCAACUUAACUUGGGACGUGGCUCUCGUGGAGGAAGAAGUAGAGGAGGUCGUGGGGGUCAUGGAGGUCGAGGCACCCGUGAGUGUACUCAUUGUGGUUUGAAGAAUCACACUCAUGAUACUUGUUGGGAUUUACAUGGAAAACCACCUCGGUUUGCUAAUGCAGUUACCAUUGACCAAGCUGAAUCAAGUUCUUAAGUGAAAUUGCUGAAACCUUUCCUUCACCAACAGACAGCAGCCAAUUUGCAAAAUCCAUCAAUUGCUGACGCGUAUUUUCAGGAAGACGUAAAUUCAUUACACGCAUAUUUAUUUUAAGAUGCAGAACUCUACAGUGAUCCCAAAUCAUUGACUCUUUUAUUGUAGCUGAUACUGUUGCUUCUCUCCUACCUUUAGAAACAAUCGGUAAUAUUUGUCGAAAAUCACCGCCCAAAACAACCAAUUUUCCUCCGAAAAUACGAUCCUCAGAAGCAUUUUCACUCAACUUUAAGAUAUCCUUUAAAGUUCUAUCCACCGCUUCAAAAUCAUGCCGAUGUGCCAUUGGAGUUUCGUCCCAAAUUAUCAAAGAUGUCUCCCUAAUUAAUUUAGCCAAGUCAGAAUUUGUAUUGAUUGAACAACUUGAUGACUCAUCCAAAUUAAUAGGAAUUUUGAAACGUGAAUGCGCUGUUCUUCCACCCGGUAAGAGUAUUGCAGCAAUGCCUGAUGAUGCAACUGAAAGAACAAUUUUUCUCUGCGAUCUGACUCGAGCAAUCAAUGUUCUCCAUAAAUAAGUUUUACCCGUUCCACCACUUCCAUACACAAAAAAUAGUCCUCCGUGAUUAUGUGUGUAUGAUUCCAUAAUAAGCUCAUAUGCUUUCAAUUGAUCCUCAUUCAAACCAGCAUAUAAAUUAUCAAAUAAUUGCUGCUCCGAUGUAAAAUCGUAAUCGAGCUCUUCUCUUAUAAGUCUGUUCAUGGAAAACUGAGCAUUUUCAAAUGACGGCAAUGGCAUUGGAGGAAAAUCUCGUAAAGAUCGACCAUUUUUGUUCAAAAUGAGUUCGAGUUCAAUUAAUCCCAAAUUUUGUAACUCACCAUCAUCUAUGCGUAUCUGAGAGUUUCCCAUAUCCCUUCUGAUCUGAUAUUGCAAAUCAUCUGUCAUACUUUUCCAGUGACGCUGCCAUAUAGCAUAAGGGUUAGUUACCUCAGAAUGCAUAAGUAUUGUACAAUACAUGCUGCGUAAUUUUCUGGCAGAUGCCCAUGUAGAUGCUUCAGCCAAAGCUUCAUUCCACUCAUUAUCAUCAUCCAGAAGACCAAGUGCUGCACAUGCAGCUUUGAAUGUUGGAUGCACAACUCCAUCAAUAGUUCUCAAAUGUUCAAAACUUUAUGCACCACGAAUUUUAUUCAGUAACAUUCUCAAAUAGUAUCGCUCACCGGAAUGAGGAUGUGCAUAUGGUAGCCUUCCGAUACACCUACCUUGCAAUCUGGACUCCCAUUGACGUUUAUUUUGCUUCCAAGUCCACUUACUCGGAAACUCCACAAACGUCAAGUUUCUAGCUGGAACAUGGCUCUGAUUUAUUUCAAACCAUUUCGUCAGCAUCGUGUCAUGUAUGUGAUCAUGAUCAAGAACGUCAUAAAGAUGAUUAUCAUCAUUAAAUAUCACAAAUUGAUGAUCAGGAAGAUGAUACUGCAAUCUAAUCACGGAUGGAUACUGCCUCUGCAUUUCGAAAUCAAAUAUCUUCCACCAUGACUCAAUUAGCGAUAAAUAUCGACAAUCUAAGUACUGUUUAAUCUCAUCAACGCUUCUCUAACGACGAUGACCACUUUCAUUUGCAAGUACAACGUUAUUCUCAAUCUGAACAUUUGCUCUAUCAACCCCCUUACUCAUGUACUUGUACAGAUAUUUAGUGAUUUCUGGACGUGCAACUUUGGUCACAUUAAUAUGACCAUCAAAUAUCACAAUCAAAUCUCGAUUGUAAGAAACAACCCAUCUGUUGUCAAAUGUAAAACCAUUAAUAGUUACCCUCUUACUUGGAUCAUCUCUACGUUUGUAUGAUACAAAUCCAUCUUCAUCGAUAGUGGUUUCACUACAAAAUCUCUUUGGAUAGUGUUUAGAGCACUUUCCGUUCACCAUACACGGAGCAUUUGGAUAAGCAUUACCACAGGGUCCGUGUAACAUGCACCUGAUGACCGUAUCAUAAGCUAGUGGAUCAGCAUUUUUGUCAGGUAUUUCGGCACAAAUGAUUUCAUCAAUAUGCUCUGUAGUAAGGGGCUUAUCUUCCGGAGCUAAUGUCAGAGUGAUAUGAGUAUGUGGUAAACCACGUUUUUGGAAUUCAAUGACAGAGAUGUCUGCAUAUUAUGGAAGUAAUCUUAGUGUGUGGCAGAAUAGGGAAUCAAAAAAGAAAAUAAUGAUUUGAAUAAAGUAAAAUUUUUACCUGCAAGCACUUUUCCAAAUAGUUGAGUAUUUUUUAAAACAUCCAUCAACUUUUUUUGUCUUAUCCGAAAAACUCGAGCCGUAAUAUCGGGUCUGUCCUCAACUUUCUGUCCCGAUAUUCUUGUCAACUCUUGUUUAAUUUUUGGUCAACUGGGAUUGCAAGUAAACGUAAUGAAAAGAUCUGGAUUUCCAAUUGUCCUACAGAUUGCCAUUGCGUCCUGAAAAUGUUGUAUCAUAUUUCGGGAUCCACCCGAAAACGAAGAUGGUAGAACAAAUCUCCUUCCAACAGCUGAUGCAUCUGUAUCUCCAGCAAGUACAGCAUCUGCUAAACCUUGAUAUACAUCAGCACAUAAUAGAGAUUGAUGGCUUUUCAUAAAAUUCAAUCUGUAGUGCUCAAUAGCUGCAUAACAAUCAACAAUGAAUUGUUGAAAUAGUUUGGCACCUUUCAAAAGUGUGUGGCCUUCAUUUUGUCGAAAUUGUAUACGAUACGCAUAGAAUUCACGCAUCGACACAAAUUCUCUCUUCCUAAUGGCAGAGGGUGAAAAUCUUAUUGUGCAAUGCCAUCCGUCUGUUCCAUAUGGAAAUAGUAAAGGGUAUUGAAGUGGCAUGUAUGAUGGAUGUGUCUCACUGAUUCUUUUCAAAUUUCCAUCUCGAGUGACAAGCACAAUAUCGCGGUGUGUGACAUGACCAGUAUCUUCACCGACAAUCAAAGCAGCAACUUUAUUUGCAGUUGGUUGGAUAUAUUGUCUGUCACCUCGAGCACUAAUUAUUUGUACUUGCAGAUUGGCAACAUUUUGAUUUCGAAGCAUGUCUCUUGCACUUCGAAAAACUUGUACGUAUGGAUUUAUUUCGUCUAGCAUAUUUUUCAAUCCUUCAACUAUUGAUGCAUCAAUUCCAAUUGGAUUGCCAUCAUGACUGUUCAGAAGAUUCAUACGAUUUUGCAACUCAUUAUCAGUGUCAUGGAUGUAUAAUUGUAUGAAUUUACCUAAUGCUCCAAAAGGUGGCAAAAGCGAUCCGAUUAGAUGAUAAUUUUCUCCACUAAUUCGAAAUGAAUAUGGUCCGGCAGAAUUGACUAUAGAAUGAUCUACUUUGCCUCCCAUGGAUGUAAACCCGAAUAGUGCAUUUAGCAAUCGAAUCUUCUCUUUCAGUGUUGGAGUGGUAAAUACAUGUUGUAAAACUUGGGGAGUUUGAGGCAAUAACGGCAAAACAACAUCGCCAUCUUGACAACAUAAAUUGAAUCUUGGAUUUUGUUUUGUACUACUUUGAAUUCUUUCUUCCACCCACAUUAGAGAUUGACAUUUCUGACAGAUUACUGUUCCUGGACCAAAUGUCCAUCUUCUUGUAAUUCGACGUCGUCGUCGCCUUCGGCCUAUUUGAUCUAAUUGAUUGAUGAAAUAAGUAUAAUAAGGUACAUACCUAAAACUGUCACUAUAUGUAAGGUAUAAAGCACAUAAUAUUUGUUUGCCCAAGAACAUAUAGCAAGAAAUAUUAAUUAUGAAAAAUUGAAUGCACAUGAUAUUUGUAUGCCCAAGAACAUAUAGCAAGAAAUAUGAAUUAUGAAAAAUUGAGAAAAGUAUAAAGCACAUAAUAUUUGUAUGCCCAAGAACAUGUAGCAAGAAAUAUUAAUUAUGGUAUUAAUUAUGGUAACAUGAGAAAAGUAUAAAGCACAUAAUAAUUGUAUGCCCAAGAACAUACAGCAAGAAAUAUUAAUUAUGAAAAAUUGAGAAAAGUAUAAAGCACAUGAUAUUUGUAUGCCCAAUAACAUAUAGCAAGAAAUAUGAAUUAUGGAAAAUUGAGAAAAGUAUAAAGCACAUAAUAUUUGUAUGCCCAAGAACAUGUAGCAAGAAAUAUUAAUUAUGGUAUUAAUUAUGAAAAAUUGAGAAAAGUAUAAAGCACAUAAUAAUUGUAUGCCCAAGAACAUAUAGCAAGAAAUAUUAAUUAUGGUUACAUGAGAAAAAUAUUAGUAGAUUACCGAUUUGUUCUGCUCCAGCUGCGUUAAUAGGCACAAUGUCUUGUGUAGCAGGAACAAAUUCUUCAGGUGAGCCUGUUUGUAUAAUGGUUUUUUAGAAGACAAAUGGAAAAAAUGAAUUGGAAGAAAUUGAAUUGCAUAAAUAAUAAUUGAUUACUUAGUCAAGAUACAUGAGAAAACUUGGACUUACUAUCAUCAGGACCAUUAGCUGAUGAUGUUGGUGUAAUAGGAACUUCAGUAGUUGGUGAGUCAUUAUGCAAGUCAUCUAUCAUUAUGUAAUAUAGAAAGUUAAUAUAAUAAUGUAGCACGUUAAAAAAAUUAAUGAUUAAGCAUGAAUUUUAAAUUGUGCAUAAAUUUGGAGUUACCAUGAUCAUGGAGAAUUGGGGCUGCGGUCGAUGGAUGUUGAAGUUGAAAAGAUGUUGAAUAAUCAUUUGUUUGAUCUAAAAGUAUAUUAAAAUAAUUGUAUUAAAAGACGUAUUAAAUUAAGUUACAAUUAUUAAUGUAAAACUCAUAAAAAUGUAAUAAUAUAAUAUAUUAUAUGAAUAUUAUGAAUGAGCAUGAGUGGUCUGAUGUAAAACUUUAGCAAGAUCUGAUAAACAUAACAAUAUUUGUUAACACAAAUUACGUUGUGUGCAAAGAUUAGAAAAAUCGCAAAGAAGUAUUUUAGUUUGAAAAAAUAUUUUUUAAUUAAUGAAUGGUAAUAUGUGUAUUUAAUAGUAAGAUUUGAGAAAAUCCAUCCUUAAUUUGGUAAUGUUUCUGAUAGUAGUUGGUAAUAUUUUAUGUUUGAGACAUUAUUUAGUGGGUGAACUCGAUGUGAAAUGUGAAGCAUGAUUUCGACCAUAUGAGUUUUGAGUCACUAUAUUUUUUAUGAUAUGUAAUUAAACAUUUAGAAUAAUAAAAUAUAUUUUUUAUUAUGUUAAUUAUUGCCUCAAACAAAUUGUCAAUUUUGGUAGUAAAAAUGACAAUAUAUUUAUGUGAACCUUUGAUAUUAGAUAAGAUUGUAGUGAUCCUAUUCAUUAUGAUUGACCACUGCAUAUGCAAUAAUAGGUUUUAGUACUAUUUGUUAACAUGUAACAUAUUAACAAAGCCAUUGGGGAGCUUUCGGUGGCAUUUAUUAAAGUGCUUAUAAACAAUUGGUACUAUUUCCACAUUCUUAUAAACAAUGAAAACAACAAUAAUAUUAUAAUAUUCGGAAUAUUAUUAAUACUUAGAAGUACAAUAAUAAUCCCAAUAAUAUUCCCAAAUUUUAAAGAAUACAUAAUACCUAAAUUUCUAACUUGAUUCUUAUAAACAAUGAAAACAACAAUAAUAAUAUAAUAUUGGGAAUAUUAUUAAUAAUUGAAAUAACAAUGGAAACACCAAUAUUUAAAGAAUAAGUACCAUAACUUCUAGCUUGAUUCUUAUAAACAAUGGAAACAGCAAUAAUAUUAUAAUAUUGGGAAUAUUAUUAAUAAUUGCAAUUAUAAUGAAAAUGGCAAUAUAUAAAGAAUAGAUAAUACAAGCUUGAUUCUUAUAAACAAUGAAAACAAUAAUAAUAUUAUAAUAUUAGAAAUAUUAUUAAUAAUUGUAAGUAUAAUGAAAAUACCAAUAUUUAAAGAAUAAAUAGUGGCGAAACUUCUAACUUGAUUCUUAUAAACAAUGGAAACCAUCUAAUUCUGGUUUGUGCCCAUGCAUAGCACAAUCAAGAUGUGACAUGAAUUUUAAUUUUUUUUAGAACCUCAUUCCUAGGAUCCAUCGACUACAACACACACACAAGCUGUUGAGACAAUUUUGCGACUAAAUAUAUAACUAAGGUUCGAGUAUGUUGGGGGAUUCAUUUUAUUUGAUGCUUAACAAAUAUAGGAUUUUUUCCAGAGUUCGAAAUUUUUUUUAAAAAAAAAAUAUAUAUAUAUAUAUAUAUGUAAGAUUUUAUCCGGAGAGAGUUUAGACACGGCAUGAGUUGGUGCUUGCCACAGGCCACUUGACGAAAAUGAAGGCAAGAAGACAGGAAAUGGCACUAACCCAGCGUCGAUCACAGCCACGGGCCAAAUAGAGACAUGCAAUCAUAAUCAUACGUAGCCCUGAACUGUACAUUGUAGAUUACUAAUGAAACUUGGACAUAGUUGCAUGACUGUCAACCGAAUUCCCAGCUUUUAAGUUUUCAAGUAAUAUUGACUCUUUAUUACAUGGUGAAGCGUCCUUUCUUGCUCCAGGCACAAACGGGGUACUGCCAAUUGGUAGUUCUCUUAAUCUGCCAAUUGGCUCAAGUAUACUUUACUGGCUCAAUCCUACUCCAGUAAUAAUAUUAUAAUAUAGGAAAUUUUAUUAAUAAUCUAAAUUGAUUCUUAUAAACAAUGACAACAGUAAGAAUAUUAUAAUAUGGGGAAUAUUGUUAGGAAAUUUUAUUAAUAAUUUUAAUUAAAAUGAAAUUUCUAAAUUGAUUCUUUUUUUCUUUUUUUCUUUUUUUGUAAAAAGUAGGUUUUAUUCAACUUGAACCGUGCGGAAGCAUACAAAACCCAGUCCCGGGCAAAUUAAGCUAUAACAUAAGGAAUCCCAAGGCUAUCUGAACGUAGAAUACGCCGACUCCUAUGUGGAAGUAACUCUUCCUCGGUGUACACCAAAUCUUGGCCCAGCUGCAAAGACGCUAGAGAAUCUGCCACCAUAUUAGCUUGCCGAUAGACGUGGCAAAGAGACGCCCCCAAUUCUGUCAUUAAGCCUCGUAUCUUCCUCAGAACGUUACAUACCGGCCAGCGUGCCAAAGCUCCCGAAUUGACCAUCUGGACGAGCGCCCCAGAGCCGCUCUCAACCAUAAUGCCAGUCAAUUGGCUGUCUCGACAUAGGUCUAACCCAGUCAUCAAUGCCAGGGCAUCUGCGUGAACCACUCCAACCUCCCCAAACUCCUUGUAAAAUGCAAAGAUCACCGUGCCCUCGCUCGACCGGACCACGCCGCCACCGAAUGCCCCGGAUGUUCCGACACUGGCAGCUGUAUUCAAUUUCAGAUACGGCAUGGGGGGCUUGGCCCAUGCUACAAGGAGUGGCCGCUUCACCGCCCCCGUUCCAUGAGUCCCUCUAGCCCAAAUACAGUCCCCGUCGCCCCGAAAUGACUGCCCCAAAUUCCGUGCACGCCCUAGGAGUUCAAUGAAAUUGCCCACUUGCCAUAUAACCUGGUCCGCAUUCAUCCUCCCCCCCUCAAACCUAGCGUGGUUCCUCGCCUUCCAAAUAAACCACAGGGACGCAACCGGAACUAAUACCCGAACAUGGUUCUCGCUCACCAUCGGGUGGGACAGAAACCACGACAUCAGUACAGAGGAUAUCCCCUCUUCCCCCCCCCCCGCAACAGCCCGAACUGUUGACCAAAGUGACCCCAAACGGUAGCUGCCACUGGACCGAUCACAAAAAGAUGCUCCGCAGUUUCGCUCGCCCCUUCGCAGCAAGAACACCUCGACCCCAACUUUACGCCCUUUCGCUGCAACUGAACGUCUAAAGGAAUAUAAAUAAUGGAAACAGUAAUAAUAUAUAAUAUGGGGAAUAUUGUUAAUAAUGGUAACUACAAUGAAAAUCAUAAAUGUUUAAAGAAUAAAUAGUACCAAAACUUAUAAACAAUAGGAACAACAAUCAUAUUAUAAUAUUGGAAAUAUUAGUAAUAAUUGAAAUUAUAAUUGUAUUAAAAUACGUAUUAAAUUAAGUUACAAAUUUCUAGCUAAUUAUUCCUUCAGCCAAUGUUGGUAUAUAUUUCGAAGUUAACUAUAUAACCAUAUAACCCUGAUAGGUAACAGAACAGAACAUAACCAACAGUUGAUCAUCCCUUCAGCCAAAGUUUAUAUAUACGAAAAGAGUUUCCUGUCCACUGGACUCGCACAAUCAGAUCAUCAUUCACACCAUAAGCUGAAUAAGAUAAACAAACUUUAUAUACACAUCCAUUGUGGCCAUAUACUUCCAAAUCAGCCAUUGAACAUUACCUCAAAAGCAAGGAUCUUUAAAGUAAUUUAAAUUAAAUUAACAUCAGUAGUCAACAUGAUAGUCGAAUUAUUUUAAUUAUUUAAUUGAAAUUAUAAUAUUGGAAUAAUUGAAAUCAGAAGCCAGAAAUUGCAUUCACAGACAAUUAUAAUAGUGAAUGAGCAAACCAUACCACAAAAACUGAUGUGAUUCUGAGUUCAUUUUUGGCACUAAAACAGAAUCUUCGUGAUUCCCACCACCUACUUUCUAGUCCCCUAAAAGUCUCACCCCCUGGUACACUACACCAGGACAGAGGUCAUCUAUAUUGCUAAAGCAUCUAUAGCCAUCGAUCUUAGGUGCCAUUGUCCCAUAUGUUUUUGCAAGAUCUAUUUUUUGAAUCUAUUUCCCUUUUUUUUUUGCUAUUUCUCUCAAGCGUCAACAUUUUUGUCUUGCACGAUUCCAACUUUUUCACCGCAAAAUUACAGCAUAAUCCCGAUUUGAACAGCCCAAGGACAUGUAAUGCAGUAAGACACAAAAUCUGCCAAAAAAAAAAAACCCAAAACACAAAAAACGAACCUACCCGCUAGUAGUAAUCUCUUAAUGUCAACCUUCUGAACAUCUUAUUUCAAAGUAACGAAGAAACUCCACAGAUCACAACUCAUAAUUAAUAGUAGUAUUAUUUUUCGUGAUCAAAAUUGAUGGUACUACAAUAUGUUACCAUAUUAAGAGUUUGGGGUAAAGACUACAUAAGUCACAUCAUGAGCACAACUCAUGAUAUGAUCAGGUUUUCAAUAUUAAAAGAAUAUCAAUAUUAAAUGAAUAAAUAGUACCGAAACUUUUAAUUUGAUUGGCGCGGCGUUUGAGUUGAUGUAGUCGAGAUUUUAUCCAUCGUAGUUGAUGUGAGAUUUCUCUUUUCUCGGCGCAAAGUUGUUGGAACUGUUCCAAUUCUUGUGCGGGACCGUGGUGGCGUCCUUUUCGUUUCAUUAGCAGAUGUUUCCUCCGUUGCAAUCUUGCGAGUUUGAAAUUCAGGUGUUGAUGACAUGCCUGUAAACGGCCAUGUUCUAUUGUGAAGCUAAUUAGAGAGGUUCGAGAAGGAAGUUGAUUGAAAGGGUUUUUAAUUGAAAUGGAAAUGUGGGUGUGGAGUGAAAUUGUAAGAGUAAUUCCCAAAAGUAGUAAUUCCCAAAAGUAGUACCAAGUAUAUUCCGUGGCAGUUGGGAAGAAAUCAGGUGCAAUCCUCAAUUCCGUUGGAUCAGGGGCCAAGUACCAACUAUAUUGUAAGUGGGAAGAGUUUUAAUGUAAGUGGAAGUUAUUUUUUUGUUUGAGGGAACGUGGGAGUGUUAGAGUUUUAAUGUAAGUGGAAGUUACAUUUUUGUUUGAGAGAACGUGGGAGUUUUAGUUGGAAUUAACUUCUUAUUUGAGGGAAACGUGGGGAUGUAAUGGGCCCAUGAUAUUUUUUACGAAAUAAGAUAAAUGUAAAAUGCUAGGAAAAUAGAGUUGAGAGUGGGAAGGGUUGUGGAGGCUUGUUCCUGAAAAUCCCUUCUCAAAUUUAUAUAGAUAUAGAUUUUACAUUUUUACCGAAGGGCCAAAUUUUCCUAAAAUCAUACGUCAAUUUCAAAUAACAGUACAUUACUAGUGUUUUCAAGACUCAACUUAGUUCAUAGAGGUAUUCACCAUGUAAUGAUGAAUGAAAACUUUUCUACCCUCCCAUUUUGCACUUCCGCUUCAUAGAAGCUAUUCCAUGGAAAAUUUAAAAAAAAGAUUAAAAAAAUGACUAAAAAAAGACAUAACUGAGUGAAUAUUUUGAAAAUUUACAAGUUAUUAUUUUGGUAUAAAUGUGUAGCCCGAUUUUAUUCAAUUGCAUUAACAAAAGAAGUGGUGGUAAAGAAUCCUAAUAGAGAGGGUUUUAUCAUGACCAACGUUCAAUUUUUGUAUAGGUUCUCUAAAGUGUUUACAAACCGAUUUCGUUUUUGCUUGCUGGCUCAUGAAUUUUACAGUAAUGGAUAUUGAUUAAUCUGAAUAUUUUCUUUGAGAACUUUUUUGAAAUUCUCAAAACAAAAAUUCCCUUCCACGUAACAAAAAAAUAACCAAUUCACUGCAAUUUGAGAAAAAGAUACAAGAUAAUGAUUUGGACAGAAUAUAACUGUAACAAUAUGAACUUAAAUUCCAUGAUUUGAUUUUUCUUUCCUUUUCUUUUCCCAUGAAAUUUGAUGAUUUGAUUUUUCCUUCUUUUUCCUUUUCCCAUAUAAAAUUCGAUUGAAAAGGUUUGGCUUUUUUCAAAUCCUCCAAAUUACGAUAAAUAUGGUAUGUUAAAUUGUGCUUAACCAAGGUUAAGAUGCUGGUUAUAAGCAAAAGAAAUCCUGCACAUUGAAUUCAAAUUGAACACAUGUCAAAAUCGUAAUGCUAUAUCGAGGAGAACUAAAGAAAAUAAGUAACGAAAAGGAGCAGGAUCCGCUUGACAAUGACCCGUAUCCUAUCCUAUCAAAUCUUUCCGGUCCAAAAUUCAAAAAAAUUGAUUUAGGAUUUGAUAAGGUCUUGAAAUUUAUUUGGUGGCGUGUAAAUUAGCAUGUUCCGUCUUUUAAGUACAUAAUUUGUGAGACAACAGCGGAUUGAGACAGUUAGGGGACAGGUAAAAGCCUUUUAUAUGAUCGAAAAAGGAGGCAACCCGAUUCGAGCAAUUUUGCGACCGGACAGAGUUCGAGAACUGAUCCACCUUUUAAGAGGGGUCAAGGAACAGAUGGUCUCCGACCCGCAGGAACCCUAAACCAGGGUAAUUUUGGAAGAGAUCAAGUAAGGCAAGGGCCCCAAAAGAGUGUCCAACGUGGAGGGGCAAGUGUGGGCUUUAAACCGACCUGUGGUUUCUGUAGGUGCAAUCACACUAACGAUAAUUGUUGGAAGAAUAGUUCAGUACGAAAGUGCUUUAAAUGUGGUAGUACAGAGCAUCUGAUUGCCCAAUGCCCUAAGAUGCAAAAAGAGAGACUUAAACCGCCGACUGAAGGGACCACAGCUAAGCCGUCAAAUACCGGGGAAAAUCGACCCAAAGGACCAGUUAGAGUAUAUGCAAUGGGUCAACAAGAGGUGUUAGACCCUUCGGCAGCAUCGAAGGUACGCCCUUUCUUAUCGGCGCGCCGUAAGUGUUUAGUAGACCCUGACGACACGUAUUCUUGUAAACCCUGCAAUAAUGAUUUACGAAUAAAGGCAUCAAUUUCGAGGACGAAAUUAUUCUAAGUGAGGGAGGUUAUGAGACCCCGGUCAGUUCUUAACUUUGAUAUUCGGUUAUAUUCAUUAUUGGUAUGGUAACAUUAGGUUUUGGAACUAAUUCGAAAACCCUAAAUUGGGGUUAGUAUUGAAACCCUAAUUUUUGUAUUAAUUAUAAGUUCGAGUGGUGAUUAAAGCUAGUUAUGCUAGUGUGUGUUUUAGUACAGGUACGUAUAAGAUUUGAUCCAUUUUAGAUAGGUUAAGUGAGUUUAAAAGUUAGGAAAACCCUAAACUAGAAAAGUUCUAGUGAUAUGAUUUGUUAGAAUUCUAAAUUGGGUUUAAAACCCUAAUUUUGCCCUUGACAAAAAAGUUGUUAUUUAAUUACUUUUAUGUGAGAUAAAAUAUGCUUAAGUAUAGGUGAUUAAGAUAGGAAAGUGAUUAGUGAAGCAAUUAAGUAUAAUUAUAUGUUUUGGACUAGAUUAAGUUAUCAUUUAUGGAGUAAAUUGAAAGCUUUGCAAAUGUUUAAGGGCAAGAGUUGAUCAAAUGCAAAGUUGAAGGUGUAAGGGUUGAGAGCAAAAAUGAAGCUUUUGUGUGAUUGGUGGAAAUAGAAAUAUCUUCCAAGGCUUUGGCCAUCUUGUAUAUAUCAUAGGAUUUCCAUAAAAAACAAAACAAAACAAGAGAGAGCAAGAGAGAGGUGGAGCCGUGGAGAAGGAAGAGAAAAAACCAAGGGAAGUUUGCAAAGUUCAACCAAAUUUCUGUUAUUGAUCUUUAUCUUGAAGCAUAAAGAAUCCAUCUUGGAGUUGGGUUGAGUUCAUUAGUCAUCAUAUAACCUUCAUCUUGAGGUAAGAAAGUUCCUAUGCAAAGCUAAGUGUGGUUUAUGAUGCUUGGGAUAGUGGAAAUGAUGAUAAUGGUUGUUAGUUGUGAUUGAUUAUGGUGUCUCUUAUGUUUAUCACUUGAUUUUAUGGAUUAAUUUAGUGAAGAAUGAGACCUUGAGGUUCGGCCAUAUGAAUCCUAAUUAGGGUUUCACGCUAAACAUGUUGGUUAGCCUUAAUCUUGUGUUAUUGAACUUGUAGUGGUUGUGUUUGAUGAUUGAUUUCAUUGGGUUGGUGAGUGAAUGGUAAAAACUGAUUUGGGUUAAGAAACCCUAAGCUUCCUUAGGUUAGUUUAACUUGGCUAAUGUUUAGUGAGUUAGGGUUUGGUUAGAAGGUUGAUAGAUUAAGUUUAGUGAUGCAUAUAAAGUUAGGUUAGGGAUUAUGGUUAGUUUUAGAUAAUUUUGUAGUGACUUAGAGGGGAAGUUUCGGACCAUUUGUAGGUCAUUUAGAAGUUAGUAUAUGUGUGUUUAUUUGGUAUGAAUUUGGUUGAAAAUUAUGUAUAAGAACCAUAGAAAUGAACCAUGCAUUUGCGACAUUUGAAACCGGCAAAACGGGUAAAUAGGGCAGCCCAGCACCUGAACUUGAGCUCCGUUUUUCUUGAUACUACGUAUUGAUUCAGAAAUUUAUCAAAGCAUGAAAGUUGUAUCCUCUUAAGUUCUGAAUAUGUCCGCAAAAUUUCAGGUCAAACGGAUCAGUGUAACCUGAGUUAUAGCCAAAAUACUUGCACCUGUUUUGUACACUGGAUUGUGUUACGUUUUUGAAUUCUGCUUCUGACCAUGCUCUGUCCAUUUUGAUAACAUGCGAACUGGGUGUUGACCUCUUCAUAAGAAAUUUAGAUCUUGAUCUUAACUUCAAAACGGUAUAAAGUGCAUCCAAAUCCGAAUCCCGUAGCUUCAGUUAUGACCAAAACAAGAUCAGUUGUCAGAACUGCCUUCGAAUUUGGACAGUUCUGAUAGGGACGUUUGAACCCCUUUUUUCCCUUGCUCCGUAUUGAUUCACUUUUGGUCCAAACAUGAAAGUUGUAGCCUUAUGAAUGAGCUUUCUAAUGCCUUUGGAAUUUUUUGAUUUUGAUUUCUGAGUCGUGAGUUACUAUCUUUCAAACAGGGCCUGUUUGGUAACCGAAAUGAAAUGGCUGGAACUAUUUUAUGCAGUUUUGACCAAUAUCUAUUGGGAUCUGGGUUGAGAUGUCUAAAUAAAAGUUGUAGCCCUUCCUCGUAGCUUCAAAACGGUGUCUCACCCAUCUUGAUCCGACAUUUCUAACCUAACUUUUGAUCAAAACAGUUUGGGAUGGUAAAUCUAGCCGUUUCCGUUUCUGUUUCCGUGUCCGUCUCCAUUUCCGUGUGUCGUUUCCACACUUGCAUGUGCCAAUUUUGUCAUUUUACUUGAGUUAUGCAUGUUAGUGGCUAUUUGUGAUAUAUUGUGAUGCAAUCUUCUAUUUCAGACGGUGACGGGCUAGACGGUGCUGAUGGGGCCUACUAGCUGUAUACGUGACAUGAUCCUUGCAUUUUUUUUUACGUACCUUUGGAGUAAGUAUUCAGGCUGUUUAUGUGUAUAAACUGCUUAUGUGUUUUGAUGUGAACAAAAGGGGGACUUAGGCGAGAGUGUACUUUAUCACACUCGACCUAAACCCUAGUUUGUACUAUGUUUCCUCAUGAAAUGUGUAUACAUGAAUUAUUUUGGUACUGAACCCCUUGAGCUUGAAAUUCCGGGUGACUUUCGUGAAUUUGUGAAAUACGAUGAAGUUGUGGGCCCGAUCUCAAGACCUAGACGGACCAUUCGAGCCGGCUGGGGUUUGGUCGAAACUAGUCCAACCUAGUCUUGAGGUCACCAAGUUCGUAGGUUCCAGUGGUGAACUAAGUUUGUGACCCGAGCUUGUGACUCAAGCUCAAGUUUGUGAUUUCGUUCGCUCGAGCAAGUUUGCGAGGUGAUUGGCCAGUGAGAGUGAUAAGGUGUUAGGUGGGAGUACAAGUGGAGUUCUACGGACCUUAUAUGUGGUCGACGGAGUGUCGGCAGGAGGUCAUGCAUGACCAAUGACUUGGCUUUGGAGCCAACCUGUAUCCUUAAUUUGUGAUUGUUACUUGGUACCUUUGAUUUGACAUUUUUGUGAUAUAAUUGUUCAUCAAUGUGCAAUUUACGCUUUUACCCCUGUUUACUUGCUACGCUUCUAACUACCCCGUUUCCUUUGCUUUCCUUAACAGGGGACGACGUGGGAAACUUUUUGGCACAUUCACUAGUAUAAUUAGGUCGCUUGUAAUAGUUGGGCAAUUAAGAUGAUUCUUUGUGUUUUGGUGGUUUGUAUAAGGACCCUCCUUAGGGUUUACUUUCUGCUGGUUGUUAUCAUAAUGUAAUGUAGUGGUCUGAGUAGCUACUUUUGAGGAUGUAAAUGAAACUUUUUUUUUGGGAUUGAAUAUUUUGGGAAUAGUACUCUUUGGUUUAUCUUGUUUUGUUGUUUGAAAUUUUGAGUCCUGGCACAAGGUAGGCAGGAGUCCCGACGAUACUCUCGGAUUCGUCCUUGGAGAAGUGGGGCGUCACAUGCACCAAUUCUAACGAAUUUAAUUUUUCAGAUGGAGAAAAAUUUUGAAAUGCAACUCUGUGUUAUUUCCCAUAAAUGUAGUCAAUACAGGGUUUAAGUGCAUUAUCUCUAAUUUUAGGUAGGAGUUGUUUGCGAACAAGUGUCUGAAUCCCUUUUUCACUCAUGUGCCCAAGUCUCCUAUGCCAGAGGUCAAUUGAUGAAUCAUGAACUGCAUUCACUUCUCCCUUCCCCAACUUGGCUUGUAUCAAGUAGAGGAUACUCUGCUUCUUUCCUCUAGCAACAACGAGAUUUUCUUUGCUAAGUUUCCAUUUGCCUCCACCUUGCAAGUUAUGGUAACCCUCAUCGUCAAGUUUUCUUGUAGAGAUAAGAUUAAGUCAAAUAUCAGGGACAUGUCGAGCAUUUCUUAAUAUUAGCUAGCACCCGGUAUCUGUAUCCAAAUAUAUGUCUCCCAUGCAACAACUUUGCAUGAGACCUCAUUUUCCAUCCUGACAUAUCCAAAAUCUCCUUCGGUGUAGGUUGAGAAGAAAUGCCUGUGAGGAGUAAUAUGGUAGGAUGCACCCAAAUUAACUACCCAAUCACUGUGAUAAUGAAUAAUAUUCACUUGACCAUCAUCACAGAACACAAACACAUUAACAUGAGCUGCCACAACAGCUGUAGUUUUUUCAUCACCUUUUUCCUUCGCCUUACCCCUUUUUUUCAGCUUGUUCCAUUUUAGAAUUCUGCAUUUUUUCAUAUAAUGCCCAUUCUUCUUACAAUAAUAGCAUGCAAUAUUUUUUCUUGACUCCGACUUGCCUCUGGAUUUGUCAUUUCUAUUGUGGGGUUCUCUACUUUUGCUUUUCCCUCUUCUUUCUUUCUUUUCUGUCACCGGGCCUAAAACUUAUAGACAAUUUCUUGUUUUUUCCUCCUGAACUUUUCAUUCAUCACGGCCUCUUUUGCAAUAGCCAUGGUCAACAUACUAUUCGGACCUGAAUUACUAACGGAGACCACCAUGGUUUCCCAACUAUGCGGUAGUGAACUGAAUAAUAAUAAAGCCUGUACUUUGUCAUCCAAAUUCAAAUUUAAUGUAGUUACCUAGUUUAUCAAUCCCCAAAAAUUACUCAGGUGUUCAGUCGUAUCUUCCCCAUCUUUAUAUCUCAUUCGAGUAAUCUGUUUCAGACAACUAGCCUUAUUCAAACCGAUCUUCCGUUCAUACAUACUUUCAAGUUUUUUCUAUAAUACAUUAGCUCUGGUGUCAUUAGCAAAAUAUUAAAAAAUAUUUUGAUCAAUCCAUUUUCUAAUAUUACCAACGAUUUUCCUGUGCAUAACAGCCCAUUUUUUAUCAAUCAUAUCACUUGGUUUACCUUUAUCUCCUAGAACAGGUUCAAAUAAAUCUCUACAAUACAGGUAGUCUUCCAUUCUAGGCUUACAAAUCGAAUAAUUAGUAGCAUUCAAUUUUAUCAUGCAACCAUUGUCCGAAUCAUCCAUUAUUAACUAGUACAACUGAACAGCCCAACCUGACUGUUUUGAUACCAUUUGUUGGGAAAGGGGUACUGGUACAGGCACACAAUAUCAGAGUUAGCCUAGGAUAAAUUUCUCUUUUCUCAAGUACCAGUUAAAAUAGGAAUAAAUCAAAUCACCAAAUAAUAAUACCAACAGUGAUAAUAAAAUGCAAGAAAAAGAAAAAUAAAAGACACAUGACACCAAGAUUUUUUACGUGAAAAAUCCAACUGGAAAAAAUCACAGAAUCUAGUCCAAUCAGAAAUCUCCACUAUCACAAUAACGAAAAUACACAGGUCUACCCGAAAUAUUCGAGUGACAACAAUAUCACCAAUAGCAACCAAGCCAAUCUACUACAAAAUCACUCCCCAAAAUUACAACUGUCAAAGAAGUAGGUUUCAAAAGUGUUACCAAACGAAGAGAAAAUCCAAAAUCUGAACCGGUAGAUGAGUAGAGCCUGACGAGAGGAUCACAUGGGUAAAAUUUCGUCUCAAUCGUUCCAAAUUACCCUCCAAUCAAGAUCUUGAAGUUUCUCUCUCUAGCUCUUUCUCUCUCUUCAUUUUUUCUCUCAACCAACAAAAGAUGGUGGCUGACUUUUUUCUCUUGCACCAGGACCGAAGAAUAAUUGCCUUAUGCGGCUACUUAAUGUUCCGUCACAUGAAGCCCUCAAAUCUUAGUGACUUGUGUUUUGGGUUGGCCCACAAAUGGGUUGGUCCACACAGGUCCAACAAAAGGGAAGUUUUAUGACCAUAGAACUAGAGAGCCACCAAGUCAGCUUUGCUCUCCUUAAUCAGAAGAUUUUCCAAUCCCUCCGGCGCGGGAGGGAGGGAUGGUAGGAGUUGAGGAUAAUGUGUGACAGCGAAGAAGAAGGUAUUUUUUCAAGUACAUAGCUUUAAUUGUGAGGAUCAUAAUAAUGCUGAGCAAUUAACGGAUUUAAGUGUGUCUAACAAUCAAAGAAUUAUCUCUUAUGAACUCAAAUAGAGUACUGAUGUUUGAGAAAUCUUACAAGGGCAAUUGAAAAGAACACAACGAGAGCAACAGAUGAACGCAUCCUAUCUUUGAAGUUUGAACAGCUCAAAAUGAAACUUUGAUGGUUUAAGAGCUCUUGGGGCUACGGCUAUUUAUACAAGAGCAUAGCCAAGUGAAGCUAGCAAGACUAUAGCAUGGAUCACGUGGCUGGUUGGUUCGAUUUGAGAAGUUGCUGCCUUCAUACACCAAUCCACAAAUUACCAAAAAUUUUGGAUUUUUACUAAAGGGCCAAAAUUUCUUAAAAUCAUCCGUCGAUUUCAAAUAUAGUACAUUGUUAGUGUUUUCAAGACUCAAUCUAUUUCAUAGAGAUAUUCACAUUGUAAUAAUUGAUGAAUAAAAUCUGUCACUAUUUUGAAAAUUUACAAGUCAUUAUUUUGGUAUAAAUGCAUAGCCCCAUUUCAUUCAAUCACAUUAACAGAAGAAGUGGUGAUAAAGAACCUAAUAAAGAUGGUUUUAUCAUGACCAACGUUCAAUUUUCGUACAAGUUAUCUAAUGUGUUUGCAAAUCAUUUUCUUUUUUGCUUGUUGGGUCAUGAAAUUUUUACUGGAGGCACAGUUCUCUCUAACGCUACUACUCAUCAAAACACAAAUUUAGGUAUCAAAACACUACCUGUUAAGGGAGAAUGUGUUCAUUGCCAAAAAAUUCUAGCUUCAGGAUAAAAAUUGGCUUUAGGUGUUUUUAAUAGCAUCUCUUUGGAAUUUAGCACCAUUAGAUACCCAUAAUUGACAAUCUAGACAAUUGAAAUGUCAUCUGGGAGUUUAUGUUCAUCUCAUUGAUUUGAAGCAUAUAAUUGGUUGCCUCACAUUACGUGAUUGAUUAAUAUGGUUUUAACGAGUAUUUUGAAAUUUGAACCAAACUGGUUGGUUCAAUUGCUUGAACCAGGAAAAAAAAACAAUUUUUUACUUCUUUUUUGUUGCAUUUUCUCUUUCGAUUUUAUGAUCUUUUAAGUUUUCAUAAAUUUUUUUGCCUUGACUCUGAUACUAAAAUCUUUCACCAUAAUAAUUCUUUUUGAGCUGUGGAUAAUUUUUACAAUAAUAAAUGCUUUCAUAAAUUUCUUUCGAAUUUGAUCAUUACAAUCUUAAUUUUUAUAUUUUGUCAAAUAAAACUUAUGGAUUCAAUUCUAAACCAUCAUUUUUUAUUUUAAAUUUUAAAUGUUAUAAUACUAUUUUAUGUGACAUAUAAUUCAUCCAUAUUUAUUGUGAGAACUUGAGAAUUUAGAAGUAUUCUAGAAUGGUGUAAAAAAAAUUAAAAUUAAAAGAAUGAAAUAACAUAUUGUACGUAUAUUGUAAUUUGUGUGAUUUGAAUAUAUUAUAGUUGAAUAAAUUACAUGUUUAGUUAAUUUCUUAUAGAAUCAAAUGUGUGAGAAUCUACAAGAUUAAGGAAAUACAAAUAAGGUUGGGAGUUAACGAGUGAAUUAAUAAAAAAUGCAGCCUUAGUAAACAAAUGAACUAAUGUUAAAUGACCUAGCUAAUCUUUCAUCUUAACUAAUUUACCAUUCAACCAGCUAACUAUCAGAAUAUUAGAAGCAAGAGUUAAGUGGAGGAACUUGGGAAUUAUCGUCCACCGAAUGAAGAGGAUUUGGGUGAUCAGCCGAGAGAAAGUGAGGAAGGCUUCAUUCUCUUGCUCCACUUCAGACCAACCGAGAGAGUAGAGAGAGAGCUCUGCAUUUUCCUAGGCAACUAACUGCUAAAUUCCAAGCGGUGGCUGAGGAAUCAAAUAGAAGGUUGCUUGCAAAGUCCAAGCAGUGACCGACCGAAAACAAGGAGAAGCUAUCUGCCAAUAUCUUUGGGCGGUGGCCGAGAGGAAAACAAAAACUUCAAUUCCUUUCCUUUUCAACCCAACACCGAGAGUAAAACUAAGAGAGUGGGAGAGAAAGGUUAGCUAGCUUCAUCACCAACUAACCAAAAACAAGAAGGAGUACAGCGAGGAAAGCAGGAGAAGCUCGAGCUAGGACCUUGAGGAACCGAAUCAGGGAGAGCUAGAGCAGUCAGCAAUUUCAGAUUCUAAGGAAAGAAAAAAAAAGGUAAAAUUUUAUGAACCUCCUGCUUAUUUAGUGUAAUUGAAUGUUUAAGCUGUGUAUAAACUUUAGCUAGGAAAAAAUGAGUUCUUGGUUGGAAAAAGAAACUUUGUGCAGAACCGAAUGGCAGCUGGAAUUACUUCCGGGCAUCCCACCAUGAAGUACUCCUUCAACCUUCUUCGUAAGUGCUGCUAUACUGAUCUUCUACUGAAUUUUAUCAAGUAACAAAAGCACUUAGAAUUCCUUUCAUACAUUUUCUUAUUUUCAACCUUUGAUUAUUGGCAAAAAAUUUUGGGCUUUAUAUUCGGCCAAAUUUCAAGAAACAUGUGAGCUAAAAUCAUGCCUUCCACAUGUUUGAGAAAAUGUCUUAGUUAAAUUUGUUUUUUAAAAAAAAGAUUUCUUAUAGUUUUAAAAAAUAGGAACAGCUUCGUUUGCGUCUUGUGCGUCGCUGGUAGGUUGUCUUCCACGACCAUGUCUGCCCUCUAGCUGCCUGCUGGGAGGCGUCCCUCUCCUUCUCAAACCUUUGAAUGCAAAUCCUUUGCUGCUUUAUUCUCAGCCGGUUCUUCACAACCGACUCUGACCAUUCAUAUAUCGCCUGCGACCCAUAAGAGGGAACCAGCUCUCAUGUUUUCACAGAAGGAUCUUAAUCGGCUAGCCACUCCUUACAAGUAUGCCCUAGUGGGGAAAUUCUCUAGGGAAAGACCAAAAAUGGAGAAGAUACGCAGGUUCUUCCUCCAUUAGAUUUACGAGAAGUUGCUUCGGUGGGUUUGCUUGACUUACGACAUGUCUUCAUAAAGCUGGGGAAUGAAGUUGAUUUUCAUAGACUCUGGGCCAGAAGCACCUGAUAUGUCCAUGGCUCUCCGAUGAGAGUCUUCAAGUGGUCGUCGGCGUUCCAUGUGGAUAAGGAACCGUCUAUCGCCCCCAUUUGGUUCCAGUUCCAAAAACUGCACCGCAGUGCACUAGUUCAAUAAGGAGGUUCUCUUUCAGAUCAUCUCAACACUGGGUAAUCCGCUAUUGAUGGAUGCGGCAACGUCAGAGACGACUUGUCCAAGUUGUACGAGAGUCUGUGUGGAGGUUGACCUGCUCAAGCCUCGGCCAUCACAUAUAUGGAUUGGAAACGGCGAAAACGAUGGGUUUUGGCAGUGCUUCAUUCUUGAAAAUCUCCCUCUAUACUGCUCCCAUUGUUUUCGUUGGGACAUGGAGUGGAGGGGUGCUAUGUCUUGCACGCAGACCUCCGGGUAUCUAAAACGGAGGGUGAGAAAGCUGGGAAGUUUCGCCUGCAGCCAAAGGAGGUGCGCCAACGCAAGGAGACUACCCAGGAUGAAGUGGGUGGGCAUUUGGCCAUAGUGGUCGCACCGCUGCCCGUGACAGUAGCUCCAGUGGAGGAGUCUUUCGCUACGGUAGUGGAUACCAGUUUGUGGCUGGUGCGCAGGCGGAGGGAAAAUGGUGCCACGGGCAUCACAGGUGGGAGAAGUAGACCUAGUAGAGGGAAAGGCAGGCGGGGUAGCGAGAGUUUGGGUAGGGAGAGGGAGGAACAUGAGUGUGUGACUACGCAGGCAGAAGAGAGGGCAUUUGAAGGACAGCUUCGUGAGACAAUGAAUGGUACAACGGCGGCAGCAUUUGCGUAGGAGGACCAACCACAGCAAUGUCUGGUAGAGGGGCAACCUGAUAGCUUGCGUGGGUGUGCAGAGAAAUCGUAACCCAGCAGCGAAUUGCAACUGGAGGAAAUGGAAGAUGAGCUGACCAUAGAGUUGCGGGGAGCGAGAGCAGCGGUAGUGAACAUAGAGGAGAGCGAUGCGAGUGAGGAAGAGAGAGGUAGAACUCCCUCUGGUGGCAAGCACUUUGUCACCAAGGAUAGUGGUCACAAGCAUUUCUUCAUCUGAUGUUAGAAGGGAACCAGCAGAUCAAUGUGCAGGGGGAAAUGAAUAGGCUUGCUGCCGUGGCAUCAGAGGACGAAGAGCUUAAUGAGUUGUAGGGCGGGUGGGCAAUUUGUCUCCAAGGGGAGAAUCUAAUAAAGUAAGGAUGAUUGGUGAUAGUUUAUCCUUUACUGCGUUCAAUCUAGACCUGUUAUCAUAUCAAACUCAACAUUGCGACAAGCUGGGUCGCUUGCAUUAUCUCAACCAAAGAAAAGAGGUUCUCAGCUGCCGUUUUAGUCAGACCGCACGUUACGCUCUAAGGUGAUUUCUUCACAAAAUUCUUUUGCAAUGUUAUCUAAUCAUUAACUUUAUCUUUUGGAACAUUCGGGGUGUCUCACGUGCCUCUAAUCUUAAGAGACUCCGUAAAUUAGUUAAAAUGCACUCUAUCUCUUUGAUAGCAAUUUGUGAACCUAAGACCUCGAUUGCAAACAUGGAUAUGAUUCGAAUGAAGGUGGGGAUGAAUUUUUCUGUUGCAAACCUGUGGGGUAGCAUUUGGGUGCUUUAUAAAUCUGUUUUUGAUUGCCAAACGAUAUGUGAGUCAGAUCAACAUCUCACUUUAAGCCUCCGAUCCCAAUUAUUGGCUGAGGAGAUCUACUUUUCAUUUAUUCAUUCGAAGUGUACCAUCCAGGAGAGGGAAGGUUUAUGGAUCGAGUUGUUGAAUGACAAGCCGGAGGUAAAACCAUUUUCUUGUGGGGGAUUUUAAUGUUAUCUUAAAUACAGAGGAAAAAAGGAGUGGCUACCUUUUAGACAUGCUCAGGGGAUAGAAUUAUCAUAGUUUAUGUCAUUGGCGGAAGGGUUCUUUUCUAGGUACACAUGGUGUAACAAUCGAUAGGCUAUUUUAAGAGUUUGGAAGCGGCUAGACAGGCUUUUGCUCAACUCAGCUACUAUGCAUAUGGAGAGUAAUAUUUUAGUGCAGCACUUGGGGAGAGACCCUUCUGAUCAUGCUCCUCUUUUGAUAUCGACAUCAAUGAGAUUAGAUGACAAGCCACGGCCAUUCAGAUACCUAAAUAUUUAGACCACAAAACCAGGUUUUAUGGAUAUGAUUGAGGAGAGUUGGUCUAUUUCCUCCCCUGGUUCCCCCUUUCAGUUUUGUCGGCUAAACUGCGACGGGUUAAACAGGCACUUAGACUAUGGUUAAAGGAAUCUAUUGGUGACAUCUUCUUAGCGAUUCAGACAGCAGAACAGAUGGUGCUAGAAGCUAAAAUAGAUCAUGAUAACCAUCCAUCAGAAACGUCGUUGGUGGCUUUACAAGAGGCACGUGCAAGAUUGAAGCAUACUUUGGUGAUUGAGGAAGAAUUCUAGAGACAGAAAACUCGUGUCAAAUGGCUAUCAGAUGGGGCAAGAAUAUGAAACUUUUUUCACGCUGUGGUGACAGAGAAGAGAAACAAAUCAGUGAUUCAUAGAAUUAGGAAGACAAAUGGUGACUGGGUGACUGACGAGUCGAGUAUUUGUAAUGAAGCUGUCUCGUUCUUCCAAAAAUUGUUUACAAACGAGGGGGGAAGUCCUUGAAUAACAUACUAAACAUUAUUCCAAGUUGAUCACUGAACAGGAUAAUGAGAUGUUGACUGAGGUUCCAUCUAUGCAGGAAGUAAAGGAAGUAAUUUUUUCAAUGGACGAGAGAGAGUGUUGCGGGUCUGGAUGGUUUCACGAGAAAGUUUUUCACGUCUGCUUGGGAGGUGGUCACUAAGGAUGUUCAAAGGGCUAUUGUCAGUUUCUUUUAUGACACAACGUUGCCAAGAAGUGUCUCAGCUACUUCAAUUGUUUUACUAUCCGAGAUACAAUGUCCUCAUGAUUUCACUCAAUAUCGCCUGAUAAGUUUAUGCAAUUUUAUUCAAUAAGGUUAUCUCCAAAAUUUUAUCUUCCCACUUGGCAAAGGUUCUUCCUCACAUUAUCUCACUACAACAGAGUAGUUUGGUGUAAGGGAGACAGAUGGCGGAUAAUUUUCUAUUAGCGCAAGAAUUAUUGAAUGAUAUUAAUAAACCUAAUAGGGAGGAAAUGUGAUGCUCAAGCUGGAUAUGAUGAAGGCAUAUGAUAGGGUGUCUUUUUUUAUACGAGUGCUUCGUCGGUUUGGGUUUAGUGAAGUUUGGAUCGAUAUGAUAUGGAGACUGAUAUCGAAUGUUUGGUUUUCUGUCUUUGUCAAUGGCUCGCCCCAGGAUUUCUUUAAGUCCUCACGGGAUUUGAGACAAGGUGACCUAAUUUCGACAGCCUUGUUCGUUAUUGGUGCAGAGGUCUUGUCCCGUUCACUCAAUACGCUUGCGGAGUAUAAAAGAUUCAGACCAUUCAAAGUCCCUAGAGGCUGUUCUAUGGUCACACAUUUGGCCUAUGCAGAUGACGUAGUCAUUUUCACUAGCGGCCUUAAGGCUUCAAUAACAUUGGUCAAAGGAGUAGUCGAUGAAUACUGUGCAUUUUCCGACCAGCGUGUUAAUUGUCAGAAGAGUUGUUAUUUGGUGCAUCCCACCUUGUCUUUGCAAUGACGUGCGAUGAUUGGAAUGGUAAUCGGCUUCUCGUACAAAUAUUUUCCAAUCAAAUAUCUUGACUGCCCCCUUUAUAUUGGAAGAAGGCGGACGCAUUAUUUUGCCGAACUCUGCGACAUGGUAAUAGUCAGAAUCCUAUCAUGGAAGAAUCGGGUCCUCUUAUUUGGGGCAAGAUUGUGCUAUUAAAGAGUGUUCUGUCUUCAAUGCCAAUCCACUGUUAGCAGUGGUUAUCUCAUUCGGGGAGUCAUUGCUUCCUUAGAAAGGGUGAUGGCAAAUUUUUUGUGGAGUUCGAUGAAUAUGGGCCAGAAAUUUCAUUGGUUAAGUUGGGAGAGUUAUGCCGUCCACAUCAGGAGGGCGGGAUUGAGUUCAUAGCUUGGCAAAGGUAUAUGAUGCUUUUUCCAUUAAACUUUGAUGGAACUUUCGGCAAAGGAGAUAUCCUAUGAAUUUUUAACAACAAAAUAUACUUGAGGGGUGCACUCUUGUUUGGUAGAAGAAGGCUAUUCGCUUUCUUACAUUUGGAAGAGGUUAUGUUCGAUUCAACAGUUGGUAGAAGAGCAUAUUUGGUAGGUCAUCGGUGAGGAAUCAAUGGAUUUCUAUGACAAUUGGAUGGGAACUGGAGCUAUAUGCCAUCAGGUGGAAAUUUUUCAUGAUCAUAUUGUGUCAGAUUUUUUCUUCCAAGCGCAAUGAAAUAUGCGACUCCUUAAUCAAGUUCUAGACCCUGAGUUGGUUAGGCAAGUUGUGAAGAUUCUCCCUUCAUUCGUUCAUAGUUCUGAUAGGAUGGUGUGGGUUUUAACGCAGAAUGGUUCAUUCUCGGUUUCUUCGACUUACACGCUUGUUUCGUAGGCUUCUAAUUAUUCAUGGGUGGUUUCGCAUGUGUGGCUGAAGCGUUUUCUAUCAAAAUCUCCUUCUUUAUGUUACAGUUGCUACGUUGUGCGUCUUCCCCAAAUGGACCUGCUACGUAGAUUUGGGUACAGGGUCCAUCUAAGUGUCAUUGUUGUUCUGAGCCAGCAGAUGACGAGGUUAAUCACAUAUGUUUAACAGGGGAUUUAGCUAAGGCUGUCUGGAAUAGAUUUGAGAGUGUCCUAGGAGAUUUGGAUAUGGUGUCCACGUUGAGACACGUGCUGUUAUGGUGGUGGCUGCGUAAGGGGCACAAUGUGUAUCUCAGGUCGUUUAUCGUACAUUACCUAUGCUCAUCUGCUGGAAAUUAUGGAAAGCGAGAAACAGGACUGUUUGAUGGAAGGAAGGUGGCGUGGACGGAGGUGGCAAAUCAGGUAUUUCAAUAGCUAUGUAAUUUACUACAUUGUAAUUUUCCGGAAAUAGCAUGUUCUUUCGUCUCUUGGGAUGUUCUUCACUUUUCAUUGAUAGCUCAGAAAAGAAGGGUUUAUAUUUUACCGAUUACAUGGUCGGCUCCUAGGGCAGGGUAUAAGUUGAAUUCGGAUGGCUGAACAAAGGGGAACCUAGGAGUUAGUAGGGGUGGGGGAGUUGUGCGAGAUGGGGAAGGGAGAUUUAUUGUCGGUUAUUCCUGUUUUUUUGGGUCAUUGACCAGUUUACACGCGGAGCUCGAGACCAUACUCUUUGGGGUGCAGCUCUGUGUUGCUUGAGGCUUACAAGACUUCCAUGUUGAAUCUGACUCACUUGUCUUGAUGCAAAUACUCCAAGGGACACAUGGUUGCUCUUGGAGACUCCAACGGGAGGUGGCUGAAUUAUUCAGUUUCAAGCAUCAUUUUCGUGAGAUAACCCAUUGCUAUAGAAAGCGAACAAACCUGCUGAUUAUCUAGCUAACCUUGGCAAAAUUCAGAGUAAGAGGAUGUUUUUGACGACUUUCGUUCUUUGCCAGCUACUGUCUGUGAGAGAUUAUCAUGGACACUUUAGGUUUCCUAAUUUUCGUAGAAAAUUUCUAUAGCUUAGCUAAAAAUUUGUAUUAAAUAACUGUCAUAUGGAUAUUUUCAUGAGAUUGGGUUUGUUGGCAGGGAGUUUCGUCCAUUUAUAAGGGGAAACUCUGCCAAAAUUUUUUAAUUAAAAAAAAACUCUUAGUUAAAAAAACAAAAAAAAGAAUGGCAGCUGGAAAGAAAAUUGCAGAAAUGGGGAAUGGAAACUAGAAAUUGUAGCUUGUUAUCAUGUUUCUUUGGAGAAUAAUGAUAGGAAAUGCAUGUUCUACAUUACCUUAAGUUUUAUAAGAGGUUUAAUCAGCUAAACAUGGGCUUUAUACAUUGGGUUUAGCUACGAAAUCAGUUCUGGUUCAAGGAAAACAUUAUACAUCAGAAAUGGUAACUAAGAGCAGAAACGAGCUAUGGUUCUGUUUAGCUCUUGAAAUCAGUCUCACUUUUGUUUAGUACUUGAGUUAUACCUUACAUGCUAGCUGUAACCUAAAACUGAAGGGAAUCCUAAAGAACUUACAAAUGAUAUCUUGUUGAUAUACGCAUGCGAAAGCAUGCAAAUCUGAUGCAUGCAUGGCACCAGAUUUGCAGCUAGCUGCAGAAAUGAAACCAAACUCAGUUUUUUUUUCUCUUUGAAUCCUGGUCAUGAACGACCUUGUUUAGCUUAGGAUAACCUGCAACAAACAAGGUUAAAGCAAAUAGAAAACUGAAGUGAACAAUGGACGACUGUCGACUGCACAAAAAGACCUCAUUGCUCCUGACCUGUUUUCAUGUGGUUCUGGUCGUCCACUUUUGACCUUGAAAACAUGAGAACUGGAUGUCAAUGUCUCAUAAGAAAUAUAGGUCUAUGUUUUAGGUUCGAAACGCUAUAAAAUUCGCCUCAAUCCGAUAAGCGUAGCUCCAAUUAUGAUCAAAACACCCAAGGAUGGUAAAGCUGCUUUUCCUUUUGUUCCUGAAUGCACUUUGCUAAAAUGCUCACCGUGAGGAACCAACUUUUAACUAGCAUUUUCUCUAAUUUCCAACUUUGUAAGAUUUCAUAAAUGAUAGCUACGGUUACUCUGAGAUUUAAUGGCUAUAUAUAGCUCCACAAGUAGAGUUAAAUUUGAUAAGAGUUUAUUUUACGUAUUUUUAGUGUGUUUUAUUAGUUAAUUUUGGUUUGAUUAUUUAGUUUUAUAACUAAAAUAAUUAAGGUUUUGGUAAAAAACUACAUUUUAUGUUAAAGUGGCUAAACAUUGCAUUUUAUGGAUUUUUAUGGUAAAAUCUUCAUAUUUUGUAGGUUUAAUAAUUCAAUCAUCAAAUGAAGUGCAUUGAGAAGAUAUUUGGAUGAUUGAAGAUGGAUUAAAGUGGUGAAAAUAAAAUAUGAAGUGUAAAAAGGAAAAAUGCAAUUUGAAUCAAGAAAAGUCAGGUUUUGACAACUCAGACACAUUUUCGUAUUUUGACUAUAUCUGGAGCUACACAGAUCGGAUCAAGAUGAUCUUGGUACCAUUUUGAAGCUAAGAGAUAUAUCUACAUUUGGUAUGAAGACAUUAAAGUCCAAUUCAGCCGUUUUCAUAGUCCAAAAGUUGAAAUACCGAAAUUCAACUCAGCUGUCCAAAGUGGAAAACAGAGCUCUGACCAGUGUUUAGUAUUUCGAUCAUAUCUCAGGCUACAAAGCUCAGAUUUGGAUGAUUCUUGAAGCAUUGGAAAGAUAACUCAAAGGGAUACAACUUUUGUGUUUUACACAAAAACCAGUUCGGCCUUUAUGAUAGAGAAAAUUGCAGUGGAAGUAAGGACAAAGUGAAUACGCGAGUACACAAAACGUGACUUGUAACCGCGUUUUGUGUAGGCGCGUUUUCUGGCCGAAAUUCUGCAAUUUGUUCAGUCAACUCUCUUGUGUUCAGACUACUUUCCAGCUGUAAGUUGCAAGUGAAUUUGGUGCACAUGCUUCAGAAGACAAAAAGAGCAUACAAUAUGGCUUAUUCCAAGUCAAAAGUCAUUAUUUUUUUGACUCCUUUAACAAAUUCAGAUUUGGAGAAUCAUAGCAGAAAUUUUGGACCAGUGGAAAGGCACCUGAUAUCAGUUUUAUAUAGAACAAUCAGAGGGAGAAAAAAAGGAGAAACGUACGGGAGAGAGCUUGAAGUGCAGAAAUGUAGUUCUUCCAUUUCCUUUGUGUAGGAUAGUUUAGCUAGUGUAGUUCAUCCAUUCUUGUAUAUUGCUAGACUAGGAUUAAGAUGGAGAUGAAGAAGGCAAGGUGAUGAGCUCAAGUGACAUGGGUUGUAUUCCUUCCAAACUCUUUAUCUUUGUAUUUGAUUCCAAGUUUAGUUAAUAUACAAGUUCUGGAUUUUGUGUUUAAUAUGUGUAUCUAAAGUUUAAGCCUUGGGUUUGGUUGAACUUUCUAUGAUUGUUAGUGUUUAUUAUUUGGUUAUUUGAUUGCUAUGAUUUGAGCAAGUUAUUUAGCACUUUGGCUUCUUAAAUCAUGAUUAAUCUGGUACCAUUGAUUGUGAUGAUCUAAGGUGUUGUUUCUGCAAUGAAAAUUGAGAUUUAACACUAGUUCAAGAAGUGCUAAACAUAGGGAGUACACUCACGAAAGUAGAGGUGCACUUAUGUGGUUUUUAGUGAUUUAUUUCAUGUAAUUUCACUGAAGAAAUGAACUUGUAGCUAAUUUCAUAACCAUGAGAAUAGGUAUGGAUUAGUUAUAAGUAUAAUUGAUUCACUACGAAAGUAGGAUUCAAAUGCAUAAGGAAAUUACACUAUAACUAGCCUAAAUGUAGUAUUCAAUGAUCCAAAUGUAGCACUUGCAUGAGUAGUUAGGGAUACCAUAACCUAAGGAGCUUUUAUUUGUUAUUUUGUAUAAUUUCAGUAGGUUAAAUUUCUUAUAAUUCAUUGAUAGUCUAAAUAAUAGAGAAGCUUUAGUAAUACCGGUAAUUGUUCACUCUUCCCUGUGGGAUCGACCCGAUAUAUACCCUAAACUACUAGUUGACCUGUAUACUUGCAGUGAACGGGUAUAAUUCGCUUUUUUAACUUGUACGUAUGUAAAAUACCCGUCAAGUUUUUGGCGCCGCUGCCGGGGAAGAUUUGGCAAUAUCGGUGUGAAAAGCAACUUUAUUAAUUUAGACAAUUUCACUUGUUUUUGUUGGUUAAGUGUCUUGUUUGUUUUGAGUCUUGUUGAGUCUUUUAUGUUUAAUGUCUUGUUUUUGUAUGUUUAAAGUCAUCUAUUCUUCUUGACUAAACUUGUUUUUGAGCUACUUUGAGAGCAUGUUUAGGGGAUCAAGGAGAGUAGAAAACAGGGGAGGACAAUGCUUGAGAAAUGGAGGUUUGACAAUGGAUGGUUACCAUGUGCAAAGCUCCUUCAAUAGAGGUAACCAAGAAUUUACUGAAUGUAUGUCUUUUGAAGAUGGUUUAAGGUGCUUAAAGGCAAAAUUUGAUGUAAUUAAGUUGCAAGUUCAAAUGGACACCAUGAUGCAUGAAAUUGAGCAGAGGAGGAAUGUUAAUGUUUUUAAUUCUUAUCAUGUGAUUUGUGACUUGUGUGGAGGUUAUCAUGCUACUAAUACAUGUAUGCAAGCACAAAAUGUGGAUUAUUAUGAUGAAUUAGAGCAUUACAAUCCUUGUUUUGAUCAAUAUAGUGCUAAUUGGAGCAAUUCUCCUGCUUAUGGUUGGAAUAAUCAAUGUACUUAUAGUGAUAAUUCAUGUUUUUAUGAUUACCAACCUGAAAGUGUCCAAUAUGAAUCAAAACCAUCUUGGGAGUUGGCAAUAGAAAGGCUAGCUAAUGCAUCUUUGCCUUGGGAGUUAGAAAGUGAACCAUUAGCUAAUGAUUCUAAUGCAUCUUGGGAGCUAGCUGUAGAAAAUUUUUCUAAUCAAUUUGAUUUAGCAUUAGAAAAGCUAGCAAAUGCAACUUUCGACCGUUUUGAUAGGAUUGAGGAAAGAAUAGAUGAAUUAGCUUCUCACUUUGGUCGAAUACAUGAGCAAUUGAGUGCAUUGUGUGAAGUUAUUUCCUCUAAUAAUUUGCAAAAUGAUCCUAGCAUGAAUGAUGGAAUGUUGUAUGUGAAAAUGGGUUGCAUUUUGAUGAAAAUGAUGAAUCUCAAGAGUGUUUCAAUGAGCAAAUGUCCAUUUCACAUGAUAAUAUCUUUGGAACUAACUUUGAAUCUCAAGAGGUGAGUUUUAAUGACUCAUUUUUCACCCCUCUUGAGGAGUGCAUGAAAGUACAGGUUUUAAAGUAUUCCUGCCCAAGAUACUUCAUGACAUUUCCUUUGGUAAGUUCUCAAGUGGUGCAUAUUCAUGGUAAUAUCUAUGAAACACUUGGAAUAUGUAAGUCACUUUCAUUUCUCACAUCAUUAGAUCUUGUGGCUUUUGCUAUAAAGUCACCUUUUAAUGAUCCACCACGGCCUAAAAUGGUGGAUUAUUCGUUAACUAAACCUCCUUGAAAAAUGAGGUGAAAUAGUCAAGCUAUUGACUUUAAAGAAGCGCUUAUUGGGAGGCAACCCAAUGCUUGUUUAAGUUAUGUUACUUUGGGUGAUUUUAUGUUUACAGUAUGUUUGAGUUAUUUUGAUGUUUUUCAUUUGUAGGUAUUGGAAAUGAAAGCAAAAGUGACCAAAUGAGGUGAAAAAGGCGAAAUUUGAUCAAGGAACUCAACCCCUCAAUUUGAGUAUUGUUGUUUUUGAUUGUUAGAAGGGGUUAAAAUGCAUAUUUUGAUCAUUUUACAUGUGCAUGCAUUGAGUAUUUUAGCAAACAAAUGAUUUAUGAUGCAUUUUGAGUGAUUGGGAUAUUAGUUGUAAAUUUUUAAAAGUUGAAUUUCUGCUAAAACGCAGCAGAAAACGCGUUUCUCAAGAAAACGCGCCUCUGAGUCGCGUGUUACAGAAUCGCGUUUUCAAUUCUGCACCUGCAGAACAGAAAACGCGCCAUUAAAACGCGACAUUAAGUCGCGUUUUGAAGGAAGUCGCGUUUUGUUGCCUGGAUCAAAGAUGAAAACGCGCCAUUGAAAACGCGACUUCAAGUCGCGUUUUCUCAUAGAACCGCGUUUUCAGUACUGCAACUUUUGGGAAGAAACGCGCCUUCAAAACCGCGAGUUAAAGGCGUUUCUACUCACGUUUUCUGAGCAUUUUUUUUAAAGAAAAAAUGCAGUUCCUUGAUUCUCUUUUUCUUCUUUUCCUCAUAUAUUUUCUUGUACCUUGAGUUGCUUAUUGUGUAUUUUUUAUAGGUACAUCACAAAACAAGGGCUUGAAGUUACGGAUAGCCGUUUUGAUGUCUUAAGCCUUUGUUAUCACUUUGGUUUCUCAUUUUCCAUUUUUAGGUUUAUAUCACUAAUGGUUACCAAAUGGAACUCAUGAAGUGAUGAAGACAGCGAACAACAUACCAUGAAGCUUCAUAUUCAAUCACAACAAUAGGAGUAUUACUUUUCUUUAUCUUGAUUUUCCUUUUUACACAUUGAGGACAAUGUGCAUGUUAAGUGUGGGGGGAUAAAUUGAGAUUAUAUACAUUGUAUGUGAUUGACUUAUUAGUUGCAAAUAUUGGACUUGUGUUAAAAUUCAAAUUUUUCUACAAUCUUGUCCAAAAUUGCAAACUUGCCCCAAAAAGUUUCAAUUUUUUCGAUUUUAUCCAAAGGGGUAACAAGUUCAUACCAUUAGUAGUUCAAAUUUCUUCUACAUUUGAGAUAAAUAUAUGUAAUUUGGAAACUUCUUUUUCAUUUAACUUGGAAAUGACUAUUAUGUGAUUAUAAUUUUUGCAUUUGUAGGAAAGUAUAUCUUUUAAAGUGGAGAAAAUUAUGCCUAUAUUUUUUUGCAUAUUUGAUGAAAUUUCUUCUCUUUAUUGGAUUUUAUAAGUUAAGUGAUAAAUAUGGUCAAUAAGUGCAAUACUCUUCUCAUGAUUAUUCUUUUGAGGAAUUUAUUAUUAUCUUUGCUGUAAAAAGAAAAAAAAGUGGAAAGAAAAAAAAAGAAAAAAAUAAGAUUUAUUCUACUCCAAUGAUUCUCGUACUUAGUAACCGGGAGUCUUCAUCUAAAAUGUCGACUUUCGCGUAAAACGGUACUUGAAUUAAGAGUAUGCAAAGCAACUUGAGUAUGUGAAGUGUUGAGUAACCGGUGAUCUUCAUCUAAAAAUGUGAUCCUCGCGUAAAAAGAUACUUUCACAACUUAAGUAAUAUUUAGCUAUAUUAUAUAAAUAAAUCCCUUUAAGUUAAAUAAGAAGAUGAUCAUGAGUUUAGGAAGCAUAUUAUUGACCAUAUGAGUUACUUACUUGUAAGAUUGGGUAAGGAUGAAAAAUUGAUUUGAAUUUGUUAUAAUGACGGUAUAAUUGGCUCUCCUUUACUUGAUAUUAUGAGUACUUGAACUUAAUUGAAUAAUUGCAUAAUGGUUAUUUACUUUGUUUUAGGAAAUGAAGUUGAAAUGCUACAUAUGUUUAUUUUCAAAUUUUGGAUCAUUGUUGGUUUGUAUUUCUUAUUGCUUGAGGACAAGCAAUGAUUCAAGUGUGGGGGUAUUUGAUAAGAGUUUAUUUUACGUAUUUUUAGUGUGUUUUAUUAGUUAAUUUUGGUUUGAUUAUUUAGUUUUAUAACUAAAAUAACUAAGGUUUUGGUAAAAAACUACAUUUUUGUUAAAGUGGCUAAACAUUGCAUUUUAUGGAUUUUUAUGGUAAAACUUCAUAUUUUGUAGGUUUAAUGAUUCAAUCAUCAAAUGAAGUGCAUUGAGAAGAUAUUUGGAUGAUUGAAGAUGGAUUAAAGUGGUGAAAAUAAAAUAUGAAGUGUAAAAGGAAAAAUGCAAUUUGAAUCAAGAAAAGUCAGGUUUUGACAACUCAGACAUAUUUUCGUAUUUUGACUAUAUCUGGAGCUACACAGAUCGGAUCAAGGUGAUCUUGGUACCAUUUGAAGCUAAGAGAUAUAUCUACAUUUGGUAUGAAGACAUAAAGUCCAAUUCAGCCGUUUUCAUAGUCCAAAAGUUGAAAUACCGAAAUUCAACUCAGCUGUCCAAAGUGGAAAACAGAGCUCUGACCAGUGUUUAGUAUUUCGAUCAUAUCUCAGGCUACAAAGCUCAGAUUUGGAUGAUUCUUGAAGCAUUGGAAAGCUAACUCAAAGGGAUACAACUUUUGUGUUUUACACAAAACCAGUUCGGCCUUUAUGAUAGAGAAAAUUGCAGGAAGUAAGGACAAAGUGAAUACGCGAGUACACAAAACGUGACUUGUAACCGCGUUUUGUGUAGGCGCGUUUUCUGGCCGAAAUUCUGCAAUUUUUCAGUCAACUCUCUUGUGUUCAGACUACUUUCCAGCUGUAAGUUGCAAGUGAAUUCGGUGCACAUGCUUCAGAAGACAAAAAGAGCAUACAAUAUGGCUUAUUCCAAGUCAAAAGUCAUUAUUUUUUUGACUUUAACAAAUUCAGAUUUGGAGAAUCAUAGCAGAAAUUUUGGACCAGUGGAAAGGCACCUGAUAUCAGUUUUAUAUAGAACAAUCAGAGGGAGAAAAAAAGGAGAAACAUACGGGAGAGAGCUUGAAGUGCAGAAAUGUAGUUCUUCCAUUUCCUUUGUGUAGGAUAGUUUAGCUAGUGUAGUUCAUCCAUUCUUGUAUAUUGCUAGACUAGGAUUAAGAUGGAGAUGAAGAAGCAAGGUGAUGAGCUCAAGUGACAUGGGUUGUAUUCCUUUCCAAACUCUUUAUCUUUGUAUUUGAUUCCAAGUUUAGUUAAUAGACAAGUUCUGGAUUUUGUGUUUAAUAUGUGUAUCUAAAGUUUAAGCCUUGGGUUUGGUUGAACUUUCUAUGAUUGUUAGUGUUUAUUAUUUGGUUAUUUGAUUGCUAUGAUUUGAGCAAGUUAUUUAGCACUUUGGCUUCUUAAAUCAUGAUUAAUCUGGUACCAUUGAUUGUGAUAUCUAAGGUGUUGUUUCUGCAAUGAAAAUUGAGAUUUAACACUAGUUCAAGAAGUGCUAAACAUAGGGAGUACACUCACGAAAGUAGAGGUGCACUAUGUGGUUUUUAGUGAUUUAUUUCAUGUAAUUUCACUGAAGAAAUGAACUUGUAGCUAAUUUCAUAACCAUGAGAAUAGGUAUGGAUUAGUUAUAAGUAUAAUUGAUUCACUACGAAAGUAGGAUUCAAAUGCAUAAGGAAAUUACACUAUAACUAGCCUAAAUGUAGUAUUCAAUGAUCCAAAUGUAGCACUUGCAUGAGUAGUUAGGGAUACCAUAACCUAAGGAGCUUUUAUUUGUUAUUUUGUAUAAUUUCAGUAGGUUAAAUUUCUUAUAAUUCAUUGAUAGUCUAAAUAAUAGAGAAGCUUUAGUAAUACCGGUAAUUGUUCACUCUUCCCUGUGGGAUCGACCCGAUAUAUACCCUAAACUACUAGUUGACCUGUAUACUUGCAGUGAACGGGUGUAAUUCGGUUUUUUAACUUGUACGUAUGUAAAAUACCCGUCAAAAUUAAAGCAAAUGAGAGGAAAACUCAUGGUACUUAUGUACCUAAAUUGGCUUCUAAUUACUUAAUAUUGUCUUCACAAAUAUUUUAAAAACUAUAAAAUUUGAGGGACUGGUGUAGUGGAAUAAAAUUUAAUUUACAAAUAACCUAAAGUUUAAUUGUUUAAAAAGGGGACCAAUGGAGUACUCCUAAGCCAUAACCUUAGAAUCUUGAGUGGAAAGUGAUUUAAUACUAAAAUAAAUAUUUUAUAAAUUAUUAACUUGAAGAAUACGUAUGUUCUUGAUUUAAAAUAAUAAAGUUAAUAAGUCUUGAAAUAAAUUGGGGAAUAAAUAUUGAGUAUAUUUUGUAUUUUAAGGUCAAACUUAAUUUUAAUAAUUUAAACGAUAAAGUAGAAUAAAUAUUGAAUAGGUUAUAUUUUAUAUUUUACAGUCAAACCUAAUUUGAAUAAUUUAACUAAUAGGUGAACAUCUACAAAUUGUAAAUUUACCAUGGAAUUAUAUAUUUAUCUCAGAAGUAGCUGCGAGCCAGGAAACGAACCCGAGGUUCGAGAGUAAAUUAUUUGGAUAAUUGGUGAGUGUUUUCCAAAUUUAUAUGUUUAAAUGUCUAUGUGUAUCUAAGUGAAAUAAUGUGACAAAUGUGCUUAUCAUGAAUCAUUACUAAAUGAUUUCUUGUGAAAUGCAUCUCAAUUGUCCCUCGUCUUCUAAGUUGAGGGUGUACUUUAUCGCACUCGACUUAGUUGAAUUUGAAGGUCGAUAAUUGACUGAAUGUUACUGUAAGUGUGCAUGAGUGUAAGCCGUCUGUGUGCCUCGCCGCAUCAGCUGAACUGCACCCCAAAACUCUCUGUUCAACGGACUAUUCGAGCCAGCAAAGGGUUUGGUCAAAUAGGACAGUAGCUUUGGGUAAAUGUUUCGGUAUACUCGAGUAUUACCAUGAGGUUGGGAAAUUAUUGAACUGAUUACUGAAUGUAGGGGAUUGGUUAUUGUUUUAGAAGACAUAAGAAGGCGAAGUGGCGGAAUAUGCAAUGAUAUUGAAAUGAAUGUACAAUGACAGUGAAAUGAGUGUCUCUUGACACUGAAAUGAAUACUCAAUGACAUUGAAGUGGCUCUAAUGCGAGUACCGUAUUCUUUUAAAAGUGAUUGUUUAGUGAAGUGUUUCCUCAAUUGCUUAAUGAAAAUGAUUGUACAGUAAAAUGUGCACUACUUGCUUAAUUAUACUGAUUUAAAUGUUUAUUAAAUGUUACUUGAUCGGCAAACCUUACUGAGUUUUAGCUCAACUUUUAGUUUUGUUUUCCUUACAGGGAUUAGAGGUCGGGGAUCGAACGAGGGAAUUUAGGGAUUUAUCAUGAAGACUUUACCAUUGUGAUUAGUAUCUUAAUAAGGUAGGCAUUUUGUAUCGAUCGAAGUAUUGUAAAAGAAUGUGAACGGUUGUUUUGGUUUAUCGAAAUGUUAUCUCUGGAGUUAAUGGAAAUUAUCAAAUGGUUAUCUUUGAAAUUAAUGUGAAAUCAAUGAGUCCUGAUGAGAGUCAGACAGACGAUCCGCUAACUUUUAGGGUAUACCCUAUAAAAAGUGGGAUCGUCACAUUUAUAACAUCAUGAUGAUCUAAUUAUGAUAGUUUUUCUAUUUUUCAUAAUGACGAACCUUGCAUUUGGCACCUCUCCAUUUCCCGGUUUUAGAUAUUUGACACUUGUCCUGCAGUGUUUGAAGAGAUAAGAUUUAUUUACUAAACUAGAUUUUAAACCUUAGUUAACUAACUUCAAAAUGCCCAAAUUAGUAGGAGCAAAAUUUUAGGCUUUCUUCCCGUGUUCAUCUAAUCAUCUUCUUGAUUUUAUUGUUCCACCGUAGAAAAACCCUGGACAUUGUCAGCUCUUCGAAAUUCUGAAACUCAAUAGCAAAAUUCAGUUUCACUAUAGUGCUUUUGAAGAUGUUAAAAAUUUUUAUGUGCAGAAUAUGUAUAUAUUGUGCAUCAAGAAACAUGUUAAUCGGCAGCUAUAUAAUUAGAAUACCCAGUCCUUUUGGAGCUUAUUCCAGAGACUCAAGUUCUAAGAUCAUCAACUGAUUAUAUAAGCAAGAAAACCGACAAUGAAAUAAGAUAAAAAGUUGAGAACAACAUGAUUAAUCUGAAUAUUUUCUUUGAGAACUUUUUCAAAAUUUUCAAAACAAAAAAUUCCCUUUCACGUAACAAAAACAUAACCAAUUCACUGCAAUUUGAGAAAAAGAUGCAAGAUCAUGAUUUGGGCAGAAUAUAACUGUAACAAUAUGAACUUAAAUUAUUUUUUCUUUUCCCAUGAAAUUUCAUGAUUUGAUUUUUCCUUCUUUUUUUUUCUCCCAUAUAAAUUUUGAUUGGAAAAGGUUUGGCUUUUUUUCAAAUCCUCCAAAUUACGGUAAAUAUGGUACGUUAAAUUGUGCGUAACCAAGGUUAAGAUGCUGGUUACAAGCAAAAGAAAUCCUGGACAUUGGAUUUAGAUUGAACACACGUCAAAAUCGUAAUGCUAUAUCGAGGAGAACUAGAGAAAAUAAGUAACGAAGAGGAGCCGGAUCCGCUUGACAAUGACCCAUAUCCUAUCCUAGCAUAUCCUUCCUAUCCAAGUUCAAACAAAUUGAUUUAGGAUUUGAUAAGGUCUUGAAAUUUAUUUGGUGGCGUGUAAAUUAGUAUGCUCUGUUUUCUAAGUACAUAAUUUAUGAGACAAGAUUUGGGAGUAGGUAGGCGUGUGUCUUUCAUAAGAGAAGAUUGUCAAAUUACUAUAACUAUAUGGAUAUAUCUUUUAUGCACUAAUAAGAUAUACAUUAGAGGGUCUAGAUGCAUGCCAUGUAUAUAAAGUUUGACAUUCAAAUUCAAAUUCAAAUUAGAUGAUGUGGCUAUAUCCAACCCCAUCAACAUAUAUACUUAGAGUAUAAGAAAGAUUAAGAUUUUGUUUUGCUGAUUCCAAAGGCUUAACUAUAGUAAUACAAUAUUUGAUUUAUUUCUUGUCCCUAUCUGGCAUCUUGCUCACUUAGAUGCAGUCUUAACCGAUCCAAACAAUUGUAUUUUUUGAUUCUUUAGCACCCAUAAAUUUUUUCCGAGCUCUGAGUUGGCUUAGUUGGUGGGUACUGCAUAGAAAUACCCAAGAGGAUUGGGGACCUAAUACAAUCCCCAUCAACAUGUAUACUUACAUUAUAAGAAAGAUUAAGGGUCUAUUUGAUAACAUAAAAAUGUGUUGAAUCUGAAUUGUUUCAGACAUUCAGAUGUUUUGAGUGUUUGAUAAAUGAAAAUCUAUUUGCUGAAUUUAUUAAGCAGUGCUGAACUUGUGUAUAUUUUUUAGCACAAGAAUCCUAACUGAAUGCUUAAUUUUGAUAAGAAUCAAUAGAAUUACUUCAACUACCUUAUCUUAUCUACCAAAUCUACCAUUGUUUGUUAAUUAUGUUCAAAAUUCUUAUCUAAUUAAACAACCUAAUAUUCUCUAUCUAACGAUUUUUAGCUUCUUUUCUCCCUUUUUAAUGACUUUCACAUCUUCUCCAUACUCCUCAUAUAAUAUAUUUCAUCUUUUAUAUUAAUUUGAUUUAAAAAUAAAUAUUAUCAUUUUCAUACCUAACAAAUUUAAACUAAUUAAAUUAUAGAUUCUAUUCUUUUUUGAAUGAAAGGAUAUAAGAGCAAAAUUGUCAAAUUAAACUUAUUAAGCAUUCAGUUAUAAAUAUUUAUCAAACAGUAUAAAUAGGUUUAACAUUAAAAUUCAGACAUUCAUAUAUUUUUUUCAGUGUUUAAAAUUGAACAAAUUAAUUGUUUCAGUAUUCAGAUUUCAAAAUUCAGAUUCAGUUUUAUCAAACGGAACUUAAGAUUUUGUUUUGCUGAUUCCAGAGGCUUAACUAUAGUAAUACAAUAUUUGAUUUAUUUCUUGUCCCUACCUGGCAUCUUGCUCACUUUGAUGCAGUCUUAACUGAUCCAAACAAUUGUAUUUGGUUAACAUGAUGCUUUCUCCACAUCGAUUCUUUAGUACCCAUGAAUUUUUCCAAGCUCUGAGUUGGCUUGGUGGUACUGCAUAGAAAUACCCAAGAGGAUUGAGGACCUAACACAAAUUUGUUAUUGGGCAUUUUUAUGUGGUAGUUGCAGUUGUUGAUCACAUUUUUUUUUCCUAAUGUAAGCGUUGUUGGAGGAGGGGGGUUUUGAAUUCGAACCCUUCACUUACACUCCCUUUUCCAAAUCACCCAAUCAAUCCUUCCUCUUAAUCGCAUGGUUCUGAUAGCUUUCACGUCCAUGGAUUUUUAAUCUGGAUAUCUCAGAGUCGGAUUCUGAUCUUUGGUAGUAUUUGAAAAGUUUUCAGAUUGUACCCAAAAAAAAAAGGUUAAAAUAUACCCAAUUUCUUUUGUUUUAACUCUUCUUUUUCUUUUCCAUUUUUUCCAUUUUUUUUUUCAUACAGUCCUCUAUGUACUUUGAGGUAAGUAACCAGAACGCAGCAAUGGUGCCGUGCCACGAAGCCCUCACCAGCAACUGCUGCCCACCGCCAUUAGGUCCCGAAACUUAAGAAUAUUUUCAGGAUAAACUAUCCUUUUUGCGUACAUUGUGAUUUCGGAGUCCAAUUUGGCCUCCGAAAUUAAUCUAGCCUCUUUUUCUGCAUAAAUCACUGGCAGUUCUCAUAAAAUUAACACAAGGACAAUUCUAGAAUCAAUGACUUCUUUUCCUCUCUACUUCUUUUCUUCUCUAAUUUCUCUCUAUUUUUCUUCUCUUCUCAAAGGUCUUCUCUUGGGUAGGGAGACAACACCUUGAUCUCCCUAUCAGCAAUUUUGUUUUAUUUUAUUUUUCUGAUAAAGUCUCUUCUAAUUUUUUUAGCGAGUGUUUUUUAUUUCUUUUAGGAAUUGCUAGUGAGAAUUUUCUAUUCUCUAGGGGUUUAUGUAUGAGAUUUUUAUCUUUUGUUGUUAGAACCAAAUUUAUUUCAAAUCUGAUUGGCAAAUCUAAUUGUAUAUCUAUAAUUUUCAGUGCAUGCUUGACUUGAUAUUAGGGCAAUUUUAUAAAUCAAAUCAUACUGAAUGAUUUCUGACAAAUUGUUAAUGAAAUAAUUUUUUUAUCCAAAAAAAAAAACACAAGGACAAUCCUGAGAAGUCAUAGAACAUUUAUUUAGUACCAAUUUAACACAGUAAAGCAUAGAUAAACAUGAAUUUAAGGCAAAAUUGAAAUUCAUUUGAGAACCUCCAUUACUCCUUUGACCCUCAAACCCCUCAAAAUUUAGGCAAGGAAAUCAUCUUUUAAGGCGUACAUUGACUAGAUUCGUGUCUAAAUUGGACUAGACUCCUCUAUAUUGAAUUGGAGAAAAGUUGUCGUCUCCAUUACAUCACCAUAAAUUUAAUUCAAACACUAUUUCAAAAAUUAAUAUCGUUCAUGAUAUAUUUCAUAACUUGUAUUAAUUAUACGUAAAAUUUUGUAUGAAGUUAACAAAGUUUUGUCAUUUGAUUAUUCAUUACCUAAUUUUCUUCCAAUUUUAGCCCAUUUUCAAUGUCUCCAAAUGUUUCAUGUAACUUAAUGCCAAAAUAUUCUCAAAAGAAUAUCAUUUUUUUCAUAUAUUGAUCUAAAGAUCCAAAGAAAAGUAAUGACAUAAUCAAAUGAUUUAUAAAAUACAGUAAUCAAAUGACAUAAUCAAAUUACAGUAACUUAGAUAUAAAUAAAUAAAGAGAUCAAUAUCAAGAGAUUCGACAGAAAGGGUCCUAACCGUCUAAAUUGGCAAACAACAAACCAAAAUCACAUCCAAAAUCAAAUUCCUAUCUUUUUUCACCUGGGUUUUUUCCUUUCUGCUUUGGGAUAUAGUGAUGGCAAAACAGAAAUGAAGAUGGUGGUCACGAAAAAAAUAAUGUUUUUAAACUUGGACCGGUCAGUGAACCGAGAGGGGGCAGGUUUGCGGUCUGACCGGUCCGACCAACUAGUUCAUCGGUUUUCUUUUUUUUUUUUUUUUUUGUUGCAACUUUAGUGUUAAGUAUUUCAUAGGUUUUCAUUCUACACUAGAACUUGACACCUAAUGUACAAUUUAACAUGGUUAUUGAUAACUUAAGUUUUUAAAAUGCAUUUGCAACAUAACUAAAUUUAAGUUGAGAUAAUAACAACUUUUCAAAAAUUAUACAUGAAACUUAGAAUGAUAAACAUAAUUAAAAUAUCAUAAUUCACCACAAGUUUUCAUAAAUUCAUUACAAACAUGAAUAGAUACAAUCUAAAUGUUCAGCAUUAUCACAAAUAAAAUCACAAAAUAAUAAAAUAAAUAUUGAAAUUCUUUUACAAUCCUUAAAAAAGUCCAACUCAUAUUCAAGACAAACCAUUUGAAUAACAACUUCCAUUAAUGGAAUGAUAAGCAAUAACACACCUUUACAAUUGCAUCAACUUAACCUGAAAAGUUAAAAUUUUAUUAUAUAAAUAUAAAUCUAAUUGCUCAAUGAGGGAUUUUUAUAUCAAUGCAAGUUUAUUUCCGAACUUUACCCGUUGGACUGCAAGUAUACAGGUCACUUAGUAGUUUGGACAAAUAUCAGGUCAAUCCCACAAGGAGAAAGUUAAACAAAUACUAGACCCUUAUUUUCUCUAUUAUUUAGAUUUAAAAUGAAUCUGAACAAGAAGAUUUAUAAUGCCACUGUCUACAAAUCCAAUUUAAUAAAUGCUAAAUACAAAUGGAGAAAUUUCAUCAAAUUGAAUUUAGGGAUUUAGAUUCCACUUAUGGCAUAAACAACACAAAUGAAUAGAUUUACCUCUUGUUAUUAUUUUUGUUUAACCAGGGAUUCAUUUCCAAUAUUACAAAAUCUCAUUCUCAUGAUAAAAUAGCCUAAAGCAGUCCAGUUUUCCCUAUUUUCGUGUGUGAAAUACUAGUUUUACUCUGUUUUCCUUCAUGAAUGCUAGAUAAUCCACUUAAGUGUACCUCUAUUUUCAUGAACAUACAACUCAAGCUCUACUCAUGUUUUUUCAUUGUUACUACUAAUUCUCAUUGACUAAUAAAACUAUAAACAUGCUAUUGGUGAUCAAACAACAACAAGUAAUUACAACUGCACAAAUAGACAAGUUAAUACAAAAUACAACAAGUGUAAAUCACAUUCAAUUCAUACACUUAAUCAUAAGUUUCAUCUACUCCCUAGAUAAAGAAAUUUAGCUACUCAUGAAUGAUAUAACAAUCAAACUCACAAGUUUAUUAAUAUAAAACAUCAUAAAGUACAAGUACAAGAAAGAUAAAGAAAAGCUUAGCCAAUUAAUGGUGAAACCCUCCAAAUUCUGUUAUGUCUUGUACAAGAUGAUUACAAGUGAAGUCUUCAAGUUCUUCCUCCAGAACUUCUAGCUAGAGAAAAAAAAUUGUUUUCCAGAAAGAAAAACUAACUACGUAUGGUGAUGCCUAGCUUCUCCCUGUUUCUCUACAUAAAAGGGUGGAAAGCACCUUUUUCUCCUUCAUGAUUCCAACAACUAAGAUUUUGUUAAAGAAAGUCAAAAGAUAUGUUGUUUUGACUUGUCAAUAACUCAUUUUGCCUUUCUUUUUGUUGCAGAAGCAUGUCACCGAAUUCUCUCACCAAAGAUGGCUGGAAAGUUGUGUGAAAAGUAAGAAAACCGGUUGUGCCACUUGCAGCAGAGAGAGACAGAUCCGAGGGCUUCAGUAAGAUCCGAGCUCGGAUCAUUGCGGAUCUGAGGCCUUUCUCAAAUGGAUCGAGCUCGGAUCAACUGACCUCAGAUCCAUUAUUCCAAAAAUACACACGAGGGCUCAGAUCAAUCUUGUUGCACACGGAUUUGGGCUCGGAUCCGUGUGAUCAUUUUCCAGAUUUUUGGUUCCUUCCUUUUUCUUUAUUUUUUUUGCUCCUAGUUUUUGUAUUUUAUCCUCCAAAUGAUCCUUGCUCUUUCUUUAUCUUGUACAUGAAGUUCACAUGUCAAUAUCCUUCAAAAUAUCACAGAUUAAAGCAUUAAUCCACUCAUUUAGCAAGUUUGAUUAUUCAAACAACUUUUAAGCAAUUUGCACCAAAAAGAGUUCAAAUAUGGCUUUAAUUCUCUUGAAACAUAACAAAAGUUCAUGCCAAACUUGUACAAAAUGUACAUUAAAUAUUCACUUAUCAAAUUCUCCCACACUUGAAUCAUUGCUUUUCUCAAGCAAUUCACUCAUAAUUAGCUUCAUUGAUUCAAAAGAAAUGAAACAAUACAUGUACUUUUGUCAAAUUUAAUUCCUUAUGAUUGGAAAUCAAUCAUUAUGUCAUUGUUCAAAAUUGCACUAAAUACUCAUAAUAUCAAGUAAAGAAAAGAUAAUUAUGCCCUAAUUUUAACAAAUUCAACUUAAUCUCUCAUCCUAACCUAAUUCACAAAUAAGCAACUUACAUAGUCAAUUUAUUGUCUUUCUCCUCCUAUAAUCAUCUUUUCUCAAAAUUUUACAACUAAGAGGGGCUUAUUCUUACUUGAUUUUACUUAAAUAGUGAAAAUGCCUUUUGACGCAAAAAUCGACACUUUUAGGUGAAGAUUCUCGUUACUCAACAUUUCACUUAUUUAAAUUGCUAUGCAUACUCUUAAUUCAAAUACCUUUUUACGCAAAUGUCGAUAUUUGUAGAUGCCAACCCCGGUUAUUCGGUACAAGAAUCAUUGAAGUAGAACAAUUUUUUUAUUUUCUUUUAUAUAUUUUUUAUUAGAAAAAAAUAGAUUUUUCCUCAUAGAAAAUUAUAGUAUAACCUUUUAUAAACUAUAUCAAUCACUUAUUUGGAAAAUUAAGUAAAGAGGAGAAAUAUCGUUAAACAUGCAAAAUUAUAGGCAUAAUUUUCCUUACUUAAUUGGAUAUAUUUUCUAAAAUGCAAAAAUUCUAAUUGCAUAAUAACCAAUUCCAAGUUAACUGAGGAUUAAAUCUUCCCAAAAUACAUAUAACAUUUCAACAAAUGGAAGAAUUAGACAUUCAGGUUGGAACAAUUUGGCCCACAAAAGUGCAAAUAUUUGAGAUAUUUUGGCUAUAAUGAAAUAUUGGAAAUUUUUUGGAAAAAUUUUGACAGAGUUUCCCCUUAUAAAUGGACAAAACUCCCUGUCAACAUUCCCAAUUUCAAGAAAAUUAUCCACAUAUCAAUAUUUCCAAAUAUAAUUCCAAUAUUUCUAAACAACAAUGAACUGAAAACAUGCACUUCAAGACCACAAUCAAGGCAUAAGGUAAAAAACCCUCCCCCACACUUAAAAUUCAUAGUGUCCUCAUUGUGAAAGAAAGGAAAAGAAACUAGUACUCCCCUAUAAAGAAGUGGUGAUGCAAUUUGAAGCCACGCAUCACGAACAACCAAAUUCUAUUCAAACCGAAACAAGGGAUAAGGUGAACAUAAGGAGCACAAGAUUAACAAAAGAAAUGAAGACUUCGAGGUUUAAACAUAAGAAAAGCAAGAAAAACAAAAGACUUGAAAGCUAUUAUGUUCACAACAAAAGAAACAUCAUGAGAGGGAUCUUCACGGCUGUGUAGAAUGAGGAUCAACGCGCUCAGUAGCACCUUGUGGCCCAUGGGAUGUGCCAAUGUGACCUUCCUCAGUGGUAGGCAUCAGAGAAGGCAAACGACGUAUAUGAAAAUGAUCCUCAAUGCUCGAAGACGUCGAUCAUGCCUCUCCAAUCUCUCUGUGAGUAUACGCUCGUGUUGGUCAAUACGCUCCAUGACUCUGGUCUCCAUGUAGCAGAUGGCAUUGAGAAUCUCUUGCCACCGAGACCUCGAGGGAGGGGGUGGAGGUGAAAUGGGAGUAAGUGGAGUUAGCUGUGCCUCCAUUUCUUGAGCUUCCGAUCGUGGUAUAGGAUGAGGUGGAGGCUGAGCAGAGUAGAAGCUUCACCAGUGUUGCGAACCAAAGAAGCGCCAAAGUCUGUUGGAAUACCCAAGGACUUGAGUAAUGAAACAUUGACUUCAUCGGCAGCCUUAGUGGCAAUGGCUCGCUCGACUCCUAGAGGAACCUUGAGCUUCUCAAAAAGAAGGGAUAGAAGACAAGGAAAUCCAAAACAGGUUUCGCGGCCCUCGUGCGAGCUGUGGUACGCAUAUAGCUAAUAAUGAUGCUGCCGAGAGAAAUUCCUGUCAACUGCCAACUUAUUCCAUUCAUCAUCUUAUCCAAAAAGUAUAAGCCGCUAUUUCGGACCUCCCUUUUACCACUUCUCUUAGGUAUCACAUUAAAGGCAAAGAGAUAGAAAAUAAGGUGGUACCUAGGCUCAAAUGAAUCGGCAUAAAUGAGGAGCUUCUUUGAACUUUCUCAUUCAUGGUAUUAACCCUUAAGAUGUGAUACGACUUCCCCGACUUGCCAUGGAUCAUGUGUAUUAAAUUCCUUGGUCAAUUUAACAUCCACUCCCUCGUCCUUGAGUUUGACAAAUCAAGCGAUUGUCUCCCAGGUGAUGGCCACUCUCUUGUCUCGAACCCAAGAGACAAUGAGAUUCCCACUAUGGCUCUGCUUGUCGUCCACAUUAGCAUAAAAUUCUCGGACCAAGUUGGGGUAGUAAUGCCGAGACAACUUCAGAAUAUUGGCCUAUCCGAGUUGACCAAAGGUGGUGGACACCUUGUAAUGAUUGUCCACCUCAGGUGCCAACUGCUUCUCAAUUAUGAUCUCCUUGUCCAAUCCGGUUUCAUACCACUGUUGGUUUUCGAGCCAAGUGAAUCGCGUGGUAUCAUAGUUCGGAGAUGGCUCCUCAUGGCUAGUAGAUGUUUUUUUCGUCGUGAGCGAGGCAGUGACUCAAGUGAGGAAGAUUCUUCCACGGGAGAAAGGGACUCCUCAAGUACCGAGGAGUAUGCUCUUCACUUGAAGAAGGUCUUCUUGAGACAUGUUUUCCAGUCUAGAAAGAUGAUCAGCGACUAAGUUCUCGGAUCCUUUUUUAUCUUUGAUCUCAAUUCAAAUUCCUACAAUAAUAAAAUCCAUCGAAAUAGUCGAGAUUUUGCAUCUUUCUUAUUUAAGAGAUAUUUGAGCUGCUGCAUGGUCGGUAUAAAUGAUGACUUUAGAUUCUACUAAGUACGAUCUAAACUUAUCCAAUGCAAAUAUCAUUGCUAACAACUCCUUCUCUGUUGUUGCAUAAUUGACUUGAGUUUCAUUUAUCAUUUUACUUGCUUAAUAAAUGACAUGAAGUUGCCUAUCAUGCUUUUGCCCAAGAACAGCUCCAACUAUAAAAUCACUCGCAUCACACAUCAAUUCGAAUGGCAAGCUCCAAUCCGGUGAUGCUAUUAUUGGUGCGGAGACAAGUUCCUUCUUCAACCUAUUAAAAGCAAAUAAAUACUCAUCAUUAAAGUGAAAAGGAACAUUUUUUUGCAAGUAAUUCACAUAAAAGUUUAGCAAUCUUGGAGAAAUCCUUAAUAAAUCAUCGAUAAAAUCCCACGUGUCCAAGAAAGUUUCGAAUGCCUUUCAUAUUGGUAGGUGGAGGCAUUCUCUCAAUAACCUCUAUCUUGGCUUGAUUUAUCUCAGUAUCUUGUGAAGAAAUUUUGUGCCCUAGAAUAAUACCCUCAUAAACCAUAAAGUGACAUUUUUUCCAAUUGAGUACAAGAUUUGUUUUUUCACAUCUCUGCAAAAUUAAAUCUAAAUUGUUAAGACAAUGAUCAUAAGUAGAUCCAAAUACAGAAAGGUCAUCCAUGAAAAUUUUCAUGAUUUUCUCAUUAAAGUCGGAGAAAAUUGCCAUCAUGCAACAUUGGAAAGUGGCCGGCGCAUUGUACAGUCCAAAAGGCAUUUUUCGAAAUACAAAAGUGCCGUAGGGACAGGUGAAUGUGAUUUUCUCUUGAUCUUCCGGUGCAAUGACUAUUUGAUUGUAUUAUGAAAAACCAUUCAAGAAACAAUAAAAUUCAUAACCAGCCAACAUUUCUACCAUUUGAUCAAGAAAAGAAAAAGGAAAAUGAUCCUUUUUAAUAUCUGCAUUUAGUUUUUUAUAAUUAAUACAAACUCGCCCCCAACUAUAACUCUAGAAGGAAUCAUUUCAUCAUUUUUACCACAUACUAUGAUUAUUCCCCCUUCUUUGGCACUACAUAAAUAGGAGAAAUUCAAACACUAUCAAAGAUUGAAAACAUUAUACCUGCAUCCAGCCAUUUAAGGAUUUCUACCCUUAUCACUUCUUUCAUGUUUGGAUUUAACCUUCUUUGAGUUUCAACAACCGGUUUAGAAUUUUCUUCUAACAAAAUCCGGUGCAUACAAAUAGUUAGACUAAUUCCCUUGAUAUCAGAAAUCAUCCAUCCUAUGGCCUUUAAAUGCUUCCUCAAAACACGUAAGAGCUUUCCUAGUUGUUCCUCAUCUAGUGCAGCAUUGACAAUCACUAGCAAUGUCUCAUUUUCUCAAAGAAAUGCAUAUGUGAGGUGUUUAGGAAAUGGCUUAAGCUCAAGCCAUGGAGUUUGCUCAUACGAUGGCGGAGGUAGCCCUUUGCUCAACCCUAACUCCUCAUACGCAUUGCUCCUUUUGUAAGGAACCUGUGCCUGCAAAAAUUCAAUCAUUUCUUCAAUUUGUUCCUCUUGUAAACCUACACCAUAAAAACAAAAUUCAAGAGAAUCAUCAUCAAGAUUAAUUUAACUCAUUUCUAAUACCAGUUCAUCAUAUAUGUCAACAGAAUAAACAUAGUCGGUAAAAGAGGGGUACUUCUCCACUUUACUCAAAUCAAACUCCACUUCCUCUUUACCAAUUUGGAACUUGAACUUACCACGUUUAACAUCUAUUAUAGUACCUGCAAUAGCCAGAAAUGGUCAGCUAAGAAUAAUAGGUACAUUAACAUCUUUCUCCAUAUCUAAAACAACAAAAUCAACAGGAAUAAUGAAUUUCUACAAUUUAAUAAGCACAUUCUCCAAUAUGCUCAUUGGAUUUUUAAUAGGCCUGUCAGCCAAUUGCAAGGAAAUGUUAGUACAUUUUAACUCUUUCAACCCCAAUAGCCUAGCCACAGUUAAAGGGAUAAAUGAAAUACUCGCACCAAGGUCAUAUAGUGCUUUAGAGAAUUCUACAUUACCAAUAGUGCAAGAAAUUGUGAAACUCUCUGGAUCUUUCAACUUUGGUGGCAAUUUAUUUUGUAUGAUGGCGCUAUAUUUUUCCGUUAAUGUAAUUGUUUCACUAUCUACUAACCUCCUUUUCUUAGUCAUUAUCUCCUUGUGAAACUUUGCGUAUGAAGGAAUCUGCAAAAUAGCAUCAACAAAAGGAAUGUUAAUAUGUAAUUGUUUGAAAAUGUUGACAAACUUCUCAAAUUCUUUGUCAGUUUUCGAAGGCUUCAAUUUUUAUGGAAAUGGCACCGGUGGAGGAAUUGGUGUUGUCUCUUCAAUUUGUGACUCACACUCUUCCACCUUUUCUUUCCCAUUAAUUUUCUUGCUAUCCUCUCCUAACUCACUCAACUACUUGUUUUCUCUUCUUUCAUAUUCUCUCUUACAUUCAACUACAGGCGGCUCACCUACUUCCUUACCACUACGGAUGGUUAUGGCCUUCACAUGCUCCCUUGGAUUUACCUCAGUCUUAUUAAGUAAAUCCCCUUGGUUGCGAUUCUUAACUGCAUUUGCUAUUUGCCCUAAUUGGAGCUCAACAUUCCUGUACAUAUUGGUGAGUUGGCCUAUCCUUCCCUUAAUUCUUUCAAACCGUUGAGUAGUGGCACUGGUUAACUUUUCAAUUUUAUCAUUUGAUACAUUUGCCAGCUUCUCAAUUGCCAAUUCCUAAGCUAGUUUGGACUCCGGAAGUGGUUGCUUUGGUUGAAAACCGGUGGAUUAACUGGUCUUUGUUGGUUCCCUUGAUCAUUCCAUCCAAAAUUCGGGUGAUUACGCCAUCCUGGAUUGUAGGUAUUGGAGUAUGGAUUAUUUUGGGGUGGACAGUUGUAAUUGUUGAGAUAUUGAACUUGUUCGCUGCUAGAACACAUAGAAUCAUCAUGAUUUCGGUCGCAAGUAGUAUAACAUGCAACUACUACUCCUUGAUUAGAGUUAGAACUAACAUGCCUAUUAAGCAUAUUAAUUACAUUAUUCAUCUUUAUAUUCAAGGUAUCUACUUCAAGCAUACUUGUGGCUCUCCUUGUAUUACCUCGUUCAUUGGUCCAUUGGUAGUUAUUAGCAGCCAUUUUUUCAAUCAAUUAUUGAACUUCCUCGACUGACUUUCCUAUCAAUGCUCCUCCCGCUACCGCAUCUACAUGCAUGUUUGUUGGAUAGGUGAGACUAUUGUAAAAUGUUUGGACUAUUAGCCAAUCUGGUAAACUAUGAUGAGGACAUCUUCGUUGCAAUUCCCGAUAGCGCUCCCAAAGUUCAUACAAUGUGUCUCCUUCCUGUUGAGAGAAACUAGUUAUAUCUAUUCUAAGCUUAGUAGUUUUUCCAAGUGAAAAAAAUUUAUUAAGAAAAGCCUUAGCUAAUUCAGCCCAAGUAGUAAAAGUAUUUUGAGGAUGAGAUUGUAACCAAACCUUGACCUUGUCCCUUAGCAAAAUGGAAACAAUCGAAGUUUAAUUCCAUCAUCACUAACACCAUUAAACUUAAUUGUAUCACAGAUUUCAAGAAAUGUUGACAAAUGAAAAUCUGGAUCUUUUGUAGCAUUACCUCCAUAUUUAGAUUGUUGAACCAUUUGAAUCAGUGAUGGUUUAAUUUCAAAAUUAUUAGCAUUUACCGUUGGCCUUGCGAUGCUAGUUUGAGAUCCUUGUGUCCCCAGUAAAGCAAAAUCUCGUAGAGCUCGCCUAUUUGGUUCGUUUUCCACCAUUUCUUCCUCAAACGGCGGCUCUAUCAAAAUUUCCUCUAUCGGCUGCCAAACCUCUGGUUCCUUUUGAUGCAGUAUAUGCCUCCUUUGUCUCCUUAUUGUCCUCUCAAUUUCUAGAUCGAAAGGUGCAACUUCUCGAUAUGUUUGGUGCAUACACUACAAAUAGAAAUAAAAGAAAUUAUGCAGCUUUAAUUGUCAAAAGCUAAAUUAAUGCAAAAUCAACUAUAAACAAUUUAAAUAAAAACAAUGGAAAUAUCUAAAUUAAUAGAGAUGAUUAGGCCCUAAUAUUGCCGCUCCCCGACAACGGUGCCAAAAACUUGACGAGAUUUUUAUAUCAAUGCAAGUUUAUUUCCGAACUUUACCCGUUGGACUAGUCCGAGUAUUCACUGAUUACCGGCACGUCCUCCAACUUAAUCUUUUCCCCUGGAGUGUUAAUUAGAAAAGCUAGAUAGCCGCGUGCCCCACGACUAAGCAAUUUCCUAGCCCUUAUUCCCGAAAUGAGCGCAGAUGAGGCUAACAUACCCCUCACGUCUAACUUCAAAGUUGCCUCACCUGGUAUACAAAACUCUACUACCUUCAUCCUACAAUCUAUCCGAGCACAGUAAUGGGCUAGCCAAUCCAUACAUAGAAUGACAUCGUACCCCUUAAUGGCUAGACUAAUGAGGUCUAUCACCAAUUUCCGCUCACCAAUCCAAAUAUUACAGUUUCUAUACACCUUAUUGACAAGUAAGGUUUGAUUAUCCGCAGGUGUUCUUACUUCUAAGUCAUAAGGUAGCCUUUCAACUUUCGUGUCAAUUCCAAGCAUAAACGUAGGGUUAAUAAAAGAAUGAGUAGCACCGGGAUCUAUCAAAAUUCUGGCUAACCGGUGAAAAACAAGGAUCGUACCUUCCACUACCUCCGUUGGUUCAGGUACGGAUUGUUGGUCCAGCGAAUAUACUCUGGCCGGUACCCUCGACCUGGACCCUCCAACAUUGGUUGGCCUUGGGUUUGACCUGGCAGUCGACUGAGUAUCACUGAUCAACGGGCAGUUGACUAUCUGGUGUUCCACACUUCCACACCUUAGGCAUUUUCGACCCUUUCUCCAGCACUCAUCCUCCGUAUGGUUCGAUUUCCCACAAUAUCCGCAUGUUACUCGAGGAGUAGAGGUCUGGCCUCCCUGUGGAAUUCCUCUACCUUGUCCCUGACCACCUUGGCCUCAUCUUUGGGCACCUCCUCUUGAUGCACUCGAAAACCGUCCACCUCCAGCCCGACGACCAGACUUGGCAGGUGGCAUAUUUCGAUCACUCCGCACUGACCCAUGGGCUCUACUAGAUACCCAUUUCCGUUUGGCGUGAAAAUUUCUCACUUGUGCCCUGGCAGUCUCUAUUCUUAGGGCCUUCUCCAAAACCUCCGUAAAUGUAUUAAUCUGAACUGCCGCCAAGGCUUCCUGUAUCUCCACAUUGAGCCCUUGCACGAAUCUCUGUACUCUUCUUUGCUCCGUAGCAAUCAGUUCAGGAGCAAAUUUUGACAAUUUCGUAAACUGAGUCUCAUACUCAGUUACAUUAGAAGUUCCCUACCGAAACUUAAUGAAAUCAUCCUCUUGCUUCUCCUGGAUGAUAGGCGGAAGGUAUUUUUCGUUAAACUCCCGUACAAAGUUUAACCAGGUCCAUGCAGUUCCCCCUCUCUCCCACUUGGCCCUAAUUACAUUCCACCAAGCUCUGGCUGGCCCUUCAAACUGGAAAACAGCGAACUGCACUUGUCUUUCCUCUGUAUAGUUUAAAACGGCAAAGAUAUUGAUCAUGGCCUUUAGCCAUUUCUCGGCUCUAUCCGGGUCGGGUCCUCCUAAGAACUUGGGUGGAGAGAAUUUCUGGAAUCUCUCUAAGGCCCUAUCUUGUCCAUUAUCAGGGUCCUAAGGUUGAUUUACAGGAAUUUGACUCUGUUGUUCCAUUAAACGGGCCAAAGUAUUGGUCAUUUGCUGGAUGGCAGUUGCUACUUGAUCUCCCCCUGCAGCCUGGGGUUCAAGUUGUGGCUCAAUCGUUGCCUCUCUCUCCUCUCUCGAUUCUGGCAUUGGUUCCUGUGCUUGUCUACCCCCACGACCCCGACUAGGACCGCGUCCUCAGUUAGUUUCCUUGGUUUGACUUCUUCUACCCUCCAUGUUUUGGAUUUAACCAACUAUAAACAUAUAAACAAGGUAAGGUAUAACUCGUACAACACAUUACAAAAGGAGAAAUAGAGGCAAUAGAACGCGUAAUAAACAAGUACUUUAUAUACAUAGCAAACAAGUCACAUAUACAUGCCAACUUAGGCAAGUUAAAGGUUAUACUAGUCAAGGAACAUAGAACAAAAGAAACCCUAUUUACAUCCACCGUGACACGUCAAAGUCAAAAACAAAAGAAAACGUGUCGUCCUACUAUGUUCCUAACUAUCCCACAAAAAUUUUCUCAGUCCUCAAUCCUAACAAAAAGUCGCUUGGCUAGACGCCGACCCAACCGACUCCGAGGAUGCACUCGGCUCCUCCUCUGGGUCCUCCUCAGGAUUCUUCUCCGGAUUCUCCUCAGGAGCACCAGGAACCUCAGGGGCUACAGGUGCUUGACCCUCAUCGGCCAAGUCCUGUAUCACAUCCUCCACCAGUGCCUCGCACUCGAUCAGGAUAUGGCCGGUCCGGUCUCUGAUAUCCUCAACUACUCGCAUGAGGUGUCCAGUCGUCGCCUGAGCCUGCUCGCGAAAAGCAUCAGUCCGCUGCUGCUCCUCCAACACUGAGACCUCCAAUUCUCGGAUCCUAGCUUCCUGGACUCGGAGAGUAGCCUGGAGACGCUCAAUCUCCGUUUGGCACCUACGAUUGGUGCUACCCAAUCGUCUCCGCUCAUCGUCCACGGCAAGCACUACUCGAUCAGAGUAGGAGUAGGUCUUCCAACAGUCGCAGCGUCGGAUCUUGCGCGCUGGGGACCACCGUUGCACCAGCCCACUGGGGCUCUCCUGGUAUGUGAUCACGCAACAAACGGGCCCCUCCAGAUGUGGCUCGUCAGUAGGUACGUCAGUAGGCACAGGCUAAGACGGCCCAGCACUCCCAGAGGCGUCAGUACCCGCCAUCACCUAAGUUUGCAAGUAACAUUGCAAAAGUAAGUACACGAGACAUAGAAAACAAAGCUAAAGGCUAAACUCAAGAACAAAACCCUAGCCUAUCGUAUCAAAUACUCAAUCUAUCCAGAUCAAUUCACAACCUAGACUCUGAUAUCACCUGUGACGACCCCACCUCUCCCUAAGGCGUACCAAAGGGUUUGGCGGACCGCCUGCCCAACUCUCGCCAGGACUCACUCACUCGAAUCACGUGUAUACAUCCAUGGACCAUAAAUAACAUCGCGAUUCAAUCUUAUAAUUUACAUUGAUAUAAGAUCAAGGUACAAAGCCUCAAUAUACCCCAAACGGGUUCAAAGUAUAUACAAUCCCAAUACAAAACAUUCUAUUCAAGGAAUAGCGCAAGUACAAGUCAAAAAUCAAAAGUUAAACAACUAGACUACACUAAUCUUUACACGUCUCACGCCUCGCUCGUACCCUGUAAGGAAAACAAAACUAACGGAGUAAGCCAAAGCUCAGUGAAAUUUCAAAUAUCAAAUUGGUCAUCAACAAAGUAAUAACCGUGUAAUAGUGAAAUAGCGAGCAAACAAGUUCAAUCAAAGAGAUAAUACUUCAAGUAGUCAAGAAAUAUAUGGAUCAUAUUCACACGUAAGGAUACAGUGACUCAUGUCUCGGCUCCUUCCCAGCUUGAUCAAUUGGUAGCUGACACUCCGUCAACUUUCAAGUAAUAACUAGUCCAGAAAGAAAACCCCACUUCACGCCAGUUUCCGUCCACCGAUCAACCCCCUUUUUCGGACCCGCAUGCCACACGAAACACGGGUGAUAAUACUCGAGUAUACCGUUUUGCCGAGGAGAUACACUCCACUCGACAUUACUAGUUACCCAGGGUUCAUUAUCUAAUCGACUAGGCUCUUGCCGGCUCGACUCGAUUAACUAACCACAGGGUUUCUGGAAUUCCAGGCAAGAUAUAAUUCAUAUGCAUGUAAAGCAAGUCAAGUGAAAUAGGUAAAUAAGAAUAAUUCUUAUCAAGGCAAGUGCGAUAAAGUACACUCAUACCCUAUCAAAUCACUUAUAUAUCACGUAAUCACGUUGGUCAAAGAUAAAUUACAAAUAUCAGGUUCAAUCAAAUAUUUGGAAGCACUCACUAACAGUAGUGCCUCUAGUGCUCGUGUCUGGGUGGUACUCCGGGUUUGGAGUUCAAAUCUGCGAUAAAAAUUGACUUAAGAACUUUGAAAAUCAACUAAGGUUCGGAACUUAGACGUUUCGUUCAAUAAGAAUCAAGAAAUUGAAAUUCACUUGAAAAAUAGUCGUGAAACAGUUGCUCGCUUUUCAAACUAAAGAAUUUGGUAACAUGUUUGCUUGGAAAUAACUUUUGAGUCGAAAGUGCAAGGAAAACGGAUUUAUAGUGAUUAUUACCACUUUUCCUAAGGGUACAAGUUUGGCUAGAUUCUAACGUGUAACCCUCGAUAACCAAAGUUAUAAAAGUCCUAGAGGGUUCAAGUGAUAUUCAUUUACCGACUUUACCCAAAUCGCAAAUGUAUUUCUCUAGUUUUCGAGUGUAGAUUUGGGCAGCAUGCCCUUUGUAUUUUCCUAUUUCCAACCAUUUAUGGCUUCAUUCUUUUCCUCAAUCAAACCCAAGUUACACAUGACACAAUUCAUUUCAAUAGGCAUUCAAUAGGCUCAAGACAAAAGAAGGACAAAAAUCAAACCAACAGCAAGUGCGGAAAUGAACUUAACAAAAGAUAGAUUUGACGGGUUUUUGCGGAAAGAACACAUCCAAGGCUACACUUAUCGAAUUGAAGUACAACUUAUACCGUUUCAAAGCUAAGACAAAGGCCUACAACUUUCAUGAAGAUCACUUAGUCCAGUUUCCAGUGUAACCUAGUCAAAUUCCCAAUUUACAGAACCAAAUUCCAACUAAUCGGCUAAUUAACUGUACUACCUUAAAAUGGCCAUAUCUUAGGCUACGAAAGUCCGUUUAAGAUGUUCUUGGUGGCGUUGAAAAUCUAAGACAGAGUACUAAAAAUUUCAUGUUUUGGAAAAUGGCUAAAUCAGCACGGAUCAUAGUGAAUAGACACGGUUAAUUGGAUGAAUCUGUCUAAAAUAGAUCACUGGAAAUAUCCCAGGGCAGCGAGGGUAUUUUGGUCUUUUCAUAGGCUACAUUCUUCCGAUUGGGCUGAAAUUUUGUAGACAUCUAUAAAAUAUCAUUCUCUACAACUUUCAUGUUUUGUGCCAAGCCUAAUUCGGCCAACAUCAUGAACUGGAACCGGACAGAACUGAAGUCCAAUUUUCCAGAAAUCUGGAAUUUUUCGUUUUUAAUGGAAACUUUCUUCAUUUCUUGCUUCAAUCACUACCAAAGCCCCUUAUAUAAUGUCAGAUACAACAUAUAUUAACCAUACAACAAGUUUAGACAGAAAAUCACCAAACCCUAACUUCCAUUCAUCACCUCAAAUUCAUCCCAACAACUUGGAUAACUACUAAUCUAACCAAAAGAUGAGUUAUAUAACAACUUUAAGCAAAAAUAAAAGGACCAAAGCCAUGGUUAGACCUUAUACCUCAACAAAAGAAGCUUGCAAGAGUAAUACUUCACCUCCUCUUGAAAUUUUUGGUUCCUCUAGCUUCCCAAAGUCACAACUCACAAAUUAAUCGGUUUAGAAUUUUGUUUCCUCACUUAGGUGAUCCAAUUUCAAGAUGGAUUGGGUAGUUCUCCCUUGGGUUUUUUUCUCUCUCUCUCUCUCGGCCAAGAUAGCAGAAAAAUGAGGAAGAAAGGCUGCUCCAUGGUGAUAAGAAGGUAAGACAAUUAGUCUUGGUCAAGGCCCUUAGUUGACCAACAAGUGUCCUCACCAAUUCCACUCAUUUUUUUUUAUUUUCCUUGCCAUUUUGGUCCAAAUUUUUGGUCAAAGCCAGCUGGAAUUGAGGGGAUAUUUUGCUCAAAUAUUAAUGAGCUUGUAUGGUAAGAAGGUGGUGGUCAAGUGGUGCGUUUAAUCAUUAGUGCACGGUACCCGUCGGUUCGCAAUGUUUUUCCUUAAAUCACACGUACUAGGGUUUUUACUUCCCAUUCACUAACUUUUUAUCAUUGCUCCUCAUCACAUAUUAUUUCUUACCUAAAAGUCACUCUUAAGCACCAAAUUUGAUUCUCACACCGUACCGGAUAAUUACACUACGGAUACACGUGAAAACCCUAACUUGCUCCAACUUGAAAACGAAAAGUGAAACCCUACUUUCUAAGUUCAUUUGCACUUAUUGUGGAAUGAUUGGGUAGUAGGGUUAUAAUAAAUGAAUACUCUCCAAAUAAAAGGGUAUUUUUGGGAAAAAUAUAAGGAAUUUGCAAGUCCUCACAACAACCAUCAUCCAUAUCAGAUAUGUCCCUUGAAGAUAUAAUAGAAUUAGUAACUGCUAACACAUCAACUUCAGCAGGAGAUAAUGGAUUUUCAACAACAAGAGUGUCAAGAACGAUCAUCCAUGUCAGGUAUGUCUCUUGAAGAAAUGAUGAAAUUAUCAAUUACUAAUACAUAUCGAUUUGAAUAGGAGGUAAAAAUGAGAAGUGGAGAGAUGGAGGAUGGAAUGUGUCAAGAACGAUCAUUUAUAUCAGAUAUGUCUCUUGAAGAAAUGAUAUAUUAUUUUCAACAGGAAACACAAAGAUUAAUUAGAAGAAUGGAAGAUGGAAAGUGUGAAUUGGCAUCUACAAUGAGCAAAUUGAUUUCUCUAAUUUAUGAAGAAUUGCCUUCAUAGACCAUCAUCGACCUUCAGGAAGAUGAGAAUGUGGUUAUCCUGACAAGUGACAUGGAGUUGCAAGAUUCUCAAGAAGAAAGAUCUAAAGAUUUAGUUGAAGAGGGAAUUAAAGUGCAAGAAAAGAGACCCCAAUACCAAAUCACUCAAAUGAAUGAAUCCAGUGAGUAAUCUCCAAAUGCCGUGACAUCUUUUCCAUUCCUUAAUCAAUAUUCUUUUGACUCUUAUUUUUUAAUUUUUGUUAGCGAGAUUGACUUUAUUAUGUCAGAAGAUUUUGAGUUUCAUAACAGGAAUAAGUUAAGAGUGAUGAUGGCAAAAUAUCUUGAACCAGUAAGUGCGCGUGAUGGGGGAGUGAGUGAAGAAUUAAAAUUAUUGUUGACUUGUUUGGCACCAUCUACUAGCCAAUGGAAGACUAUAGUUUGUGUGUGCAAGGAUUACUCUAUUUACGAGAGCUGUCAAGAUUAUAUAAAGGAUGAAACAUUGAAACGAACUACAAGAUUUUAUCCUCCCUGAACAAACAUGACAAUGUUUAACCAAAGACAUUAAAAAAAGGCACUUAUUGAGAGACAACCCAAUUUAGUUUUUAGUUUGUUUUUAUUAUUAGUUUCAUUUUAUUUAUCUUAGAUUUUCGAAUUUGGUGUGUUUAAUUUUCGUUGUUGAUGUUUUCUUUGUUAGAAGAUUUUCUCCCCACAAGACGUGCCCGCGUCUUGAGGGCAUGUGGUAAUGCGCUAAUUCUUCAUUUUUAUCGUCAGAAGCAUUUGGAUCAACAUGACGCGCCCCCGUCUUGAGGACACGUGGUAAUACACUAAUUUUUCAAUACAUCUUCAAAAGUGUUUGGAUCAACAUGACGCGCCCGCGUCUAGAGGCCACGUGGUAACUCAUUAUCAACCAACUCUAUCGUCAGAAGCAUUUCCACUAACAGAACGUGCUCGCAUCUUGUCCUAGGGAAGGUUGCAAAAAAGAAACAAUUUCUUUUUCUUUCUUUCUUUCCUUUUCUUUGUCUUUCUUUCUUUCUUUCUCUCUUUCUUCCCUCUUUCUCCAGCCGAGCCCCACAACCACCGCCAUUCGUUGUCAGCUGCUCGCCACGAGCAACUUGCCAUGCCGUCCAUCAUUUUUCUUCACUGUACCAUCCCCUACAGGCUACGGGUCUCUUGAUUCAUUAUUGCACAAGUCCAUCAAAAGGAUGGUCGGUUGGCCAACGUCGAGUUUCACAUGUCUUUUGCCUCUUACAUAUAGCUAUGCCACAACCCCCCUUGAUGAUCAGGAAAGUUUCGUUGUCCUUUUUGCUUCGUAUUCUAUUCUUUAUUUCUUACAUUGGAGACAAUGCAAGAUUUAGGUGUAGGGGGAGUAGUAUAUUAGAAAAAUGCAAGUAUAGGCAUUUUUUGUUGAAAUUUUUUGUUUGAUUUUUUUUUUCAAAUUUUAUCCAAUUUUUGCCUAUCUUUAUGCGUGUUUGUGGUUAUUCUUGAUAAACGAUAGUUAGAUUCUCAAAAUUUUCUAUUGCUAAGUUUUUAUACUCUAAGAUGUUAAGUAUGACAUGGUUAAAUCUAAGAAUGUUUUUUUUGUGAAUAUUUGAGAUUUAUGCCUUUUACCCUUUUUGGUUAAUUUCUCUAAGUAUUGUAAAUAUUAAUCUAGCAUUUUUUAUGCAAAUUUGUUCAACUAUUAAUCUUAGUUCUCUAUGCUUAAGAAAUAAAACGGAUUUGUGCGAUUUUUAAUUUUAAUUUGAUGCUUAUUUAUGAAUAGUAUUUGGCUAUACUCCACUAGUAUCGUUACCUAGUAACCGGAGGUCUUCAUUGCAAGUGUCGAAUUUUGCAUCAAAAAAAGAUGAUAGCUAUGAGUAUGUGGUUCUUAAGCGAUGAGUAACCGGACUCCUUCAUUUGGUAAAUGUCGAAAUUCACGUCCAAAGGUUUGAAUGGUUAAGAACUAAGCAUUUUUCUUGAAGAAAAAAACAAAAAAUGAGGGUUGUGCUACGAGUGAAAAAAAAUAAAAAAAAAUGUAUGAGUUUGUGGAUGGUUACAUUGGCCUGCUGAUCUGUGAGUUUCAGUGUUGAUAUUUUACUUAAUAAUUGAACAGUUUGCUAAUGGAUGUUGGUGAUAAUUGGCCUGCUGAUCUAUGAGUUUUAGUGUUGAUAUUUUACUUAAUAAUACCCCUUCAAUCUCUGAUAAGUGCCCAGAUUUCUAGAAUGACCACCAAUCCACGACUUAUACAUACAAGAGAUAAGUUGCUGCCUCAAGGAUCCUGUAGCUCCCGCUAGGAUCUUCCCUUUGUAUUUUAUGAUACCCUGGUGAUAACUAUAAUCAGGUAUGGCUUGGCUAUCCAUUGCUAGAGCCUGGAGUAAGUCCUUAGCCUUGAGAUUCCCAUUAUAACUAUCGAUCACCUUUGAGAGCCAUAUUUUACUGUAGACAUAGCAUGUACUUCCUCCUUAUUGUCCACUUGUCUCUCUUCCCACUCUUCCUCUACUCCUUUUCUAGACAAAGCAUCUGCCACCUAGUUUUCUUUUCCACUUUUGUAGUGAAUUUCGUAGUCCAUCCUAUCAACUUAGUGAGCCAUUUUUGUUGGAGUGGAGUGGUGAUCUUCUACUCCAAUAAGAACCUCAAACUAUAGUGAUUCCCAAGGAAAUAGUGCCUCCAUUUAGUCACUGCAAAAAUGAGUGAAAGCAAUUCCUUCUCAUAGAUUGACAACGACUGAUUUUUAGCCCCCAAUGCUUGGCCCAUAAAGGCAAUAAAAUGUCCCUGUUGCAUGAGAACUACUCCAAUGGCCUUACUACUAGCAUCUGUCUCCAACACAAAUAAUUUGUUGAAAUUAGGUAAAGCCAGCAUAGGUGUAGAGCUCAUGGCCCUUUUCAAUUCAUUGAAUGCCUCCAUGGCUUCUAAGGUCCAAUCAAAGCUGUUUUUCUUCAGUUGCUCAGUCAAUGGUUUGGUGAUCAAGCCAUAAUUCCUCACAAAUCUCCUAUAAUAGCCAGUUAACCCAUAAAUCCUCGAAGAGCCUUCACAGAGAUGGGAAUAGGCCAGGUGAGCAUGCUAUCAAUCUUGGCAGGAUUAGCUAUUACACCCUUUUUUGUUACUACAUGACUAAGAUAGUCUACUUGUUCUUGCCCAAAUGAGUAUUUGGAGAGUUUGGCUAGAAGGGAGUGUUGUCGGAGUAUGUCUAGGACUGUUUUCAAGUGUUUGAGAUGAGUUUCAGAAUCAGGACUGUAUAUCAGUACGCCAUCAAAGAAAACAACAACAAAUUUCCUAUUAUAUAGUUCAAAUAUGGAGUUCAUGAGGGCCUGGAAAGUGGUCAGGGACAUUAGUGAAUCCAAAAGGUAUCACCACAAAUUUGUAAUGGCUUUGAUGGGUUCUAAAAGUAGUUUUAGGUAUAUCUUCUAUACAUAUUUUGAUAUGGUGAUAGCUAGAUCUCAAGUCAAUAUUGGAAAAAUUUUUGCUCCACAAAGCUCAUUCAACAAAUCAUUGAUAAUUAGGAUUGGAAAUUUGUCUUUAAUGGUAAGGUUGUUUAAUUGUCUAUAGUCAAUACAAAACCUCCAGCUCCCAUCCUUCUUUUUGACCAAUAGGACAGGUAAGGAAAAUGUGCUGUGAUUUGGGUUUGAUGAUACCACUGUGGAGCAUUUCUUUCACUUGUUUUUCUAUUUCUGUUUUUUAUGUGUGAAGGUAUCUAUUGGGUGAGAUUUUGAAGGGCUUAGCAUUAGGUUUGAGUGGUAUAUGAUAGUCAUAUGCUCUGGAAGGGGGUAGUUGUUUAGGUUCUCCAAACACAUCACUAUAGCUAGCAAGUUUUUGGUCAAUUGAAUUCUGUAAUGUAGUUACUUGAGUGGUGUGGAAGCUGAUUUUGUUAGACUGUUUCAAAAGUCUCUUCCUCUUGUUCCUAUUCCAAUGAGGUUUAGAGAUUCCUUUAUUCAAUGUCACAGCAGCAUCUUGGCUAUUCCCAUGUAACACCACUUGUUCCCCCUCAUAGUCAAAGGAGAGAUUGAGCUCCUUGAAAUCAAAAGUAAGAGGGCUAUACUUCUUCAUCUAAUCCACACCUAGAAUGAGAUCAUACAGUUCCAAAUUUAUGAUAUACACAUCAUGAGUAAAAGACUAGCCUUGUAUUGUCCACUUCCACUUUGGAAUCCAACUAGUACAAGUUAGUUCCUUCCCAUUAGCAAUUUUGACCUUGAAGGGGCUAUGAGCUUGUACUAACUCACUAAACUUCUCUGCAGUGGUUCUUUUGAUAAAGCAAUGUGUACUACCUCCUUAUGGCCCUAACUCUACCCUUGUAGUUUGAUAGUGCUAUUGGACAUCAUGUCACCAUAUAGGCUAUGAAUUGUUAGCUCUACAUCUGAGCCUUGCUUUCUCCCAAAAGUUUGCAUGCUAUGCCCCUACCCUCUUCCAUGAUAGUUAAUGAUCUCCGCUUCUUCACUCCCUCUAGAAUCUUCCUCCAUUUCUUCUGUCAAGAUCAUGUGGAUCCCCUUGUUCUUGCAAGUGUGGCCAGGAACAAAUUUAUUUCCACAUUUGAAGCAAAGAUUAUGAUCUUUCUGUAUUGGAACUCAUUGGGAGAUAUCUUCUUGAAUGUAGAAUUGUUAGAGUCAGCAGCAGUUGGUUUCUUGGCUACAUAUUCUCCAAUAGGUUGAGAAUUCAUGUGCUUCUGUCCUCUUCCUCCUGAAACAAAAGAGGUCAUUGAUGCCCUUGCCUUACUCACAGCUUUAUAUUUCUUGAUCAUAGCUUCAAAUACGAUCUCUUCAUUUAUAGAUACCUCAAAUGCCUCUUGCAAUGUUGUAGGCUUGUGAAGCUUGACCAUUGUUCUGAUUUCCUCUGGUAACCCACUCAAGAAAUUGAGAUGAAGUAAGAUUCACUCAACCCUCUUGGGCAAAACUAAUGCUCGCAAUUCCUCAAAUUUCUCUUGAUAGUCAAGAACUGUAGAGGUCAUCUGCAGCUUGUUGAACUUAGCCACUACAUCCCCCCAACUUCACCAAAUCUCCCACACAACUCUUCACUGAAUUCUUCCCACCACACUUGUCUUCUAUCUAUUUUGAAACUCUGAAACCAAACAUCCGCCUUUCCCCCCUAGUGGAGUUCGACUAUGUUCAUCAUUUGACCAAUAGCUAUUUGAUACACCUAAAAGAACGUCUUUGCUUUUCUCACCCAUUCCUCGGGUUUUUGUCCAUCAAAGUGGAGAAACUCUAAUUUUGGAGUCCCAGGGAGAAAGGGAUUUCUAUCAAUCCUCUUAUUCUGCCUUAUUUCCCCUUCACCUCUCAUUGCUCCUCCAAAAUUCGAACCUCUUUAAGCAGAACUUGUAGAUGUUGAGAGGAUUCCUCUAUCAUUGUGGCUAGAUUUCAUCUGAUUGAGCUGAGCCACAAUGGAUGCCAUACAACCCCUUAUAUUAGUUGAGUUGGACUCCAUUUUUGCAGAAUGCGACUCAAAUUUGUCUUCCAGAUUCUUAAGUGCUUCUUUUGUGGAAUCUGUUAGGUCUGGUCACAGGAAAUUGAUAAACGAGAAUAAUAGGGUUCUUGGCAAUUCAAUAAUGACAAUAACAGAACAAAUAAAUCAAACAGAGAAACACGAAAUUUACGUGGUUCGAUCCAACUGACCUAUGUCCACGAGCGAAGGAAUAGCAGAUUUACUAUAACAGAAAGAGAGUACAAAACCUUAGAAAAUAAUUCUCGGGUCCAAAUGGCAUCUAAAACUGAAAACACAAAAGAGCCUAAAUAGCACUAGAUGCUUAAUGGCUCAAAGGCACAUGACUGGCUCUUUUGGUUUAAUGCGAAACCAAAACUCCUCUCAGAUUGGGACGCGGGCCCCCAAAACUCUCUUGGACUGGUGCACAUGUCACUUGGGUUGGUGCCCUUAGCACACUUAAACCCACUUGAGUCCACCAUAUUUAUAACUGCCAAGAUGAGAUACUUCUUUAUAAAAGUUCCGAUGUGGGAUACAAAGGCAUACUCAACAAAUCUCCACCUUGGCGUGUAUCCAACAUCGAUAAAUAGUAGACAAAUAGCAAACAAACUCCACCUUCUCCAUAAAAGUCUCUACGGAUCUCAACAAACUACAAAAGUCCAAACGAACCACAACGAACUACCAAUGAAUCAAGAUGCAAAAGGUUCAACAGGUCCCAACGGGCCAAGUCUCACAAAAGAUUCAAUAGAUCCCAACGGGUUAAAAACCACGAAUAUAGUAGUCAUGCUCCACCUUCUUCUCAAAACCUUCAAUGAGUUCCAACGGGCCAAAUAACUCUUCUCAAAAAUCCAACUGAACUCCAACAAAAUUUUUUUUCUUUCACUCUCUGUAGCACCCAAAAUCUGUUAUUGUCAUCAAGAACCCAAAAUCUGACCAUGACCCAAAACCUGAAGCUGAAUCUGGAACUGAAGCUCUGAUACCAAUUUGUUAGGUCUGGUCUGAGGAAAUUGAUAAACAAGAAUAAUAGGGUUCUUGGCAACUCAAUAAUGACAAUAACAGAAUAAAUAAAUCAAACAGAGAAACACGAAAUUUACAUGAUUUGGUCAAAUUGACCUACGUCCACGGGCGAAGGGGUAGCAGAUUUACUAUAACAGAAAGAGAGUAGAAAACCUUAGAAAAUAAUUCUCAGGUCCAAAGGACACCUAAAACUGAAAACACAAAAGAGCCUAAAUAGCACUAGAUGCUUAAUGGCUCAAAGGCCCAUGACUUACUCUUUUGGUUUAAUGCCAAACCAAAACUCCUCUCAGAUUGGGACGCGGGCCCCCAAAACUCUCUUGGACUGGUGCACAUGGCACUUGGGCUGGUGCCCUUAGCACACUUAAACCCACUUGAGUCCACUAUAUGUAUAACUAUCAAGAUGAGAUACUUCUUUAUAAAAGUUCCGAUGUGGGAUACAAAGACAUGCCCAACAGAAUCUAUGAAUCCCUGCAACCUGUUUUCUUGUUUGUGUAGCUGUUCUUCAAGAGUUUUCAGUCGAGUUCCUUCAGCCGUGGCAGAUUUAGCAGCUACUGGUCCAAGGAUCAGUAGCUCUAAUACCACUAUUAUGUCUUGAGCAGAAAGAAACAAAAAAGAAGGAAAGAAGUAACAUAGUAAGAAGAGAAAGAGAGAAAAGGGGGUUUAUUCAGAUGCAAGAAAAAAACUCAUUGCCUGCAUUACAGUUCACCCCUUGAACUAAAAAGUUGCAUUACAAUUCAACACUUUUCAUUAGUCUAAAAAGAAUUGAAUUACAAUUCACCCCUUGAACUAAAAAGUUGCAUUACAGUUCAGUCCUUGAGAUUCAUAACAUAAGGCUAACUAAAGGAUGAACUAAAGGAUGCUCCUUAACCCCUUGAAAAGUACGUGACUCUUAGACUUAGCAGGCACAUCCAUUGGGAUGUGAUGUGAGUGGGGUAAAGAGUUUCGCACGUUAGAUCUAAAUUUCUAUACGCAAAAUUCAAGUUAAAUGACUAGAUAAACAUCUAUAUAACAUUCAAACAUAAACAGCUAUAUUUCGUAUCUUAAAUUACCCAUAUGCAUAUAACAGAAUGUAAACUAAAAAGCGGUCUUUUUUUUCUUCUCAAACUCUAUCUAUUGGUAAAUCAAUUUUAACUAUUAUAGUACUGAAACUGCACACUAUAAGAUACCAUCCAUGUAUUGAGUACCUAAACUAAUUUGGGUUUAGGUUUGGGUUAGGUAUAUAUCCUUUUUUUUAUUCAAGCCAAUAGGGUGUGGAUUUAGACUGGGGCCUAAAAAAAUUUAGGAGAUUUGGCUUUGGAUUUACUAUAUCUAACUCAGCAUCGAUUUCUACCCAAUUGACAUGGUAUAAAGAGAUGUACUUUCAAAGGAUAAAAUUUUAUUUGUAUAUUAAGAUUCCGUUUGGGGUUGCAAUAGUUUAAUAAAAAGUAUUUCACCUAAUAGAACUUUUAAUAAAAGUGCUUAUUAAGUGAUUAAGUAUUUUUAAAUAUAUUGUUUGGAUACAUGUUCAAUAAGUAGUUAUUCUAUUCGAUAAUGUGUAAUUUGAAAAUUUUAAAAUAUAUUUAUUUCUUUAUUUAGUUCAUAAUAUAUGAUUAAAUGAUUAAAUUUAAUGUUUUAUUUUUUAAAAAUACCAAAUUUGAGCUUUUGCUAAAAGCACUUUUAAUACCAAAAUCUCCACUCCUAAUUUUACAAAAUGAUAUUCACCAAACGCCUCAAAAGGACCUUUAGUAUCCAAAAGUGCAUUUUAACCAAAACCACAGCAACCCUAAACCGGCCCUAAAGAAGAAUCUUUUAAUCGAGCAGACUUUAUUGUAUCCAUUUGCAUUAUUUGCUUUUGGUCUUGUAAGAACCAUGAAAGCGGAGUUGCAAGGGAAAUAAUACCUAGCAAUUGAUGGAUUCCAAAGGACUUGCUUGUUGGAUUCUCCUCCUUCAUCUGUUAAUUGCGCCGGUAAGUUACUUUGCCAUUAAUUGUUUUUUGUGAUAUAUAUGUCAUGUACUUGAUUCUCACUGUCUUACAAUAAUAUACAACCUUUUACAGGGAGCUUGUGAUAUUAUAGCCAAGGAUAGUACUGAUGCAAUCAAGCUUCUGGGCACAGAUGUUAAUAAUCCUCAUCGAAAUGAUAAGAGACAUGAUAUUGCUCAUGUCCAUGAAAGAAUUCAAUGCAUGAUCCUUCUCAUUCAUCAUCCCACAUGAUGCAUCAGAUGGAUCCAAGAACAAACGUGUUUUUCAUUUUAGAUGAUCUCAAGUUAGGCAAAACAAUGAAUAUCCUUUUCCUUGACGGAGAUCCUAGUCCUUUUGUCCUCUCUAGCCUAGAGAACAGUUGAUGCUAUCCCCUUUUCAUUGGCAAAACUCCCACAAAUUUUUCAAGACUUUUCAUUCCCUCAAGGAUCUCACAAGACCCAAGUGAUGGAGCAUACACUCCGAGCAUGUGAGACUAACCCUAUGAAGGGAGAAUCUAAGGCUUGUGCCAUAUCCAACAAGUCAUUGGUAGAUUUUGCGCGAAAGAUCUUGGGAUUGAAUACCAAUAUCGAAGUUUUAGCGACACAUUGCCUCACAAAAUCUAAUGCUGCUAGACUACAAAACUAUACAAUUACAGAAGCUCCCGAAAGAAUUUCAACUCUCAAGCUGAUUAGGUAUCACACAAUGCCAAUGGAGCGGGUGUAUGUUGCCCUACCCCCCGCUCUGUUUUAAGGCGGGGGGCGCCUCGCCCCAUCCCCCACCCCAUUUCUACCCCCGCGAGCACCCCUUCUCUUGCCACCCUUAAUCUCGACACAUCGACCACAAUAUAGAUGAAACACAUAUUUUAAAGCAUCUACUAUUUUAAAAAUUGUGAAAAAGUAUUAAAAAUAGAAAAAAAUAUGCUAAACAAAAAUAAGAAAAAAUAAGUUAAAAAAAUAAGUUCACGAGCUACAUUUGUGAGAGGGUAAGGUCAAGAUUUUAUCCUCAAAUACUCCUUUACACCCGAUAAAACUGAUGCAAGAUUAACUUUAUUCUUCUAAUUUUAAGGUAAAAAAUUAAUUUAAGCUAAACAUAUAACGUGUGUUUUAAUUAAUUAAAGUAGAGUAAAACACCUAAACAUAGCAUGAUAAAUAGAAAAAACUAAUAAGAAUGAGAUAAUUAGUUCCAAAGCUUAUAUUGGAAAAGCCAUGAAACAAUGCUUUCACAUCCCAUUAUAUCAUAUUCGAUAACAAUCAAAAGUAAUUAAGAGAAAAAUAAACAAUGAAAGGAAAAUAUAAAAAUAAAAAUACAAUAAUUAAAUGCACCUAUGCCCUAUAUGGGUGACAUCAUUUCCAAAAAGGAAAAAUAAAAUUAAUUACAGCUUAACUUGACAAAUGACAAACUAAUUAAACUAGUAGCCAACUAGUUAACUGCUAAGGACCCAAUUGAGAACAUUAAGGUAAAGUUUUGGGGUUGAAUUAGAAAUUACAAAACCGGGGCAGAAAUUAAAAGUGGAAGAAACUAAGGGGGCUAAUGAAGGAAUUUCAAAAACUAAGUCAUCUUUCCCACGGGAAACUCCUGCCCACCGCUGCAUUGGUUCCUUCUUCAAUAACGAAGUUGCUGGAAGCUGUAAAUCAUCAACUCUGGCCAACAUUAGACCGGCUGGAAUUUUCCCUCUCUCUCCCAUGCACAAACACACAACACACACACUGAAAUUCUUACAAAAACGCAGCAAAAUAGGAAAGGGAAAAAAGAAACAAAAGCUGGCAAAAAAUUGGGAAUGACAAGUAGGUCUGCAAACGAAUCGGCUCGUGAGCGGCUCAAGUCAAGUUCGAGUCGAGCUCGAGCCGGCUCGAGUCAAACUCGAACUCGAAUUCGAACUCAGAAUAUUAAGCUUGAGUAUAUAUAUAUAUUUUUUUUAUUUUCAUUUUUAUUUAAUAAUAAAAUUACGUAUAUUAUAUAUUUUUUUUAUUUUUUAUUUUCAUAGUAAAAUUACGUAUAUAUCCUUAAUAUUUUAUUAUUUAUUAAGAAAAAAAAUAUUAUUUUAUUUAUUUUUUUAAAAAUAAAAUAAUUAAUUUUUUAUUUUUUUCGAACUCGGCUCGACUUGAUUCGAGUCGAGCUCGAGCUUGAAAUUGCCGGCUCGUCGAGCUCGAGCUUGGUAAAAUUCAGUCGAGACUCGGUUUGAUUAGCUCAAAACUCGACUCGACUCAGCUCGUUUGCAGCCCUAAUGACAGGUCAAAUCGCCCAUUUCACUUCGUCUUAGAGACAACUCGGUCUGAGUCGAUCGAGUUUUUCUCCAAGUUCUCAAUGAUUCUUUGAUCUCCAAUGUGAUGUGGAACAGUCGCGGAGCGGAGUUCUCCGUUCCGUGACGACUUGGCCAAGUCGUCUGUCUCCGACUCUCCUUACUGCCUAGUAUCGAGAACAAUAUCCAAAAGAUGCAGUGGAAUUUCAGAAUAUCCCUUCCAAAUCUUGUCUGCUUUUCCUUCUCAUAGAUGCUGCAUAUGAUAAAUUCAUUGAGUAAUUUUCUGCUACGUCUCUCCCAUAUACCGAAUAGAUCGAAAGCUUAAGAAGUCAAAAGGGUAUUUUUUUUCCAGUGGAUACUAAUGACAAAAUUUAAUGGCGAAGCCCAACUGCCCAAGACUAUUCCAGAUUUUUUGGGGGAAAAAAAAAGAAACAGGAAAAAAGAGAGAGAAACAAAGAUGCACUAAACACAACUAAAAGUUUCACCGUACUAAAUCAACACAACAUUUAUUUAAUAGAGGAAUUGCAUUACACACGAGACAUUUUCACUCCAACACUAAGAAAAUAAGACCAACUACACUUAUUCUUGACAGAGCAGAAAUCCAGUCUCAAGGGAAUUGAAUUUCUCUUGUUUGGAAGCAACAUCAAGACUAUGUUACAAAAGCAGCGAUACAGACCUUCACUUCACUUUGAUUCUUUCAUGUUUGAUUUAUCCUAAUUUUGCUUAGCAUCAUUGCUGGUUUCCUUAUGGUAAAGGAGCAUGUAAGACUUGCCUCUUUUUGAGACAAUUAUGGCCUACAUGAUUGAUUCUAAAAUGACUGACAUUUUGUCAAUAAUUAAUUAGUAUCUCCCAUUAUAUAAUGAUUGUUAAUUGACAUCCUGAUUAAUUGAUUGAUAUUUUAUCAAUAAUUAAUUAGUAUCUUCCAUUUGUCAAUGAUUGAUUGAUAUCUACGUUCCAGUUAGCUACUGUCCAUUUGUAUUUGCCAGUAAGGGUCCCUAGCCUAGCCUAUAAAUAGCCUGUGGUAUUCCAUCAAUUGCACACUUUUGGGUUAGGCAUAGGCAAGAAAAUCCUUAUUCUAAAUUCUCCUUCUACUUUUUCCUUCUUCUACAUAUUUUGUUUUUGUUAGAAUAAACAAAAAGGAGUGAAAAACACAAGAAGAGAUCAACUUGUGCUUGACAACAAUGGUUAGAGGUAAAUAUAUUUAAAUUUUCGCUGCGUAGUACAUUCACAUGUACAUAGUUAGUUUAACAUGUGGUAUCAAAGCCAACCUCUAACCAUGUUGUUCAGCUUAUAAUUUCAUGGUUUAUUGAUAAUCUGAUAAAAGUUUUAGAGAUUCGUAUCAAUUUGAACAAAUCGAAUUUAAUUUGCCAUGGGAUCUGUAGUUUAUUUUCUCAAUAAUUGAGAUUUAUUGACUAAUCCUAUGUAUAUGUAUUAUUCAUAUGAUAUCUUAUUUGGUUAUGCAAUUCAUCCAAAUUUUCACCAAUAAUUUGGUAUGAUUGAAAGUAAUUUAAAUAUUUCUUGGACUUACAUAUUUGUGAUUGAAAGGGUUAUAUGUAUUGAUUGUUAUUAUCAAUACAAUAUAACAAUUCGAGAAACAUAUGAAAUGUUGUUAUAUUCAACAAUCAAAAGAUUAAUAUCAUAUUAAUCUAUGCAAGAUAAUUGGUUGACUUUAUAUGAAUGGAUCUAGAGGUUUAUUGAAUCUUUGCUACCUUAUUAUGAGAUAAAUAUCUGAAGGUAUGAUUUCAAUAUGAGUUUGCUUCCAUGUUCCUAUUGUUAUUUGGAAUUAUGUAGUAUUUUGUGCACUACGCUUAUGUUCAUUUAUCUCAUAUUAUAAUAUCAACAUUAGUAUGGUUGAUUACAUUUAAAUUUCAAACAAUUUCCUUUAUAAAGUGUGUUUUUCAUCUCAAUUAUUUGAUGCAUGAAGUAUUUUAAUCACAUAAAGGCUGGUGGUUAAAAAAAUGAAUAUAAGCAAAAAAGAAAAUUAUGAAAUUCUUUUGUCAAAAUACAGAUUUUUGACUAUUUUGAUAUCCUUAUAAAGUCUAGUACACUUUAUGUUUGAGAGUAGCCAUAGCAUCUCAAACAUUGAUAUACUACAAUUUUGAUCGCAUAUAGUUUAGGGAUUAAAAUCAAGGAUUUCUAGUCAACGAGUUGACUACUUAUUUUCUAUGAAUUUUCAUUAGAAGUUUUCUUACAUCGUGUAUUUGGGAGUAGCUACAGCAUCUCAAAUAUAUGGUGUAAAUAACUUUAAUCAUAUAAGAUUAAGUGAUUAUAAAAGGAAAGGAAAAUUCAAUGAAAUUCAGUCAAUAUAAAAUUUUUUGACUAUUUACAAAUAACAAGAUGCCAUGCUAAGAAUUUUACUUUUACAUUACUGUUUAGGAGUAGCCACAGCAUCCCAAAUAUUUGAUGAGAAAAAUUUUUCAUCACAUAUAGUUUGGUGAUUGAAAUUAUGAAUUUUUAGUCAACAUAUUGACUAGUUGACAAUUUUUCUUAUAAUGUCGUAUACUUAAGAGUAGCCACAACAUCUUAAGUAUAUUAGUGUUUGGAGAAAUUUUGUAUUUCUUUUUCACAUAUUGCUGAGUGAUUAAAAAAAUUAAAAAAAUGCCAUUUAUAUCAAGUUGCAAUUAAUUCAUUGAGAUAGUUAUCUGGCCCCACAGGGAGGUAAUUAUUUUGAUGAGAUUAAUUGACAUAAGAUGGUAAAUUAGAUAGUGAAUUAAGAGAUAUUUCUAUGCCCACAGGUACGAAUUAUUUCUUUAAUUCAUUGUUCUAAAUUACUAGUCUUAUGAUUAAGUAAAAUAAAUUCUAUGCAUGUUUGCAACCUUUGUCCAUAGAAGGGUUUGAAUUUACUAUUUGAAUUGACAUAAGGUUGAUUCAAAAUCAAGGUACAAAUUUCAUAGCUUUUUUAUGAUAUAGUUCUUGAUUGUUAAUUCGGUGUUUCAUUCCAAUGAUUUUAUGGUUCUUAUUAGCUUGAUUUUUAAAUUCAUUCUCUUUUGUUUUUGGUGCAAUUUUUAAAUUAGCACUUUCAUGAGAAUGAACAAACCAUUCUCAUAAUGUGGAUAUAUUUGCUAAUAUAGAGGUUGAGUAUGAGAAUUGGGAGCAAUUUAAUAGUUUGCUCAUUUUGUCUCAUAUUCAUAUAAAUUAGGGUUCAAACCCUAAAUUUAUAGUUAAAUCUUGCAUGAAAGCCAUAAAAGAAAUUGUUGCAAGUUUUAACUAGCACCAUUAGAAGGCUUUCUUUUGUGACACUUAAAUAUUGAAGUGUAUUUUAGCUAAUUUCUUAGAGUUGAGAAUUUUGCUAUAUCAUCAAUUAAAGUCCCAUCAAAUUGAAAUUGAGUUAUUUCUAUAGCAUUUCAUUCUUGAUUCUUUCAUGCAGAAUUUCUUAACCAUUCAAACCUUUAUAAUACACAUAAAGAUAUAUGGUUAAUUACUUGUUUUAACCACGUGUAUUAAGAAAGGAUAAAGAGGUUAAGAAAUAAGAGAAACUUAACCUUCAUGAAAGAAGAAAUGGAAAGAAAGGUAAUUUUGUUCUCAUUAAAUCAAACAACGAUAAAAACCAACGUUGUUUGUAAGAGAAUGAUAUUUGAUACUCUACUUUAAGGGAAAGUAACUCAAAAGAAAAUUUCAAUUGUUGAGUGUUAUAAAUUGUGAUAUAUUUGGUGAAUUUGCUAGAAAUGUCAAUUUACGCUGCCAGUAUAAUAAGUUUCUGAUUAUACGAAAAGUGAACAAAAGUUUCUUUAUAGAAAUUUUAAAAAAAUGUUCACAUAAAGAUAAGUGAUGUAUUAUUGCUCAUUUUAAGAAAAUUUGUUAUUUUUUUUUCUAAAACAUUAUUUUCUUGCUACUUUAGAAUUUCUAUUUUCAAAUUAAUUACUAUUGGGUAUGAUUAUGAAUCUCAUUAUCCAGUAGUAGAUUUUGAAAAUAGUAAAGUUAUUAAUUCUAAAGUUUCUACACUUGAUCAUAAUAAUUAUAUUGGCAGCAAGAAUGUUUAUCAUUGAGGAAACUUCUUAAAUUUUGGCAUAAGAGAUUGAGAUAUAUCUCUAUAAGGAAAUAAAGAGUUGAUAAAUUAUAAAUCUUUAAAUAUUUUAGAUUUAUUGACUAUAAUAUUUCAGGUAGAUUGCAUAAGUAAAGCCGACUAUUCAACCAUUAUGGAUGCCACAAGAUUUUCAUUAUAACACUAAAUUUUGUGAAUUAUUUUCUAUCCUUUUUGAUUGGUGAGAGAUAUUUAUCUCAUUAUUAGGUAACCAUUCAUCAAAUAUAAAGUUCCUUUCUUAUUUGAUAAAGGAUCAAUAUUUGAUACCUUUGUAAGUGUUCAAACGAGAAAGGAAAUUUGAAAUUUGAGGGAUAGAAAAUAAAAUGAAGGCACACAAAAUUAGGGGACUAUCCUAUAUGUGCUUAUUUUAUAAAUUCCUUAAUUAUGAAGUAUUGCUAAUGAGUAAAAGCAAUGCUUGAUUAGUUACAUUCCAAUGAUGUACCGUAAAGAAAUAAUGAGAUAGUUGUGGAUAUAGCAUUUUGACAAUCUUUAUAUCUUGUGAGUAAUGCCUUGAAAUUGAAGUAUAUACUUAAACAAUUUCCUUCAAUAUUGUUUAGACACCACUUUGGUUAUGGUAUGUAUGGAAAUCAAGUUUAAAAUAUUAUGUUCAGUUUUGUAAGGGUAAUUAACCUACACAUAAAGAAGCUGUACAAAGAAAACAACGCUAUCUUAGUUCAAGAAAUUUAGAUUCGUUUUACACUUUAAAAAUUAUUAUAACUAGAGAUUUAAAUUUCUUAAGAACAUGAAGUAAGUGAGUGUUUUGACUCUCGAAUGGAGUUUUGAAAUGGUAAGGAUUCAUAUUGACUCCUUUGCAUAUGAAAAAUUGAUAGCUUUUCUCAAAAUAAUUUAUUUAAUUAUUUUAGAUAAGCAAUCAAUUGAAAAACUCCUUAUCAAACAAACACAUAAAGAUAAAUCCACUUUGAACCUACUGAUUGACUUAUCUUUGAGACAGUGGGAGGCAAAAUGUUCUCUAUAGAGAAUUGAAACUCUUUGGUUACUAUGUUGUAUAUCUACAGGAGUUUAAGGAUGAAUUGGGUAAUGUUUUCAUAAGGUAAAAUUGGAGAAAUCUCCAUAUUCAGGAAUAAUGUCAUAAAUUACCACAAAAUCUCUACCAAAUUUGAGAGAUUUUAUUUAGGGUAAUUACGACACUAGUAACUCACUAUUUGAGUUACAUUAAAUAUGAAAAUAAAUAUCCUUAACGUGACUCUUGAUAAUUAGGUGUACACAUAUGUCACCAUAAUACAUUUGUAGAGAAUGCAAUUUAAAUUAUUUCUUCCCAAUAGUAUAUUAAUUUAUUCUUCAUUUGAUCUUAGAAGAAUUUUUUCUAGUAAAUUAAUAUAUAUUAAGGUCAGUGGGAGUAAUACUAUGAGAGUUUUUCUCAAUCAUGAUAUUUGUGAAAUCCUUCUAUCAUUGAUAUUCACAAAAUAGAAUGUAAAAGAUAGUUAAUCUAUCUUAAGACCUUCAUGCAAGAGUUCUUUGAUUACUUUUAACUAAUAAUAGUGCACAAUUGCAUAAUGUUCACAUCAUGCAUUGGAAUGAAUAUAAAUUCACCAAGGAUGCUAUGAAGUUAUACAACAGGCAUCUACUAUUUGUCAUAAACUUUGUCGAUAUUGAAUUGUAACCAUUAUAGAUAUUUGAUUUGACUAUACCCUUUCAUUAUGUAUACAUGAAAGAGCGGGAGUCAAAAUAGGCAAGUCGACAUAAGGUAUUCAAUAAUUAUUUGAAAAGCAAAAGUAGCUAUUGAGUAUACAGUAGCGAGUUAUUAUUAUUGAUCAAACAACUAAAGAUUGCCGGCUAAGUUGUUAAUGAUCAAAUAACUCACAUGGAACUCAAUAGUUCAUUUCGUAUUUUCCUAUUAUUCUCAAACUAUUGUUAUUAUCUAGACACUCGAGAUAUUUAUAUUUACAUGAUUUUGUGCACAUUGUUGUUCAUGUAUAAAGUAAGGAUCAUGCGAUCCAUAAAGUUUGACCCUGAAUAACUUAUACGAAGUUAUUCAUAAAGUUCUUUUAAAGCACUUAAUUAGGAAGUAUAAUACAUUGUAAUACAUGGAAAGAAGUGUUUGCCAUGAGAGCAUAACUGCCAUGAUUCGUGUAUUAUUAUUUUCUAAUUAAGCAACUAUUACAUAACUGCUGAAUUUGAUGAGUGACAAACAAGGUUUAUGGCAAUUUUUAAGUAGUUAGUCACUCACAAGUUAUCUGACUAUUUCAUGUGGGUCAAGUGGGAGAAUGUAAGACUUGCCUCUUUUUGAGUUAAUUAUGACCCACAUGAUUGAUUCUAAAGUGAUUGAUAUUUUGUCAAUAAUUAAUUAGUAUCUCCCAUUAUAUAAUGAUUGUUGAUUGACAUCCUGAUUAAUUGAUUGACAUUUUAUCAAUAAUUAAUUAGUAUCUUCCAUUUGUCAAUGAUUGAUUGAUAUGUAUUGUUAAUUGAUGUCUUAUUCAAUCAGUUAAUCAAUCAAAUGAAUCAAUUAGUCAAAAAAUAUUAUUUCAGUUAUGAAUUUUGGCAAGAUUUCCUUGAUGGAAGGAAACCCUAGGGAUUUUUGUAUUUGCCAGUAAGGGUCCCUAACCUAGUCUAUAAAUAGCCUGUGGUAUUCCAUCAAUUGCACACUUUUGGGUUAGGCAUAGACUAGAAAAUCCUUAUUCUAAAUUCUCCUUCUACUUUUUCCUUCUUCUACAUAUUUUAUUUUUGUUAGAAUAAACAAGAAGGAGUGAAAGACACAAGAAGAGAUCAACUUGUGCUUGACAACAAUGGUUAGAGGUAAGUAUAUUUAAAUUUCCGCUGCGUAGUACAAUCACAUGUACAUAGUUAGUUUAAUAGAGCAUUGAUCCAAGCUUUGAUUCGAAAUCUUAGAUAUGUAGCUUUCCCUCCUGCAAAUUAGCUUUGUCACCAUUGUAAAGGACGAAAAUGGAUUCAGGCUUUGACUCGAAAUCUUUCAUAUGCGUUUUUUCCUCCUGCAAGUUAGCUUUGUCACCACGGUAAAGAACCAAAAUGGAUUCAAGUUUUGACUCUAAUUCUUUCAAUGUAUUAGACCCAAGGUGCUCAUUUUGUUUAGUAAAAGCACCAGAACUGGCAGCAGGUCGCAAAAUGUCCCUGGGGUCCUUUCUUGCCUCCAUGAAGCAUGCAAGCUGCAUAUUCCAGGCAAAUGACAUAAUUGAAGAAACCAGCAUCAAUAUAUAUUAGGUAAGUAAAUAUAGUGGGGAAGGUAGGCUGCACACCAAAUUAUGAGCCUUGUGGGUCUUGCUGAAGUGUUAUUCUAUACAGGUGAACCUUGAAUAACUUAAAAGAUUAUUUACAUAAAUUUAGGACCUUUAAUUUCUUGCUUCUGAACCUUACCCAUUUAUUACUUCUCAGUCUAUCUCUACCUGUAUAAUGGAAAAAUUGGAGAUGAAUUUCUCUAACUAAUAAAAGUAAAGUGUCAAAAGUCAAGUUACAAUGACAUUUAAGUUUCGUACAGCCCACAUUGGAAUGUUUGAAAGGUGUUGGGAAAGGGAUAUCGGUACAGGCACAUAAUAUCAGAGUUAGUCCAAGACAAAUUUCUCUUUUCUCAAAUACCAGUUAAAAUAGGAAUAAACCAAAUCACCAAAUAAUAAUACCAGCAGUGAUAAUAAAAUACGAGAAAAAUAAAAGGCACAAGACACCAAGAUUUUUUACAUGAAAAAUCCAAUUGGAAAAAAUCACAGGACCUAGUCCAAUAAAAAAUCUCUACUAUCACAAUAAUGGGAAUACACAAGUCUACCCGAAAUAUUUGAGUGACAACAAUAUCACAAAUACCAAUCAAGCCAAUCUGCUACAAAAUCACUCCAAAAAAUUACAACUAUCAAAGAAGUGGGUUUAGAAAAGUGUUAUCAAACGAAAAGGAAAUUCGAAAUCUGAACCGGUAGAUGAGUAGAGCUCAAUGAGAGGAUUGCGUGGGUAAAAUUUUGUCUCAAUCGGGUUCCGAAUCACCCUCUAAUCAAGAUCUUGAAGUUUCUCUCUCACUUGCUCUUUCUCUCUCUUCAUUUUUUCUCUCAACCAGCAAAUGAUGGCGGUUGACUUUUUUUCUCUCGCACUAGGAUUGAAGAAUAAUUGCUUUAUGUGGCUGCUCAAUGUUCCGUCACAUGAAGCCCUCAAGUCUUAGUGACCUGUGUUUUGAGUUGGCCCACAAAUGGGCUGGCCCACACAAGUCCAACAAUCUCCCCCUCAAGCUCAUUUGGGGGGUUCCACCAAACUCGAUUCUUAUUUGCAAAACAAAAGUUUUUCCUUUGGCAAUGCCUUGGUAAAUAUUUCAGCACCAUUAUUAUUUGUAUGCACCUUCUCAAGUGUCAAUAACUUGGAAUUCAGUACUUCCCGAAUCCAAUGAUACCUCACAUCAAUGUGUUUGGAUCGAAAGUGGAAUGUGGAGUUCUUACACAAAUAAAUAGCACUUUGAUUGUCACAAUAAAGACUACUUCUCGUGUUUCAUACCCAACUCUUGAAAGAAUUUCUGCAACUAAAGAGUCUCCUUGUAUGCUUCAAUGGUUGCGAUGUACUCCACCUUCGUACUGGAAAGAGUGAUACACUUUUGUAGUUUAUUUUGCCAUAACACUGCUCCCUCUGCAAAAAUCAUCAAGUACCCAGAUGUGGACUUUCUAUUGUCAAGAUCACAUGCCAUAUCUGCAUCAGUGUAUCUAUCUAGUAUAGUUUUACCAUUGUCGAAACAUAGACACAAUCUAGAAGUUCCCUUGAGAUACUUGAGAAUCCAUUUGACAGCAUUCCAAUGCUCUUUACCAGGAUUAGAAAGAUACCAACUGACUACUCUAAUAGUAUGAGCAAUAUCUGGUCUGGUGCAAACAAUGCAUACAUUAAACUACCAACAGUCGAGGCAUAAGGAAUCUUUUUCAUAUCUUCUUUAUCUUUCUCACUUUUAGGACACUGCUUGAUGUUCUUUAAAGUGACCUGCAAAUGGAGUUGAGACUUCCUUAACCUUGCUCAUGUUAAAUCUGUUGAAUACUUUCUCAAUGUAUUUUUUUGAGACAAUCAGAGCUUCCCAUUUUGCCUGUCACCUGAAAUUUUCAUCCCCAAUAUCCGCCUAGUCGGACCCAAGUCUUUCAUUACAAAGGAUUUACUUAACUCCAUUUUCAACUUGUCGAUUUUUAUAAUAUCACGGCUGACAGAUGUCGAGUCUGUGCAAUAAUAUUACUAAAAAGUCUUAAUUACUACCACAAUUAAUUAUAGAACAAAUCCAAGUACUGGAGUAGGGACCCUAGGUGUGCAAUGGGUUACUUAAUUCACCCUGUUCCCGAAAAGUUUGCUUGAUCCGAUAUACUAGAUUUGUCUAAAAAAAUAUUAAAUUUGCGUAUAAUGGUAAGUAGGGUCGAUUUCACAGGGAACGGAUAGGAAAUUGUUUCUUCCCAAGUCAAUAGAACAAACUGAGGGAUAUUUAAUGGAGUGAAAAUAAAAAAAAAUAAAUAAAAUUCAAAAGCUAACUCACCAAGUACAAUUUACUAAAAAUAGCAAUUAAUAAAAUUCUACCCAAAGAAUCAACUUUUCAGGCACGAUCCAAUAAAAUGAUCAUCGAUGCAAAGAUAUUUCAUUCAUCUGUCACUAGAUUGGUUAUAGCUAUCAACAAGCUCCGACAACCAAUUCUUCCUUACUUUUUCGACAGUCAAGGAACGACCAUUCACUGCUUCUCUAACCACAAAAUAAUCCUAAAUACGACCGUAGGAAUUUAAUUAUCCACUUGCAUUACAGUUAGAAGAACUCAACCCUAACCAAUAAACACGCUAAGAGGGUUUAUUUAAACUAGAUCUUACGUUUUCCCAACAUAAAGUCAAUUAUGGUGGUUGCCAUUAGUUGUCAACUAAAUGAACAAUUACGGAUUCAAUUUAAUUAAUGUGGUGAUACUCAAUUAUGGUGAUACUCAAUUAAUAAAAUACCCAUGAACAAUUAAUCCAAGAAACGCACGAAUAGUAACGAAUCGGAAGAAAUAAUGAAAAUUCGAUUAGAUCUCACAGAUGUUAUGGACCGCGCCCUCGUGUCGACCUUUGGGUAGAGGAGAAAACUAACCGCUCCUCAUCACAUCAAUCUCGCAUGAUUUGAUUAAUUUCAUCCUCACAAUUGCCAAAGAAUUGGAAACGAUGAAUUAACGAAGAGACAACAGAGAGAGUCCUCACUUCGUCCCUCGUUUCGUUUUUGAUUUGAAAGAGUGAAAAGCAAAAGUCUCCAAGAGAGAGUUGUCCAAACCAAAAGCAGGAAAAAUGAAGUAAAAAACGGAAGCUAUCUCAAUCGUGUAGACCUCCCAAGAGCCAGAGAAAAGUCUACCACGUCUGACCGAAAGAGAAAAACUAAGAACUAAUCUAAUUGAUAUCGCGUGAAUCUAGUCUUUUCUUCUAUUUGCUGCCGAAAAGAAAAAGAACGUCUGACUCUCUAAUGAAAACUAAAGUUAAGGUAUUAAUUGCACGUGAAUCUGGCCCUUCUUAUAUCUUCAGUAGCCGUCGCCAGUAGAAAAUCACGUCAGGGGCAAGGCUUUGCUUGAGGGUUUUAAUCCCACAUCUCUCGCAGUUCACUUGGACGUAUCUCCCUAAUUGCCCACUUUUGCUGCUACCAAUCUCGCGGGUCCGACUUUAGGUAUAUCUCCUCAGUUUCUGGCGUGGGCACGCCAUAAAACAAAGAGUCUUCUGUAAAUUUACCUCACACGAUCACUUUUAAUACCAACCACCUACAAUUUACACAAAUAUCAAAUAUGAGCAAAUUUUCAAUUCUUAGUACCAUGAAUAGCCAAAAUUAGGACAGAAUAAUAGUGCAAAACGUACUCAAUAACUGCUCUAUCAGCGGCCAACAAUGAACAUGCCAUCUACAUACAGCAAGAGAAUAACAAAAUUACCAUCUAAAAAUUUUUUUACAUAAACGCAGUGAUCAGAUGUAAUCUUGUGGUACUUGUGGUUUGUCAUGAAGGAGUCAAACUUCUUAUACCACUAUCUUGGUGCCCGUUUCAACUCAUAUAAGCUCUUCUUGAGACGGCAGACAAGAUUUUCCUUGCCACUUUCUUUGAACUCCUCCGAUUGCUCCAUGUAGAUCUUCUCUUCCAAAUCACCAUGUAGGAAGGCUGUCUUCACAUUAAGUUGCUCGAUCUCCAAAUUUACAUUGGUUGCAAUACGCAGAACAACUCGAAUUGAUGACAUCUUUACCACAGAAGAGAAAAUUUCUUUAAAGUUUACACCCUUCUUUUGACUAAAUCCUUUCACAACCAAUCUUGCUUUAUACUUUGGUUGUGAGCCUCCUGAGUUUUCAACUUGUAAAACCAUUUGUUCUUCGGAACUCUCUUACCAUUAGACAGUUUCACUAAGUCAUAAGUAUGAUUUUUAUGUAGGGACACCAUUUCCUCUUAUAUGGCUCGCAACCAAUUUUCUUUGUUCUCAUACUCUAAAACCUCACAGUAGGACUCUGGCUCUCCUCCAUCUAUUAACAGCAAAUAUUCAUGAGAAUUAUAUCUUCUAGAAGGUCCCCUCUCUCUGGUAGAUCUCCGAAACUCAUCUUGUGAUGGCGAUAGUGGAGUAGGUGGUGCCUCAUGCUCAGGUUCAUCAGGAGUAGUAUUAUUACCAUCAUUAACAUCCUCUCUCUGCUCCGUCUCAACUCCCUCUUGAUUAAAAUCAACAGAUACUGGAAUUGGAUCUGGAUCUAAAUUUGAUCUAGUAGGAAUGUACCUUUAUCAAUGUCUUCAAUGGUUUGAUCUUCAAAGAAGACAACAUCUCUGUUCUUGAUUACCUUCUUUUCAACAUGAUCAUAUAGCUUAUAACCAAAAUCUUCAUGUCCAUAACCCAAGAAAAUUCAUUCUUCUUAAAUUUGAUCCCACGGGACUUGCAGUAAAUUUCAAAUGAUCCUUCGUACUCACCACGAUUAUCAGCACAAAUACAUUUUAACUGCUUGCUAGUUUCUCUUUCAAUUUUGCUAUGAAAAUCUUUAAAUACAUGCAAAACUUGAUCUUUGGAUUUCAAAGCAAAACACCAAACCUUUCUAACAAAAUCAUCAAUAAAAGUUACAAAAUAAACAGCACUACCAAGAGACUUAUCUUAUAUAUAGCAAACAUCAGUGUGCACUGUGAGACCCCGGUCAGUUCUUAAGUUUGAUAUUAGGUUAUAUUCAUUAUUGGUAUGGUAACAUUAGGUUUUGGGACUAAUUCGAAAAUCCUAAGUUGGGGUUAGUAUUGAAACCCUAGUUUUUGUAUUAAUUAUAAGUUCGAGUGGCGAUUAAAGCUAGUUAUACUAGUGUGUGUUUUAGUACAGGUACGUAUAAGAUUUGAUCCAUUUUAGAUACGUUAAGUGAGUUUAAAAGUUAGGAAAACCCUAAACUAGAAAAGUUCUAGUGAUAUGAUUUGUUCGAAUUCUAAAUUGGGUUUAAAACCCUAAUUUUGCCCUUGACAAAAAGGUUGUUAUUUAAUUGCUUUUAUGUGAGAUAAAGUAUGCUUAAGUAUAGGUGAUUAAGAUAGAAAAGUGAUUAGUGAAGCAAUUAAGUACGAUUAUAUGUUUUGGACUAGAUUAAGUUAUCAUUUAUGGAGUAAAUUGAAAGCUUUUCAAAUGUUUAAGGGCAAGAGUUGAUCAAAUGCAAAGUUGAUGGUGUAAGGGAUUGAGAGCAAAAAUGAAGUUUUUGUGUGAUUGGUGGAAAUAGAAAUAUCUUCCAAGGCUUUGACCAUCUUGUAUAUAUCAUAGGAUUUCCAUAAAAAACAAAACAAAACAAGAGAGAGCAAGAGAGAGGUGGAGCCGUGGAGAAGGAAGAGAAAAAACCAAGGAAAGUUUGCAAAGUUCAACCAAAUUUCUGUUAUAGAUUUUCAUCUUGAAGCAUAAAGAAUCCAUCUUGGAGUUGGGUUGAGUUCAUUAGUCAUCAUAUAACCUUCAUCUUGAGGUAAGAAAGUUCCUAUGCAAAGCUAAGUGUGGUUUAUGAUGCUUGGGAUAGUGGAAAUGAUGAUAAUAGUUGUUAGUUGUGAUUGAUUAUGGUGUCUCUUAUGUUUAUCACUUGAUUUUAUGGAUUAAUUUAGUGAAGAAUGAGGCCUUGAGGUUCGGCCAUAUGAACCCUAAUUAGGGUUUCACGCUAAACAUGUUGGUUAGCUUUAAUCUUGUGUUAUUGAACUUGUAGCGGUUGUGUUUGAUGAUUGAUUUCAUUGGGUUGGUGAGUGAAUGGUAAAAACUGAUUUGGGUUAAGAAACCCAAAGCUUCCUUAGGUUAGUUCAGCUUAACUAAUGUUUAGUGAGUUAGGGUUUGGUUAGAAGGUUGAUAGAUUAAGUUUAGUGAUGCAUAUAAAGUUAGGUUAGGGAUUAUGGUUAGUUUUAGGUAAUUUUGUAGUGACUUAGAGGGAAAGUUUCAGACCAUUUGUAGGUCAUUUAGAAGUUAGUAUAUGUGUGUUUAUUUGGUAUGAAUUUGGUUGAAAAUCAUGUAUAAGAACCAUAGAAAUGAAUCAUGCGUUUGCGACAUUUGAAACCGGCAAAACGGGUAAAUAGGGCAGCCCAGCACCUGAACUUGAGCUCCAUUUUUCUUGAUACUACGUAUUGAUUCAGAAGUUUCUCAAAACAUAAAAGUUGUAACCUCUUAAGUCUUGAAUAUGCCUACAAAAUUUCAGGUCAAACGGAUCAUUGUAGCCUGAGUUAUAGCUAGAAUACUUGCACCUGUUUUGUACACUGGAUUGUGUUACGUUUUUGAAUUCUGCUUCUGACCAUGCUCUGUCCAUUUUGAUAACAUGCGAACUGGGUAUUGACCUCUUCAUAGGAAAUGUAGAUCUUGGUCUUAGCUUCGAAACGGUAUAAAGUGCAUCCAAAUCCGAGUUCCGUAACUUCAGUUAUGACCAGAACAAUAUCGGUUGUCAGAACUGCCUUCGAAUUUGGACAGUUCUGACAGGGACGUUUGAACCCCUUUUUUCCCAUGCUCCGUAUUGAUUCAGCUUUUGGUCCAAACAUGAAAGUUAUAGCGUUAUGAAUGAGCUUUCUAAUGCCUUUGGAAUUUAUUAAUUUCAAUUUCUGAGUCAUGAGUUACGAUCUUUCAAACAGGGCCUAUUUGGUAAUCCGAAAUGAAAUGGCUGGAACUAUUUUAUGUAGUUUUGACCAAUAUCUAUUGGGAUCUGGGUUGAAAUGUCUAAAUAAAAGUUGUAGCUCUUCCUCGUAGCUUCAAAACGGUGUCUCACCCACCUUGAUCCGACAUUCCUAGCCUAACUUUUGAUCAAAACGGUUUGGAAUGGCAAAUCUGGCCGUUUCCGUUUCCGUUUCCGUGUCCGUCUCUAUUUCCGUGUGUCGUUUUCGCACUUGCAUGUGCUAAUUUUGCCGUUUUACUUGAGUUAUGCAUGUUAGUGGCCGUUUGUGAUAUAUUGUGAUGCAAUCUUCUAUUUCAGACGGUGACGGGUUAAACGGUACUGGUGGGACCUACUAGCUGUAUACGUGACGUGAUCUUUGCAUUUUUUUGCUAUACGUACCUUUGGAGUAAGUAUUCAGGCCGUUUAUGUGUAUAAACUGCUUAUGUGUUUCGAUAUGAACAAAAGGGGGACUUACGCGAGAGUGUACUUUAUCACACUCGACCUAAACCCUAGUUUGUACCUAUGUUUCCUCAUGAGAUGUGUAUACAUCAAUUAUUUUGGUGCUGAACCCCUUGAGCUUGAAGCUCGGGGUGACUUUCAUGAAUUUGUGAAAUACGGUGAAGUUGUGGGCCGAUCUCAAGACCUAGACGGACUAUUCGAGCCGGCCGGGAUUUGGUCGAAAUUAGUCCAACCUAGUCUUGAGGUCACCAAGUUCGUAGGUUCCAGUGGUGAACCAAGUUUGUGACCCCGAGCUUGUGACUCAAGCUCAAGUUUGUGAUUUCAUUCGCUCGAACAAGUUUGUGAGGUGAUUGGCCAGUGAGGGUGAUAAAGUGUUAAGUGAGAGUAAAAGUGGAGUUCUACGAACCUUAUAUGUGGUCGACGGAGUGUCGGCAGGAGGUCACGCAUGGCCAAUGACUUGGCUUUGGAGCCAACCUGUAUCCUUAAUUUGUGAUUGUUACUUGGUACCUUUGAUUUGACAUCUUUGUGAUAUAAUUGUUCAUCAAUGUGUAAUUUACGCUUUUACCCCUGUUUACUUACUAAGCUUCUAACUUACCUCGUUUCCUUUACUUUCCUUAACAGGGGACGAUGUGGGGAACUCCUUGGCACAUUCACUAGUAUAGUUAGGUCGCUUGUAAUAGUUGGACAAUUAAGAUGGUUGUUUUUGUUUUGGUGGUUUGUAUAAGGACCCUCCUUAGGGUCUACUUUUUGCUGGUUGUUAUCAUAAUAUAAUGUAGUGGUCUGAAUAGCUACUUUUGAAGAUGUAAAUGGAACUUUUUUUUUGGGAUUGAAUAUAUUGGGAAUAGUACUAUUUGGUUUAUCUAGUUUUGUUAUUUGAAAUUUUGAGUCAUGGCGCGAGCUAGGUAGGCGUCCUGUCGAUACCCUUGGGUUUGUCCUUGGGAGAAGUGGGGGCGUCAUAAGUGGUAUCAGAGCGUCUAGGUUAGAGGACUUGAGCAAGUGGGACACACGUGAUAGGCACUAGGCAUAUUUGAUUCUUUUAAGAUGAAUGAUCGAUUUUAAACUGAAAUGCCGGUGAGCUAAUGAAUUAAUGUUUGUAGGUAUGGAUCUGGACAGUUCUAGUGGUGCGAGACCCAGCGGCGUGGGACUGGGACCAAGACCUCCGAGUGCGAGGGGUCCGGAGGAUCGGGUGUUGCGUAAGCGGGUGAUCCAAUAUCGAAAGAGGCUUGGAGAGUCCUACAUUUUGUAUUUCCCCUUUGGUCAGGUGUUGCACCGACCCUGCCAGUGUUACUAUACGUACGGCUACCCUGAUGAGGUCGCCUUGGCAGUGGACGAUGAGCGAUGCCGCCUUAGAAAGGCUUGCGAUCGCUUGGCUCGACAGUUAGAGGAGGCUCGAGAGAUUGCCCACGGGCAAGCUAUGCGUGUUAGGGAUUUGGAGCGGGGCCUCCGAAACGCACACCAGCACCUCUUCGCUAUGAAGAGGCAGUUUAGGGAGAGGGCCCGGAGUAUUACGUUGGACUGCGAAAUCCUACUCGAUAUGGCCGCGGAGGCACCCCCACGAGCUACCGGCCCAGAGCUGAUAGGCGAGGUUGAUACUCUAGGUUCCGUUGGGGAUUGGGGCCUUAGGGGAGGCGCGUAGGGCCGUUAUUUGAAUUCUCUUUUGCCCAUCUGACAUGUUUUGUUCUAACCAGUAUAGCUGGUUCUUUGGUUAUCUGUUGGCUAACUAGAUUUUUGGAGCUCGAAUGCUCAUGUAUGUAAAGGGGUUUUGUACCGGCUGGAUGUCGGCUAAAUUGUAUAGCUUUUGGUAUGGCUUUGUAAAUAAAUGUGUAUAUUUGAGUAUUAUCUUUUGCACUUAUCCCUUGGAUGCCUUUUGUGCAUUUGCUUUGUGUUUUAUUUUGUUUUUAGUUUGAAUACUAAGCACACGUUAUGUUUGAAUUUAUAGACUUUCGCACUUAAAUGGCAUCCAGUACUCGAGGUAGAGGUAGAGGGCGAGGACGAAACCUUGAAAGGGAACAUGAACAUGAGCCAGAUCAAGUAGCUGGAUGGCUGACCUGUUAGAACGUAUGGUUGACCAACAGGAUUAGAGCCAUGGGAAUACUAUAGGAAACCCUGAAAAUAAUCCAGGCAAUCACGAAGGAGAGGACCGUGCUUUAGAACGGUUACAAAAAUUUGCACCUUCAAAAUUUAUAGGUGGACCUAAUCCUGACCUAGCAGAGGGUUAGAUGGACCGUAUGUUAGAUAUAUUUGCCGUGCUUAGGUAUUUGGAAGAGCGGAAGAUAACUUUUGCUGUUUUUCAGUUUGAAGGGGCCGUCCGAGCCUGGUGGAAUGUGAUUAGGGCCAAGUGGGAGCGGGAACAGACCCCCUGGACAUGGGUUAAUUUUACGCGAGAAUUUAAUGAAAAAUAUCUGCCGCCCAUUGUGCAAGAGAAAUGGGAAGAUGAUUUUAUUCGCCUGUGUCAAGGGGCAUCUAGUGUAGCGGAGUACGAAACCCAAUUUACAAAACUCUCCCGCUUUACUCCGGAGUUAGUGCUAACGGAGCAAAAGCGAAUUCGCCACUUUAUCCAAACCUUGAAUACGGAGAUCCAGAAGGCACUAGCAGCUGCUCAGUUGGACACGUUUAGUCAAGCGCCAGAAAAAACACAGCGGAUUGAGACAGUUAGGGGACAGGUAAAAGCCUUUCAUGAUCGGAAAAUGAGGCAACCCGAUUCGACCAAUUUUCCGACCGGACAGAGUUCGAGAACUGAACCACCUUUUAAGAGGGGUCAAGGAACAGAUGGUCCCCAACCCGCAGGAGCCCUAAACCAGGGUAAUUUUGGGAGAGAUCAAGUAGGGCAAGGGCCCCAAAAAAGUGUCAAACGUGGAGGGGCAAGUGUGGGCAUUAAACCGACCUGUGGUUUCUGUGGGGGCAAUCACACUAAUGAUAAUUGUUGGAAGAAUAGUUCAGUACGGAAGUACUUUAAAUGUAGUAGUACAAAGCAUCUGAUUGCCCAAUGCCCUAAGAUGCGAAAAGAUAGACUUAAACCGCCGAUUGAAGGGACCACAGCUAAGCCAUCAAAUACCAGGGAAAAGGUGUUAGAGUAUAUGCAAUGGGUCAACAAGAGGUGUUAGACCCCUCGGCGGGCAUCGAAGGUACGCCCUUUCUUAUCGGCGCGCCGCAAGUGUUUAGUAGACCCUGACGACACGUAUUCUUGUAAACCCUGCAAUUAUGAUUCAUGAAUAAAGGUAUCAAUUUCGAGGAUGAAAUUAAUCUAAGUGGGGGAGGUUGUGAGACCCCGAUCAGUUUUUAAGUUUGAUAUUAGGUUAUAUUCAUUAUUGGUAUGGUAACAUUCGGUUUUUGGGACUAAUUCGUAAACCCUAAGUUGGGGUUAGUAUUGAAACCCUAGUUUUUGUAUUAAUUAUAAGUUCGAGCGGUGAUUAAAGCUAGUUAUGCUAGUGUGUGUUUUAGUACAGGGACGUAUAAGAUUUGAUUCAUUUUAGAUAGGUUAAGUGAAUUUAAAAGUUAGGAAAAUCCUAAACUAGAAAAGUUCUAUAUGAUUUGUUAGAAUUAUAAAUUGGGUUUAAAACCCUAAUUUUGCCCUUGACAAAAAAGUUGUUAUUUAAUUGCUUUUAUGUGAGAUAAAGUAUGCUUAAGUAUAGGUGAUUAAGAUAGGAAAGUGAUUAGUGAAGCAAUUAAGUAUGAUUAUAUGUUUUGGACUAGAUUAAGUUAUCAUUUAUGGAGUAAAUUGAAAGCUUUUCGAAUGUUUAAGGGUAAGAGUUGAUCAAAUGUAAAGUUGAAGGUGUAAGGGUUUGAGAGCAAAAAUGAAACUUUUGUGUGAUUGGUGGAAAUAGAAAUAUCUUCCAAGGCUUUGACCAUCUUGUCUAUAUCAUAGGAUUUCCAUAAAAAACAAAACAAAACAAGAGAGAGCAAGAGAGAGAUGGAGCCGUGGAGAAGGAAGAGAAAAAACCAAAGGAAGUUUGCAAAGUUCAACCAAAUUUCUGUUAUAGAUCUUUAUCUUGAAGCAUAAAGAAUCCAUCUUGGAGUUGGGUUGAGUUCAUUAGUCAUCUUGAUGUAAGAAAGUUCCUAUGCAAAGCUAAGUGUGGUUUAUGAUGCUUGGGAUAGUGGAAAUGAUGAUAAUGGUUGUUAGUUGUGAUUGAUUAUGGUGUCUCUUAUGUUUAUCACUUGAUUUUAUGGAUUAAUUUAGUGAAGAAUGAGGCCUUGAGGUUCGGCCAUAUGAAUCCUAAUUAGGGUUUCAUGCUAAACAUGUUGGUUAGCUUUAAUCAUGUGUUAUUGAACUUGUAGUGGUUGUGUUUGAUGAUUGGUUUCAUUGGGUUUGUGAGUGAAUGGUAAAAACUGAUUUGGGUUAAGAAACCCUAGGCUUCCUUAGGUUAGUUCAGCUUGGCUAAUGUUUAGUGAGUUAGGGUUUGGUUAGAAGGUUGAUAGAUUAAGUUUAAUGAUGCAUAUAAAGUUAGGUUAGGGAUUAUGGUUAGUUUUAGGUAAUUUUGUAGUGACUUAGAGGGGAAGUUUCAGACCAUUUGUAGGUCAUUUAGAAGUUAGUAUAUGUGUGUUUAUUUGGUAUGAAUUUGGUUGAAAAUCAUGUAUAAGAACCAUAGAAAUGAACCAUGCAUUUGCGACAUUUGAAAUCGGCAAAACGGGUAAACAGGGCAGCCCAGCACCUGAACUUGAGCUCCAUUUUUCUUGGUACUACGUAUUGAUUUAAAAGUUUCUUAAAACAUUAAAGUUGUAGCCUCUUAAGUUCUAAAUAUGCUUGCAAAAUUGCAGGUAAAACGGAUCAGUGUAGCCUGAGUUAUAGCCAAAAUACUUGCACCUAUUUUGUACACUGGAUUGUGUUACGUUUUUGAAUUCUGCUUCUGACCAUGCUCUGUCCAUUUUGAUAACGUGUGAACGGGGUGUUGACCUCUUCAUAAGAGUUUUAGAUCUUGGUUUUAGCUUCUAAAUGGUAUAAAGUGCAUCCAAAACCGAGUUCCGUAGCUUCAGUUAUAACCAAAACAAGAUCGGUUGUCAGAACUGCCUUCGAAUUUGGACAGUUCUGACAGGGACGUUUGAACCCCUUUUUUCCCAUGCUCCGUAUUGAUUCAGCUUUUGGUCCAAACAUGAAAGUUAUAGCGUUAUGAAUGAGCUUUCUAAUGCCUUUGGAAUUUAUUAAUUUCGAUUUCUGAGUCGUGAGUUACGAUCUUUCAAAUAGGGCCUGUUUGGUAACCCGAAAUGAAAUGACUGGAACUAUUUUAUGCAGUUUUGACCAAUAUCUAUUGGGAUCUGGGUUGAGAUGUCUAAAUAAAAGUUGUAGCCCUUCCUCUUAGCUUCAAAACGGUGUCUUACUCACUUAGAUCCGACAUUCCUAGCCUAACGUUUGAUCAAAACGGUUUGGGAUGGCAAAUCUGGCCGUUUUCGUUUCCGUUUCCAUGUCCGUCUCCAUUUCCGUGUGUCGUUUCCGCACUUGCAUGUGUCAAUUUUGCCGUUUUACUUGAGUUAUGCAUGUUAGUGGCCGUUUGUGAUAUAUUGUGAUGCAAUCUUCUAUUUCAGACGGUGACGGGUUAGACGGUGCUGGUGGGACCUACUAGCUGUAAACGUGACGUGAUCCUUGCAUUUUUUUGCUAUACGUACCAUUGGAGUAAGUAUUCAAGCCGUUUAUGUGUUUAAAUUGCUUAUGUGUUUUGAUGUGAACAAAAGGGGGAAUUAGGCGAGAGUGUACUUUAUCACACUCAACCUCUAUGUUUAUUCAUGAGAUGUGUAUACAUGAAUUAUUUUUGUGCUGAACCCCUUUAGCUUAAAGCUCGGGGUGACUUUCGUAAAUUUGUGAAAUACGGUGAAGUUGUGGGCCGAUCUCAAGACCUAGACGGACUAUUCGAGCCGGCCGGGGCUUGGUCGAAUCUAGUCCAACUUAGUCUUGAGGUCACCAAGUUUGUAUGUUGCAUUGGUGAACCAAGUUUGUGACCCAAGCUUGUGACUCAAGCUCAAGUUUGUGAUUUCGUUCGCUCGAGCAAGUUUGUGAGGUGACUUGCCAGUGAGUGUGAUAAGGUAUUAGGUGGGAGUACAAGUGGAGUUCUAUGGACCUUAUAUGUGGUCGACGGAGUGUCGGCAGGAGGUCACGCAUGACCAAUGACUUGGCUUUGGAGCCAACCUGUAUCCUUAAUUUGUGAUUGUUACUUGGUACCUUUGAUUUGACAUCUUUGUGAUAUAAUUGUUCAUCAAUAUGCAAUUUAUGCUUUUACCCCUAUUUACUUACUAAGUUUCUAACUUACCCCGUUUCCUUUGCUUUCCUUGACAGGGGACGAUGUGGGGAACUCCUUGUCGCAUUCACUAGUAUAGUUAGGUCGCUUGUAAUAGUUGGACAAUUAAGAUGGUUGUUUUUGUUUUGGUGAUUUGUAUAAGGACCCUUCUUAGGGUCUACUUUCUGCUAGUUGUUAUCAUAAUGUAAUAUAGUAGUCUGAGUAGCUACUUUUGAGGAUGUAAAUAGAAUUUUUUUUUUUGGGAUUGAAUAUAUUGGGAGUAGUACUCUUUGGUUUAUUUAGUUUUGUUAUUUGAAAUUUUGAGUCCUGGCGUGAGUUAGGCAGGCGUCCCGCCGAUACCCUCGGGUUCGUCCUUGGAAGUAGUGAGGACGUCACAGGUGGUAUCAGAUCGCCUAGAUUAGAGGAUUUGGACAUGUGGGACACACGUGAUAGGCAAUAGGCAUAUUUGAUUCUUUUAAACUGAAUGAUCUAUUUUAAACUGAAAUGCCGGUGAACUAAUGAAUUAAUGUUUCUAGGUAUGGAUCCGGGCAAUUCUAGUGGUGCGGAACCCAGCGGCGUGGGACCGGGACCGAGGUCUCCAAGUGCGAGGGGUCCGGAGGAUCGGGUGUUACGUAAGCGGGUGAUCCGAUAUCGGAAGAGGUCUGUAGAGCCCUACAUUUUGUAUUCUCUCUUUGGUAAGGUGUUGCACCGACCCUGCCAGUGUUACUAUACGUACGGCUACCCUGAUGAGGUCGUCUUGGCAGUGGACGACGAGCGAUGCCGCCUAAGGAAGGCUUGCGAUCACUUGGCUCGACAGUUAGAGGAGACUCGAAAGAUUGCCCACGGGCAAGCUAUGCGUGUUAGGGACUUGGAGCGGGGCCUCCGAAACGCACACCAGCACCUCUUCGCUAUGAAGAGGCAGCUUAGGGAGUGGGUUCGCAGUAUUACGUUGGACUGUGAAGUCCUACUCGAUAUGGCCGCGGAGGCACCCCCACGAGCUAUCGGCCCAGAGCUGAUAGGCGAGGUUGAUACUCUAGGUUCCGUUGGGGAUUGGGGCCUUAGGGGAGGCGCGUAGGGCCGUUAUUUGAAUUCUCUUUUGCCCAUCUGACAUGUUUUGUUCUAACCAGUAUAGCUGGUUCUUUGGUUAUCUGUUGGCUAACUAGAUUUUUGGAGCCCGAAUGCUCAUGUAUAUAAAGGGGUUUUGUACCGGCUGGAUGUCGGCUAAAUUGUAUAGCUUUUGGUGUGGCUUUGUAAAUAAAUAUGUAUAUUUGAAUAUUAUCUUUUGCACUUAUCCCUUGCGUGCCUUUUGUGCAUUUGCUUUAUGUUUUAUUUUGUUUCUAGUUUGAAUACUAAGCACACGUUAUGUUUGGAUUUAUAGACUUUCGCACUUAAAUGGCCUCCAGUACUCGAGGUAGGGAUAGAGGGCGAGGACGAAACCUUGAAAGGGAACAUGAACAUGAGCCAGAUCAAGUAGUUGGAUGGCUGACCUGUUAGAACGUAUGGUUGACCAACAAGAUUAGGGCCAUGGGAAUACUAUAGGAAACCCUGAAAAUAAUCCAGGCAAUCACGAAGGAGAGGACCGUGCUUUAGAACGGUUACAAAAAUUUGCACUUUCAAAGUUUAUAGGUGGACCUAAUCCUGACCUUGCAGAGGGUUAGAUGGACCGUAUGUUAGAUAUAUUUGCCGUGCUUAGGUAUUUGGAAGAGCGGCAGAUAUCUUUUGCUGUUUUUCAGUUUGAAGGGGCCGUCCGAGCCUGGUGGAAUGUGAUUAGAGCCAAGUGGGAGCGGGAACAGACCCCCUGGACAUGGGUUAAUUUUACGCGAGAAUUUAAUGAAAAAUAUCUGCCGCCCAUUGUGCAAGAGAAACGGGAAGAUGAUUUUAUUCGCCUGCGUCAAGGGUGCAUCUAGUGUAGCGGAGUACGAGACCCAGUUUACAAAACUUUCCCGCUUUGCUCCGGAGUUGGUGCUAACGGAGCAAAAGCGAAUUCGUCGCUUUAUCCAAGACUUGAAUAUGGAGAUCCAGGAGGCACUAGCAACUGCUCAGUUGGACACGUUUAGCCAGGCGUUAGAAAAAGCACAGCGGAUUGAGACAGUUAGGGGACAGGUAAAAGCCUUUUAUGAUCGAAAAAGGAGGCAACCCGAUUCGAGCAAUUUUGCGACCGGACAGAGUUCGAGAACUGAUCCACCUUUUAAGAGGGGUCAAGGAACAGAUGGUCUCCGACCCGCAGGAACCCUAAACCAGGGUAAUUUUGGAAGAGAUCAAGUAAGGCAAGGGCCCCAAAAGAGUGUCCAACGUGGAGGGGCAAGUGUGGGCUUUAAACCGACCUGUGGUUUCUGUAGGUGCAAUCACACUAACGAUAAUUGUUGGAAGAAUAGUUCAGUACGAAAGUGCUUUAAAUGUGGUAGUACAGAGCAUCUGAUUGCCCAAUGCCCUAAGAUGCAAAAAGAGAGACUUAAACCGCCGACUGAAGGGACCACAGCUAAGCCGUCAAAUACCGGGGAAAAUCGACCCAAAGGACCAGUUAGAGUAUAUGCAAUGGGUCAACAAGAGGUGUUAGACCCUUCGGCAGCAUCGAAGGUACGCCCUUUCUUAUCGGCGCGCCGUAAGUGUUUAGUAGACCCUGACGACACGUAUUCUUGUAAACCCUGCAAUAAUGAUUUACGAAUAAAGGCAUCAAUUUCGAGGACGAAAUUAUUCUAAGUGAGGGAGGUUAUGAGACCCCGGUCAGUUCUUAACUUUGAUAUUCGGUUAUAUUCAUUAUUGGUAUGGUAACAUUAGGUUUUGGAACUAAUUCGAAAACCCUAAAUUGGGGUUAGUAUUGAAACCCUAAUUUUUGUAUUAAUUAUAAGUUCGAGUGGUGAUUAAAGCUAGUUAUGCUAGUGUGUGUUUUAGUACAGGUACGUAUAAGAUUUGAUCCAUUUUAGAUAGGUUAAGUGAGUUUAAAAGUUAGGAAAACCCUAAACUAGAAAAGUUCUAGUGAUAUGAUUUGUUAGAAUUCUAAAUUGGGUUUAAAACCCUAAUUUUGCCCUUGACAAAAAAGUUGUUAUUUAAUUACUUUUAUGUGAGAUAAAAUAUGCUUAAGUAUAGGUGAUUAAGAUAGGAAAGUGAUUAGUGAAGCAAUUAAGUAUAAUUAUAUGUUUUGGACUAGAUUAAGUUAUCAUUUAUGGAGUAAAUUGAAAGCUUUGCAAAUGUUUAAGGGCAAGAGUUGAUCAAAUGCAAAGUUGAAGGUGUAAGGGGUUGAGAGCAAAAAUGAAGCUUUUGUGUGAUUGGUGGAAAUAGAAAUAUCUUCCAAGGCUUUGGCCAUCUUGUAUAUAUCAUAGGAUUUCCAUAAAAAACAAAACAAAACAAGAGAGAGCAAGAGAGAGGUGGAGCCGUGGAGAAGGAAGAGAAAAAACCAAGGGAAGUUUGCAAAGUUCAACCAAAUUUCUGUUAUUGAUCUUUAUCUUGAAGCAUAAAGAAUCCAUCUUGGAGUUGGGUUGAGUUCAUUAGUCAUCAUAUAACCUUCAUCUUGAGGUAAGAAAGUUCCUAUGCAAAGCUAAGUGUGGUUUAUGAUGCUUGGGAUAGUGGAAAUGAUGAUAAUGGUUGUUAGUUGUGAUUGAUUAUGGUGUCUCUUAUGUUUAUCACUUGAUUUUAUGGAUUAAUUUAGUGAAGAAUGAGACCUUGAGGUUCGGCCAUAUGAAUCCUAAUUAGGGUUUCACGCUAAACAUGUUGGUUAGCCUUAAUCUUGUGUUAUUGAACUUGUAGUGGUUGUGUUUGAUGAUUGAUUUCAUUGGGUUGGUGAGUGAAUGGUAAAAACUGAUUUGGGUUAAGAAACCCUAAGCUUCCUUAGGUUAGUUUAACUUGGCUAAUGUUUAGUGAGUUAGGGUUUGGUUAGAAGGUUGAUAGAUUAAGUUUAGUGAUGCAUAUAAAGUUAGGUUAGGGAUUAUGGUUAGUUUUAGAUAAUUUUGUAGUGACUUAGAGGGGAAGUUUCGGACCAUUUGUAGGUCAUUUAGAAGUUAGUAUAUGUGUGUUUAUUUGGUAUGAAUUUGGUUGAAAAUUAUGUAUAAGAACCAUAGAAAUGAACCAUGCAUUUGCGACAUUUGAAACCGGCAAAACGGGUAAAUAGGGCAGCCCAGCACCUGAACUUGAGCUCCGUUUUUCUUGAUACUACGUAUUGAUUCAGAAAUUUAUCAAAGCAUGAAAGUUGUAUCCUCUUAAGUUCUGAAUAUGUCCGCAAAAUUUCAGGUCAAACGGAUCAGUGUAACCUGAGUUAUAGCCAAAAUACUUGCACCUGUUUUGUACACUGGAUUGUGUUACGUUUUUGAAUUCUGCUUCUGACCAUGCUCUGUCCAUUUUGAUAACAUGCGAACUGGGUGUUGACCUCUUCAUAAGAAAUUUAGAUCUUGAUCUUAACUUCAAAACGGUAUAAAGUGCAUCCAAAUCCGAAUCCCGUAGCUUCAGUUAUGACCAAAACAAGAUCAGUUGUCAGAACUGCCUUCGAAUUUGGACAGUUCUGAUAGGGACGUUUGAACCCCUUUUUUCCCUUGCUCCGUAUUGAUUCACCUUUUGGUCCAAACAUGAAAGUUGUAGCCUUAUGAAUGAGCUUUCUAAUGCCUUUGGAAUUUUUUGAUUUUGAUUUCUGAGUCGUGAGUUACUAUCUUUCAAACAGGGCCUGUUUGGUAACCCGAAAUGAAAUGGCUGGAACUAUUUUAUGCAGUUUUGACCAAUAUCUAUUGGGAUCUGGGUUGAGAUGUCUAAAUAAAAGUUGUAGCCCUUCCUCGUAGCUUCAAAACGGUGUCUCACCCAUCUUGAUCCGACAUUUCUAACCUAACUUUUGAUCAAAACAGUUUGGGAUGGUAAAUCUAGCCGUUUCCGUUUCUGUUUCCGUGUCCGUCUCCAUUUCCGUGUGUCGUUUCCACACUUGCAUGUGCCAAUUUUGUCAUUUUACUUGAGUUAUGCAUGUUAGUGGCUAUUUGUGAUAUAUUGUGAUGCAAUCUUCUAUUUCAGACGGUGACGGGCUAGACGGUGCUGAUGGGGCCUACUAGCUGUAUACGUGACAUGAUCCUUGCAUUUUUUUUUACGUACCUUUGGAGUAAGUAUUCAGGCUGUUUAUGUGUAUAAACUGCUUAUGUGUUUUGAUGUGAACAAAAGGGGGACUUAGGCGAGAGUGUACUUUAUCACACUCGACCUAAACCCUAGUUUGUACCUAUGUUUCCUCAUGAAAUGUGUAUACAUGAAUUAUUUUGGUACUGAACCCCUUGAGCUUGAAAUUCCGGGUGACUUUCGUGAAUUUGUGAAAUACGAUGAAGUUGUGGGCCCGAUCUCAAGACCUAGACGGACCAUUCGAGCCGGCUGGGGUUUGGUCGAAACUAGUCCAACCUAGUCUUGAGGUCACCAAGUUCGUAGGUUCCAGUGGUGAACUAAGUUUGUGACCCGAGCUUGUGACUCAAGCUCAAGUUUGUGAUUUCGUUCGCUCGAGCAAGUUUGCGAGGUGAUUGGCCAGUGAGAGUGAUAAGGUGUUAGGUGGGAGUACAAGUGGAGUUCUACGGACCUUAUAUGUGGUCGACGGAGUGUCGGCAGGAGGUCAUGCAUGACCAAUGACUUGGCUUUGGAGCCAACCUGUAUCCUUAAUUUGUGAUUGUUACUUGGUACCUUUGAUUUGACAUUUUUGUGAUAUAAUUGUUCAUCAAUGUGCAAUUUACGCUUUUACCCCUGUUUACUUGCUACGCUUCUAACUACCCCGUUUCCUUUGCUUUCCUUAACAGGGGACGACGUGGGAAACUUUUUGGCACAUUCACUAGUAUAAUUAGGUCGCUUGUAAUAGUUGGGCAAUUAAGAUGAUUCUUUGUGUUUUGGUGGUUUGUAUAAGGACCCUCCUUAGGGUUUACUUUCUGCUGGUUGUUAUCAUAAUGUAAUGUAGUGGUCUGAGUAGCUACUUUUGAGGAUGUAAAUGAAACUUUUUUUUUGGGAUUGAAUAUUUUGGGAAUAGUACUCUUUGGUUUAUCUUGUUUUGUUGUUUGAAAUUUUGAGUCCUGGCACAAGGUAGGCAGGAGUCCCGACGAUACUCUCGGAUUCGUCCUUGGGAGAAGUGGGGCGUCACAUGCACCAAUUCUAACGAAUUUAAUUUUUCAGAUGGAGAAAAAUUUUGAAAUGCAACUCUGUGUUAUUUCCCAUAAAUGUAGUCAAUACAGGGUUUAAGUGCAUUAUCUCUAAUUUUAGGUAGGAGUUGUUUGCGAACAAGUGUCUGAAUCCCUUUUUCACUCAUGUGCCCAAGUCUCCUAUGCCAGAGGUCAAUUGAUGAAUCAUGAACUGCAUUCACUUCUCCCUUCCCCAACUUGGCUUGUAUCAAGUAGAGGAUACUCUGCUUCUUUCCUCUAGCAACAACGAGAUUUUCUUUGCUAAGUUUCCAUUUGCCUCCACCUUGCAAGUUAUGGUAACCCUCAUCGUCAAGUUUUCUUGUAGAGAUAAGAUUAAGUCAAAUAUCAGGGACAUGUCGAGCAUUUCUUAAUAUUAGCUAGCACCCGGUAUCUGUAUCCAAAUAUAUGUCUCCCAUGCAACAACUUUGCAUGAGACCUCAUUUUCCAUCCUGACAUAUCCAAAAUCUCCUUCGGUGUAGGUUGAGAAGAAAUGCCUGUGAGGAGUAAUAUGGUAGGAUGCACCCAAAUUAACUACCCAAUCACUGUGAUAAUGAAUAAUAUUCACUUGACCAUCAUCACAGAACACAAACACAUUAACAUGAGCUGCCACAACAGCUGUAGUUUUUUCAUCACCUUUUUCCUUCGCCUUACCCCUUUUUUUCAGCUUGUUCCCAUUUUAGAAUUCUGCAUUUUUUCAUAUAAUGCCCAUUCUUCUUACAAUAAUAGCAUGCAAUAUUUUUUCUUGACUCCGACUUGCCUCUGGAUUUGUCAUUUCUAUUGUGGGGUUCUCUACUUUUGCUUUUCCCUCUUCUUUCUUUCUUUUCUGUCACCGGGCCUAAAACUUAUAGACAAUUUCUUGUUUUUUCCUCCUGAACUUUUCAUUCAUCACGGCCUCUUUUGCAAUAGCCAUGGUCAACAUACUAUUCGGACCUGAAUUACUAACGGAGACCACCAUGGUUUCCCAACUAUGCGGUAGUGAACUGAAUAAUAAUAAAGCCUGUACUUUGUCAUCCAAAUUCAAAUUUAAUGUAGUUACCUAGUUUAUCAAUCCCCAAAAAUUACUCAGGUGUUCAGUCGUAUCUUCCCCAUCUUUAUAUCUCAUUCGAGUAAUCUGUUUCAGACAACUAGCCUUAUUCAAACCGAUCUUCCGUUCAUACAUACUUUCAAGUUUUUUCUAUAAUACAUUAGCUCUGGUGUCAUUAGCAAAAUAUUAAAAAAUAUUUUGAUCAAUCCAUUUUCUAAUAUUACCAACGAUUUUCCUGUGCAUAACAGCCCAUUUUUUAUCAAUCAUAUCACUUGGUUUACCUUUAUCUCCUAGAACAGGUUCAAAUAAAUCUCUACAAUACAGGUAGUCUUCCAUUCUAGGCUUACAAAUCGAAUAAUUAGUAGCAUUCAAUUUUAUCAUGCAACCAUUGUCCGAAUCAUCCAUUAUUAACUAGUACAACUGAACAGCCCAACCUGACUGUUUUGAUACCAUUUGUUGGGAAAGGGGUACUGGUACAGGCACACAAUAUCAGAGUUAGCCUAGGAUAAAUUUCUCUUUUCUCAAGUACCAGUUAAAAUAGGAAUAAAUCAAAUCACCAAAUAAUAAUACCAACAGUGAUAAUAAAAUGCAAGAAAAAGAAAAAUAAAAGACACAUGACACCAAGAUUUUUUACGUGAAAAAUCCAACUGGAAAAAAUCACAGAAUCUAGUCCAAUCAGAAAUCUCCACUAUCACAAUAACGAAAAUACACAGGUCUACCCGAAAUAUUCGAGUGACAACAAUAUCACCAAUAGCAACCAAGCCAAUCUACUACAAAAUCACUCCCCAAAAUUACAACUGUCAAAGAAGUAGGUUUCAAAAGUGUUACCAAACGAAGAGAAAAUCCAAAAUCUGAACCGGUAGAUGAGUAGAGCCUGACGAGAGGAUCACAUGGGUAAAAUUUCGUCUCAAUCGGUUCCAAAUUACCCUCCAAUCAAGAUCUUGAAGUUUCUCUCUCUAGCUCUUUCUCUCUCUUCAUUUUUUCUCUCAACCAACAAAAGAUGGUGGCUGACUUUUUUCUCUUGCACCAGGACCGAAGAAUAAUUGCCUUAUGCGGCUACUUAAUGUUCCGUCACAUGAAGCCCUCAAAUCUUAGUGACUUGUGUUUUGGGUUGGCCCACAAAUGGGUUGGUCCACACAGGUCCAACAAAAGGGAAGUUUUAUGACCAUAGAACUAGAGAGCCACCAAGUCAGCUUUGCUCUCCUUAAUCAGAAGAUUUUCCAAUCCCUCCGGCGCGGGAGGGAGGGAUGGUAGGAGUUGAGGAUAAUGUGUGACAGCGAAGAAGAAGGUAUUUUUUCAAGUACAUAGCUUUAAUUGUGAGGAUCAUAAUAAUGCUGAGCAAUUAACGGAUUUAAGUGUGUCUAACAAUCAAAGAAUUAUCUCUUAUGAACUCAAAUAGAGUACUGAUGUUUGAGAAAUCUUACAAGGGCAAUUGAAAAGAACACAACGAGAGCAACAGAUGAACGCAUCCUAUCUUUGAAGUUUGAACAGCUCAAAAUGAAACUUUGAUGGUUUAAGAGCUCUUGGGGCUACGGCUAUUUAUACAAGAGCAUAGCCAAGUGAAGCUAGCAAGACUAUAGCAUGGAUCACGUGGCUGGUUGGUUCGAUUUGAGAAGUUGCUGCCUUCAUACACCAAUCCACAAAUUACCAAAAAUUUUGGAUUUUUACUAAAGGGCCAAAAUUUCUUAAAAUCAUCCGUCGAUUUCAAAUAAUAGUACAUUGUUAGUGUUUUCAAGACUCAAUCUAUUUCAUAGAGAUAUUCACAUUGUAAUAAUUGAUGAAUAAAAUCUGUCACUAUUUUGAAAAUUUACAAGUCAUUAUUUUGGUAUAAAUGCAUAGCCCCAUUUCAUUCAAUCACAUUAACAGAAGAAGUGGUGAUAAAGAACCCUAAUAAAGAUGGUUUUAUCAUGACCAACGUUCAAUUUUCGUACAAGUUAUCUAAUGUGUUUGCAAAUCAUUUUCUUUUUUGCUUGUUGGGUCAUGAAAUUUUUACUGGAGGCACAGUUCUCUCUAACGCUACUACUCAUCAAAACACAAAUUUAGGUAUCAAAACACUACCUGUUAAGGGAGAAUGUGUUCAUUGCCAAAAAAUUCUAGCUUCAGGAUAAAAAUUGGCUUUAGGUGUUUUUAAUAGCAUCUCUUUGGAAUUUAGCACCAUUAGAUACCCAUAAUUGACAAUCUAGACAAUUGAAAUGUCAUCUGGGAGUUUAUGUUCAUCUCAUUGAUUUGAAGCAUAUAAUUGGUUGCCUCACAUUACGUGAUUGAUUAAUAUGGUUUUAACGAGUAUUUUGAAAUUUGAACCAAACUGGUUGGUUCAAUUGCUUGAACCAGGAAAAAAAAACAAUUUUUUACUUCUUUUUUGUUGCAUUUUCUCUUUCGAUUUUAUGAUCUUUUAAGUUUUCAUAAAUUUUUUUGCCUUGACUCUGAUACUAAAAUCUUUCACCAUAAUAAUUCUUUUUGAGCUGUGGAUAAUUUUUACAAUAAUAAAUGCUUUCAUAAAUUUCUUUCGAAUUUGAUCAUUACAAUCUUAAUUUUUAUAUUUUGUCAAAUAAAACUUAUGGAUUCAAUUCUAAACCAUCAUUUUUUAUUUUAAAUUUUAAAUGUUAUAAUACUAUUUUAUGUGACAUAUAAUUCAUCCAUAUUUAUUGUGAGAACUUGAGAAUUUAGAAGUAUUCUAGAAUGGUGUAAAAAAAAUUAAAAUUAAAAGAAUGAAAAUAACAUAUUGUACGUAUAUUGUAAUUUGUGUGAUUUGAAUAUAUUAUAGUUGAAUAAAUUACAUGUUUAGUUAAUUUCUUAUAGAAUCAAAUGUGUGAGAAUCUACAAGAUUAAGGAAAUACAAAUAAGGUUGGGAGUUAACGAGUGAAUUAAUAAAAAAUGCAGCCUUAGUAAACAAAUGAACUAAUGUUAAAUGACCUAGCUAAUCUUUCAUCUUAACUAAUUUACCAUUCAACCAGCUAACUAUCAGAAUAUUAGAAGCAAGAGUUAAGUGGAGGAACUUGGGAAUUAUCGUCCACCGAAUGAAGAGGAUUUGGGUGAUCAGCCGAGAGAAAGUGAGGAAGGCUUCAUUCUCUUGCUCCACUUCAGACCAACCGAGAGAGUAGAGAGAGAGCUCUGCAUUUUCCUAGGCAACUAACUGCUAAAUUCCAAGCGGUGGCUGAGGAAUCAAAUAGAAGGUUGCUUGCAAAGUCCAAGCAGUGACCGACCGAAAACAAGGAGAAGCUAUCUGCCAAUAUCUUUGGGCGGUGGCCGAGAGGAAAACAAAAACUUCAAUUCCUUUCCUUUUCAACCCAACACCGAGAGUAAAACUAAGAGAGUGGGAGAGAAAGGUUAGCUAGCUUCAUCACCAACUAACCAAAAACAAGAAGGAGUACAGCGAGGAAAGCAGGAGAAGCUCGAGCUAGGACCUUGAGGAACCGAAUCAGGGAGAGCUAGAGCAGUCAGCAAUUUCAGAUUCUAAGGAAAGAAAAAAAAAGGUAAAAUUUUAUGAACCUCCUGCUUAUUUAGUGUAAUUGAAUGUUUAAGCUGUGUAUAAACUUUAGCUAGGAAAAAAUGAGUUCUUGGUUGGAAAAAGAAACUUUGUGCAGAACCGAAUGGCAGCUGGAAUUACUUCCGGGCAUCCCACCAUGAAGUACUCCUUCAACCUUCUUCGUAAGUGCUGCUAUACUGAUCUUCUACUGAAUUUUAUCAAGUAACAAAAGCACUUAGAAUUCCUUUCAUACAUUUUCUUAUUUUCAACCUUUGAUUAUUGGCAAAAAAUUUUGGGCUUUAUAUUCGGCCAAAUUUCAAGAAACAUGUGAGCUAAAAUCAUGCCUUCCACAUGUUUGAGAAAAUGUCUUAGUUAAAUUUGUUUUUUAAAAAAAAAGAUUUCUUAUAGUUUUAAAAAAUAGGAACAGCUUCGUUUGCGUCUUGUGCGUCGCUGGUAGGUUGUCUUCCACGACCAUGUCUGCCCUCUAGCUGCCUGCUGGGAGGCGUCCCUCUCCUUCUCAAACCUUUGAAUGCAAAUCCUUUGCUGCUUUAUUCUCAGCCGGUUCUUCACAACCGACUCUGACCAUUCAUAUAUCGCCUGCGACCCAUAAGAGGGAACCAGCUCUCAUGUUUUCACAGAAGGAUCUUAAUCGGCUAGCCACUCCUUACAAGUAUGCCCUAGUGGGGAAAUUCUCUAGGGAAAGACCAAAAAUGGAGAAGAUACGCAGGUUCUUCCUCCCAUUAGAUUUACGAGAAGUUGCUUCGGUGGGUUUGCUUGACUUACGACAUGUCUUCAUAAAGCUGGGGAAUGAAGUUGAUUUUCAUAGACUCUGGGCCAGAAGCACCUGAUAUGUCCAUGGCUCUCCGAUGAGAGUCUUCAAGUGGUCGUCGGCGUUCCAUGUGGAUAAGGAACCGUCUAUCGCCCCCAUUUGGUUCCAGUUCCAAAAACUGCACCGCAGUGCACUAGUUCAAUAAGGAGGUUCUCUUUCAGAUCAUCUCAACACUGGGUAAUCCGCUAUUGAUGGAUGCGGCAACGUCAGAGACGACUUGUCCAAGUUGUACGAGAGUCUGUGUGGAGGUUGACCUGCUCAAGCCUCGGCCAUCACAUAUAUGGAUUGGAAACGGCGAAAACGAUGGGUUUUGGCAGUGCUUCAUUCUUGAAAAUCUCCCUCUAUACUGCUCCCAUUGUUUUCGUUGGGACAUGGAGUGGAGGGGUGCUAUGUCUUGCACGCAGACCUCCGGGUAUCUAAAACGGAGGGUGAGAAAGCUGGGAAGUUUCGCCUGCAGCCAAAGGAGGUGCGCCAACGCAAGGAGACUACCCAGGAUGAAGUGGGUGGGCAUUUGGCCAUAGUGGUCGCACCGCUGCCCGUGACAGUAGCUCCAGUGGAGGAGUCUUUCGCUACGGUAGUGGAUACCCAGUUUGUGGCUGGUGCGCAGGCGGAGGGGAAAAUGGUGCCACGGGCAUCACAGGUGGGAGAAGUAGACCUAGUAGAGGGAAAGGCAGGCGGGGGUAGCGAGAGUUUGGGUAGGGAGAGGGAGGAACAUGAGUGUGUGACUACGCAGGCAGAAGAGAGGGCAUUUGAAGGACAGCUUCGUGAGACAAUGAAUGGUACAACGGCGGCAGCAUUUGCGUAGGAGGACCAACCACAGCAAUGUCUGGUAGAGGGGCAACCUGAUAGCUUGCGUGGGUGUGCAGAGAAAUCGUAACCCAGCAGCGAAUUGCAACUGGAGGAAAUGGAAGAUGAGCUGACCAUAGAGUUGCGGGGAGCGAGAGCAGCGGUAGUGAACAUAGAGGAGAGCGAUGCGAGUGAGGAAGGGAGAGAGGUAGAACUCCCUCUGGUGGCAAGCACUUUGUCACCAAGGAUAGUGGUCACAAGCAUUUCUUCAUCUGAUGUUAGAAGGGAACCAGCAGAUCAAUGUGCAGCGGGGGAAAUGAAUAGGCUUGCUGCCGUGGCAUCAGAGGACGAAGAGCUUAAUGAGUUGUAGGGGCGGGUGGGCAAUUUGUCUCCAAGGGGAGAAUCUAAUAAAGUAAGGAUGAUUGGUGAUAGUUUAUCCUUUACUGCGUUCAAUCUAGACCCUGUUAUCAUAUCAAACUCAACAUUGCGACAAGCUGGGUCGCUUGCAUUAUCUCAACCAAAGAAAAGAGGUUCUCAGCUGCCGUUUUAGUCAGACCGCACGUUACGCUCUAAGGUGAUUUCUUCACAAAAUUCUUUUGCAAUGUUAUCUAAUCAUUAACUUUAUCUUUUGGAACAUUCGGGGUGUCUCACGUGCCUCUAAUCUUAAGAGACUCCGUAAAUUAGUUAAAAUGCACUCUAUCUCUUUGAUAGCAAUUUGUGAACCUAAGACCUCGAUUGCAAACAUGGAUAUGAUUCGAAUGAAGGUGGGGAUGAAUUUUUCUGUUGCAAACCUGUGGGGUAGCAUUUGGGUGCUUUAUAAAUCUGUUUUUGAUUGCCAAACGAUAUGUGAGUCAGAUCAACAUCUCACUUUAAGCCUCCGAUCCCAAUUAUUGGCUGAGGAGAUCUACUUUUCAUUUAUUCAUUCGAAGUGUACCAUCCAGGAGAGGGAAGGUUUAUGGAUCGAGUUGUUGAAUGACAAGCCGGAGGUAAAACCAUGGUUUCUUGUGGGGGAUUUUAAUGUUAUCUUAAAUACAGAGGAAAAAAGGAGUGGCUUACCUUUUAGACAUGCUCAGGGGAUAGAAUUAUCAUAGUUUAUGUCAUUGGCGGAAGGGUUCUUUAGGUCUAGGUACACAUGGUGUAACAAUCGAUAGGCUAUUUUAAGAGUUUGGAAGCGGCUAGACAGGCUUUUGCUCAACUCAGCUACUAUGCAUAUGGAGAGUAAUAUUUUAGUGCAGCACUUGGGGAGAGACCCUUCUGAUCAUGCUCCUCUUUUGAUAUCGACAUCAAUGAGAUUAGAUGACAAGCCACGGCCAUUCAGAUACCUAAAUAUUUAGACCACAAAACCAGGUUUUAUGGAUAUGAUUGAGGAGAGUUGGUCUAUUUCCUCCCCUGGUUCCCCCUUUCAGUUUUUGUCGGCUAAACUGCGACGGGUUAAACAGGCACUUAGACUAUGGUUAAAGGAAUCUAUUGGUGACAUCUUCUUAGCGAUUCAGACAGCAGAACAGAUGGUGCUAGAAGCUAAAAUAGAUCAUGAUAACCAUCCAUCAGAAACGUCGUUGGUGGCUUUACAAGAGGCACGUGCAAGAUUGAAGCAUACUUUGGUGAUUGAGGAAGAAUUCUAGAGACAGAAAACUCGUGUCAAAUGGCUAUCAGAUGGGGGCAAGAAUAUGAAACUUUUUCACGCUGUGGUGACAGAGAAGAGAAACAAAUCAGUGAUUCAUAGAAUUAGGAAGACAAAUGGUGACUGGGUGACUGACGAGUCGAGUAUUUGUAAUGAAGCUGUCUCGUUCUUCCAAAAAUUGUUUACAAACGAGGGGGGAAGUCCUUGAAUAACAUACUAAACAUUAUUCCAAAGUUGAUCACUGAACAGGAUAAUGAGAUGUUGACUGAGGUUCCAUCUAUGCAGGAAGUAAAGGAAGUAAUUUUUUCAAUGGACGAGGAGAGUGUUGCGGGUCUGGAUGGUUUCACGAGAAAGUUUUUCACGUCUGCUUGGGAGGUGGUCACUAAGGAUGUUCAAAGGGCUAUUGUCAGUUUCUUUUAUGACACAACGUUGCCAAGAAGUGUCUCAGCUACUUCAAUUGUUUUACUAUCCGAGAUACAAUGUCCUCAUGAUUUCACUCAAUAUCGCCUGAUAAGUUUAUGCAAUUUUAUCAAUAAGGUUAUCUCCAAAAUUUUAUCUUCCCACUUGGCAAAGGUUCUUCCUCACAUUAUCUCACUACAACAGAGUAGUUUGGUGUAAGGGAGACAGAUGGCGGAUAAUUUUCUAUUAGCGCAAGAAUUAUUGAAUGAUAUUAAUAAACCUAAUAGGGGAGGAAAUGUGAUGCUCAAGCUGGAUAUGAUGAAGGCAUAUGAUAGGGUGUCUUGGUUGUUUUUUAUACGAGUGCUUCGUCGGUUUGGGUUUAGUGAAGUUUGGAUCGAUAUGAUAUGGAGACUGAUAUCGAAUGUUUGGUUUUCUGUCUUUGUCAAUGGCUCGCCCCAGGAUUUCUUUAAGUCCUCACGGGAUUUGAGACAAGGUGACCUAAUUUCGACAGCCUUGUUCGUUAUUGGUGCAGAGGUCUUGUCCCGUUCACUCAAUAUGCUUGCGGAGUAUAAAAGAUUCAGACCAUUCAAAGUCCCUAGAGGCUGUUCUAUGGUCACACAUUUGGCCUAUGCAGAUGACGUAGUCAUUUUCACUAGCGGCCUUAAGGCUUCAAUAACAUUGGUCAAAGGAGUAGUCGAUGAAUACUGUGCAUUUUCCGACCAGCGUGUUAAUUGUCAGAAGAGUUGUUAUUUGGUGCAUCCCACCUUGUCUUUGCAAUGACGUGCGAUGAUUGGAAUGGUAAUCGGCUUCUCGUACAAAUAUUUUCCAAUCAAAUAUCUUGACUGCCCCCUUUAUAUUGGAAGAAGGCGGACGCAUUAUUUUGCCGAACUCUGCGACAUGGUAAUAGUCAGAAUCCUAUCAUGGAAGAAUCGGGUCCUCUUAUUUGGGGGCAAGAUUGUGCUAUUAAAGAGUGUUCUGUCUUCAAUGCCAAUCCACCUGUUAGCAGUGGUAUCUCAUUCGAAGGGAGUCAUUGCUUCCUUAGAAAGGGUGAUGGCAAAUUUUUUGUGGAGUUCGAUGAAUAUGGGCCAGAAAUUUCAUUGGUUAAGUUGGGAGGAGUUAUGCCGUCCACAUCAGGAGGGCGGGAUUGGAGUUCAUAGCUUGGCAAAGGUAUAUGAUGCUUUUUCCAUUAAACUUUGAUGGAACUUUCGGCAAAGGAGAUCCCUAUGGGCUGAAUUUUUAACAACAAAAUAUACUUGAGGGGUGCACUCUUGUUUGGUAGAAGAAGGCUAUUCGCUUUCUUACAUUUGGAAGAGGUUAUGUUCGAUUCAACAGUUGGUAGAAGAGCAUAUUUGGUAGGUCAUCGGUGAGGAAUCAAUGGAUUUCUGACAUGACAAUUGGAUGGGAACUGGAGCUAUAUGCCAUCAGGUGGAAAUUUUUCAUGAUCAUAUUGUGUCAGAUUUUUUCUUCCAAGCGCAAUGAAAUAUGCGACUCCUUAAUCAAGUUCUAGACCCUGAGUUGGUUAGGCAAGUUGUGAAGAUUCUCCCUUCAUUCGUUCAUAGUUCUGAUAGGAUGGUGUGGGUUUUAACGCAGAAUGGUUCAUUCUCGGUUUCUUCGACUUACACGCUUGUUUCGUAGGCUUCUAAUUAUUCAUGGGUGGUUUCGCAUGUGUGGCUGAAGCGAUUUUCUAUCAAAAUCUCCUUCUUUAUGUUACAGUUGCUACGUUUGCGUCUUCCCCAAAUGGACCUGCUACGUAGAUUUGGGGUACAGGGUCCAUCUAAGUGUCAUUGUUGUUCUGAGCCAGCAGAUGACGAGGUUAAUCACAUAUGUUUAACAGGGGAUUUAGCUAAGGCUGUCUGGAAUAGAUUUGAGAGUGUCCUAGGAGAUUUGGAUAUGGUGUCCACGUUGAGACACGUGCUGUUAUGGUGGUGGCUGCGUAAGGGGCACAAUGUGUAUCUCAGGUUCGUUUAUCGUACAUUACCUAUGCUCAUCUGCUGGAAAUUAUGGAAAGCGAGAAACAGGGGACUGUUUGAUGGAAGGAAGGUGGCGUGGACGGAGGUGGCAAAUCAGGUAUUUCAAUAGCUAUGUAAUUUACUACAUUGUAAUUUUCCGGAAAUAGCAUGUUCUUUCGUCUCUUGGGAUGUUCUUCACUUUUCAUUGAUAGCUCAGAAAAGAAGGGUUUAUAUUUUACCGAUUACAUGGUCGGCUCCUAGGGCAGGGUAUAAGUUGAAUUCGGAUGGCUGAACAAAGGGGAACCUAGGAGUUAGUAGGGGUGGGGGAGUUGUGCGAGAUGGGGAAGGGAGAUUUAUUGUCGGUUAUUCCUGUUUUUUUGGGUCAUUGACCAGUUUACACGCGGAGCUCGAGACCAUACUCUUUGGGGUGCAGCUCUGUGUUGCUUGAGGCUUACAAGACUUCCAUGUUGAAUCUGACUCACUUGUCUUGAUGCAAAUACUCCAAGGGACACAUGGUUGCUCUUGGAGACUCCAACGGGAGGUGGCUGAAUUAUUCAGUUUCAAGCAUCAUUUUCGUGAGAUAACCCAUUGCUAUAGAAAGGCGAACAAACCUGCUGAUUAUCUAGCUAACCUUGGCACAAAUUCAGAGUAAGAGGAUGUUUUUGACGACUUUCGUUCUUUGCCAGCUACUGUCUGUGGAGAGAUUAUCAUGGACACUUUAGGUUUCCCUAAUUUUCGUAGAAAAUUUCUAUAGCUUAGCUAAAAAUUUGUAUUAAAUAACUGUCAUAUGGAUAUUUUCAUGAGAUUGGGUUUGUUGGCAGGGAGUUUCGUCCAUUUAUAAGGGGAAACUCUGCCAAAAUUUUUUAAUUAAAAAAAAACUCUUAGUUAAAAAAAAACAAAAAAAAGAAUGGCAGCUGGAAAGAAAAUUGCAGAAAUGGGGAAUGGAAACUAGAAAUUGUAGCUUGUUAUCAAUGUUUCUUUGGAGAAUAAUGAUAGGAAAUGCAUGUUCUACAUUACCUUAAGUUUUAUAAGAGGUUUAAUCAGCUAAACAUGGGCUUUAUACAUUGGGUUUAGCUACGAAAUCAGUUCUGGUUCAAGGAAAACAUUAUACAUCAGAAAUGGUAACUAAGAGCAGAAACGAGCUAUGGUUCUGUUUAGCUCUUGAAAUCAGUCUCACGUUUUGUUUAGUCUUGAGUUAUACCUUACAUGCUAGCUGUAACCUAAGACUGAAGGGAAUCCUAAAGAACUUACAAAUGAUAUCUUGUUGAUAUACGCAUGCGAAAGCAUGCAAAUCUGAUGCAUGCAUGGCACCAGAUUUGCAGCUAGCUGCAGAAAUGAAACCAAACUCAGUUUUUUUUUCUCAUUUGAAUCCUGGUCAUGAACGACCUUGUUUAGCUUAGGAUAACCUGCAACAAACAAGGUUAAAGCAAAUAGAAAACUGAAGUGAACAAUGGACGACUGUCGACUGCACAAAAAGACCUCAUUGCUCCUGACCUGUUUUCAUGUGGUUCUGGUCGUCCACUUUUGACCUUGAAAACAUGAGAACUGGAUGUCAAUGUCUCAUAAGAAAUAUAGGUCUAUGUUUUAGGUUCGAAACGCUAUAAAAUUCGCCUCAAUCCGAUAAGCGUAGCUCCAAUUAUGAUCAAAACACCCAAGGAUGGUAAAGCUGCUUUUCCUUUUGUUCCUGAAUGCACUUUGCUAAAAUGCUCACCGUGAGGAACCAACUUUUAACUAGCAUUUUCUCUAAUUUCCAACUUUGUAAGAUUUCAUAAAUGAUAGCUACGGUUACUCUGAGAUUUAAUGGCUAUAUAUAGCUCCACAAGUAGAGUUAAAUUUGAUAAGAGUUUAUUUUACGUAUUUUUAGUGUGUUUUAUUAGUUAAUUUUGGUUUGAUUAUUUAGUUUUAUAACUAAAAUAAUUAAGGUUUUGGUAAAAAACUACAUUUUAUGUUAAAGUGGCUAAACAUUGCAUUUUAUGGAUUUUUAUGGUAAAAUCUUCAUAUUUUGUAGGUUUAAUAAUUCAAUCAUCAAAUGAAGUGCAUUGAGAAGAUAUUUGGAUGAUUGAAGAUGGAUUAAAGUGGUGAAAAUAAAAUAUGAAGUGUAAAAAGGAAAAAUGCAAUUUGAAUCAAGAAAAGUCAGGUUUUGACAACUCAGACACAUUUUCGUAUUUUGACUAUAUCUGGAGCUACACAGAUCGGAUCAAGAUGAUCUUGGUACCAUUUUGAAGCUAAGAGAUAUAUCUACAUUUGGUAUGAAGACAUUAAAGUCCAAUUCAGCCGUUUUCAUAGUCCAAAAGUUGAAAUACCGAAAUUCAACUCAGCUGUCCAAAGUGGAAAACAGAGCUCUGACCAGUGUUUAGUAUUUCGAUCAUAUCUCAGGCUACAAAGCUCAGAUUUGGAUGAUUCUUGAAGCAUUGGAAAGAUAACUCAAAGGGAUACAACUUUUGUGUUUUACACAAAAACCAGUUCGGCCUUUAUGAUAGAGAAAAUUGCAGUGGAAGUAAGGACAAAGUGAAUACGCGAGUACACAAAACGUGACUUGUAACCGCGUUUUGUGUAGGCGCGUUUUCUGGCCGAAAUUCUGCAAUUUGUUCAGUCAACUCUCUUGUGUUCAGACUACUUUCCAGCUGUAAGUUGCAAGUGAAUUUGGUGCACAUGCUUCAGAAGACAAAAAGAGCAUACAAUAUGGCUUAUUCCAAGUCAAAAGUCAUUAUUUUUUUGACUCCUUUAACAAAUUCAGAUUUGGAGAAUCAUAGCAGAAAUUUUGGACCAGUGGAAAGGCACCUGAUAUCAGUUUUAUAUAGAACAAUCAGAGGGAGAAAAAAAGGAGAAACGUACGGGAGAGAGCUUGAAGUGCAGAAAUGUAGUUCUUCCAUUUCCUUUGUGUAGGAUAGUUUAGCUAGUGUAGUUCAUCCAUUCUUGUAUAUUGCUAGACUAGGAUUAAGAUGGAGAUGAAGAAGGCAAGGUGAUGAGCUCAAGUGACAUGGGUUGUAUUCCUUCCAAACUCUUUAUCUUUGUAUUUGAUUCCAAGUUUAGUUAAUAUACAAGUUCUGGAUUUUGUGUUUAAUAUGUGUAUCUAAAGUUUAAGCCUUGGGUUUGGUUGAACUUUCUAUGAUUGUUAGUGUUUAUUAUUUGGUUAUUUGAUUGCUAUGAUUUGAGCAAGUUAUUUAGCACUUUGGCUUCUUAAAUCAUGAUUAAUCUGGUACCAUUAAUUGUGAUUAUCUAAGGUGUUGUUUCUGCAAUGAAAAUUGAGAUUUAACACUAGUUCAAGAAGUGCUAAACAUAGGGAGUACACUCACGAAAGUAGAGGUGCACUUAUGUGGUUUUUAGUGAUUCAUUUCAUGUAAUUUCAUUGAAGAAAUGAACUUGUAGCUAAUUUCAUAACCAUGAGAAUAGGUAUGGAUUAGUUAUAAGUAUAAUUGAUUCACUACGAAAGUAGGAUUCAAAUGCAUAAGGAAAUUACACCAUAAUUAGCCUAGAUGUAGUAUUCAAUGAUCCAAAUAUAACACUUGCAUGAGUAGUUAGGGAUACCACAACCUAAGGAGCUUUUAUUUGUUAUUUUGUAUAAUUUCAGUAGGUUAAAUUUGUUAUAAUUCAUUGAUAGUCUAAAUAAUAAAGAAACUUUAGUAAUACCGGUAAUUGUUCACUCUUCCCUGUGGGAUCGACCCGAUAUAUACCCUAAACUACUAGUUGACCUGUAUACUUGCAGUGAACGGGUGUAAUUCGGUUUUUUAACUUGUACGUAUGUAAAAUACCCGUCAAGUUUUUGGCGCCGUUGCCGGGGAAGAUUUGGCAAUAUCGGUGUGAAGAGCAACUUUAUUAAUUUAGACAAUUUUUCUUAUUUUUGUUGUUUUUGCUGUAUCUUAUGUGUUUUAUGUCAUUUUUUUUUUGAGUCAACUUUUAUUUUUUUUUAUUUUUUUUUCUGUUUUAGUUUGUGUCUUGGAAUCUAUCCUUCUUAACUAAUCUUACUUUUGAGAUUGUUUAAAAGUAAUUUUAGGUAAUGAGGAAGGUAGGUCAAUUUGGAGGACAAUGCUUGAGAAGUGGAAGAUUGGAAAUAAAUGGUUACCAAGUGCAAAACUCCUUCAACAGAGGUAACCAAGAAUUUACUGAAUGUAUGUCUUUUGAAGAUGGUUUAAGGUGCUUAAAGGCUAAAUUUGAUGUUAUGAUGUUACAAGUUCAAAUGGACACAAUUAUGCAUAAAAUUGAGCAAGGGAGGAAUGUUAAUGCUUUUAAUUCUUAUCAUGUGAUUUGUGACUUGUGUGGAGGUUAUCAUGCUACUAAUACAUGUAUGCAAGCACAAAAUGUGGAUUAUUAUGAUGAAUUAGAGCAUUACAAUCCUUGUUUUGAUCAAUAUAGUGCUAAUUGGAGCAAUUCUCCUGCUUAUGGUUGGAAUAAUCAAUGUACUUAUAGUGAUAAUUCAUGUUUUUAUGAUUACCAACCUGAAAGUGUCCAAUAUGAAUCAAAACCAUCUUGGGAGUUGGCAAUAGAAAGGCUAGCUAAUGCAUCUUUGCCUUGGGAGUUAGAAAGUGAACCAUUAGCUAAUGAUUCUAAUGCAUCUUGGGAGCUAGCUGUAGAAAAUUUUUCUAAUCAAUUUGAUUUAGCAUUAGAAAAGCUAGCAAAUGCAACUUUCGACCGUUUUGAUAGGAUUGAGGAAAGAAUAGAUGAAUUAGCUUCUCACUUUGGUCGAAUACAUGAGCAAUUGAGUGCAUUGUGUGAAGUUAUUUCCUCUAAUAAUUUGCAAAAUGAUCCUAGCAUGAAUGAUGGGAAUGUUGUAUGUGAAAAUGGGUUGCAUUUUGAUGAAAAUGAUGAAUCUCAAGAGUGUUUCAAUGAGCAAAUGUCCAUUUCACAUGAUAAUAUCUUUGGAACUAACUUUGAAUCUCAAGAGGUGAGUUUUAAUGACUCAUUUUUCACCCCUCUUGAGGAGUGUAUAAAAAGUACAGGUUUUAAAGAUAUUCCUGCCCAAGAUACUUUCAUGACAUUUCCUUUGGUAAGUUCUCAAGUGGUGCAUAUUCAUGGUAAUAUCUAUGAAACACUUGGAAUAUGUAAGUCACUUUCAUUUCUCACAUCAUUAGAUCUUGUGGCUUUUGCUAUAAAGUCACCUUUUAAUGAUCCACCACGGCCUAAAAUGGUGGAUUAUUCGUUAACUAAACCUCCUUGAAAAAUGAGGUGAAAUAGUCAAGCUAUUGACUUUAAAGAAGCGCUUAUUGGGAGGCAACCCAAUGCUUGUUUAAGUUGGUGUUACUUUGGAGUGAUUUUAUGUUUACAGUAUAAGUUUGAGUUAUUUUGAUGUUUUUCAUUUGUAGGUAUUGGAAAUGAAAGCAAAAGUGACCAAAUGAGGUGAAAAAAGCGAAAUUUGAUCAAGGAACUCAACCCCUCAAUUUGAGUAUUUGUUGUUUUUGAUUUGUUAGAAGGGGUUAAAAUGCAUAUUUUGAUCAUUUUACAUGUGCAUGCAUUGAGUAUUUUAGCAAACAAAUGAUUUAUGAUGCAUUUUGAGUGAUUGGGAUAUUAGUUGUAAAUUUUUAAAAGUUGAAUUUCUGCUAAAAAACGCAGCAGAAAAACGCGUUUCUCAAGAAAACGCGCCUCUGAGUCGCGUGUUUACAGAAUCGCGUUUUCAAUUCUGCACCUGCAGAACAGAAAACGCGCCAUUAAAACGCGACAUUAAGUCGCGUUUUGAAGGAAGUCGCGUUUUGUUGCCUGGAUCAAAGAUGAAAACGCGCCAUUGAAAACUCGACUUCAAGUCGCGUUUUCUCAUAGAACCGCGUUUUCAGUACUGCAACUUUUGGGAAGAAACGCGCCUUCAAAACCGCGAGUUAAAGGCAUGUUUCUACUCACGUUUUCUGAGCAUUUUUUUUAAAGAAAAAAAUGCAGGUUCCUUGAUUCUCUUUUUCUUCUUUUCCUCAUAUAUUUUCUUGUACCUUGAGUUGCUUAUUGUGUAUUUUUUAUAGGUACAUCACUAAAACAAGGGCUUGAAGUUACGGAUAGCCGUUUUGAUGUCUUAAGCCUUUGUUAUCACUUUGGUUUCUCAUUUUCCAUUUUUAGGUUUAUAUUACUAAUGGUUACCAAAUGGAACUCAUGAAGUGAUGAAGACAGGCGAACAACAUACCAUGAAACUUCAUGUUCAAACACAACAAUAAGGAAGUAUUACUUUUCUUUAUCUUGAUUUUCCUUUUUACACAUUGAGGACAAUGUGCAUGUUAAGUGUGGGGGGAUAAAUUGAGAUUAUAUACAUUGUAUGUGAUUGACUUAUUAGUUGCAAAUAUUGGACUUGUGUUAAAAUUCAAAUUUUUCUACAAUCUUGUCUAAAAUUGCAAACUUGCCCCAAAAAGUUUCAAUUUUUUCGAUUUUAUCCAAAGGGGUAACAAGUUUCAUACCAUUAGUAGUUCAAAUUUCUUCUACAUUUGAGAUAAAUAUAUGUAAUUUGGAAACUUCUUUUCUCAUUUAACUUGGAAAUGACUAUUAUGUGAUUAUAAUUUUUGCAUUUGUAGGAAAGUAUAUCUUUUAAAGUGGAGAAAAUUAUGCCUAUAUUUUUUUGCAUAUUUGAUGAAAUUUCUUCUCUUUAUUGGAUUUUAUAAGUUAAGUGAUAAAUAUGGUCAACAAGUGCAAUACUCUUCUCAUGAUUAUUCUUUUGAGGAAUUUAUUAUUAUCUUUGCUGUAAAAAGAAAAAAAAAAGAAAAAAAUAAGAUUUAUUCUACUCCAAUGAUUCUCGUACUUAGUAACCGGGAGUCUUCAUCUAAAAAUGUCGACUUUCGCGUAAAACGGUACUUGAAUUAAGAGUAUGCAAAGUAACUUGAGUAUGUGAAGUGUUGAGUAACCGGUGAUCUUCAUCUAAAAAUGUUGAUCCUCGCGUAAAAAGAUACUUUCACAACUUAAGUAAUAUUUAGCUAUAUUAUAUAAAUAAAUCCCUCUUUAAGUUAAAUAAGAAGAUGAUCAUGGGUUUAGGAAGCAUAUUAUUGACCAUAUGAGUUACUUACUUGUAAGAUUGGGUAAGGAUGAAAAAUUGAUUUGAAUUUGUUAUAAUGACGGUAUAAUUGGCUCUCCUUUACUUGAUAUUAUGAGUACUUGAACUUAAUUGAAUAAUUGCAUAAUGGUUAUUUACUUUGUUUUUAGGAAAUGAAGUUGAAAUGCUACAUAUGUUUAUUUUCAAAUUUUGGAUCAUUGUUGGUUUGUAUUUCUUAUUGCUUGAGGACAAGCAAUGAUUCAAGUGUGGGGGUAUUUGAUAAGAGUUUAUUUUACGUAUUUUUAGUGUGUUUUAUUAGUUAAUUUUGGUUUGAUUAUUUAGUUUUAUAACUAAAAUAACUAAGGUUUUGGUAAAAAACUACAUUUUGUGUUAAAGUGGCUAAACAUUGCAUUUUAUGGAUUUUUAUGGUAAAAUCUUCAUAUUUUGUAGGUUUAAUAAUUCAAUCAUCAAAUGAAGUGCAUUGAGAAGAUAUUUGGAUGAUUGAAGAUGGAUUAAAGUGGUGAAAAUAAAAUAUGAAGUGUAAAAAGGAAAAAUGCAAUUUGAAUCAAGAAAAGUCAGGUUUUGACAACUCAGACAUAUUUUCGUAUUUUGACUAUAUCUGGAGCUACACAGAUCGGAUCAAGGUGAUCUUGGUACCAUUUUGAAGCUAAGAGAUAUAUCUACAUUUGGUAUGAAGACAUUAAAGUCCAAUUCAGCCGUUUUCAUAGUCCAAAAGUUGAAAUACCGAAAUUCAACUCAGCUGUCCAAAGUGGAAAACAGAGCUCUGACCAGUGUUUAGUAUUUCGAUCAUAUCUCAGGCUACAAAGCUCAGAUUUGGAUGAUUCUUGAAGCAUUGGAAAGCUAACUCAAAGGGAUACAACUUUUGUGUUUUACACAAAAACCAGUUCGGCCUUUAUGAUAGAGAAAAUUGCAGUGGAAGUAAGGACAAAGUGAAUACGCGAGUACACAAAACGUGACUUGUAACCGCGUUUUGUGUAGGCGCGUUUUCUGGCCGAAAUUCUGCAAUUUGUUCAGUCAACUCUCUUGUGUUCAGACUACUUUCCAGCUGUAAGUUGCAAGUGAAUUCGGUGCACAUGCUUCAGAAGACAAAAAGAGCAUACAAUAUGGCUUAUUCCAAGUCAAAAGUCAUUAUUUUUUUGACUCCUUUAACAAAUUCAGAUUUGGAGAAUCAUAGCAGAAAUUUUGGACCAGUGGAAAGGCACCUGAUAUCAGUUUUAUAUAGAACAAUCAGAGGGAGAAAAAAAGGAGAAACAUACGGGAGAGAGCUUGAAGUGCAGAAAUGUAGUUCUUCCAUUUCCUUUGUGUAGGAUAGUUUAGCUAGUGUAGUUCAUCCAUUCUUGUAUAUUGCUAGACUAGGAUUAAGAUGGAGAUGAAGAAGGCAAGGUGAUGAGCUCAAGUGACAUGGGUUGUAUUCCUUCCAAACUCUUUAUCUUUGUAUUUGAUUCCAAGUUUAGUUAAUAGACAAGUUCUGGAUUUUGUGUUUAAUAUGUGUAUCUAAAGUUUAAGCCUUGGGUUUGGUUGAACUUUCUAUGAUUGUUAGUGUUUAUUAUUUGGUUAUUUGAUUGCUAUGAUUUGAGCAAGUUAUUUAGCACUUUGGCUUCUUAAAUCAUGAUUAAUCUGGUACCAUUGAUUGUGAUGAUCUAAGGUGUUGUUUCUGCAAUGAAAAUUGAGAUUUAACACUAGUUCAAGAAGUGCUAAACAUAGGGAGUACACUCACGAAAGUAGAGGUGCACUUAUGUGGUUUUUAGUGAUUUAUUUCAUGUAAUUUCACUGAAGAAAUGAACUUGUAGCUAAUUUCAUAACCAUGAGAAUAGGUAUGGAUUAGUUAUAAGUAUAAUUGAUUCACUACGAAAGUAGGAUUCAAAUGCAUAAGGAAAUUACACUAUAACUAGCCUAAAUGUAGUAUUCAAUGAUCCAAAUGUAGCACUUGCAUGAGUAGUUAGGGAUACCAUAACCUAAGGAGCUUUUAUUUGUUAUUUUGUAUAAUUUCAGUAGGUUAAAUUUCUUAUAAUUCAUUGAUAGUCUAAAUAAUAGAGAAGCUUUAGUAAUACCGGUAAUUGUUCACUCUUCCCUGUGGGAUCGACCCGAUAUAUACCCUAAACUACUAGUUGACCUGUAUACUUGCAGUGAACGGGUGUAAUUCGGUUUUUUAACUUGUACGUAUGUAAAAUACCCGUCAAAAUUAAAGCAAAUGAGAGGAAAACUCAUGGUACUUAUGUACCUAAAUUGGCUUCUAAUUACUUAAUAUUGUCUUCACAAAUAUUUUAAAAACUAUAAAAUUUGAGGGACUGGUGUAGUGGAAUAAAAUUUAAUUUACAAAUAACCUAAAGUUUAAUUGUUUAAAAAGGGGACCAAUGGAGUACUCCUAAGCCAUAACCUUAGAAUCUUGAGUGGAAAGUGAUUUAAUACUAAAAUAAAUAUUUUAUAAAUUAUUAACUUGAAGAAUACGUAUGUUCUUGAUUUAAAAUAAUAAAGUUAAUAAGUCUUGAAAUAAAUUGGGGAAUAAAUAUUGAGUAUAUUUUGUAUUUUAAGGUCAAACUUAAUUUUAAUAAUUUAAACGAUAAAGUAGAAUAAAUAUUGAAUAGGUUAUAUUUUAUAUUUUACAGUCAAACCUAAUUUGAAUAAUUUAACUAAUAGGUGAACAUCUACAAAUUGUAAAUUUACCAUGGAAUUAUAUAUUUAUCUCAGAAGUAGCUGCGAGCCAGGAAACGAACCCGAGGUUCGAGAGUAAAUUAUUUGGAUAAUUGGUGAGUGUUUUCCAAAUUUAUAUGUUUAAAUGUCUAUGUGUAUCUAAGUGAAAUAAUGUGACAAAUGUGCUUAUCAUGAAUCAUUACUAAAUGAUUUCUUGUGAAAUGCAUCUCAAUUGUCCCUCGUCUUCUAAGUUGAGGGUGUACUUUAUCGCACUCGACUUAGUUGAAUUUGAAGGUCGAUAAUUGACUGAAUGUUACUGUAAGUGUGCAUGAGUGUAAGCCGUCUGUGUGCCUCGCCGCAUCAGCUGAACUGCACCCCAAAACUCUCUGUUCAACGGACUAUUCGAGCCAGCAAAGGGUUUGGUCAAAUAGGACAGUAGCUUUGGGUAAAUGUUUCGGUAUACUCGAGUAUUACCAUGAGGUUGGGAAAUUAUUGAACUGAUUACUGAAUGUAGGGGAUUGGUUAUUGUUUUAGAAGACAUAAGAAGGCGAAGUGGCGGAAUAUGCAAUGAUAUUGAAAUGAAUGUACAAUGACAGUGAAAUGAGUGUCUCUUGACACUGAAAUGAAUACUCAAUGACAUUGAAGUGGCUCUAAUGCGAGUACCGUAUUCUUUUAAAAGUGAUUGUUUAGUGAAGUGUUUCCUCAAUUGCUUAAUGAAAAUGAUUGUACAGUAAAAUGUGCACUACUUGCUUAAUUAUACUGAUUUAAAUGUUUAUUAAAUGUUACUUGAUCGGCAAACCUUACUGAGUUUUAGCUCAACUUUUAGUUUUGUUUUCCUUACAGGGAUUAGAGGUCGGGGAUCGAACGAGGGAAUUUAGGGAUUUAUCAUGAAGACUUUACCAUUGUGAUUAGUAUCUUAAUAAGGUAGGCAUUUUGUAUCGAUCGAAGUAUUGUAAAAGAAUGUGAACGGUUGGUUUUGGUUUAUCGAAAUGUUAUCUCUGGAGUUAAUGGAAAUUAUCAAAUGGUUAUCUUUGAAAUUAAUGUGAAAUCAAUGAGUCCUGAUGAGAGUCAGACAGACGAUCCGCUAACUUUUAGGGUAUACCCUAUAAAAAGUGGGAUCGUCACAUUUAUAACAUCAUGAUGAUCUAAUUAUGAUAGUUUUUCUAUUUUUCAUAAUGACGAACCUUGCAUUUGGCACCUCUCCAUUUCCCGGUUUUAGAUAUUUGACACUUGUCCUGCAGUGUUUGAAGAGAUAAGAUUUAUUUACUAAACUAGAUUUUAAACCUUAGUUAACUAACUUCAAAAUGCCCAAAUUAGUAGGAGCAAAAUUUUAGGCUUUCUUCCCGUGUUCAUCUAAUCAUCUUCUUGAUUUUAUUGUUCCACCGUAGAAAAACCCUGGACAUUGUCAGCUCUUCGAAAUUCUGAAACUCAAUAGCAAAAUUCAGUUUCACUAUAGUGCUUUUGAAGAUGUUAAAAAUUUUUAUGUGCAGAAUAUGUAUAUAUUGUGCAUCAAGAAACAUGUUAAUCGGCAGCUAUAUAAUUAGAAUACCCAGUCCUUUUGGAGCUUAUUCCAGAGACUCAAGUUCUAAGAUCAUCAACUGAUUAUAUAAGCAAGAAAACCGACAAUGAAAUAAGAUAAAAAGUUGAGAACAACAUGAUUAAUCUGAAUAUUUUCUUUGAGAACUUUUUCAAAAUUUUCAAAACAAAAAAUUCCCUUUCACGUAACAAAAACAUAACCAAUUCACUGCAAUUUGAGAAAAAGAUGCAAGAUCAUGAUUUGGGCAGAAUAUAACUGUAACAAUAUGAACUUAAAUUAUUUUUUCUUUUCCCAUGAAAUUUCAUGAUUUGAUUUUUCCUUCUUUUUUUUUCUCCCAUAUAAAUUUUGAUUGGAAAAGGUUUGGCUUUUUUUCAAAUCCUCCAAAUUACGGUAAAUAUGGUACGUUAAAUUGUGCGUAACCAAGGUUAAGAUGCUGGUUACAAGCAAAAGAAAUCCUGGACAUUGGAUUUAGAUUGAACACACGUCAAAAUCGUAAUGCUAUAUCGAGGAGAACUAGAGAAAAUAAGUAACGAAGAGGAGCCGGAUCCGCUUGACAAUGACCCAUAUCCUAUCCUAGCAUAUCCUUCCUAUCCAAGUUCAAACAAAUUGAUUUAGGAUUUGAUAAGGUCUUGAAAUUUAUUUGGUGGCGUGUAAAUUAGUAUGCUCUGUUUUCUAAGUACAUAAUUUAUGAGACAAGAUUUGGGAGUAGGUAGGCGUGUGUCUUUCAUAAGAGAAGAUUGUCAAAUUACUAUAACUAUAUGGAUAUAUCUUUUAUGCACUAAUAAGAUAUACAUUAGAGGGUCUAGAUGCAUGCCAUGUAUAUAAAGUUUGACAUUCAAAUUCAAAUUCAAAUUAGAUGAUGUGGCUAUAUCCAACCCCAUCAACAUAUAUACUUAGAGUAUAAGAAAGAUUAAGAUUUUGUUUUGCUGAUUCCAAAGGCUUAACUAUAGUAAUACAAUAUUUGAUUUAUUUCUUGUCCCUAUCUGGCAUCUUGCUCACUUAGAUGCAGUCUUAACCGAUCCAAACAAUUGUAUUUGGUUUGAUUCUUUAGCACCCAUAAAUUUUUUCCGAGCUCUGAGUUGGCUUAGUUGGUGGGUACUGCAUAGAAAUACCCAAGAGGAUUGGGGACCUAAUACAAUCCCCAUCAACAUGUAUACUUACAUUAUAAGAAAGAUUAAGGGUCUAUUUGAUAACAUAAAAAUGUGUUGAAUCUGAAUUGUUUCAGACAUUCAGAUGUUUUGAGUGUUUGAUAAAUGAAAAUCUAUUUGCUGAAUUUAUUAAGCAGUGCUGAACUUGUGUAUAUUUUUUUAGCACAAGAAUCCUAACUGAAUGCUUAAUUUUGAUAAGAAUCAAUAGAAUUACUUCAACUACCUUAUCUUAUCUACCAAAUCUACCAUUGUUUGUUAAUUAUGUUCAAAAUUCUUAUCUAAUUAAACAACCUAAUAUUCUCUAUCUAACGAUUUUUAGCUUCUCUUUUCUCCCUUUUUAAUGACUUUCACAUCUUCUCCAUACUCCUCAUAUAAUAUAUUUCAUCUUUUAUAUUAAUUUGAUUUAAAAAUAAAUAUUAUCAUUUUCAUACCUAACAAAUUUAAACUAAUUAAAUUAUAGAUUCUAUUUCUUUUUUGAAUGAAAGGAUAUAAGAGCAAAAUUGUCAAAUUAAACUUAUUAAGCAUUCAGUUAUAAAUAUUUAUCAAACAGUAUAAAUAGGUUUAACAUUAAAAUUCAGACAUUCAUAUAUUUUUUUCAGUGUUUAAAAUUGAACAAAUUAAUUGUUUCAGUAUUCAGAUUUCAAAAUUCAGAUUCAGUUUUAUCAAACGGAACUUAAGAUUUUGUUUUGCUGAUUCCAGAGGCUUAACUAUAGUAAUACAAUAUUUGAUUUAUUUCUUGUCCCUACCUGGCAUCUUGCUCACUUUGAUGCAGUCUUAACUGAUCCAAACAAUUGUAUUUGGUUAACAUGAUGCUUUCUCCACAUCGAUUCUUUAGUACCCAUGAAUUUUUUCCAAGCUCUGAGUUGGCUUGGUGGGUACUGCAUAGAAAUACCCAAGAGGAUUGAGGACCUAACACAAAUUUGUUAUUGGGCAUUUUUAUGUGGUAGUUGCAGUUGUUGAUCACAUUUUUUUUUCCUAAUGUAAGCGUUGUUGGAGGAGGGGGGUUUUGAAUUCGAACCCUUCACUUACACUCCCUUUUCCAAAUCACCCAAUCAAUCCUUCCUCUUAAUCGCAUGGUUCUGAUAGCUUUCACGUCCAUGGAUUUUUAAUCUGGAUAUCUCAGAGUCGGAUUCUGAUCUUUGGUAGUAUUUGAAAAGUUUUCAGAUUGUACCCAAAAAAAAAAAGGUUAAAAUAUACCCAAUUUCUUUUGUUUUAACUCUUCUUUUUCUUUUCCAUUUUUUCCAUUUUUUUUUUCAUACAGUCCUCUAUGUACUUUGAGGUAAGUAACCAGAACGCAGCAAUGGUGCCGUGCCACGAAGCCCUCACCAGCAACUGCUGCCCACCGCCAUUAGGUCCCGAAACUUAAGAAUAUUUUCAGGAUAAACUAUCCUUUUUGCGUACAUUGUGAUUUCGGAGUCCAAUUUGGCCUCCGAAAUUAAUCUAGCCUCUUUUUCUGCAUAAAUCACUGGCAGUUCUCAUAAAAUUAACACAAGGACAAUUCUAGAAUCAAUGACUUCUUUUCCUCUCUACUUCUUUUCUUCUCUAAUUUCUCUCUAUUUUUCUUCUCUUCUCAAAGGUCUUCUCUUGGGUAGGGAGACAACACCUUGAUCUCCCUAUCAGCAAUUUUGUUUUAUUUUAUUUUUCUGAUAAAGUCUCUUCUAAUUUUUUUAGCGAGUGUUUUUUAUUUCUUUUAGGAAUUGCUAGUGAGAAUUUUCUAUUCUUCUAGGGGUUUGUAUGUAGAUUUUUAUCUUUUGUUGUUAGAACCAAAUUUAUUUCAAAUCUGAUUGGCAAAUCUAAUUGUAUAUCUAUAAUUUUCAGUGCAUGCUUGACUUGAUAUUAGGGCAAUUUUAUAAAUCAAAUCAUACUGAAUGAUUUCUGACAAAUUGUUAAUGAAAUAUAUUUUUUUUAUCCAAAAAAAAAAACACAAGGACAAUCCUGAGAAGUCAUAGAACAUUUAUUUAGUACCAAUUUAACACAGUAAAGCAUAGAUAAACAUGAAUUUAAGGCAAAAUUGAAAUUCAUUUGAGAACCUCCAUUACCUCCUUUGACCCUCAAACCCCUCAAAAUUUAGGCAAGGAAAUCAUCUUUUAAGGCGUACAUUGACUAGAUUCGUGUCUAAAUUGGACUAGACUCCUCUAUAUUGAAUUGGAGAAAAGUUGUCUCCAUUACAUCACCAUAAAUUUAAUUCAAACACUAUUUUCAAAAAUUAAUAUCGUUCAUGAUAUAUUUCAUAACUUGUAUUAAUUAUACGUAAAAUUUUGUAUGAAGUUAACAAAGUUUUGUCAUUUGAUUAUUCAUUACUAAUUUUCUUCCAAUUUUAGCCCAUUUUCAAUGUCCAAAUGUUUCAUGUAACUUUAAUGCCAAAAUAUUCUCAAAAGAAUAUCAUUUUUUUCAUAUAUUGAUCUAAAGAUCCAAAGAAAAGUAAUGACAUAAUCAAAUGAUUUUAUAAAAUUACAGUAAUCAAAUGACAUAAUCAAAUUACAGUAACUUAGAUAUAAAUAAAUAAAGAGAUCAAUAUCAAGAGAUUCGACAGAAAGGGUCCUAACCCGUCUAAAUUGGCCAAACAACAAACCAAAAUCACAUCCAAAAUCAAAUUCCUAUCUUUUUUUCACCUGGGUUUUUUCCUUUCUGCUUUGGGAUAUAGUGAUGGCAAACAGAAAUGAAGAUGGUGGUCACGAAAAAAAUAAUGUUUUUAAACUUGGACCGGUCAGUGAACCGGAGAGGGGGCAGGUUUGCGGUCUGACCGGUCCGACCAACUAGUUCAUCGGUUUUCUUUUUUUUUUUUUUUUUUUUUGUUGCAACUUUAGUGUUAAGUAUUUCAUAGGUUUUCAUUCUACACUAGAACUUGACACCUAAUGUACAAUUUAACAUGGUUAUUGAUAACUUAAGUUUUUAAAAUGCAUUUGCCAACAUAACUAAAUUUAAGUUGAGAUAAUAACAACUUUUCUAAAAAUUAUACAUGAAACUUAGAAUGAUAAACAUAAUUAAAAUAUCAUAAUUCACCACAAGUUUUCAUAAAUUCAUUACAAACAUGAAUAGAUACAAUCUAAAUGUUCACCAAUUAUCACAAAUAAAAUCACAAAAAUAAAUAAAAUAAAUAUUGAAAUUCUUUUACAAUCCUUAAAAAAGUCCAACUCAUAUUCAAGACAAACCAUUUGAAUAACAAACUUCCAUUAAUGGAAUGAUAAGCAAUAACACCACCUUUACAAUUGCAUCAACUUAACCUGAAAAAGUUAAAAUUUUAUUAUAUAAAUAUAAAUCUAAUUGCUCAAUGACGGGAUUUUUAUAUCAAUGCAAGUUUAUUUCCGAACUUUACCCGUUGGACUGCAAGUAUACAGGUCACUUAGUAGUUUGGACAAAUAUCAGGUCAAUCCCACAAGGAGAAAGUUAAACAAAUACUAGACCCUUAUUUUCUCUAUUAUUUAGAUUUAAAAUGAAUCUGAACAAGAAGAUUAUAAUGCCACUGUCUACAAAUCCAAUUUAAUAAAUGCUAAAUACAAAUGGAGAAAUUUCACUCAAGAUUGAAUUUAGGGAUUUAGAUUCCACUUAUGGCAUAAACAACACAAAUGAAUAGAUUUACCUCUUGUUAUUAUUUUUGUUUAACCAGGGAUUCAUUUCCAAUAUUACCAAAUCUCAUUCUCAUGAUAAAAUAGCCUAAAGCAGUCCAGUUUUCCCUAUUUUCGUGGUGAAAUACUAGUUUUACUCUGUUUUCCUUCAUGAAAUGCUAGAUAAUCCACUUAAGUGUACCUCUAUUUUCAUGAACAUACAACUCAAGCUCUACUCAUGUUUUUUCAUUGUUACUACUAAUUCUCAUUGACUAAUAAAACUAUAAACAUGCUAUUGGUGAUCAAACAACAACAAGUAAUUACAACUGCACAAAUAGACAAGUUAAUACAAAAUACAACAAGUGUAAAUCACAUUCAAUUCAUACACUUAAUCAUAAGUUUCAUCUACUCCCUAGAUAAAGAAAUUUAGCUACUCAUGAAUGAUAUAACAAUCAAACUCACAAGUUUAUUAAUAUAAAACAUCAUAAAGUACAAGUACAAGAAAGAUAAAGAAAAGCUUAGCCAAUUAAUGGUGAAACCCUCCAAAUUCUGUUAUGUCUUGUACAAGAUGAUUACAAGUGAAGUCUUCAAGUUCUUCCUCCAGAACUUCUAGCUAGAGAAAAAAAAUUGUUUUCCAGAAGAAAAACUAACUACGUAUGGUGAUGCCUAGCUUCUCCCUGUUUCUCUACAUAAAAGGUGGUGGAAAGCACCUUUUUCUCCUUCAUGAUUCCAACAACUAAGAUUUUGUUAAAGAAAGUCAAAAGAUAUGUUGUUUUGACUUGUCAAUAACUCAUUUUGCCUUUCUUUUUGUUGCAGAAGCAUGUGCCACCGAAUUCUCUCACCAAAGAUGGCUGGAAAGUUGUGUGAAAAGUAAGAAAACCGGUUGUGCCACUUGCAGCAGAGAGAGACAGAUCCGAGGGCUUCAGUAAGAUCCGAGCUCGGAUCAUUGCGGAUCUGAGGCCUUUCUCAAAUGGAUCCGAGCUCGGAUCAACUGACCUCAGAUCCAUUAUUCCAAAAAUACACACGAGGGCUCAGAUCAAUCUUGUUGCACACGGAUUUGGGCUCGGAUCCGUGUGAUCAUUUUCCAGAUUUUUGGUUCCUUCCUUUUUCUUUAUUUUUUUUUGCUCCUAGUUUCUUUUGUAUUUUAUCCUCCAAAUGAUCCUUGCUCUUUCUUUAUCUUGUACAUGAAGUUCACAUGUCAAUAUCCUUCAAAAUAUCACAGAUUAAAGCAUUAAUCCACUCAUUUAGCAAGUUUGAUUAUUCAAACAACUUUUAAGCAAUUUGCACCAAAAAGAGUUCAAAUAUGGCUUUAAUUCUCUUGAAACAUAACAAAAGUUCAUGCCAAACUUGUACAAAAUGUACAUUAAAUAUUCACUUAUCAAAUUCUCCCACACUUGAAUCAUUGCUUGUUCUCAAGCAAUUCACUCAUAAUUAGCUUCAUUGAUUCAAAAAGAAAUGAAACAAUACAUGUACUUUUGUCAAAUUUAAUUCCUUAUGACUUGGAAAUCAAUCAUUAUGUCAUUGUUCAAAUUGCACUAAAUACUCAUAAUAUCAAGUAAAGAAAAGAUAAUUAUGCCCUAAUUUUAACAAAUUCAACUUAAUCUCUCAUCCUAACCUAAUUCACAAAUAAGCAACUUACAUAGUCAAUUUAUUGUCUUUCUCCUCCUAUAAUCAUCUUUUCUCAAAAUUUUACAACUAAGAGGGGCUUAUUCUUACUUGAUUUUACUUAAAUAGUGAAAAUGCCUUUUGACGCAAAAAUCGACACUUUUAGGUGAAGAUUCUCGGUUACUCAACAUUUCACUUAUUUAAAUUGCUAUGCAUACUCUUAAUUCAAAUACCUUUUUACGCAAAUGUCGAUAUUUGUAGAUGCCAACCCCCGGUUAUUCGGUACAAGAAUCAUUGAAGUAGAACAAUUUUUAUUUAUUUUCUUUUAUAUAUUUUUUUAUUAGAAAAUAAAUAGAUUUUUCCUCAUAGAAAAUUAUAGUAUAACCUUUUAUAAACUAUAUCAAUCACUUAUUUGGAAAAUUAAGUAAAGAGGAGAAAUAUCGUUAAACAUGCAAAAUUAUAGGCAUAAUUUUCCUUACUUAAUUGGAUAUAUUUUCUAAAAUGCAAAAAUUCUAAUUGCAUAAUAACCAAUUCCAAGUUAACUGAGGAUUAAAUCUUCCCAAAAUACAUAUAACAUUUCAACAAAUGGAAGAAUUAGACAUUCAGGUUGGAACAAUUUGGCCCACAAAAGUGCAAAUAUUUGAGAUAUUUUGGCUAUAAUGAAAUAUUGGAAAUUUUUUGGAAAAAUUUUGACAGAGUUUCCCCUUAUAAAUGGACAAAACUCCCUGUCAACAUUCCCAAUUUCAAGAAAAUUAUCCACAUAUCAAUAUUUCCAAAUAUAAUUCCAAUAUUUCUAAACAACAAUGAACUGAAAACAUGCACUUCAAGACCACAAUCAAGGCAUAAGGUAAUCAAAACACAAAAUACCCCUCCCCCACACUUAAAAUUCAUAGUGUCCUCAUUGUGAAAGAAAGGAAAAGAAACUAGUACUCCCCUAUAAAGAAGUGGUGAUGCAAUUUGAAGCCACGAACAUCACGAACAACCAAAUUCUAUUCAAACCGAAACAAGGGAUAAGGUGAAACAUAAGGAGCACAAGAUUAACAAAAGAAAUGAAGACUUCGAGGUUUAAACAUAAGAAAAGCAAGAAAAACAAAAGACUUGAAAGCUAUUAUGUUCACAACAAAAGAAACAUCAUGAGAGGGAUCUUCACGGCUGUGUAGAAUGAGGAUCAACGCGCUCAGUAGCACCUUGUGGCCCAUGGGAUGUGCCAAUGUGACCUUCCUCAGUGGUAGGCAUCAGAGAAGGCAAACGACGUAUAUGAAAAUGAUCCUCCAAUGCUCGAAGACGUCGAUCAUGCCUCUCCAAUCUCUCUGUGAGUAUACGCUCGUGUUGGUCAAUACGCUCCAUGACUCUGGUCUCCAUGUAGCAGAUGGCAUUGAGAAUCUCUUGCCACCGAGACCUCGAGGGAGGGGGUGGAGGUGAAAUGGGAGUAAGUGGAGUUAGCUGUGCCUCCAUUUCUUGAGCUUCCGAUCGUGGUAUAGGAUGAGGUGGAGGCUGAGCAGAGGUAGAAGCUUCACCAGUGUUGCGAACCAAAGAAGCGCCAAAGUCUGUUGGAAUACCCAAGGACUUGAGUAAUGAAACAUUGACUUCAUCGGCAGCCUUAGUGGCAAUGGCUCGCUCGACUCCUAGAGGAACCUUGAGCUUCUCAAAAAGAAGGGAUAGAAGACAAGGAAAUCCAAAACAGGUUUCGCCGGCCCUCGUGCGAGCUGUGGUACGCAUAUAGCUAAUAAUGAUGCUGCCGAGAGAAAUUCCUGUCAACUGCCAACUUAUUCCAUUCAUCAUCUUAUCCAAAAAGUAUAAGCCGCUAUUUCGGACCUCCCUUUUACCACUUCUCUUAGGUAUCACAUUAAAGGCAAAGAGAUAGAAAAUAAGGUGGUACCUAGGCUCAAAUGAAUCGGCAUAAAUGAGGAGCUUCUUUGAACUUUCUCAUUCAUGGUAUUAACCCUUAAGAUGUGAUACGACUUCCCCGACUUGCCAUGGAUCAUGUGUAUUAAAUUCCUUGGUCAAUUUAACAUCCACUCCCUCGUCCUUGAGUUUGACAAAUCAAGCGAUUGUCUCCCAGGUGAUGGCCACUCUCUUGUCUCGAACCCAAGAGACAAUGAGAUUCCCACUAUGGCUCUGCUUGUCGUCCACAUUAGCAUAAAAUUCUCGGACCAAGUUGGGGUAGUAAUGCCGAGACAACUUCAGAAUAUUGGCCUAUCCGAGUUGACCAAAGGUGGUGGACACCUUGUAAUGAUUGUCCACCUCAGGUGCCAACUGCUUCUCAAUUAUGAUCUCCUUGUCCAAUCCGGUUUCAUACCACUGUUGGUUUUCGAGCCAAGUGAAUCGCGUGGUAUCAUAGUUCGGAGAUGGCUCCUCAUGGCUAGUAGAUGCUUUUUUUCGUCGUGAGCGAGGCAGUGACUCAAGUGAGGAAGAUUCUUCCACGGGAGAAAGGGACUCCUCAAGUACCGAAGGAGUAUGCUCUUCACUUGAAGAAGGUCUUCUUGAGACAUGUUUUCCAGUCUAGAAAGAUGAUCAGCGACUAAGUUCUCGGAUCCUUUUUUAUCUUUGAUCUCCAAUUCAAAUUCCUACAAUAAUAAAAUCCAUCGAAAUAGUCGAGAUUUUGCAUCUUUCUUAUUUAAGAGAUAUUUGAGUGCUGCAUGGUCGGUAUAAAUGAUGACUUUAGAUUCUACUAAGUACGAUCUAAACUUAUCCAAUGCAAAUAUCAUUGCUAACAACUCCUUCUCUGUUGUUGCAUAAUUGACUUGAGUUUCAUUUAUCAUUUUACUUGCUUAAUAAAUGACAUGAAGUUGCCUAUCAUGCUUUUGCCCAAGAACAGCUCCAACUAUAAAAUCACUCGCAUCACACAUCAAUUCGAAUGGCAAGCUCCAAUCCGGUGAUGCUAUUAUUGGUGCGGAGACAAGUUCCUUCUUCAACCUAUUAAAAGCAAAUAAAUACUCAUCAUUAAAGUGAAAAGGAACAUUUUUUUGCAAGUAAUUCACAUAAAAGUUUAGCAAUCUUGGAGAAAUCCUUAAUAAAUCAUCGAUAAAAUCCCACGUGUCCAAGAAAGUUUCGAAUGCCUUUCAUAUUGGUAGGUGGAGGCAUUCUCUCAAUAACCUCUAUCUUGGCUUGAUUUAUCUCAGUAUCUUGUGAAGAAAUUUUGUGCCCUAGAAUAAUACCCUCAUAAACCAUAAAGUGACAUUUUUUCCAAUUGAGUACAAGAUUUGUUUUUUCACAUCUCUGCAAAAUUAAAUCUAAAUUGUUAAGACAAUGAUCAUAAGUAGAUCCAAAUACAGAAAGGUCAUCCAUGAAAAUUUUCAUGAUUUUCUCAUUAAAGUCGGAGAAAAUUGCCAUCAUGCAACAUUGGAAAGUGGCCGGCGCAUUGUACAGUCCAAAAGGCAUUUUUCGAAAUACAAAAGUGCCGUAGGGACAGGUGAAUGUGAUUUUCUCUUGAUCUUCCGGUGCAAUGACUAUUUGAUUGUAUUAUGAAAAACCAUUCAAGAAACAAUAAAAUUCAUAACCAGCCAACAUUUCUACCAUUUGAUCAAGAAAAGAAAAAGGAAAAUGAUCCUUUUUAAUAUCUGCAUUUAGUUUUUUAUAAUUAAUACAAACUCGCCACCCAACUAUAACUCUAGAAGGAAUCAUUUCAUCAUUUUUACCACAUACUAUGAUUAUUCCCCCUUCUUUGGCACUACAUAAAUAGGAGAAAUUCAAACACUAUCAAAGAUUGAAAACAUUAUACCUGCAUCCAGCCAUUUAAGGAUUUCUACCCUUAUCACUUCUUUCAUGUUUGGAUUUAACCUUCUUUGAGUUUCAACAACCGGUUUAGAAUUUUCUUCUAACAAAAUCCGGUGCAUACAAAUAGUUAGACUAAUUCCCUUGAUAUCAGAAAUCAUCCAUCCUAUGGCCUUUAAAUGCUUCCUCAAAACACGUAAGAGCUUUCCUAGUUGUUCCUCAUCUAGUGCAGCAUUGACAAUCACUAGCAAUGUCUCAUUUUCUCAAAGAAAUGCAUAUGUGAGGUGUUUAGGAAAUGGCUUAAGCUCAAGCCAUGGAGUUUGCUCAUACGAUGGCGGAGGUAGCCCUUUGCUCAACCCUAACUCCUCAUACGCAUUGCUCCUUUUGUAAGGAACCUGUGCCUGCAAAAAUUCAAUCAUUUCUUCAAUUUGUUCCUCUUGUAAACCUACACCAUAAAAACAAAAUUCAAGAGAAUCAUCAUCAAGAUUAAUUUAACUCAUUUCUAAUACCAGUUCAUCAUAUAUGUCAACAGAAUAAACAUAGUCGGUAAAAGAGGGGUACUUCUCCACUUUACUCAAAUCAAACUCCACUUCCUCUUUACCAAUUUGGAACUUGAACUUACCACGUUUAACAUCUAUUAUAGUACCUGCAAUAGCCAGAAAUGGUCAGCUAAGAAUAAUAGGUACAUUAACAUCUUUCUCCAUAUCUAAAACAACAAAAUCAACAGGAAUAAUGAAUUUCUACAAUUUAAUAAGCACAUUCUCCAAUAUGCUCAUUGGAUUUUUAAUAGGCCUGUCAGCCAAUUGCAAGGAAAUGUUAGUACAUUUUAACUCUUUCAACCCCAAUAGCCUAGCCACAGUUAAAGGGAUAAAUGAAAUACUCGCACCAAGGUCAUAUAGUGCUUUAGAGAAUUCUACAUUACCAAUAGUGCAAGAAAUUGUGAAACUCUCUGGAUCUUUCAACUUUGGUGGCAAUUUAUUUUGUAUGAUGGCGCUAUAUUUUUCCGUUAAUGUAAUUGUUUCACUAUCUACUAACCUCCUUUUCUUAGUCAUUAUCUCCUUGUGAAACUUUGCGUAUGAAGGAAUCUGCAAAAUAGCAUCAACAAAAGGAAUGUUAAUAUGUAAUUGUUUGAAAAUGUUGACAAACUUCUCAAAUUCUUUGUCAGUUUUCGAAGGCUUCAAUUUUUAUGGAAAUGGCACCGGUGGAGGAAUUGGUGUUGUCUCUUCAAUUUGUGACUCACACUCUUCCACCUUUUCUUUCCCAUUAAUUUUCUUGCUAUCCUCUCCUAACUCACUCAACUACUUGUUUUCUCUUCUUUCAUAUUCUCUCUUACAUUCAACUACAGGCGGCUCACCUACUUCCUUACCACUACGGAUGGUUAUGGCCUUCACAUGCUCCCUUGGAUUUACCUCAGUCUUAUUAAGUAAAUCCCCUUGGUUGCGAUUCUUAACUGCAUUUGCUAUUUGCCCUAAUUGGAGCUCAACAUUCCUGUACAUAUUGGUGAGUUGGCCUAUCCUUCCCUUAAUUCUUUCAAACCGUUGAGUAGUGGCACUGGUUAACUUUUCAAUUUUAUCAUUUGAUACAUUUGCCAGCUUCUCAAUUGCCAAUUCCUAAGCUAGUUUGGACUCCGGAAGUGGUUGCUUUGGUUGAAAACCCGGUGGAUUAACUGGUCUUUGUUGGUUCCCUUGAUCAUUCCAUCCAAAAUUCGGGUGAUUACGCCAUCCUGGAUUGUAGGUAUUGGAGUAUGGAUUAUUUUGGGGUGGACAGUUGUAAUUGUUGAGAUAUUGAACUUGUUCGCUGCUAGAACACAUAGAAUCAUCAUGAUUUCGGUCGCAAGUAGUAUAACAUGCAACUACUACUCCUUGAUUAGAGUUAGAACUAACAUGCCUAUUAAGCAUAUUAAUUACAUUAUUCAUCUUUAUAUUCAAGGUAUCUACUUCAAGCAUACUUGUGGCUCUCCUUGUAUUACCUCGUUCAUUGGUCCAUUGGUAGUUAUUAGCAGCCAUUUUUUCAAUCAAUUAUUGAACUUCCUCGACUGACUUUCCUAUCAAUGCUCCUCCCGCUACCGCAUCUACAUGCAUGUUUGUUGGAUAGGUGAGACUAUUGUAAAAUGUUUGGACUAUUAGCCAAUCUGGUAAACUAUGAUGAGGACAUCUUCGUUGCAAUUCCCGAUAGCGCUCCCAAAGUUCAUACAAUGUGUCUCCUUCCUGUUGAGAGAAACUAGUUAUAUCUAUUCUAAGCUUAGUAGUUUUUCCAAGUGAAAAAAAUUUAUUAAGAAAAGCCUUAGCUAAUUCAGCCCAAGUAGUAAAAGUAUUUUGAGGAUGAGAUUGUAACCAAACCUUGACCUUGUCCCUUAGCAAAAUGGAAACAAUCGAAGUUUAAUUCCAUCAUCACUAACACCAUUAAACUUAAUUGUAUCACAGAUUUCAAGAAAUGUUGACAAAUGAAAAUCUGGAUCUUUUGUAGCAUUACCUCCAUAUUUAGAUUGUUGAACCAUUUGAAUCAGUGAUGGUUUAAUUUCAAAAUUAUUAGCAUUUACCGUUGGCCUUGCGAUGCUAGUUUGAGAUCCUUGUGUCCCCAGUAAAGCAAAAUCUCGUAGAGCUCGCCUAUUUGGUUCGUUUUCCACCAUUUCUUCCUCAAACGGCGGCUCUAUCAAAAUUUCCUCUAUCGGCUGCCAAACCUCUGGUUCCUUUUGAUGCAGUAUAUGCCUCCUUUGUCUCCUUAUUGUCCUCUCAAUUUCUAGAUCGAAAGGUGCAACUUCUCGAUAUGUUUGGUGCAUACACUACAAAUAGAAAUAAAAGAAAUUAUGCAGCUUUAAUUGUCAAAAGCUAAAUUAAUGCAAAAUCAACUAUAAACAAUUUAAAUAAAAACAAUGGAAAUAUCUAAAUUAAUAGAGAUGAUUAGGCCCUAAUAUUGCCGCUCCCCGACAACGGUGCCAAAAACUUGACGAGAUUUUUAUAUCAAUGCAAGUUUAUUUCCGAACUUUACCCGUUGGACUACAAGUAUACAUGCCACUUAGUAGUUUUAGGCAAAUAUCAGGUCGAUCUCACAAGGAGCAAGUUAAACAAGUACUAGGCCCUUAUUUUCUCUAUUAUUUAGACUUAAAAUGAAUCUGAACAAGAAGAUUAUAAUGCUACUGUUUGCAAAUCCAAUUUAAUAAAUGCUAAAUACAAAUGGAAAAAUUUCACUCAAGAUUGAAUCUAGUGAUGUAGAUUCCACUUAUGGCAUAAACAACAUAAAUGAAUAAAUUUACCUCUUGUUAUUAUUCUUGUUUAACCAGGGAUUCAUUUCCAAUAUUACCAAAUCUCAUUCUCAUGAUAAAAUGGCCUAAAGCAGUCCAGUUUUCCCUAUUUUCAUGGUGAAAUACUUGUUCUACUUUGUUUUCUUUCAUGAAAUACUAGAUAAUCUACUUAAGUGUACCUCUAUUUUUAUGAACAUACAACUCAAGCUCUACUCAUAUUUUUUCAUUGUUACUAUCAAUUCUCAUUGACUAAUAACAACUAUAAACAUGCUAUUGGUGAUCAAACAACAAUAAGUAAUUACAACUGCACAAAUAGACAAGUUAAUACAAGAUACAAUAAGUGUAAAUCACAUUCAAUUCAUAUCAUUUAGCCAUAAGUUUCAUCUACUCCCUAGAUAAAAAAAUUUAACUACUCAUGAAUGAUAUAACAAUCAAACUCACAAGUUUACUAAUAUAAAACAUCAUAAAGUACAAGUACAAGAAAGAUAAAGAAAAGCUUAGCCAAUUAAUGAUGAAGCCCUCCAAAUUCUACUAUAUCUUGUACAAGAUGAUUACAAGUGAAGUUUCCAAGUUUUUCCUCUAGAACUUCUAGCUAGAGAGAAAAUUGUUUUCCAGAAGAAAAACUAACUACGUAUGGUGAUGCUUGGCUUCUCCCUGUUUCUCUGCAUAAAAGGUGGUGGAAAGCACCUUUUUCUCCUUCAUGAUUCCAACAACUAAGAUUUUGUUAAAGAAAGUCAAAAGAUAUGUUGUUUUGACUUGUCAAUAACUCAUUUUGUCUUCCCUUUUGUUGCAAAAGCAUGUGCCACCGAAUUCUCUCACCAAAGAUAGCUGGAAAGUUGUGUGAAAAGUAAGAAAACCGGCUAUGCCACUUGCAACAGAGAGAGACAGAUCCGAGCCACGGAUCCGACGGCUUCAGUAAGAUUCGAGCUCGGAUCAUUGUGGAUCUAAGGCCUUUCUCAAAUGGAUCCGAGCUCGGAUCAUUGCGGAUCCGAGCUCGGAUCAUUGCGGAUCCGAGACCUUUCUCAAAUGGAUCCGAGCUCGGAUCAACUGACCUCGGAUCCAUUACUCCAGAAGUACAGACGAGGGCUCGGAUCAAUCUUGUUGCACACGGAUCCGGGCUCGGAUCCAUGUGACCAUUUUCCAGAUUUUCGGUUCCUUCCUUUUUUCUUUAUUUUUUUUUUGCUCCUAGUUUCUUUUGUACUUUAUCCUCCAAAUGAUCCUUGCUCUUUCUUUAUCUUGUACAUGAAGUUCACAUGUUAAUAUCCUUCAAAAUAUCACAGAUUAAAGCAUUAAUCCACGCAUUUAGCAAGUUUGAUUAUUUAAACAACACUUAAGCAAUUAGCCCCAAAAAGAGUUCAAAUAUGGCUUUAAUCCUCUCAAAACAUAACAAAAGUUCAUGCCAAACUUGUACAAGAUGUACGUUAAAUAUUCACUUAUCACUCAAACUCAAAAAAAAAAAAAAUUGAAAAACAAAGAUACAGCUAAACACAUAAAAAUUAAAUUGCUACUAAACAUGUGGUCUUGAGGUUACCAUUUACGGAUUUACCAAGGCAUACAAACAUGUGGUCCGAUUUGGCACUUUUUUUUAAGCUUUUGUUUGACAACUUUCACAAGUCAACUUUAAAAUGUCUUUAAUUUUGUUGCUUCAAUGAAACCUAUAAAAUUCAAGAUGAAUGAGCAUUCGGUAGACUAAUUACUUCAGCAUAGAAAAAGCAAAAAAAAAAAAACACACUAAACAGCAUAGAAAAAAUAGAACAAUCAUUGAUACAAAAUUUAUUAAUUUGAUACUUCAUCCAUGUCUAAUUUUAUUAAUUUGGUACUUCAUCCAAAAAAUAGCUUCUCCAAAUAUGAUUGCAAAAUAAUUAAUGAUUCAUAAUUUCAUCCUUAAUUAAUCGAAUAAAAAUAAAACAAAAAUUAGGGGAAAUGGGUGAAAAUUGGGGGAAAAAAGAAGGAAAUGCAAAAAAUUUGGCUAAAGAUAAUAAUAUAGAAAACAAAAACCUUGAAAAGGGAAAAAAUAAACUUACCAAGAUGAUGGAAAACAGGAAAAGCUUUUGAGUCUCAAAUAUCUUGUGAAAAUUGAAAUUUCCAAUUUGUCUACAAUCUGCUAAAGAUGAUAGUGAUAAAGGUGAAGGCUUGAGAAAAUUUUGUUGUGGAUAUUUGGGUUUGAAAUGGUUAAGAAGAAAAAAUUGAAAAAAAAAUUCAAGAGGUGAACUAGAGCCGGUGGCCGCCUGAAGCCAAGAAAGAGAUGGAUUGAAACUUGAAAGAAAAGUGCAUCGGCUGUUUCUUUUCUUAAUGUUAGGGUUUCAUUUUUUUAAUAUAUUUUUUAGUCAAACUAAGCUUGUCCUUUGACUGUGGUCUAGUGGUAAGAGUGUCUUAUAGGAACAUGAAAACUGAGGUUCGAACUUGCGUAGCUAUAUUCUUGACAUUUUGUUUGAAUUAAAAAUCCGCCCGAUUACGGUUUGUACAAUUUUUUGUGGUUCAUACGGUUCGACCGAUUUCUAGUGAUUUUGCAUUAACUUUCGAAUUUAAUACUGGACCGGACCAGUGGUAUGUCCGGUUCGCGAUUCAACCAAUCGAAUUGGCCGGUCCGGUCCGGUUCUGAAAAACAUUGGAAAAAGAUUGCCAAGGAGGCAGCGGUGUUUAUGGAAAAUUUUUUUAAAAAAAAAAUUAAGUUGCGGUGGGAAUCACAAGUUGUGAGUUACCGUAUUAAGGGGAUCGAUGAAGAUGAUUAGGUUUAAGGAAAGAAAUAUUCAAAAUUGUAAUUCUACCCUUCAACUUACUGUUUUCUUUAAUAAAGAAUAUAAAUUUUUUGAAAUUAUAAUUAAGCCCCUUAAUUAACCUUUUUUACCUAAAAGUAAAAGUAGUACAAGAAUUUCCAACUUUUCUCUAUAUCAAUAUAGAAGGUUUUCAUCCAUCUUACCUAUCAGUUUAAACCAAUAAAUUCUUUUGGAUAUUUUUGAAUGAGAAGGGGGGUUCAAUAACGCGCAAAUCAUAGGCAAGUUUUGUGCAUUUUACUCGAAAAGAAUAAAUUCCAGAUCGACCCACCAUAUUGUCUGUUAAAAAAAAAAAGAUUGAUCCAUACUGGAUGCAGAUCCCUAUUGAGGCUGUGGAAUUGAUGCAAUGACCCAUAGGUGUACCACUUGCAAAAUUAUCUUUCUUGUGGAGGGAGGGGAGGCGAGGGGAGGGAUAAAGAAGGAGAUUCAGGAGGAGGAAGGAGGGAAGGGGGAGGAAUGGUGGUGGUGGUGAAGAAAGGGAAGUGGUGGUGGCAGCGUGUGGUGGUGAUCGGUAGUGAAUGGAAGAAGAAAUGGCUGGUAGUUUUUUUUAAUAUAUUUUUGUUAGGUACAUUUGAGAUGUGUAUUUGUAGUGAUUUUGGGAGUAUUUUUGGAGUUUGUUACUAUAGAUUCCAAGUAUAAAAACUAGUUUUCCAAAACAAACUCAUUUUAAAAACAUAGGCCAAGAUGAGACAUUACAUUAGAAAAUCAAGAUGUAAUUUUCAAGGGGUAAAAUUGUAAUUAUAAUAUGUUAAAGAAGAAUGAGUUCCUCGAGCACGCUUCAUUGUAUCCAUAUAUAUAAAUAUGUUUUAUUGCUUCUUGUCUUGUGAAAACCUUCAAAAGAGGACUUGCAAAGGAAAUAAUAGCUACCAACUGAUGGAUUCCAAAGCAGUUGCUUCUUGUGUUCUCCUCCAUCUGUUGAUUGUCCUGGUAAGUUACUUUGCAAUUAAUUGUUUUUUGUGAUUUAUAUUCUGUGGACUUAAUUCUCGCUGUCUUACAACACUAUACAACCUGUACAGGGAGCCUGUGACAUCAUACCCAAGGCCAAGGAUAGUGGUACUAAUGCAAUCAGGCUCCACGGCAUUGAUGCUAAUAAUCCUCAUCGAAAUGAUAAGACACAUCAUGUUGCUCACGUACAUGAAAAGAAGUCAAUGCAUCAUCCUUCUCUUUCGUCAUCCCACAUGAUGCAUCAGAUAGAUGCAAGAAAAACCAUGUUUUUCGUUUUAGAUGAUCUCAAGUUAGGCAAAACAAUGAGUAUCCUUUUCCCUGACGGAGAUCCUAGUCCUUUGUCCUCUCCUUAUCUCUGGCCUAGAGAACAAGCCGAUGCUAUUCCCUUUUCAUUGGCAAAACUCCCACAAAUUCUUCAACACUUUUCAUUCGCUCAAGGAUCUCGCAAGGCCCAAGUGAUGCAACAUACACUCCGAGCAUGCGAGACUAAGCCUAUCAAGGGAGAAUCCAAGGCUUGUGCCACAUCCUACGAGUCAUUGGUAGAUUCUGCACGAAAGAUCUUUGGAUUGAAUACCGAUAUUGAAGUUUUAUCAACGCAUUACUGACGGGAUAUUUUACAUACGUACAAGUUAAAAAACCGAAUUACACCUGUUCACUGCAAGUAUACAGGUCAACUAGUAGUUUAGGGUAUAUAUCGGGUCGAUCCCACAGGGAAGAGUGAACAAUUACCGGUAUUACUAAAGCUUCUCUAUUAUUUAGACUAUCAAUGAAUUAUAACAAAUUUAACCUACUGAAAUUAUACAAAAUAACAAAUAAAAGCUCCUUAGGUUGUGGUAUCCUCAACUACUCAUGCAAGUGCUAUUUUUGGAUCAUUGAAUACUACAUCUAGGCUAGUUAUGGUGUAAUUUCCUUAAACAUGUGAAACCUACUUUCGUAGUGAAUCAACUAUACUCAUAACUAAUCCAUACCUAUUUUCAUGGUUAUGAAAUUAGCUACAAGUUCAUUUCUUCAAUGAAAUUACAUGAAAUGAAUCACUAAAAACCACAUAAGUGCACCUCUACUUUCGUGAGUGUACUCCCUAUGUUUAGCACUUCUUGAACUAGUGUUAAAUCUCAAUUUUCAUUGCAGAAACAACACCUUAGAUAAUCACAAUCAAUGGUACCAGAUUAAUCAUGAUUUAAGAAGCCAAAGUGCUAAAUAACUUGCUCAAAUCAUAGCAGUCAAAUAACCAAAUAAUAAACACUAACAAUCAUAGAAAGUUCAACCAAACCCAAGGCUUAAACUUUAAACACACAUAUUGAACACAAAAUUCAGAACUUGUAUAUUAACUAAACUUGGAAUCAAAUACAAAAGAUAAAGAGUUUUGAAGGAAUACAACCCUUGUCACAUGAGCUUUCUUCCUUGCCUUCUUCAUCCUCCAUCUUCAUCCUAAUCUAGAUAAUAAACAAGAAUGGAAAAGCUACACUACUCUAUACUAAGCUAAACUAAUACUAGGGAGAUGAAAGAGCUACAUUUCUGCAGCUUCAAGCUUUCUCCCGUAGCUCACUCUCUAUUUUUCUGCUAUCUCCUCUUCUCUUGCUCUCUCUCCUCUCUUUUGCAACGAAUUUGGCUCUUUAAUGAUGAAAGGUGGUCCAGAAAUGAGGAUUACAUCUCCCUUUUACAGCUGGGAAUGUUUCUCACAUGUAUAGCAUCGCAUGUGAGUUGGUGGAGGUGAAAUUGAGUUUUACGCGUACAUAGCAGCCUUUUCUGACCACAAUCCGGCCAGGAAUCCGGCCACAAAUCCGGCCAAAUUCCGGCCGGAUUGCUACAGUAAUCUGGGCUGCUACAGUGAUCCGAGCUGCUACAGUGCCUCGGAUCCGUAUGGAUCCGAGCUCGGAUCCACUAACCCAGAAACAGCCGAGGGUUCGGAUGAAUAGUGGAUCCGAGUGUGGAUCACUUGCUCUGUUUUUGGCCCAACUUCAACUGAUCUUUUCUUGAUGUUAGAGGCUGAACCAGCUCAUGUCUAAAACAUGAAAGUUGUAGCCUUUUGACUUAUCUUUCCAAUGCAUCAAGAAUCGCCUCAUUUGGAUCUGUAUAGGCUGAGAUAUGACUGAAAUACCCUUGCCUGCUCCAUGCCUUGUUCCAGUUUCGACCAAUAGCAAUUGACUCUGUACUUCGGCUUUUUGACCUGGAAAACCUUCAAACUGGAUUCAGAUGUCUUCACCAAAGUUGUAGAUCUAUCUCUUAUCUUCAAAUUAGUUCAAGAAUCAUCCCAAUCCGAUCAUUUUAGCUCAAGUUAUAGCCGAAAUACGAAAAUGUGUCAAAAACUGUCAAAAUACACAAAAUCCACUAAAAAGUGAUAAAAACCUCAUUUAAUCACUUAAAAGCAUUUUUCACCAAUUAUAGCCAAAAUGAUUCAUAUUCUUCCAAUAAUAUAACUAAAGUGACUAAAAAUAAUAUAAAAUAUUAUACAAUUAUUACGUAAAUUAGUCACUUAUCAAUUACCUCGCAAAAUCUAAUGCUGCUAGAUUACAGAACUAUACAAUCACAGAAGCUCCUGAACGAAUUUCAACUCUAAAGGUGGUUGCCUGUCACACCAUGCAAUAUCCUUUCAUAGUUUUCUAUUGCCACUAUCAGCAGGGUGAUAAUCGUUCGUACAGGACUGUUCUAUCUGGAGAGAAUUGUGAUAGGGUUGAAGCUAUUGCAAUAUGUCACAUGGAUACCUCCCAAUGGAACCAUGAUCACGUUUCCUUCCGACUGCUUGGUAUCGAACCAGGCACUGCCCCUGUUUGCCAUUUCUUCCCAGAAGUGAACUUUGUAUUGGUUCCAUCUACUUCUUCAAUCUAGUAAUAUCCAAGAGCUCUUUCAGCAUUUUAGUUGUUUAGCUCAAGUCACCUUGCUCAAUGUGUAAUACUAGAAAUCACUAAAUUCGUGUGCCUCAUGUUUGAUCGUCAGUAUUCGAUUAAAACUCCGUGGUGUAGUAGCGCUACUUUUGACAA